UCUACUCUAUUUUUCUAUUUCAUUUUAAAAAAUAUCAUAUCUUUAGAAUAACUUCUUAAAUUAUAAAAAAUAUAAGGGCAUGUUUGGCAACUAUUUUUGAAAAUAAUUUUUAUAUAUAAAGUUUUAUUUUUAAUCAUUCUAUAUGUUUGUAUAAUUAUUUCUUAAAACAAUCAUUAGAAAAUAAGUAAAAACAAUAAAAAAAACUGAAAGAUAUUCUCUUAAAACACUUUAUUUUUUUGUUCUUAAAAACAAAACAAAAAACAUAAAACAUUUUUUAGUUACCAAUGUGUUUUUUGUUAUAAAGAACAAAAAAUUAUUCUUAAAAACAAUUCCCAAACAUAUCCUAAAUAUCUAAACAUAUUUUUAGUUUUAAUUUUUAUUUUCUAGAAGAAUGAAAACACCAUACAGAAUCUUAACCUAUCUUUAGUCACACUAAUUUUAGGGUAAUCUCCGCUCAAGAGUUUAUUUUCUUACAUUUUUUCUAUAUGUAACUACUUAUCUUUUUUAUUUAUUUGUUUGUUAUCUAGAAAAAUAGACUAUGUGGGAGGUCACCCCAAGUAUAAUAUACAUCCUUUUUAACGCUUGAAGAGUAGUCAUCAUGAAAAUCAUUUCAUCAUUUCGAGAAUAUUAUAAUUUUGAGAAUAAAACAAGUGCGAGUAAGCCAUUACCAAAGUAAUAAUCAAUUUCCUCGAUCGGAAACAAAUUAAUAAAUAAAUAUGACAAAGGGAAACGAACAAAACACCACCUACUACAUAUUAAACGAGUUACAACUUGCAGCCAUGAAAGCUAUCUUAGACCUGACACUAUUAUUUUAGUCCCUUCCAAACUUAUUUAAGUCAAACCCAUUUAGGUUUUAUUUGCAAACACUUUAUAAAAAAUAAUUUUUAAAAUUCAUUUAUGAUAUUUAGUAUAAUAAAAUUUGUUUAGAAAUUUGAAAUGUAUUUAAUCUAUUUUUUUAUAUUUUAAAAAUAAUUUUUAUAUAAAAUAUUUCUUUUUUAUUAUUUUUAAUAAUUAUAUAAUUUUUUAAAAUAAUUAUCAAAAAGUACUAAAAAAAAAGUGAUAACCACAUAAAAUAAUUAAAAGUUAUCGGUUGAAAACACUUUAUUAUGUUUUUAAGGAUAAAAAAUUGUUUUUCACUUUUUUGUUAUUACACAUGUUUUUCCAUUUUUUUUAAAUUUUUUAUGAAAAAAAAAUAGUUAUGAAAUAAGACUUUAACUUCCACAUCAUGUUCUCCUCAACCGUCAUUAUUAAUCAACUUAUAAAUUAGUUUUGCUUAUUAAUUUCAUAAGAUCAAAAUUUAUUUUAAAAUUUUAAUAUUAAAAUUGAAUGGAAUAUGAUUAUUUAGUAUCUCAAAAAUUUGUCAUUGACAAACUACCGGUAAUUUUUAUCUUAUCAACUUAUGAACUCAGACCAAUAGAGAGUUAGAGCUAUUUUGCAUAUACCAACAAAUAAAAAAAGCUAAAUAGUCAAAUUUGUACAUCUAGUCAAAUUUGAAUAACGCGGUUUUUCCCACUUAUCGACCGCUGGGUAUACUGGAAUACUAAAAUAUUUCAUAUAAUGCAUAUUAACCAUUUCUCAUCGCUUGUAGCCACAACUUACCACAUAAAAAGAAUGUAUAAAAAUUAUGGUAACUAUAAUGAAAAAAAGAACACUACUAUUUAUUAUUUAUUAAUAUUAAAUAACAUUAAUUAUUAUAAAUAUUUUAUUUAGUACUCAUACUUUUAGGUUUAAUUUGAAGAUGAUAAUUAUCAGGUUAGUUUUUCAAUUCUAGGUUUUAUUGAAUUUUCCUAUUAUCCAUAAUAUGUUAUACGAAAUAUAAGUAUUAAUGUAAUUUAUUGUAUUCAUCGAAUGGUAUGUGACCAUGUGACAAUGCCAGAGUAUAUAAUGUUUCUUCUUUGUUUUAGUCCAAGGGUCUCCAAAAAGUCCGCGACCCGCUUUAGGCCCGGCCUGGCCCGACAGGCUAAAGCCUGGACCAAGCUCGCCGGGCCCGAGCCCGUUUCUGGGCGGGCCGAGCCGCGGGCCUAAUUUUAGGCCCGGCCCGUAGGCCAGCCCCUUUAAAAAAAAACUACAAAAAUAAAAAGUAUUAAAAAAAAUAUUCAUUUCAAAAUUUUAUUCAUUAAAUGUAUAAGCCAUACACCAUGUGACGUAGCCUCAAAACAAGAUAUGAACUCAGCUUCCAUAGUAGAAGUAGCAGUCAUGGUUUGCUUAAUGCUCCUCCAAGAUAUAGCUCCACCGGCCAAUAUAAAAAUGUAUCCAAAUGUUGAUUUACGUGAAUCAACACAACUAGCAAAGUCUGAAUCUGAGUAGCCAACAACCUCUAAAUUGUUUGUUCGUCUGUACAUAAGCUUGUAAUCUUUGGUUCCUUGAAGAUAUCUCAUCACUUUCUUUGCAACUUUCCAGUGGUCCUUACCUAGGUUACUCUGAUAUCGUCCUAACAUUCCAACAGCAAAUGCAAUGUCAGGCCUUGUGCAGACCUGAGCAUACAUCAGACUUCCAACCGCAGAAGCAUAUGGAAUGUUCUUCAUUUGUUCCCUCUUAAGAUCGUUUUUCGGGCAUUGGUCCAGAUUGAACCUAUCACCCUUCACUAUAGGAGAAACACUAGGUGAACAAUUCUUCAUCCGAAAUCUCUCUAAAACUUUAUUGAUAUAGGUCUCUUGAGACAAACCUAAGAUACCUUGAAAUCUUUAUGGAUCUUAAUGCCAAUGACAUAAGAUGCCUCACCCAUAUCCUUCAUGAAGUAAACCCUUAUCAUUGGUUGCAAGUAAGAUGUCAUCCAUGUAUAAAAUAAGAAAACAAACUUUACUCCCACUGACCUUAAGGUAUAUGCAUUGAUCCAUAACAUUUUCUUCAAAACCAAAUGAAGAAAUUAUGUUAUAGAAUUUUAAAUACCAUUGGUGGGAUGCUUGUUUUAAACCGUAUAUGGAUUUCUUAAGCUUACAAACCAAUUUCUCACCAUCUCUAGAGGGGAAUCCUUCAGGUUGUUUAAUGUAAACCUCCUCCUCUAGCUCUCCAUUAAGAAAUGUUGUUUUUCACAUCCAUUUGUUGCAAUUCCAAAUCAAAGUGGGCUACUAAUGCCAAUAUAAUGCGUAAGGAAUCUUUCUUAGAUACAGGAGAAAAGGUUUCCGUGUAAUCGAUUCCUUCUUUCUGAGUGAACCCCUUUGCAACAAGUUUGGCCUUGUAUCUCUCAAUGUUGCCUAAUGAGUCUUUCUUUGUCUUAAAAACCCAUUUACAACCAAUGGUUUUUGCACCAUUAGGCAACUCAACAAGGUCCCAAACAUCGUUGCACUUUAUGGAACUCAUCUCAUCCUUCAUGGCAUUGUACCACAAUUCUGAUUCUUUACAACUCAUGGCUUGUGAAAAAGAUUCGGGGUCAUUUUUGGCUCCUAUAUUGUAGUCACAUUCCUGUAGAUACACUACAUAAUCAUUAGGAAUUGUUGGCCUCUUAGUUCGAGUAGACCUUCUUAAGGUUGCACCAAUAUCUUCUAAGAAAGUAUGAGGUUCAACUUGUUGUUCAGAAGUGUCAGGAAACUCCUGAUCAACUUGAUCUACUGGAAUGUUGUCAACAGCUUGUGGAACUUCAACGACUGGUUGAACUUCAGUGAUUGUUCGUUCUACACCCGAUUAUACUUGAGGGGUGUUAUGAAUAAUAAACAAUCUAUCACUUGAAGUGGAAGGUUGAGACUUUGUAGGAUCAAUAUCAGAAACCAUGUUUCUGAAUUGAUCGCUCCCACUGACCAAGUCAUAUUCAAGAAAUUUAGCAUUUCUCGAUUCCACAAUCCUAGUGUUGUGAGAUGGACAGUAAAAUCUGUACCCCUUAGACUUUCCAGCAUAUCCAAUGAAGUACCCACUAAUAGUCCUUGGGUCCAGUUUCUUCUCCUGUGGAUUAUAAAUUCUCAUUUCAGACGAGCAUCCCCAAACGCGCAUAUGUCGCAAACUCGGUUUCCAACCUUUCAAUAACUCAAAUGGCGUCUUUGGGACAACCUUGGUUGGAACUCGGUUUAAUAUAUACACUGCUGUCUUAAGUGCUUCAGUCCACAAGAAUUUAGGAAGUUUUGAGCUGCUAAGCAUACUCCUCACCAUGUCUAAUAAAGUUCGGUUUCUUCUUUCUGCUACACCAUUUUGGUCUGGAGAACCAGGCAUGGUGUAUUGGGCAACAAUCUCAUGUUCUUGAAGAAACUUUGCAAAUGGCCCAGGUGAUUGUCCAUCUUCCAAGUAUCUACCAUAAUAUUCUCCACCUCUAUCUGAUAUCACGAUCUUAAUUUGUUUACCAUUUUGUUUCUCUACUUCUGCCUUGAAAACUUUAAAGGCUUCUAAAGCUUCAUUUUUAUUAUGAAGUAUGUAGAGAUACAUGUAUCGUGAGAGAUCAUCUAUGAAAGAGAUGAAGUAUUUCUGACCAUGAGAGUCCAUGUCAAGACUACAUAUAUCAGUAUGUAUGAUCUCUAAUAUGGUAGAACUCCUAGUAGCACCUCUCUUUGACUUGUUGGUCUGCUUUCCCUUAAUGCAGUCCACACAAGUCUCAAAGUCAGUAAAAUCUAGAGUACUAAGUACCCCAUCAUUCACCAAUCUUUUGAUUCUAUCUAUGGAGAUAUAACCUAAUCUCCGGUGCCACAAUGUAGAGGAAUCCUCAUUAACAACACAUCUUUUAAUGCCAGUUUGGACAUGUAAUGAAUUAUGAGUGGUAUCAUUUUGUAACAAUAUGCAAUAAAGACCAUCAGACAAAAUACCAUUCCCAACACAAUUAGAUUUAUAAAUCAAACUGAAAGAUGUUUCUGAAAAAUGAAAGGAAUAUCCAAACGGUACAAGUCUAGAAACUGAAAUCAAGUUUCGUGAGAAACUUGGUACAUAAAAGGUCUUUUGCAAUUCUAAAACAAAACCACUAUUUAAAGUUAAAUAACAUGUCCCUAUUGCUUCCACAUGCGAGCCCAUCUUGUUUCCGGAUAAGAUGAAUUGUUCACUUGUCACUGGCUUCUUUAGGUUUUGCAUACCCUACAAGAAAUUUGAAAUGUGGAUUGUAGAUCCAGAAUCAAUCCACCAUGUGUUGGUAUUUACAUUAACCAUAUUAGAUUCAUAACAAACAAAUGAGGUAGGGUUACCUUUCUUCUCAAGCCAUUUCUGAAAUUUCAGACAUUUCUUCUUCACGUAUCCUUUCUUUUUACAGAAAAACACUUUUCGUCUUUCUUAAUGUCAGAUUUGGGAGGAAUUUGUUGCUUCCCUUUUUUACUAGCUUGAGAUUUUCCUUUCUUUCUUUUCCUUUGCGUCACUAGCAUGGCACUUUCUCUGUUCCAUCAAUAACCUUCCUUCCUCUUGAACACACAUGGUCAUCAAUUCAUUGAUAAACCACUUAUCCUUAUGUGUGUUGUAAGAGAUUUUGAAAGGUCCAUACUGAGGCAGAAGAGUGUUAAGGAUAAAGUGCACCAAGAAGAAUUCAGACAUUUCUACCUCGAGUUUCUUCAAUUGAGCCACUAUGUCCCUCAUUUCCAUGAUGUGUUCGCAUACACCUCUUAUACAUGUGAGCUUCAGGGAUGUGAACUUCAUAAUCAGGAUGCUUGCCAAGGCUUUGUCUGAAGUGACGAAUUGCUCGUCAAUAGCCUUGAGCAAUUCGCGGACAUUCUCAUGUUGCUCGAUCGAACCACGUAUAUCAGCACUAAUUUUUGUCUUUAUGUACAUCAUGCUGAGCCGAUUAGAUUUCUCCCAGCGUUUGUACAAUAUUAUUUCUUCAGGUAUGCUGGUAUCAGUGAUCUUAUGUGGUUCAUCUUUUCUUAUGGCAUAGUCUUUGUCCAUACACCCUAAUUGAAGAAGAAUCCUCUCCUUCCAUAUCUUAAAGUUAUCUCCUCUAAGUUCGGGAACCUCACAACGAAUAUCAGAUAUGCUAGGUAAAACUGCACAAAAGGAUUACAAGCUUAUUAAAAAAUUUUGAGGCUUUAAUAUAAAUUCAUGCUUUACCAAUGUAGAACAUGCUUAAAAUUUAAUCUAAAUUUUAUUAAAAAUUGUCUGUGGGCUAAAUCUUUAAUUUAGUCAGAUUAAUUAUCUUUAUGAUAGACUUUAUCAAACUAUUUUAUUAAAUUAUGAAAUUUAUUAUGAAUAUAGUUUGAUAUUUUCUGUUUAUAAUCUUUAUGAUAAACCUAUUAAAUUAAUUCUUCCUAACUCUUGUGGGUAAAUUAGGAAAAAUUAAUUUUAAUAUUUUAUCCUAAUUAAUUAUAUAAACAUAAUGAAAACCCUGUGGGGUAAAAUCAUCAUAUUUAUAUAAUUAAUUACAAUUAAUGUCCAUAAUGUGAUCCUUAUUUACUUAAUAUAUAAUUUUUAUAUAAUUAAGGAUGUUGUGACUAUUCCUUAAUUAUUUAAAAAAUCAUAUGGUUUCACUAGACAUUAAAACUAUAUGAUAUAAUUUUAAUAUAUCUAACUCAAAUUCAGGCAAUAAUUGCAUGCAUUAAGAGCUACAACUUUAAUUUAAGUUACAAACAUAUAAAAAAAUAUAUAAUUAUUUAUUUUACAUGUAUAAAAUUUACAUGAUAAUUUUAAAAAUAAUUUAAAGGUUUCAGAUUAUGAAUGAAUGCCUAAAUCCAAAUAAAACACAAUCAAUUCCAUGCUUAAUAAAAUUAAAAUAAAAAAUUCAACCACAUGCCCACAUUGAGCCCCAUGGCCCAACAAAUUUUAUUUCUAGGCCAUUACCGAUCAAUCCAUAUUUAAACCCAAACUUUAGCGAGCUUCAUAAGAAACCCAACCCUUAGUAUUCAUAAUGGGCCAUUGUUUAUGCAUUAAGCCCAAAGGGCCCAAUAGCCUCUUAUACCAAGGCCCAAUUUCUUAGUAGAACCCAAUCUCUUAGUAGAACCCAAUCUCUCUCUAGGUUCUUUCAUUAUUUUUAAUAUCACCUUUAGCCAAAACCCAAUAUCACAUUAUUAUUAUUAUUAUUAUUUUAAUAUUUAAAUAUCAACUUGCAACUGAAACCUCCAAAAUCCUAUUUUGACGCCAUCCGCAUGGACUGCACCAACACGGACAGCGCCAUGAACGCCACGACCCGCGUGUUCUGCAUCGACACCGGCUGCACCACAUCGAGACUUUAGCAUGGCAACUUUCCAACACCUGCAGCACUCCAUGCUUUGGAGCUGCCUGCAUCAUGGGUAGGAAGAGCCUCACGGGUGCCCUCCUGCCGCCUGCAACGGCACCUCAGUGGCACUUCCCAUCUGAAUGAGAUGGCGCCUGAACGGAGCCUCCAAUGGUGCCUCUUGUCGGCACGAAAAGAUGCCUGAAAUGGUGCUGCGAACAGCGCCUGAACGGCGCCUAGAACGACGCCUGAAUGGCGCUUCCAAUGGUGUCUCCAAUGGCGCCUUAACAGCGCCACUAAAGCACCCGAAUGGCUGCUGGAGCUCCUGAAAAUGGCGCCUUAACAGCGCCGUUGAAGCACCCAAAAACGGUGCUUGGAUGGCUGCUGGAAUGGUGGCUGAGGCGCGCCUUAAAUGGCUCUUGAACGACACUUAGUAAUGACACUACAAGCGGCGCCUGAACGGCGCUGGUAUGGCGCCUGAAUGGCUGCCUGUUGAACGCCUGUAAUGGCGUUUUCUGAAAGAAUUACGCCAACCCUUUGGAUCGCCUUAAGCAGCCAUUGUUUAAAUAAUUUAGAGAGAUCAUAAUAACAAGAAUUUUCAUUCAGAAUUAAUACAAAACAGAGGUAAGGUUUAACGUGCUCUGAUACCAAAUGUUGUUUACAUGCUCUAUAUAUAUAUAUAUAUAUAUAUAUAUAUAUAUAUAUAUAUAUAUAUAUAUAUAUAUAUAUAUGAUUCCAAUGAAUUUGCAACAUGAAUCAAAACUGAAAAAGACUAAGAAUAGUCUACUUACCUCCAGCCAUUGUAGUCGAUUUCAAAAACUUGAUUUCCAAACUCUGAUCUCCCUUUUUUAGAUGGUGUUUCUGAAGGAAAAAACAGCAGACGAGUUCGGGACCAUUUUUCUUUUAAAAUCUUUAUAACCGUGGCUUCCAUCAUACCAUGUUGCUCUUGCCACCACGUUGAGCAGUUGCUGGAAUGUGCUCCUUAACCGCAGCGGAAGAGAGAUGGUGGAGGACGUGGUCAAAGUGCUGGACCACAUCAUGAAGUGUUGGACGUGUGAACGUGUAUUUAGCUUACAAUGCAUUCAUCAAAACCCACGACUCUCGAAUCCGUAUCUUCAUGUCAUGUAGCUGUAUGAAUUGAACUCCCUGUUUAUUUGGAAAGAAAAUGAAAUUGUGAUUAUAUGACUACUACUUCCAAGGAGCUGAAUAGUUGUAUUAGGCUUAACGAAUGGGUUAUUUUCUAUACUUUUUGUUGUUGGUACCGGCAUUUCCUCAAAAGCCAAACACAGAGUAUUAUAUCGUCUAGGAAUUCAUGUGGUAAUAUUGUGGUUUAGGGUUUAUGAUUUAUUUAUUUUGUUUGAUUAUGGACUUUUUGUUUGAUUAUUGAGAUACAUUUAAUUCACUUGAUAAAAUACACCCCCAAAAGUAGGGAAAUUCUUUUUUUUUUUUUUUCAUUUUCAUUUCCUUCUCCAAUAUGCUACUCUGAUCAUCACUGUUUGAUUAUUGAGACUGAGAUCAUUGAAUGGCUCAAUAAGAAGGAUCAGUUGUCUGCUGCAUUUGUUAAAAUAUGGAACUCUGGAAUCUGGUAGUGGAAAUAGAAGCCAUUACUUGUUUGUUUGUCCCGAAGGAUUUAAAGGUUUAAAUCUUGAGAACAUAUGUCCAUGGGGUUUAAAUAUCAAGGCCCACAUCAAUUCUAUAUCUGAACUUGUAAGUUUUUCAUGCUUGCAUGUGGACGAUGAUAUGGGCUUGUUGGUCUAAUGACACUUUAGUACUAGUUACAUCCACUUGUGAUAUCUCAUAUCGGAUAGAAAUUUUUUUUUUCUGGCAUUAUAUAAGUACAAACUUUUUUUUACCUUAUUUUAAAGUCAUAAGAGUUUCCCUAAGUUAUGAAUAGGUAAUAACUAUAUCAUUAGGAGUGUAGUGUGAGGGUUUGUUUGACUUUUUGAGAUAUAUAUGUCUAUUUGGCACUUUGUGUUUGUAUAUGAGGUGAAUAUGAUAUCUCACAUUGGAUUUGGGGAAAAAGUCUUUGACAUUAUGUAAGUAUAGGCUCCUCUUACCCCCUUAGACAUAGAGUGGAUAAUAUCUAUAUAAUUGGAAUGGAUCGUUAUAUCAUAAGUGUAACAUGUCUUAUUUUUUAUCAUAUAUACUACAAUUUAGAAAUGUACUCUUUUGGUAUCUAUAAAAAAAGGUAUAAUGAAUCAAGUGGUGUCAUUUACAUAUUUUUAGGUCUUAUUGUUUAUACCCUAACCUCAUAUAUUUGUAUUCUUGUACCUUAGUCUCUUUCGUUUGUACCCUUGCUCAACGGCCUACAUUUGACAAAACAUAUUCAAUGAUCAAAAAGGCACAACUAAUCAAGUAUAAAAAUAUAGAAAACUAAUAGAAUAUGGGUAAUUGUAUUCCAUAGGUGCAUAAGAAAUAUCAUAUAAAAAUUCUAUUAAAAAAAAAUUGGUCAAACAAAAUUUGUUCAAAACUUACAAAAAUAUUGGAAAAACUCUAUGAAAUGAUGAAACAUAUAUUAAAAUUUUUUAUUUAAUAAAAGAGUUUAUGGAGGUAAAAUUUGUGGAAUUUGGGUAAUAAUAUAAUCUAUCUUGAUAAAAAAAAAUAUGAAUUUUGAAACUAUAUGUCGAAAUAAAAAUUUUGUUUAUUGUAUUGCAUUAUUUAAAACAUAUAAUAUUUCAAUAUUUAUAACAAAUUACAUUUAUAAGGAAAUUCAAUUUUAUCCCAAAAAUAUCUAUAUUAAAAAAAAACUUAAAUUGUAAUUUAUAAUUAUAAAAAAUAAAAAAAUUUAAAACUUAUUAUAAAAAAUAAAGGUAUUUUUUCGAACAUUAUUAAUUGUUUUUAGUUAUUUUAACUUGUCUUUUGGAGUUAUUUUAAAAAUAAUUAUAUAAAUAUGAAAAAUAAUUGAAAAUAAAAUAUUAUAGACAUUUGAAAUUAUUGAAAACAAGUAAGUUAUAAAAAGCACAAGACAACUGUUUAUGAAAUUUAUUUUCAAAAACUAUUUAAUGAAAACGUUUUAAAAAAGUACCCAAAAACUAUUUUCAUAUAUAUGUGUGUGUGAUUUUUUUAAAAACAUAAAAACUAGGUUGAAAACAUUCUAAUUCCCAAGAAUAUUUUUGUUUUAUAAAUUAUCAGACAACUUUUAAAAAUUGUUAUUGAAAACCAUUUUUUUAAAUCAGUUUUGAAAAUAGUUCCUAAACGGAGUCUAGGCCUUCCUUCCUUGAAAUAAAUUUGGCAUUAAAGUGGUGCUUACUGUUUGGGCCGCUAGGCACUUGCUUUAAAUAUUUCACUCAAUCAUAACCGAUUAUGCACAUAACUAUAAUGUGUUAGUCUAAGUAACAAACCCCACCCCCCAACACACACACACACACUAUAUAUAUAUAUAUAUAUAUAUAUAUAUAUGGUAAUUUAAUAAUUGUAACUUAUUGAUUAGCCUAUUUUUGUCUCCUCUACAUUGGGUAGGGACUCACUCUAAGGUGAUACAAAACAAACAUUGGGCUGAGCGUGAAUUUAAGCAUACAUGGAACUCACUCUAAGGUGAUACAAAACAAACAUUGGGCUGAGUGUGAAUUUAAGCACACAUGGAACAGAAAGCGAAAGGAUGAAGACAAAAAUGAUGAAAGUGGUAAUACCAUCAAACAAUUCAAACGAAUAAAGCACAGCUUGCAGGCCCGCAACAAAUGCAAACACCAUGAAAAUCAUCGCAGCCAUGGUUAGCAUACAGCCGUAAAAUAAGAAUGCCAGGAUGGUGUUCUUGUUAUUUGUAGGGAACGCGGCAAGGAAAUAAACACCAAUAGCACACAUAGAAAGUACCAUGGCUAUGCUAUCUGCCAUGACAAAACUUGUGAAAUUGUCCCUUACUGCAGGUGCCAUGUAUUGGUCCUCGCCCUUGGUGCGUCUGAUACUAACUCUCUGAUUAGGUCUCUGAAACUGUAAAACAUUUAAAGAAAGCAUGGAUAGAUAUUCGAUUCAAAGGGUUUGUAAAAGAAGGAAAACAAUAUUUUUUAAGAUUAAAAGUCUGUCAUUUCUUUCUUUUUCCUUUUUUUUUUUUUCUCACUAUCAUCUAUGAUGAAAAAAAAAAAAAGUUAGAAAAUUAAUUGGGGGUCACAGCAGGAACAUAUACAUAUAUAGGGAAUUGAAAUUUUUGGCGGCCUUAUCAAUCUUACUAAGGUGUCCAAUAUCCACGUUAACAUCGUCUCCGGAGAUAUGAUAGGCAUGUGAAACAGAUGGAGGGGUGUCUUUCCUUCAACAUUCUUCUCAUUCAUGAGCCCUCUCACCCUUAACCAGCGAAUAUUUGACAAACCCGAAGUUGCAAAUAUUCUCUUCCUUGGCACUAUUAAGUGAAGAACAUUAUUGCCCUUAUCAUCAACUUUCUCGCAACAAUCUGGAAAGCGUGACACCAGCAGCUUCACUAUGUCCACAUGGCCUCGGCUCGCUGCAAUAUGAAGAGUUGUCCUAUAACGCCCAAGUUUUUAUUUUUAGGGGUAAUUUAGGAAAUUAUUAAUUUAAUAAAAAGGAAGAGGGGUGAAAAGGUAAUUUUAUGAAUAAAUACCCUAGGUAUAAAUUAGAAUUUUGUUCUUCCUGUUCUUUUCUGAAUCACGUUCCUGUUCGCAAAGAGUUUCCAGAGAACGUAAGAUUGGAGUCGGAUUUCAGGGUUUGAAGAACAGAUCUCUAUAGGUAAAAUUCUAGUCCCUAGAUUAAUAUUUUAGAUUCAUUAAUUAAUUUCAAGCACAUUAGAUAUGUUUUUGGAAAACCCAAAUCUAGAUUAGGGUUAGUUUUUUUUUUUAUUAAUUCGUUUUAAUAUCAAAAUAUUGAAAAUUUAAUAUUUUGAUUUAUUGUUGGAAAUUAGGAAAUCUUAAGUUUUUAGAUGAAAAAAAAAAAUUCUUUGGAAGAUUUCGAUUUAGGCUAGGGUUAAUAUUUAAAAAAAAUGAGAGUAAACAAAUAUAUUGUUAUUUGUGGCUUAAGGGAUUAGAAAUAUUAAAUAAUAAAAAAAGAAAAGAAAAUGAAGGAACGCUGUGCACACUAGAGGAAGUAAAAAAAAAAAAAAAAUUGAGAAUGCAUGUGCACACCGGAGAAAGUUGGAGAAUGGUAAAUAAAAAAAUAAAAAAUUAUGUACGGAUGGUGUUUGGUAGUUAAUGUAUAUAUAUAUAGAUAUUAUUAUUAUGUUGGCAAUAAUGGAGAAUUGUUGGGGAUAAAGUUUAUGUUUGAAAAAAAAAAAGUGGGAGAAUAGAAGUUUUAAAUAAAAGAACGUAAAAUUUUUGGUAUUAUAAUUAUACUAAUGAUGAGUGUAAGUUAAUAAAUAACGUAGAAAUUAAUUAGUAAAAUAAAUUACAGUUUAAUUAAAUUAAGUUGUGUCCCAAGAAAUAAAUUAAAAUAAAUUAAGUUUUAUAUGAAUUAAAAAUUUAUUAAUUUUUUUUAAAAAUAUGAAUAGAUUAAAUUAUCUUUUAUAAUUAAAAACAUUAAUUUGAAUACCUAAAAUUUUAGGAUUGACAAACCUAUAAUUUUAGAUAAAUAGUAAUGGUUAUUUCUCUUAUAUUUUGUUAGGUGAAGAAUAGAUUUUCAGGAUUAUUUUUCUCCAAAAUUUUUUAGGACUUCUUUUGAGGUAAAGGAAAUUAAUGCAAUUAUUAUUUUUUUUAGAAACAAAUUUUUAUAUACAUCUUUUGGAAAUAUUUUGAAUUAAUAUUCGUUUUAUGCAUGGAUCAAAUAUGUUUUGUAUGAAAAGCAUGUUAGAACUUUAUAUUUUGUUUACAACAGAGAAAUGUGGAGAUAUUAUGUUUUGCAAAUUCAAAUAAUUGAAAUAAGUAUUUGACUUUGAUUUGUUUGGCCCUUGUCAACGGGAUAUAAUAGUUGACCUUUACAUUUCUUGGUGGGGAAUGUAAUUGAUUUGGACCCUAGCCUCUAGGGGUUUGGUUAGAGAUUACUAGUACUAGUAGUGUUUGGUUCCACCCACAUUAAAGGAACAAUUUGAGGCUAGCCACCUAUUUGAAAAGUCCCACCUAAUUGGGCACUAUUUGAUGUUUGAUGACUAGAGAAAAUAAAUGAUUUGAAUGUUUUGAUUGAAUUUGAUAUGAAAAUGUUUGAAUCAGAAUUGAAAGUGUACAGUUAAAAAUUUCGAAUGUAUUGGCAAAACUGACUCAAAGGUUUAUGAAAAUAAUUAGUUAUAAUGUCUCCUAUUUUGCAAGUGAUUUUGAAAUGUUUGAUCCAUGGACUGCAUUAAUGUUCCUUAUUGGGCUUUGAGCUCAUACCUAUUUGUUGAUUACUUUUCAGGCACCUUUAGUUUGAGUGAGGAGUGAUGGCUAGGUCAGGGAAUGGUCAUCAUUAGGAUUUUGCUUAGGAUGUUAUUUGAACAUUGUUAGCUUAUGAGUUUAUGUUCCUUUGGAUUAUUUGGUUUUGGAAGCUAUUUAGAUAUUGAGCUUUUAAAUAUUUUUUUUUUUUAUAAGUUUGAAGUUGAGAUUUGGAGAUUAUGGAAAUUUGUUAGCACUUGAUUUAUUUGGGUUUGCAAUCUAUUUGGAUAAUGGAUUUUGGUUGAUGGAUGCUUAGUUUUAAAGUUAAGUUUGAAGAUUUUAGAAUUUUAUUUCGCUACUAUGAACAAGUUUCUGGUAAUUGGUUACUUCCAGUUAUAAUAUAAUUGUUUGGGUCAGGUUACACUUUAAGCCUUUGAGUUUGAGGUGUGAAAUGACCGUCACGCCCUUGGAGUGGGUCUUGGGACGUGACAUGUCCUGUUUCCAUGGUCUCUGACGCCUAGGCAGACAACAUCCCUGUCAAAUUGCUCUAGCAAUUGCCUCACUAUUGUUGGUGAGAACCCACAUAUGCAGCAAAGUGAAGAGGAGUCCACCCAUUUUCAUCCAAUUCAUUAGUUAAAGACACUUCCAUUCCACUAUCUUCUUUGUCAUUACUGAUAAAAUCAACAAAAGAGAGAAAAAAAAUUAAGAAAAUUAAUGCAGUCUCCUCUUGUAAUUAAUAGCCAAACAAAAUACACUCAAGUUUCAGCUCUCCCAAACCAAACUGAUCAAGAACUCAACUCCCAGUUAGUUACAACAACCCAAGAAGUUAGAACGGUUGUACAGUAGAGUAGUUAGUGUAACAGUUGAAUGAACUGGUAUAAAAACCAUGAUGCUGCUAUUAUAUUCUAGUGAUGAAAUGAAAAACACAGUUUCAAUUUAGUUUCUAUCAUGGUAUCAAAGCGGAACGAUCUCUUGAAAGAAGACUUGUUGAAAAGAUAAGCUUUAGGCUGCACAAUACGCUCGUCUCUCAAAAUAUCAUCUGUCUCACCAAUGGAAAAUUCAACUCAGUCUUUUGAUCUGCAAACUAGAGUGGCGCAUGUGUUUUCUUCCUCAAAUGACAUUCUUCCACAAACACAGGUACUUAAUCAUACACUCCCGAUCAAAUUUGAUAGAAAUAACUACGUCUUAUGGAAAACCCAAAUGGAAAACGUAAUAUUUGCUAAUGGCUUUGAAGACUACAUUGAUGGUUUAAAGGUGUGUCCUCCAAAAGAAACAAACACUGGUGUCUUAAACCCAGAAUUCAUUUUGUGGAGACGUUUUGAUUGUAUGAUCUUGACUUGGAUCUACUCCACUCUUACUCUUGAAAUUAUGGGACAGAUUGUUGGGUUUCAAACUUCUCAUGCAGCAUGGACUACAUUAGAGAAAAUAUUCUCAGCUUCAUCAAAGGCUCAAGUAAUGCAACUCCGAUUAGAGUUCCAAACAAUAAGAAAAGGUUCUUUGUCAAUGAUGGAACAUAUCCUAAGGAUCAAGAAUAUUUCUGAUAACCUAGCAGCAAUUGGAGAAUCAGUGUCUGAAAAAGACCAAAUUCUUCAACUUCUUGCGGGUCUUGGAGCUGAUUACAACUCCAUAGUAGCUUCCUUGACAGCACAAGAAGAUGAUCUCUCUCUUCACUCAGUACAUAGUAUUCUUCUUACUCACGAGUAACGAUUGUGUCUCCAAAAUACAGUACCUGAAAGUGAUCUUAUCAAUGCAAAUAUUGCAACCUCUCAACACAAAAAUAACAGCAACAAAAGGCACAACAACAGAUUCAAUUUCUCUCAAAAGAAAAAUGGCCCUAGACUAGGAAGAUAUCCAUCUAGUGGCAUAGGACAAGGAAACCACGUUAUCUCUACUGAUUGUCCAUAGUGCCAAUUGUGUGGAAAAUAUGGUCGCACUGUUCACAAGUGCUAUCACAAAUUUGAUAUUAAUUUUCAAGGCUAUACAUCUGUAGAUAGUUCAUUUGUACAUAAUACAUCCAACGGCAACAAUCAAAUGCAAGCUAUGGUUGCAUCUCCAGCUCCGGAAAAUAGUGAGACAUGGUUCUUUGACACUAGGGCCACUCAUCAUCUAGCUCAAGAUAUUAAGACUCUCUCUAAUGUUCAAGCAUACAAAAGAAAUGAGCAAGUUAUUGUUGGAAAUGGUAAGAAACUUCCAAUCCUCCACACUAGUUCAAAAUUCUUUCCAUCCACCUUCAGAAAUUUUCAUUUAAAGAAAGUCUUACCAUGUUUCUCAUCUCACUACUAAUCUAAUUAGUGUUUCCAAAUUUUGUACCGAUAAUAACGUCUUUUUUUAGUUUCACCCAAAGUUCUUUCUUAUCAAAGAUCAAGUCUCAAUACAAGUUUUUCUUCAAGGAUAACUUAAGAAUGGCUUAUAUGAAUUCCCUCCUUUGACUGAUAAUGCCCCUGUAGUCUUCUUCACUCCUAUAAUGUCAAACAUCACCUCUAGCCUCUAGCAUUCCAGGCUUGGUCAUCCAGCUGAUGAUAUUCUGACAAAAGCUUUUGAUUCUUGUGAUAUUGGUUAUCAAAGAAAUAGACGUGAUGUUUGUUCUGCUUGUCCAGUUGCGAAGAGUCACAAAUUACCCUUUUCUUUGUCAAAUUCUAGAGUUUCUCAUCCUGUUGCUUUAAUUCACACUGAUCUAUGGGGACCUGCCCUAACUCCAUCUACAACUGGUGCUCAAUAUUUUCUUCUAUUUAUUGAUGAUUUUUCCCGAUUUUCUUAGAUAUAUUCUCUACAUACAAAAGGUCAAGCCUUAUCAACCUUCAUCAAAUUUAAAACGAUGGUUGAAAAUCAAUUUUCUUUCUGUAUUCAAUGUUUGCAAUCUGAUAAUGGUGGAGAAUUCAAACUUUCACUCCUUAUCUUACCACUCAUGAGAUUACACAUAGAUGUUCUUGUCCCUACACUCCUGAACAAAAUGGCCGAGCUGAGCGAAAGAUGAGACAUUUAGUUGAGAGUGGUCUUGCCUUAUUAGCCACAGCUUCUUUACCAUUACAAUUCUGGCUUUAUGCCUUUCAUAUAGCUACUUACCUCAUUAAUCGGUUACCAACUAAAGUUCUUCAAUUUCAAUCUCCUUUUCAAGUGUUGUUUAAUAAAAUUCAAAACUAUCACCAUCUCAAAGUGUUUGGCUACCUAUGCUAUCCAUACCUUCGCUCGUAUAAUAAACAUAAACUUUGUUAUCGCUCUAGUCCAUGUGUGUUUCUAGGUUACAGUCCUACUCACAAAGGUUACAUGUGCUUUGACUCUAACUCCAAUAGUAUAUAUAUCACUCGACCUGUAAAAUUCCAUGAGACAAAAUUUCCAUUCCAGCAGACUGUUAACACCUCAUCUGCAUCUUCUUCUUCUCAGUUCACGUCUACUCCAGCCUUAUUGCCUAUACCAUUGUCUAUUCCACCAACUCAAACUUCACAGUCUUCAAUUCCUACAUCUCAGUCUCCUCACUUGUCUAAUUCUGCUCAUUCAUAUCAUUCUUCCCAUAAUUCAACUUCCUUACUUCCUAUACUCGAUCCUAUUCUAGUUCCUUUCACUGCAUCUUCCAGUUCUUCUCUUACUAAUCCCUUGGCACCACACAACUCACAUCCUAUGACCUUAAGGCAUAUUAUAAUUUCUUUUCACAUCCAUUAAAUUAUACCAGACUUCUUUCUUGACCAAUUUUUGCAGAGUGAGGUCACAAUUUUUCAUUAUGAUUGUGUUUAGAGUUCACUGGUUAGGAAUCGACUGACAUGAACUUAAAAAAUUAGUACAAAUUCAGUACGAGAAAAGUGACUUACAUUUAAAAAAAAAUUAUUAUUUAAAUUUUAGAGAAUGAAUUCAUUUUUUUUUUAGAAAAAUAUUGUUGAGCUCAUUCAUACCAAGUAAAUUUGGUUGUCCAUUUUUUUUAUUUUCCUUUUGAUUGUUGGUGAAAAAAAGUUGAUUAUGUUGUCUAUAUAGAAUCAAAUUAUUCAAUAAAUGGGAACUUAUUAAAUUAAUAAUUGGGGUAAUUAUUGGUCAAGGAUGUGAGAUGGCAAAGAAUGGGAGUUAUUUUGCAUGGUAUGAAUAAGUAUAAAUGAGGGAAAUAGCUUUAGAGUUGAGGAUCUAAUUUGAUAGAAACAAAUUCCAUUGCUUAAUUAUGUAUUUUUGUUUUCUUGACCAUUUGCACUUACAUAUGAAUCAUAUAAUCCAUCGAAUGCAUCUUCCUCAAGUGUUUCAUUCUUAUACUUUUUUUUUUUGAAUUUUCUAAUCAUUUAGGUUUUUUUUGCAAACACUUUAUAAAAAAUAAUUUUUAAGAAUAAUUUUUAAAAUUCAUUUAUGAUAUUUAGUAGAAUAAAAUUUGUUUGGAAAUUUGGAAUGUGUUUAACCUAUUUUCUAUAUUUUUAAAUAUAUUUUAAAAGUAAUUUUUAUACAGAAUGUUUCUUUUUUAUUAUUUUUAAUAAUUAUGUAAUUUUUGAAAAUAAUUAUCAAAAACUCAAAAAAAAAAAAAGUGAUAACAACAAAAAAUAAUUAAAAGUUAUUGGUUGAAAACACUUUAUUCUGUUUUUAAGGAUAAAAAUUUGUUUUUCGCUUUUUAGUUAUUAAACAUGUUUUUCUAUUUUUUUUAUGAAGAAAAAAAUAGUUAUGAAACAAGAAUUUAACUUCCACAUCAUGUUCUCCUCAAUCGCCAUUAUUAAUCAAUUUAUAAAUUAAUUUUGCUUAUUAAUUCCAUAAGAUCAAAAUUUAUUUUAAAAUUUUAAUAUUAAAAUUGAAUGGAAUUUGAUUAUUUAGUGUCUCAAAAAUUUGUCACUUUGAUAAACUACAAGUAAUUUUUAUCUUAUCAACUUUUGAACUCGGACCAAUAGAGAGCAAGAGCCAUUUUGCAUAUAUUAACAUAUAAAAAAAGUCAAGUAGUCAAAUUUGUACAUCUAGUUAUUAAUUAAGUUCCUUGAUUUUAGCAACUUUUAUUCUCCCAAGAUUUUACCAAUAAGAUAAUUAUAAUAAUUAGAUAUUAGUUUGUUGAUUUUUAUUAUUAUUAUUAUCGUUUGUAUAGUUGGAGAUUAGUUUCCUUUUUUUAGGAAACUUAUGAUAUCUAUUUUUAUUUAUUCAUAUCCACUUAUUAUCAAUUUUGAAUGCCAAAUUAGAGGUAAUUUGAUCCAGAAAAUUUUUUAUGUCUAUAGGAACAAGACAAUAUGAAAAAGAACCAAUUACAGUAAUGUACAACAUUGAUAAAGGAUUUACAUAAAUUGAUUCAAUUAUUAGAAAAUUGAUUUGAUUAUUUCCAAAUAUUACAACAAUUUCAAGAAAUUUCAAAAGAAUAUUAUUUAUAUUAAAAACAAAUUCAAGUUAAUGAUUUUAAUUUAUUUAUUUACAAACAAAGUUUUGACUUAUUUACAAUAAAUGAUUUAAUUUAUUCACAUUCAAUUUUUGUUUUCAAGAAAGUUACUUUUACUCAUUAUCAUUAAAAGAAUUUAUUGGAUGCAAUUUCAUUAAAAAAAUUCAGUUUGAUUUUAUUUAGAAGAAGUGAUUUUUAUUUACCUUUACUAGAAAGAGAAUGAAUUUUUACAAUUUUAUUUUCAAGAAAAUGUUUCAAUUCAAACUUUUUUUUUAAAAUUACAAAUUAUUUAAAAAAUAUUUUCAAAAAUUUAUUUACAAAAUAAUAUUCUAAUUUGAUUGUAUUUAUAAAUAAUAAAUUUUAACAUAUUUAUUAUCAUCAUAUAUUAAUGAGUGGGGACUUAGCCUAGUGGCAAUCAAGCUUAAACCCAAGCCUUGUGGCUUGGGUUCGGAGGAAAGCGCGAAAAAAUUACCUAAAAAAUCUAUGAUUUAUUUAAAAUAUCAUUGACAUUUUGGCCAUUUUUUUCAAUCUCCUCUGCCGCGUGUCGCCUCAUGCUCGAUUUUUCACCGCUAAAUCACCUCUAAAUCAAUAUAUCAUCAAUAUUUGGACGACCUUGCUGAAAUUCUAGCCGAUUGAUAAUUGAUGCCCGAUAUCGUUUUGGGCACUACCGAUAUUCAAUAUUUUGCCAAUAUUUCAGCGAAAAAAAUCAACAUUUCAAUCCUUGGUUCCAACUACCUACUACUCUCUAUUUUGGCAUAGUACAAUGGAUUUAAUGCCAUUUUGUACAAGUAUUAAUCUAAGAAACUAAAGUUAAGACAACAUAAAAGAUAUUUUGUAAAAUAAAUUUCAAUCAAAGAGGUAGAUGUUUGUGUGUUAGACCCCUACCAACUUUGUUGUCGGAGUUAAAAGCCCUACCAACUUUAUUGUCAGAGUUAAAAGCCUUACCAACUUUGUUGUCAAAGUUAAAAGUAGUUGGAACUUGGAAGUAGAUCAUAACUAACACGUUUAUUUAUGUGAAACAAAGAUGAAAAUAUCGGUGAUUACGGAUAUAUCGAUACUUCGAUUUUACAAAUAUAUCGAAUUUAUCAAAAAUAUAUCAGCAGAUAUUUUGAUACAAAAUAUCAAUGGACUUAAAAUUGAUCAGAACUUAUAGAAAUGUAGGUAAAAACUUUUAAAAAUGAAAUUAGAAGUAUAAUAGAUAUUUUAAAGCUGUUUUGUUGAAGAAAUUAAUAUAUAUAUGGUAUAAUUUAUUAUAUUUGAUAAUAAUAUUGUAUGUGUUGAUAAAAAAUGUAAAUUUUAUAAGUGUACAUUUAUUAUUAAAUUACAUCAAAUAUUAUUCGACAAUAAUAUUGUGAUAUUUGAUUAUAAUAUGUCUAAUUUUAAAAUAUAUUUAAUAUUAAAAUUAUAAUUCAUUUAAUUUAAUUGUAUUAAAUGAUAUAAAAUAAAUGAUGAUAUAUGUAUAAUUUUUUAAUAUUUAAUUAAUAUAUAAAUGAUAUUAAAAACACUAUAAAGAAAAUUAUCAUGAUAAUUUUUAUAUUUUUGUUAACAUAAAAAUUAUUUUUGGUAAUUAAUUAAAUGAAUUUUUUUAUUUAAUUAUAAAAUAAUUAUAAUUAAUUUGUUUAUUUUUAAAUAUUUUGUUAAUAUUUUAUUUAUAUGAUGACUUUUAGUAUAUAUGGGUUGGAUGCAACAUAGGCGAACUUGCCCUGUGGUUGGCUGAGGUUAGAACCUUUUGUUUGGGGUUGGAGUGGGUAUGAUAUUUUAAUCCUUGAUAUGGAGAUGAGAGUUGUUUUGUAAAAGAUAUGUUUUUUUAGCAUAAAUGAAAGUUCUAUGUCCAAAAUAAGAUUUUGAUGUUCUCUUUCUUUCUGACAUGGAUAAGAGUAGUCCGUAAAAGUUACAAAAAUAAAAGUAAGUUUUGGAAAAAAUAAAAUAAAAAUAAAAAUUAUACUCACUAGUAUGUCUUGUUCAUUUUUGUCAAAUCUCGAUGCCCUAAAUGUGAAUCUUGGAAAAUUGAAGAAACUAACCAAACAAUUUGUUGACCCCUCAUUUUGGCCGAGUAAGAGAACAUUUUUUUUUUAGGCCAAUUGGGGCUGUUAGGGAGCUAUGGAGAGGAUGCUCUCCGAGGUCCAGAUGGGUGACAGGUGGAGCUGUGGAGAGUUGUUCUCCUGGGUCCGGAUGGAUGACCCUCCAUCAUUGAGGGGAUUUUUCUGUUAGAAAAUAUUACCUUUAGGGAGCACUUUGAGGGAGUGGCGCAGAGACCUUUUUGCUAGGAGAAACCAGCAGGUGACACGCAGUAGUGGUUUUUCUGGCCGUUGGAGGGAACUUGAGCAGCAAGAAAAGUUGGAGAAGUUGGAAAGAAGAGAGAAAAAACGGGGGGAGCUACAGAGAGUGUCUCGAGAGAGCAAAGAGGAUUGAGGAGGCUGUGAGAAAAGCCAUUUUUGAGAAAAAGAAGAGUAUAGAGAGAUAGUGAGCUAAGCUUAGACAGAGAUAGUGAAAAGUGAGGUUGAAGAAAGUGAGAUGAACAGAAGAGAACCAGAGCAGAGAACAGGGAAGAGGAAGGAAGUUGGAGUCUUACCAGUUUUGGAGUAAAAGAAAGUAUGAGAAGCUGACCAAGCUUUGAGAAACCUAGGUAGGGCCACUGUACAUUUCACCGUUUUCUUCCUCUGUGCUUGUUGAUUUUGAGUGUUAUUUGUUGAUUUGGGUGCGAAUAUCAUAUGUCCAUGCAUUGCUUGUUGCCUUUUAAGCGGUUGAUAGGCUAGAUCUUGCUAUAUUCAUCUAUGCACCUUUGUUUUUCUUUGAGAUAUAUCCUGAAUAUGGUUCAGUUUUACUGUGUGACCAGGGUUCAAAAUCUCGGUCGAUACCGGUACGACUCGGCCGAGUCGUAUCCACCUCGACCAUGGACGGUACCGGACCGAUACCCGAGUUGGAUAUUUUGCCGAACAAACUCGAUUGAAUUGAAAGAGUGAAUCCUAUGAAAACGUUGAGACAACUCCAAGAUCAUGUUGAGACUAAGCUAUUUGGGUUAUUGGUAAUGGAAACAAAGGUAAUAUUGAAGUAGAAAUGGUGGAGAAGAUGAGAAAAUCAAAACCCACGAAAAUGAAAAAUACAGAUUACAGAGAUGGCCUGCAUCUUGUAGUCGCUGGUCGGAUCCCCCAAGUUCUUGCCGGAGAUGGAACUAAGCGACAUGAUUAGGAGGCAGAGUUGCCGAAUAUCGACGGAGAACGACGGUGAGGUGGCCGAUGGAAGUGGGAGAAGAGAGAAAGUGGCCUGCGGAGGAACUGGUUGUGGGGAGAAAUGGGUCUUUGACCGAUGGUGGCUAUGAGUAUUUAAACAAUAUGGAUUUGAGUUUUUUUUUUUUUUUUUUGGAUAAAUAGGUGAGGAUUUAGGUUUUAAAUAAUAUGUAUUUAUUUUUUAAGUAGAUAAUGAGUAUUUGGUGGGAAUUUGAGUUUUAAAUAAUUUGAUGAAAAUUAUAAUGAUAAAAAAUUAAUAAUGAAUAUUAGACUUAUAUCAAAUAAAUAGGAAAUGAAUAUUUAUAUAAAAAUUAAAAUUAAUGAAUAUAUUUUAUAAGAAAAAUUAUAUUUAUUUUUUUAAAGAUAAAUCAUGGUUUUAUUUUUUUAAUAGUUAAAAAUAUUUUUUUUUAAAUUCAAAAUAUUUAAUUUAAACAAUUUUUUAUAAAAAAAAUUACUUUUUAUUAUUUUCAUCUUCAACAAGAAACAUUUAUUAUCAAGUGAUUAAAUUAAAAUAUUUUUAGAGAUUUUUAAUAUUAUUUUAAAUUAUCCCAAAAGUAUGCUUUUAUUAUAAUUUGAAUAAUUUUAAUAUAAUAGAAGUUUAUUUUAUUAAUUUUUCACUCUACUUAUUUGUAUUUAAUUUUUUAAAUAAUUUUAAUAAUUUUUUAAAAUUAUUUUAAUAUCUUAAAUUAGAAUUUUUUGCGUAUCACCCGAUACCGAUCCGAGAUACCGAGACAGAUGUGCCUCAAGACCUCCCGAGUCAAUGACCGAUACCGCGACUUUGAACUAUGUGUGUGACAUAUGAGAAUCAUGUUUCUACUCCCUGUUUCAUUCACCCGUUCUUGGCUCGUUGAUUAAAACAUGAAAUGUGUGGCUAUAGUUGGUUCAUUUUGCUUCCUUCACUUGUGCUCUGUUUUCUUCUUUUCUCCUGUUUCUGAUGUCCACCUAUGGAGAGCUGGGCACAAUGAAUAUAAAGCAUUAAGAGGUUUUGAGUGUUUGUGGAACAUGGGUUUUUACUGGGUGAAAUAAUACCAGAAGAUUUCAAGGAUGUUUGUGAUGAUAAAUGCAAGUGUUUGCAUUCUUGGAAUAUUGGUGAUUUUUUCUCGAGUUUGACACAGCUUGAAGGGCACCAGAAGGUUGUUUGUGGGAUUGUUUUUGCUAUUUGGGCCUGAUAAGCUAUAUAUUGGGAGCAAAGAUGAGACUGAGGACUUGGAACUCUCAAUCUAGGCAGUGCACUAGUGUGGUUAAUCUUGGCAGAAAAGUUGGUUGUAUGAUCAGUAAAGAUUCAUGGUUCUUUGUGUGUAUACCAAAUGUUGUUAAGGCAUGACACACUCAAAAUAACAUUGAAUUGAGUAUCGAUGAACCCAUUAGGCAAAUUUAUGCAUUGGUUGUUGGUAAUGAUCUGCUAUCUACUGGUGCACAAGAUGGAGCAAUAUGGGCAUGUCUGUAAUGAUCACCAAACUGCCACAGCUCCAACCACUUCCAUGCAAAAAUACUGCCACCCAAACAUUCAAACAAGCCAAUUGCUUCUAAAUGGGAUUUCUACUUGGCUUUGUAUCUGCUUACACCAAAAAGUGAGGAAAGGAACAGCUCAGCAAGCUCACCUUACAUGAGGUAGAGGAUUCAGAGGAACUUGUGGAAUGACUUCAUGAACAACCCAAUUUUCAAUGUAGAACAUUAGCUUCUUUACACAGAGAACACCCACAAUAAUGAGAUUUGUUCGACUUUGAAGGCAGCUCAUCAUCAUCCAUUUACGGCAUGCUCGAUCAACUCCAAUCAGCAAACAUGGUCUCCUAAUAUGGUUCAUCUUUCCAACCAAAUAAUGCUCUGAGUCUAGGCAAAUGAGUUAUGGACAAAAUGCCAAUAGAGCCUACUUCGGUGAUCUGGACCACUUUGUUUGGAGGUUAUGGGAGACAUGAUGAAACCAAGGUGGCCAAGUUAAAACUAAGGGAGCUCCAGAGCAUAAUUCCUUGAAGAAACUGCUCAUUUACUCUUCGCGUGCAUGAAGUAAUAUCUCCUCAUUAACAUGGCCACCCUACAGUUGUUACAUGACCACUUGCUCCUUUUUUUAUUCCCCCAAAGGAAACCUAGAUAGUAAUUCCGGUUUGAACCCCUACCAGCUUCUUUUCCAUCCUACCCAUGUGCAUGUGUGCAUGGCCACCCAAAACUGUUGCAAGGCCCUCCAUCAAAUCCAAAUCCUAAGCCAAAUAAUUUUGUGCCUAAAACCUUAGGACCAACUUACCAUGUCACGACCCAAAUUCCGGGCAACCCAAAAUUUGGCCCUAACCCCAGGUCAAAGGUUUUACCCUAAGGGUUAAUCCUAAUCCACACUAGCAGUUAACCAAAACGCUUUAAAAUUUUUUUUUUCUACACAUACAUCACACUAGAAUUCCCACCAACCAACAAUCCAAACUAACAAUAUCUCAAUCACUACUCAAAAGCAACAAGAUAUAAUAAUUAUCAUUAUAGUCCAAAAAUAAAAGUUCACAGUUAAACAAUUUAAUCAAAAUAAGGUCUUAUUACAAUGCAUAGUCCACAAUUUGCUAAAACAAGUUCCAAUACAACCAACACAACAAAUACACCACUCUCCACUAGGCUGUUCCAAAACCUCCAGGGACAUCCUAAAGUCCUCCCUGCCCCACCUGUGAAUCUUCAGGAGUGAUAUCCACAUCUAAAAAGAUGUAAAAAGGAAGGGGUGAGCAUUUCACAUUGCUCAGUAGGGUGUUUAACACCCAAAGGGUUAAUGGGGAUUACUAAGUUUCAAUUAGCACAAAAGAAACAUUCAUCAAUAUUGAUCAAGCCACAUAUCUUAAUCUCUAUAAUUAUACACAAUUCCACAAUUUUCAACAAUUAAAUGAAAUGCAUAUGAACAUGUGACACACAACCAUACAAUGCACUGUCAUUCUCAGGCUUUCAUCGAAUGAUAUGCGUCCGCAUCCAAAUACACUUCCCAUUCAGAGUCAUCUCAGGGUAAACUUUGGGUCUUUCACCCUAGGGAUCUCUCAUCCUUCUUAAUUCGCCUCACACGGACCUUUACUUUUCAUCACUAUUUUAUUUUUUUCUUUCUUUUUCCAUUUCAUGCACUUUUCACAGUUUUUAUCUUUUCUUCACACAACCAUGAUGCAAAUGAAUGUCAUGAGGUUAAUCACCCUCAUUCACAAGUAUCACCAAUAUUACAUAAAUUUCCAACUAAUCCAAAUAUAAUUGAAAGCACAAUCAUACCAAAAUUCCAAAAUUUCCCAACAAUUCCAAUAAUUCCAAUACUCAAAUAUAAUUAUUUUUCCACAAUAAAAUUAAAAAAAAUAUUCCAACAAAUUCUCAAAAAUUCACAUAUCAAUAAAUUAUAAAUUAUACCAUAAUUUCGUAAUUUUCCAACAAUUCUAAUAAUUUUCAAUAAUCAAAUAUAAUUAUUUUUUCACAAUAAAAUCACCAAAAAUAUUCCAACAAAUUCUCAAAAAUUCACAUAUCAAUAAAUUAUAAAUUAUACCACAAUUUUGUAAUUUUUCAAUAAUUCCACUAAUUUUAACAACCCAAAAGCAACCAUUUAUCAAUCAAAAAAAAAAUUCUCGAAAUCACAAAAAUUCCAAAAAUAUUCCCAAUCAUCCAAUAAAAUUCCUAUAUCACAAACACUACCUAUUUAACUCAUAACGACAAGAUCGACGAUUUUUUUCAAGAAAAAAAACAUUUAAUUAAAGUUUUAGGGUUAGGUUUCUCUAUCACAUAUUUACAAAUCAAACCGUUAAAAUCAAGAUCAACCAUCGUAAACUCGUUCCUCGUGUCGAGUAGAACAUUUCCUCAAAUUUUCACUCAAAACGAACAACGUUCGGCCGUCCAAAAGGCCGGCCAAAGAUUUAGAGGGAAAAAUUCUGCCCACAGUGCCGAAAGCUCCUCUUCUGCCACUUUCUAAUUCCUUUCUUUUCUUUUUUUCUUUUUUUAAAUCCCAAUUAUUCUACUUUUUAACCACCAGCCAAGCCCACGGCCCACACCAAAAGCCUUUGAAUUCUUUUCUUUUUCUUUUUAUUUCAUUUGUUUUGUUUCAUUUCUCAUUUCAUUUCCAAUUCAUUUCAUUUUUUUUUAACAACACACAAAAUAAUUUAACCAACACCAAUCCAAAAUUAUUUUUCUCAAAUUUAUUAUCAAGUAAUUUAAUUUAAUUUUUACUUAAUUAGUUCUAGUUAAUUUUAAUUAAUUCAUUUUUCAUUUUUUGUUUUCGUUUUUUGUUUCCAGAAAUUUUCAAUUUCUACAAUCCUAAGAAAUUUUCUACCAUAAAACUAAUGUGGCACAAAAUUUUCAACUCGCCUAAUUGACCAACAAAAUAAUUCGAAUUCCAUCAAUCCAAAAUUAACACGUGCUCUCCGAUCACUUUUCUUUUUUUACUUUUCAACCAUUGCUCAAAAGAAGACUUUUCAAACUAGAAAUCCUAAUGUGACCUAAAAUACCCGGUCAUUACAUACCACCAUCAACCUAAUCCCAUCACCAUGCCCACCAAUCACUCCUCAUUCCUACACGAUAUUGACCACUGUUUGACAUGAGCUUGAUCUAAGUUUUGAGGUUUGCUUGAGAAAACCACUACUGUGAUUUGAAGAUGGGUUUAGUGGACGUCUCUUCUGAUCUUACCGAGUUUAGAAGAACUCCGAUGGCAGUAUUUUCGGCUGGGGUAAAAUCAAUAUUAGACAUUCCCAGAACCUUGGAGUAUUUGAAAUUCAAAGAGCAUGUGUUGCUGCUUAUAUGACUAACGAAUGUCCAGCAUUUUUCACAAAAAAUCAAUGAUUGCAUCUCGACAACACAAUCUUAUAUUGGCUUCAGAGAGGAAGCUCUCAAACCCAAUGAGACAAGACAUCUUUUAAGGCAGAUGACAAAAUAGGCCAUGCUCACCUCAGCCUUCAACCCAUAGUCUUAGCUGCAAGACUAAAGCAAAUCCUAGGGUUUCAUCUGGCUAUACACAUGGAAUAUUGCUACUGAAGAAGAGCAAAGUGAUGAUACAAAUGAAAGUUUUGCCUCUACUGAUGCAACCAAAGCUUCUUAAUCGGUGUUACUAGCAAUAUGGAUCAAGAGAGACACAUAGAAUACUAUUUCUUUGGGGACCACUGAAAAUCACAGUGGUGCAAAUGCAGAUUUGAUGUCCUUGUCUCAAUCAACAGAAGUUAGUGGUGGUGAAGUUGCUACGGUUGGCAACAGGGUUCUUUUAAACCCCAAAGUUGGUGCUCCUAACACAAAAGGUUUGAGUUAAAUUGUGCCUUCUUCAUAAAUUGAUCAAAAUUUGAAGGUUGAGGCAGAUCGUGGAAGCAUAGAAAAUGUUGCCAAGGAAGUUAUGAAUUCCAAAGAUAGUGUUAUGGGAGUUGAUGCUUUUGAUGGGAAUUUAUAAUAUUCAUCCAAAGAUAAAACAUUGAUGGACAAGACGGUGGAGAAUGGCACCAGAGGCCAUAAUGAUGCACGUGUGUGAGUCCAGAUGAAUGAACCCAGGUUGCUGAAAGAGAGAAAGCUUCACCUAUGUAAAAUAAGAAGAUGUUGGACUCGAAAAUUGAAGUUGUGGGAAGUGAUGAUGCAGAUGGGAAAUGUUGUUCUUCGAAAAAAGAUCAAGAUAUGGAGGAUUUUGGAGGAAAGAGGGUGAAACUCCAUCAGCAGUGAAAAAGGAGGAUCGAAUUAUAGGGAUACAUGAAGGUUCUUGGUCUUAUCUUGUUGGUACCAUUGGUAGAGUUCCUAAGAAAGUGAUAGGAACAACAACACCAAAAGAACCCCCAGACCAUCAAAAAUCUGCAUGGUGUUUUUCCAUUGGAGAUGAACUGAUUAUACAUUGGGAAUUAUCAUCAUCAAUAGCAGCAGCACUGGCACCAGCUAAUGCAGCCUCUUUGCACCUCGGGCCCACUUCUGCACCCAUGCAUGGCCACCUUUGGCAUGCAAUCCCAAAGGCCACAUGUCAUCCUCUUAUUUCUUCAUCUUUUGCUUUUAAAAUUUGAUUUUCAAAACUCUAGUUUUCAAAUAAUUUUAAAAAAUCCAGCUUUCGAAUCAUCUUAAUCUCUUACCCUUUUAUAUUUAUUUUAUUUUAUUAUUAUUAUUUUUCCUUAGAAAUUUCAAGUCAUUCCAAAAAUCCAAUUUUAAUAAACUUUUUGUUGUCAUAUUUCUCUUUUGGUAUGCAUUUUCAUAUUUUCUUUGAAUUUCAACUUUUUUUUAUUGAUUUUUCUCAAUUUUUAAUAAAGCAUGAAUAAAUUCUAUAAUUUCAAGUAAUAGAAUUUAUGAAGUUAAUUCAUGCUAAAAUAAAUCGGGCAUUGGUGGGGCCUGACAUCUAUGAUUGAUUACUUGAUUGACUUUGUCCUACUCCGAUAUGUAUGCGAUUAUUCAGUAUUUGUGCACUAACCUUGUCUCCCAUGAUAGUACUCAGUUUGCGACUAAGGUACGUCUCGUACCCGAUCAUUUUUAUAUAUUUAUCCGUUAUCAUGCAUGACUUAUUUAAUUAUUUGAUCAUUGUUUAGUAUCCACGAUUUCUCGAUCAAUUGUCAUGUUUGCCCUAAUUGAUUAGUAGGGACCCAUUUUUAGGAGUUUAGAGGGGUGCUACGCCUUAUCACCGUACCUUCUCGAUAGAUAACCUGACCCCAAACCCAAACUUAGUUUUUCGCAAACUUGUUUUUUUUUAGGAGUCACAUUUAGGUUUUUCUUUCUUAUUUUGUUUUUCCCUUAAAAAAUAAAACAAAAAUAAGUGGUCACUCCAAAUUAUUAUUAUUAUUUUUAAAAUAAUUUUUUCAAUAAAAAUUGGGUUUCACCAUUCGAGUGGAAACGCAUGCGAGAAAGGCGGGGUCCACACAAUUAUUAAAAAAUUAUCCAAAAAAAGUUUGAGCCCUUUGUUAUUAUUAAAUAAGGUUUUUUUCAUAUUUUUUUAUAAUAAAAAACUAAAAUUAUCGAACAUAUUUUUAAGAAUUUAAAAACAUAAUUGAAAACUUAUUUAUUCUUUCUACCCUUAAAAACUCUAAAACAAAAAUAUAGCUAACAACCAUCUAACCUAUCAUGUUCUUCUCCUUUUCUUUUCUUUUCUUUUUUCCUUCUUUUUUUCUCCAAUUUCCAUUGUAGAAUGGACAAACAAUUUUCAGAAGGAAAAUAUAGAAUGUGAUACUGUGGCAUAAAAAAAUAACCUAUUUUUAGGCUUAGUAUUAAUCAAGUGAGAAAAUAAAAAAUGAAGAAAUUUAAAAUUUCUUAUUUCAUUUAAUAUUAUAACAAAAAAGUGGCCUUUGUGUGUGUUAAAGCACUAUCAAUCUUGUCAUUACGCUACAAUUAUUUUAUAGGACAUGAGCAUUUUCUUUCAACUUAUUUCUAUAUUUAAAGAUAUUUUAUGUAACUUAUGUUUACAUUUGAGGAUAUCUCAUAUAUAAUAUUAGCGUAAGGAAAAGUUGUCUAGCUAGAUCCUGAUCCUUAUCUUAUUGGGAUCCCAAAAUAUGAUUUGAUCUCCGAUUACAAUUAUAGAACAAUAACACCAUGGUAGCUACUGUGCUCCUUUGCUACACAGAAUAGAAGCUUCUCUACAAAACUACCCAUUUUCUGCCCCUCACAAAAACCAUGGUCACUCUUUUUUUUCUAGCUAAAUUCAUUUUAUUAAAUAUUUUUAUAAAUAAAAUGACAUUUCUGACAUUCCAUAAUUUCUACGUUGUUGAGCCAAAUUUAGAAAAUGGAUCAUUCUUGGACAACCUCGAUCUUGUGGGGUUUGGUUUUGGAAGCCAAAAGUCCUAUCUCUGUUGCCCUUUAGGGCUCUUGUAUAGGGAGACGGAGAUAUUUGAGGAUGCCUGCAAGGUUGUAGUACAACCUACAUCCUUAUCUAGGCUUUGGUUCUAAAAGUAUUAAAAAAAAAAAAAAUGUUAUAGAAAAUUACUAUUCAUAUUUGAUUUCACAGUUAAAAAUAUAUUAAAAUAAUCAAAUAUAAUUAAAAUUAAUUAAAAAAUUUAUAAAUUUUAAAUUUAUUUAAUCUUUAUAUAAAGAAGGAAAUUAAAUAAAAUAAAUUUUAAAAAAUAUAUAAAAAUAAGUUAUUGAUUUAAAUAUUUUUUUUUCUAUUUUUUCUCUUUAUUUUCCUUAUUUAAAAUUUGAUGGGAAUCAAAGAUAUUUACUUAAAAUUUGAUUUAAAUAAUUAUUUAUAUUUAGUUUGUAUCCAUUUCUUAAUUUCAAAGGUACAUUUUAAUAAACCAGACCUUAUGGAAGGUCAUGACAUACCUUCUUGUUAAUUAUUAAUUUCACUCCCAUAAAGAAAAUGAGAUCUUACCCAUUGCAAAUAGAUCAAUUAGCACAUCCUGAGAAAAGGUUAAAAACGCAAAUAAUAAUAAUAAUAAUAAUAAUAAUUACCAAACGUGCUUAAAAGAAAUUAAUUUCAAGUUUCAGAAGAAAAGGUAUUCUUACAGCGGUACAAGAUCUGCAAAAUUGUAAACAUAAGGUACCCUAAGAUUCUUUUAUAAAUUUAAAAAUUUGUCUAAAUACAAAAUAAAAGGCAAGGAGAACGAUGCAGCAGAUGAUACAAGUAACGAUUGGAAGGCCAGAGGAAAGUGGUAGCACAGCGUAUAGGCCCGUCAUGAAUGCAACCACCAUCGCUCCCAUGCUAAACAGGGUGAGUAAAAAGCCCAUAAUCAAGUGUUUUACAAGGAAUUCCCCGUCCUUAUGCAACGACAUAAAAAAAUAAACGAACACAGCAGAUACGGAGAGGAUCACGGCUAUGGUGUCCGUCACAAUAAAUGCUUUGAAAGCUGCUCUCUUUGUUAAAAUUGCCAUGCCAUUGUCAUUGUAACCACCGGGCAAGGUGAAACCCGCAGCAAAGGUUACAGUUGCUACAAGUGCUGCCACUAUCAAAUGGGUUUCACCUUGUCUUUUUAUGGUAGAGAUGCUUUCGUCUUUUUCGACGUCUUGGCUUUUACUACUACUACUACUACUACUAUUACUAUUACUAUUACUAUUACUAUUACUGAUAGCACCACUGUCUUUAUUGAUAGCCUCCUGCCAACUAAUGGUCCAACAACAACUUUCUCCCAUUCCCUCAAUUGUCUUCGAAUUUCUUCCUGAAAUUUGAUCAAAAUAAAACACCUUAAAAAAUAAAUAAAUAAAUAAAUAAAAAUAAAAGAAAUAAAGAAAGAAAAAGAAUGUAGUUCAUGUGUCGCUGUUUUGGCUUUUUGCUCUUCCUUUAUAUAAGAAGAUUUUCUCAUCUUCCCUCAAAAUGUUUUUCCAUAAGUCUACAAUUUAGACCCACAGGUUCUACAAAUUGCCUACAUUAUGGUAAUUUGGUAGUUAAUUUCUAUUUUAAGCAUGAUUGUCUCUACCGAUAAUAAAAAUAGAAAAAAUAAUGAUGAUGGAGUCUUUCCAUAUCAUUACUAAUAAAAAGAUUAGGUUAGGAUCCUUACUGGCUUAACGUUAGCCCUUGAAAAAAUGUCUAGGGCGGUUAACUUAUCCUUGUUGAGUGCCAUUUUAUCCACUCUAUUGUCCUCUGACAAAGAUGGAUCAUAAACUUGGUAAGAAGCAAGCAGGUGGAGGGGUGAGUCUCCUUUAGCGUCUUUCUCAUUUAUAAGUCUUCUCACCCUUAACAAACUAUUGUCAUUCAAGAUAUGACGAGUAGCAUGAUACCGCUCGCUCAUAAUGGCAGAGUGAAGAACAUUAUUUCCCUUAUCAUCCACUUGCUCGCAACAAUCUGGGGAGUGUGACAGCAGCAGCUUUACUAUAUCUUGAUGGUUACGGUUAGCUGCAAUGUGAAGUGCUGUUUUCUUGCUGUCCUUGAUUCCAAGAUAAGUUACAGAUUUAUCUGGUGAUUUGGCUAGUAAUUGCUCCACAAUUUCAGUAUGACCCAAGUAUGCAGCACAGUGAAGGGGAGACCAUCCUUUCUCAUCCACUUCUUUUGUCAGAUCUGGCUUCCAUUCCAAUAACCUUGCUGUCAUUUCUGUAAACAAACGAACCAACAAAAAACAGAGAAAACAAAUUGAAGAAAAUUAAGUUAAUAAUUGAAGUUCCCUCUAGUUUUUUUUUUAAAGAGGGAGAGCUGGGAUUGAGAGAGGAAGGGAUUUUUUAAAGAGGACAGUUUUUUUUUUAGAGAAAAAAAGGGGAGCUUUCCGACAACCCCUCCACCAGCAACUCCACCACCGGCCACUUCGCCACCUGCUACCCCUCCACCGGCUCAUCUCGCCUCUCCACCAGCAGCGGUUCCAGCGCUAGCUCCAAGGACGAAGGUGAAAUCUCCGGUCGUGGACCGAUCUCAGGCGGAAUCUCACCAGGCCAGCUACGAACGAUGUGAAUGGAGUGGAAAGGCUGUGGUCGAUGAAGAAGGUGGUCGGGCAUUUGGACUGGCACUGAGCUUGAUGAUCUGUGAGAGAAGGAGCACCGAGAGAAAGAGAUAGGAGUCUUCCAGGCGAGAGAUUUUCUCUUCUUAUAUCUGCUUUUAUAUGUCAGUUUUUCUGCUAAAAAUUCAUGACGGGUAAGGGGAAGGUUCACGUCAGCAUUGUCGCCAUUGGCCAUGUCGACCAUGGCAAGUCGACCACCACUGGUAAUUUGAUAUACAAGCUUGGAGGUAUUGACAAGUGUAUUAUUGAGUGGUUUGAAAAAGAAGCCGCUGAAAGGAAUAAAUGACCAUUCAAGUAUGCUCGGGUCUUAGACAAGCUCAAGGCUGAACGUGAGCAUGGUAUUACCAUUGAUAUCGCUUUAUGGAAGUUUGGGACCAUUACCAUUGAUAUUGCUUUAUGGAAGUUCGGGACCAUCAAAUAUUAAUGCUCAUGGUCAUUCGGAUUUCAUCAAGAACAUGGUUACUACUUACUAGCACCUCACAAGUCACAAGCAGACUGUCUUGUUUUCAUUAUUAAUUCCACCACUGGUUGAGCAUGUAUUGCUUGCUUACACCAAGCCCUUGGUGUAAGCACAUGAUUUGCUGUUGUAACGAGAUGGAUGCCACACGUCCUCUUAAUCCUUCAUCGUGACAAAUAUAUAUUUAAAAAAAAAAAAUCAAAUUUUAAGUAAUUUUUCAAAAUUUCCCUUUUUAAAAUUUAAUUAAAAAAAAUCCAUUUUCAAAAUCCCUCUUUUCAAAGUCAAUUUACAAAACUUUUUUUUUUAAACAACUUUUCAAAAUCCCAAUUCUCAAAUUUAAUUUUCGAAACUCUCGUCUUCAAAUAAUUUUCAAAAUUCCAAUUCUCAAAUUUAAUUUUCAAAACUUCCAUUUUCAAAUAAUUUUUCAAAAUUCCAAUUUUUAAAUUUAAUUUAAAAAAAAUCAUUCUCAAAUAAUUUCCCAAAAUUCCAAUUUUCAAAACUUUAAUCUUGAAAUAAUUUUCCAAAAAUUCAAUUUCCAAGUUUAAUUUUCAAAACUUCUAUUCUCAAAUAAUUCUUCAAAAUUCCAAUUUUUUAAAUUUAAUUUUCAAAACUUUCAUUUUCAAAUAAUUUUCUAAAAUUCCAAUUCUCCAAUUUAAUUUUUAAAAAUUUCAUUUUCAAAUAAUUUUCAAAAAUUCCAAUUUUCAAAACUUUAAUCUUCAAAUAAUUUUUCAAAAUUCCAAUUUUCAAAACUUCUAUUUUCAAAUAAUUCUUCAAGAUUUCAAUUUUUAAAUUUAAUUUUCAAAACUUCAAUUUUCAAAUGAUUUUCCAAAAUUCCAAUUUUCAUCUCAAAUUUAAUUUUCAAAACUCUCAUUUUCGAAUAAUUCUUUAAAAUUCCAAUUUUUAAAUUUAAUUUUCAAAACUUCCAUUUUCAAAUAAAUUUUCAAAAUUCCAAAUUUCAAGUUUAAUUUUCAAAGCUCCCAUUUUCAAAAUUUUAAAUAUAAAAAUGAAUAAAUUUUCAUAAUUUCAUAGUAAUGGAAUUUAUGAGAAUUAACUCAUAACAAAAUCAAUAGGGCUUUGGGGGGCCUGAAUAUUGUUUGAUCUUUGUCUUACUCUUUGAUAUGCAUGUGAUGAUGUUAUACUUGACCUAACCUUGUUUCCAUGAUAGCAUAUUAUUACUUACUAUUAAGAUAUGAUUUCACUCCUACUUUGUUUUAUCCUUAUACAUCAUUUGUUUAUUUCCUUAUUAAUUGUGACACUUGUUUCACCUUUUUUAGUAGAGAUCCGUUUUUAGGGACUUAGAGGAUGCUACAAUCUUUACCAUACAUUUCCAAUAAGUAAUUUGACCCCGUACCCGACUUUGAUUUUCCAUAUGUUGUCUUUUCCAAAUAAUAAGUCACACUUAGAGUUUUUUUUCUUAUUUCGUUUUCCCUUAAAAAAAAAUAAAACAAAAAUAAGUGACAACUUCAAGUUUUUUUCUAAAAAUCAUAUUUUUCAAUAAAUAAAUAAAAAAAGCAAAUUGCAUCAUCUAAUGAGAACACAUCAUGCGAAAAUGCGGGGUCCACAACCAUAUUUUUUGUUUUUAAAAACAGAAAAUAUAAAACAAUUUUCUAGUUAUCAAAUAUAUUUUCUUUUUAUUUAAAAUAAAAAAACAUAUUCUUAAAAUAGCUAUCAAAUAAGACCUUAUAUUUUUUUUACCUUUAUUAUCUAAUAACAUUGCAAUUGUAUUAUAAAUUAUGUUGAAAACAAUUAGCCAUAAGGCAUAGUAAAAUUUCUUUUCCCAUCCAUAUAUAAAAUUAUUUAAUUAAUGAAAUUGUUAUUAUCUUUUUCUAAUCUAAAUUCAACCAUUACGUUGAAAAACAAUUACCUUGUUGCAAUUGUAUGAUCCAAAUAAUUUUUUUUUACCAAAUUUUGCAGAGAGUGAGAUUGUAGUUUUUCAUUGGGAUAGAACUUUUGGAGUUUGAUGGUUGGGAAUCGACUAACAUAAAGUUAGCAAAAUUAAUAUAUAUCAUGUACGAGAAAAGUGAGUUACACAAAGAACAAAGCUAUACCGCCAAGUAGAGUGUAAGCUUUCUAGUAGCGUGCAUCAUGAGAUUGCAAAGAGCGCAAGCUUUCUGGUAGGGUUCAUCAUGAGAUUGCAGGUCUAGCAAACUUGACCUUGCUUGAUCUAUCUUCAUGAGAUUGCAGGUCUAUCAGGGCCUGUACCGAAGUUCUUUGACCGGUCCAACCGCCGACCUUUGACUGGUCUGGUUUGGUCCUCUCCUUCUGGGUGGUUGAACUGACCACAAACAGGGUGAACCGACUGAACCGGGCGGUUCUUCAUGAACCGCAUAGCUCAAUUCCAGCCCAGCCUUCCCCUCCUCUCUUUCAUAGGGGCCCAAGUAAAAGUCCAAUAAGCCCGGACAGGUUCUCAAUUCCAGCCCAGCCCAGCCUUUCCCCUAUUUUCUUUGUAGGAUCCACCGCAAGCAUUUGAACCCUAAACCUCAACUGAGCAAGCAUCAUAGAGCACCACUUGGCCAUAGUACAUUUUUUUAUACUAAGUUUAGCAAAUAAAAAAAAUCUAUAUGUGUUUGUAAAAUGAUUUAUAAUAUUAAAUAAAAAUAAUAUAAUAUUUUUUGAAAUUAUAAAAUUAGUUAAAAUUUUCUUUCAUUUUUAAUAUAUUCACAUUUAAAUAUUAUACAUAUUCCAUUUAAUAAAGUUUAAAAUAUUAAUAGAUUUAUAUUUAUAAUUGAUAAUAUCAAAGAUAAAAAAUAAAUAUUAUUAAUUUUUAAUUUAUAUAUAUAUAUAUAUUUAAAAUUUUAUUAUUUUUAAUUUUAAUAUAUUUAUAAUGUUACUAGUUCAUCCUAUUCAAACAUCAAUUCAAUCAUUGAACUAUUAAUUAUAACUUUUUUGGUUCAAUAAUGCUAAAAACAUUGUGAGAAACCUUCAAGGACUUGUCCUUUCGCAUAACCAGCUAACUGGAACCAUCUCUGUUGAUCUGGGCUCGUUGAUGCCAAACUUAGUUAAGCUUGAUUUUUUUAUCAACUGGCUCAUUGGAUCACUUCUGACUUCCCUCAUUUAUAUUCUGCAUGAAAAUCCUGACCCAUCUAGACAUUAGCAUGAAUUCUUUCUUGGGUCUCACUUCUCUUGAUUUUAGCCUCUUUGUUGCUUCUAAAUGCCAACAACUAACCUCUGUCUGUGACUUUUUAUGAAAUAUAGCUUCCCCUUCUAUUUUAUAUCUUUAGAACAACAGAGUCACAGGCAGCUUCUUCGCUCUCAAAACUUGUUGCCUUGGCAUACCUCAAUUUCUCCAAUAACAAUUUCGAAAUAUGCCAUGCUAUAUGUGUGACAUAGUAGGCCUUGCCUUCAUCAAUUUCUCUGGCAACAGAUUCACUGGCUAUGCACCAGAGAUUUGCAUGUAGGACCAACAGUGCUCACACUCCUACCUUUAUAUCUUCUUGGCAGGGCUACACAGCUGUGAGGGCUCUGACACAAGCGGCCAAGCCUCUAUUUGAGCUAUUGUACCACUUUCGUAUUCCUAGUUCUGCUCAUUUUCCUUCUCACACGGAGGAUGCUGAGGCAAAAAACUGUAGUUGUUGACAAGGGAAAGGGCAAGCUGGUGGCAGUAGUUGAGUCAGAAUCCGCUGAUGAGCUGCUGGGCCAGAAGAUAAAAGGGACAGCUAGCAUUAACUUUGCAACAUUUGAGCGCUCUUUGCUGCGGAUGAAACCUUUAGAUAUCUUAUCAGUGACUGGCAAUAUCAGCAAGACUUAUAAUAUUGGUGAUGGUGGGUUUGGUACAGUUUAAUUAUAGAGCCUCACUACCAGAGGGAUGAGCAAUUGCUGUCAGAAGGCUCAACAGAAGACGUUUGCAUGGUGACUGGGAAUUCUUAUCUGAAAUGGGGACAGUUGGAAAGGUUAAGCGUGAAAACCUGGUUCCACUCCUUGGUUGCUGCAUCCUUCAGGAUGAGAGGUUUUUAGCAUACGAGUGUAUGGAGAAUGGAAGUCUUGACGUGUGGUUGAGGAAUAGAGCAGUUGCAGUUGAGGCCCUGGACUGGCCCACCAGGUUCAAGAUCUGUUUGGGAUCUGCCAGGGGGCUCGCCUUUCUGCGUCAUGACUUUUUUCUUCACAUUAUUCGCAGAGACAUCAACCCUAGUAAUAUCUUUUUUAACAGUAAAUUUGAGCCAUGGGUGGCAAUCUGGUUGGCUGGGUGGAGUGGAUGGUUGCAAAUGGGAGGGAAGACGAUGUGUUGAAUCAUCCGUACUUUUCAACUAUUACAAAGUGGAAGGAUCAAAUGUUAGGUGAGCUUUCAAUUGCAUGAUUGUGCACAUUUGAUGACUCAUGGAAGCGGCGUGCCAUGCUUGAGGUGGUGAAUCUGUUAAUGGGGAUUAAGCUGGCAGCUCACUGAAAGUACUUAAGUGACUGCAAGUCCAAAAAUUCUACAAUAGCAUAUGUUUUCGACUUAUGAUUGAGAAACGCAUGUAAAUAAGUGACUAGAGGAGAAGGAUGGAAAUGUGCUAUGAUAUUCAAUAUUAUCUUUUGAACUCUGCAGACCAGUUGGGAAAUGCAUUUUCCUCAAAUGCGACUGCAACUUUUCUCUUAUGUCAACAGGAUGCUAAGUUUGAGAAUUGGCUGUGCGUUUUCAGUUUUCGUGUUUGGAAACCACAAGCAUCCAUUGCGACCAGAGACCGGUUCCAAAGCAUUAAUAUCUGCAGCAACGAAGUUAGAUUUAAUCCAAGGGAGGCAAAUGAAGAUUAUGUUGUAAUACUCAAGAAACUUUUCUUCAUUUGUAUUUGCCUGGGAAGGAGUUGACCUUAGCUCCAAGCCUUUAGGAUGUUGGAGGCAUUAGGUGAAGGGGAGAUGAAAUUAAGUGGAAGGUGUCCACACUGUCCAGAGGAGGAGUAUUGUUGUUAUAUUAUUACGGGCCUUUAAUGCCCUAGUACUAUAGAGGUUGGAUAUCGCCGCCCUUGGAAUGAGGUUGAAGGCCUCAACAUGCCUUUGCACUGUUAUAUGCCGUUUUUCUAAUAGGCAAAUAAGAAUAUAUUAGAAGUGCCAAGAAAGAAGGGGGUGGCUUCACUUGUAAAGGGUUGAUGCUCCUUUUGGCAAUUUCAAUGUUAUUUUCUUUUCUUUCAGAGGAGUAAGGGAAAAACUGCAAAAAAACUUUUACAUUCAAGUUUGCAGGGCUUAAUCCCAUUUUUCUUAUGUGGUGUAAUUUGUUCAUCUGAUUGUUCUCCUACCUUAUUUUUUCCGGUGGUUUCUGCUAUUUGAGUCGAUUCGUUAACUUCUUGAGCCUUUUUAAAAAAGGACGACGAGGGAAUGUUGUUCACAUAUAGUUUUGCCUUCACAUCUAUUAUGUUCUUUUGAUAUCACAGCAGACACAACUUACACUCGCUGCUUCCCAAACCAAAGCAGUUCUACCACCAGUCGAACUGACAAAAAGAGCUGGCAACUAACACCUUGUAAUAUAAGUCUAUGUGUGUGUAUGUAUAUAUAUACUACCGAUGAAUAUUAUUAGUGGGUAUUUCCAAAUCUUUGGAGAUUGCAGCAGAAUUAAGCAAACCUUUCAAGCACAACACAUAAUGUUCUAUUCCUAAUCACUCCCCAUUAGGGUGUGUUUGGUACUGUGAAAAUGAGGAGUGCAUUUUCUCUUUCACUCCCAUAUUUAGAUAAUUUAAAAAUGAUGAUGAGAAUGAAAUGAAAAAUGAUUUCAAUGAAAAUGAAAUCUCACUUAUAAAUGAGAUUUCAAUUCAUUCAAACUAGGAGGUAUUUUGAUUCUUUAGUGCAAGUUCUUCUUAAAAAUACUUUUUAAAAAUUAAAAACUAAGACUUUUUUAGAUAAUUUAUUUUUAAAAAUAUUUUUUUAUUUUAAUUUUUUAAAAACCACAUAUUAUAAAUUCAAUUUAUAUAAUGUAAACUAAAUUUAAUUCAUGUUUUAUUAAAAAUAAAAACAAAAUUAAAAAUAAAUAUUUUUUAAUAAAAUAUAAAUAUUAACAAUGUAAUAAAAUUAUAAAUUAUAUUUUUUAUAUAUAUUAUAAAAAAUGUAGAUAUUAACAUUAAUUGAUUUAUUUUGUUGAAAAUAAAUAAUAAUAAUUCAAAAUUAGUAAUUUCUAAUACCAUUCAAUAUAUAAUAACAUGGCAUUAAGCUUUCUGCUCUCGAAAGCUACAAAGUGCACCUGUACCCCACCUAAAGUUUUGUUAGAAGCAUUCGUCUACACCUCAAAAGGAAGCUUCAGGUGCAGGAGUCUCAACACUGGCCCCAUUGUAAUCGUGUUUUUCAAGCAUUGGGCAGCUUUCUUGCAAUCCGACUCCCAAUCCCACCUUGUCUCCUUCUUUAGCAAAUUAGUCAAAAGAAUGACUAUAUCAUAAUAGCCUUUUAUUAAACGUCGUUAGUAAUUAGGUAAACCAAGGAAGGAAUAUGGAUAUUGAGAUCUUAUAAAAGCAAAAUUAAUUUAUUUUGUUAAAAAUAAAGAAAAAUUAUUCAAAAUUAAUAAUUUCUAAUAAUAUUCUAUUUUGAAUGAAUAUAAAAAUAAAUAAAAUUUAAUUUUUUAAGAUAUAAAUGUGCCAAAAUUUUCAUUAUAUUCAUACAUUUAUUACUCAAUUACAAAAAUAACAUUCUAAAUUAUUUUAUUUAAUCUAUAAUUAAUUAAUCAGUUUUUUGAAUCUCAAAUUAUUAUUAAAAAUUACAAGAUUUGUUAAAGAAUCUAAAAUAUUAAUUAUGUUUGUUAUUUUUUAUUGGCAUUAUAUAUAUUAAGUUUUAAAUUAUUUUUUAAAAUCGUUAAACUUAUUAAUAAGUUAAUACAAAGUCUCACUUCAUUUUAAAUUCAUUUUCUUUAAUAGAAAAAAAUAAGAACAGUUCUCUAUUUUACUUUAUUUUUAAAGAAUAAUGACUAAAUAAUUGUAUAAAUUUUUAAAAAUAAUUUUUUUUUCAAAUCACAUGCCUAGGUUUUUAUUAUUUAGCAAAAAAAAAAAAUCUUUCAAGGAUUUUCUUUUAAAUGGAAAUAAAAAAUUAUUUUAAAUUAUGUUCAAUUUAAAUUAUUUUAAAAUAAAUAUAAAAAUAAAAAAUUAUUUUAAACCAUGAGAAAGAAUAUCAUUGAAAAUUUUGUUUAUUUUUUCAUUAGUAUUCCCAUUUUUACUUAGAAUUGAAAUGGAAAUAAAUUAUCAUUUUUAUUUUAUAUCUUUAUAUGCAUCCAAAAAAACAAUUAAAAUUAUUUUUAUUUAAGAGAAAAUAAGAAUGAAAACAAAAUAUUUAUUCUCAUAUUUUUCCUUUCGGCCGCCCAAGACGCAUGCUCGCACGUCCAACAUGUGAAGCAUAGAGAUAGAAGAGGCUGCUGAAGAUGCAAUGAAAAGUGAGAAUUGGGAAUCCAAAGGAUUGUGGCAGCACAGCAUACAGCCCCGUCGUGAAUGCUACCACCAUUGCUCCCAUCCCAAACAGGGUGAGAUGAGAGGCAUAAAAAAACAAGCGUAGCCACGUCCUCAUAUUGAGGUCAUAAAACAGUGCAUGUUGCACUGCCAUACUAAAAAAUAUGAAUACGGCACUUACCGAGAACGUCAGGGCUAUGGUAUCCGACACAACAAAUGCUUUGAAAGAUGCUUUCUUUGUUAAGAUUGCCAUCCCAUCUGUGUCGCUGUAACCACCAGGCAAGGUGAAGCCUGCCGCAAAGGUUACUGUUGCCGUAAGUGUUGCCACUAUCAAAGGGGUUUCACUUGCCUUUUUCACGGAAGAGAUGAUUUUAUCAUCCUCCUCCUCAUCAUCAUCUAUUUUGCCACCAUAUUUGCUGUCAUCCUUUCUGAUGACGUGCUGCAAACUCGAAGGUCUAAAAGGCAGUCUUGAAUAUUUCUUAAAUCCUUCAAAUCGGUCAUCUACUUGUGCCUGCUGCGAACUGGAAGAUCUAAAAGGCCGUCUAAGAUAUUCCUUGCUUCUCUCAUGUAGGUGAUAUAACUGCGGACAUUCUAACGCAGAGAGCUGAAAUUUGACCAGAGUAAAAUUUCUAUUAGAGAAAAACAGAAAAUUAUAUAUAUAUAUAAUGCAUGAGAAGAUCAAAUAAAUGGAUGAUCGUCCAAUGGGAUGAAGUAAUAGAAAAUUUAGUUAAAAAGCCUUACCGUGCCCCAUGAAAAUUUAUUCCGGGAAGAAAAAAGGUUGUCAGAAAAGUUUAACUUUUCUUUGUUCCGUUCCAUCUUAUCCACCGUUUUGUCCAAUAUGAAAUCUACAUCAUUAACUCCGAAAGAAGCAAGCAGGUGGAGGGGUGUGUCUCCUUGAGCAUCUUUCUCAUUUACAAGUCCUCUCACUCUUAAUCCAUCCUUUAUUAAUAACUCACUACCAAAAUGAGAAGGGUGCUUCUUCAUCAUGGCAAAGUGAAAAACAUUAUUGCCAUUCUCAUCAACCUGCUCACAACAAUCUGGAGCGUGUGACAGCAGCAACUUUACUAUGUCCAUACAGCCAUUGUAACUUGCAAUGUGAAGGGCUGUUCUGUUGCUAUUUUUUAUUCCAAGGUAGAUUACAGACUUGUCUUGUGAUGAUCCGUCUAGUAAUUGCUUGGUAAUUGCGGCAUCACGCAUGUAUGCAGCACAAUGAAGCGGAGACCAGCCAUUUUCAUCCACUUCUUUGAUUAGCAUUGGCUUCCAUCCUAGUAUCUUCUUUGUCAUUGCUGAUCAAAUAAAUAAAUGAAGAAAGAGAGGUCAAGGAAUAUUAAAGAAAAUUAAUUAUAAAAUGAAUAACCUAAUGCAUUACUAUAGGCCCUUAUAUGCACUACCUUGGUGACGGCAGAGUACAGCAGCAUGCAAAGCUGUUCUACCCUCGAUGCCUUUGUGAUCUGAUGAAGGGCUGGUGUCUAUGAUUAUUUCAACCAAGUCCUCAUAUUCUCUCUCGGCAGCCAUGUAAAGAGGAGUGUAGCCUGUACUGUUAGCACCAUAGAUGAAGUGAGGGUCUGCCUCAAUCAAUAACUUCACCACUUUUGAGUGAUGAUACCGCACCGCCUCGUGCAAGGCUGUGUCUUUCUCCUUAUUGGUUAUCCUCAGCAUCGCCUUGUCUGUUCCAACCCCACUUUCGAUCUCUAAGUGAAGUGCUUUUGCAUCAAGGAGAGCUUCCACAACCGCCCUAUGGCCUUCUCUCGCAGCAAGGUGAAGUGGAGUGUCGCCUUUCAGAUUGGGCUGCUGCAGUAGAGGUGAACAUGAAUGAAAGUCAAGGAUCCACUCUACGCAUGCCAGCUGACCGAACUGGGCUGCAAUGUGGAGGACAGUGUUCCUUUUUGGGGUUAGUUGGGGUUGAAGAUGAGCAAAUUCCGAGUACUUCCCCUUGAGGAAACUGAUAUCACCUCUAUACAAAGCCUUGUACAAAUCAGCAUCCAUGUGGGGGAUCUCAGUUUGGCUAACAGCUGCAAUCUGGUUCGGUAUCUCAGUUUGGCUUGAAAAGGUUUCCGAGUUAAGGUUCUGCGAUUCUGUAAUUUGAUUGGAGCUGGACUGAUCCAUUUUUGGUGUUGGAGGAACAAAGUAAUAAUCAACUCUUCACAUUCUAUCUAUCUAUAUAUAUAUAUUUAUAUUUUGUGAGCAAUUCCCUUCAAGCUUUUGUCCUUAAUUGAAAGAUAUUUUAUGUAGAGCAUAUGUGGUAAGGGCUUUUGUAAGUUGUUUGCCCGUAUAUAUUUUUCUCUUUCUUAUGAGGUUUUUCUGUCUUUUCUGACAGCUCCCGUUUUUAUUUACUUGGUGAGAUUUUUCUGAUAGGGUUGUGAAACCACUGCAAAACGGGUAGAUUUUUAUGAUUUUCUCCUUUUUUUUAUUAUAAAAAAUAAUAAAUAAAUAAACUCGAAUAAAUAAUUUUGUUAAGACAUGUAUAAUAUAAAAGUUUCUACUCUAUUUUUCUAUUUCAUUUUAAAAAAUAUCAUAUCUUGAGAAUAACUUCUUAAAUUAUAAAAAAUAUAAGGACAUGUUUAACUGUUUUCAAAAAUAAUUUUUAUAUAUAGUGUUUUAUUUUUAAUCAUUAUAUAUGUUUGUAUAAUUAUUUCUUAAAAUAGUCAUUAGAAAACAAGUAAAAACAAUAGAAAAAAAAUAAAAGAUAUUAUCUUAAAACACUUUAUUUUUUUAUUCUUAAAAAUAAAAAAACAUAAAACAUUUUUUAGUUACCAAUGUGUUUUUUGUUCUAAAGAACAAAAAAUUAUUCUUAAAAACAGUUUCCAAACAUAUCCUAAAUAUCUAAAUAUAUUUUCAGUUUUAAUUUUUAUUUUUUAGAAGAAUGAAAAUACCAAACAAAAUCUUAACCUAUCUUUAAUCACACUAAUUUUAGGGUAAUCUCCACUCAAGAGUUUAUUUUCUUACAUUUUUUCUAUAUGUGGUCAUCAACUACUUAUCUUUUUUAUUUAUUUGUUUGUUAGCUAGAAAAAUAGACUAUGUGGGAGAUCACCCCAAGUAUAAUAUACAUCCUUUUUAACGCUUGAAGAGUAGUCAUCAUGAAAAUCAUUUCAUCAUUUCGAGAAUAUUAUAAUUUUGAGAAUAAAACAAGUGUGAGUAAGUCAUUACCAAAGUAAUAAUCAAUUUCCUCAAUCAGAAACAAAUUAAUAAAUAAAUAUGACAAAGGGAAACGAACAAAACACCACCUAUACUACAUAUUAAACAAGUUACAACUUGCAGCCAUGAAAGCUAUCUUAGACCCGACACUAUUAUUUUAGUCCCUUCCAAACUUAUUUAAGCCAAACCCAUUUAGGUUUUGUUUGCAAACACUUUAUAAAAAAUAAUUUUUAAAAUUCAUUUAUGAUAUUUAGUAUAAUAAAAUUUGUUUAGAAAUUUGAAAUGUAUUUAACCUAUUUUUUUAUAUUUUAAAAAUAAUUUUUAUAUAAAAUAUUUCUUUUUUAUUAUUUUUAAUAAUUAUAUAAUUUUUUAAAAUAAUUAUAAAAAAGUAAUAAAAAAAAAAGGGAUAACAAUAGAAAAUAAUUAAAAGUUAUCUAUUGAAACACUUUAUUAUGUUUUUAAGGAUAAAAUUUUUUUUUUCACUUUUUUGUUAUUACACAUGUUUUUCUAUUUUUUUUUCUAAUUUUUUAUGAAAAAAAAAUAGUUAUGAAACAAGACUUUAACUUCCACAUCAUGUUCUCCUCAACCGUUAUUAUUAAUCAACUUAUAAAUUAAUUUUGCUUAUUAAUUCCAUAAGAUCAAAAUUUAUUUUAAAAUUUUAAUAUUAAAAUUGAAUAGAAUAUGAUUAUUUAGUAUCUCAAAAAUUUGUCACUGACAAACUACAGAUAAUUUUUAUCUUAUCAACUUAUGAACUCAGACCAAUAGAGAGUUAGAGCUAUUUUGCAUAUACCAACAAAUAAAAAGAGCUAAAUAGUCAAAUUUGUACAUCUAAUCAAAUUUGAAUAACGCAAUUUUUCCCACUUAUCAACCGUUGGGUAUACUGGAAUACUAAAAUAUUUCAUACAAUGCAUAUUAACCAUUUCUCAUCGCUUGUAGCCACAACUGACCACAUAAAAGAAUGUAUAAAAAUUAUGGUAACUAUAAUGAAAAGAAGAACACUACUAUUUAUUAUUUAUUAAUAUUAAAUAACAUUAAUUAUUAUAAAUAUUUUUUUUAGUACUCAUACUUUUAGGUUUAAUUUGAAGAUGAUAAUUAUCAGGUUAGUUUUUCAAUUCUGGGUUUUAUUGAAAUUUCCUAUUAUCCAUAAUAUGUUAUACGAAAUAUAAGUAUUAAUGUAAUUUAUUGUAUUCAUCGAAUGGUAUGUGACCAUGUGACAACGUCAGAGUAUAUAAUGUUUCUUCUUUGUUUUAGUCUGCCACUCAAUGGAUUCGUCUAUAGUGUGUUCUUUGUUUGGUCUGCCCCUCAAUGAUUCCCGUAAAUUGCGGAAGAAAGGCGAAUCAUUGCAUGUGCAAUUGUUUUACCGAAUGGUUUGUGAUAAUAUAUAUCACGUGAACUGUGAAAGAAAAGUGUCUUUUCUGAGUUUUCUCCCUUUGAUUGCAUUCACUGAACAGCAUGUGACCAUGAGACAAUGUCAGAGUGUAUGGUGUCUUCCUCUGUUCUAGUCCACCACUUAAUGGAUUACCGUGAAUUGUGGAAGAAAAGUGGAUCACUAUGCAAGCAUUUUAUCGAGUGGUUUGUGACAAUCUAUAUAAUAAAAAGUUAGGAAAAAGUUACAAGAAAAAUAUCAUUUCCAAAUAAUAGAAUGUUUAGGUGGUGUUUGUUUUUUUACUUAAUUCUAAAUAGAACCUUAAUACUUAAUAGUAUUAAAUAUUAGGUUGUUUGUUUUUGUAGUAUUUUAUUCCUAUUAAGUAUUAAAAAGUAAAAAAAACCAUUGUGUUAUUUUUUCUAUUUAGAAAAAAAUCACAUAUUUUGGUUUUUUCUAUUUAGUAAAAAGUUUAUAAUAAGUCAUGAAAAAGUAAAAAAACAAGCAACCUAAAUUCUAAAACUAAAUGGUUUUCAACAAAAAGCCAAAAAAACAAACACCACCUUAGUGAAUUUCUACCACGAAUUUCUGCCACACUUUAUUACAUAUGAAAUAUUUUUAUUAUUUUUAAUAAUUAUAUAAUUUUUUAAAAUAAUUAUCAAAAAAAAAAAAGUGAUAACAACAUAAAAUAAUUAAAAGUUAUUGGUUGAAAACACUUUAUUCUAUUUUUAAGGAUAAAAAAUUGUUUUUCACUUUUAGUUAUUAAACAUAUUUCCUUUUUUUAUGAAAAAAAAAAAGUUAUGAAACAAGACUUUAACUUCCACGUCAUGUUCUCCUCAGACGCCAUUAUUAAUCAACUUAUAAAUUAAUUUUGCUUAUUAAUUCCAUAAGAUCAAAUUUUAUUUUAAAAUUUUAAUAUUAAAAUUGAAUGAAAUAUGAUUAUUUAGUAUCUCAAAAAUUUGUCACCAACAAAUUACAGGUAAUUUUUAUCUUAUCAACUUAUGAACUCAGACCAAUAGAGAGCCAGAGCUAUUUUGCAUAUAUCAACAAAUAAAAAAAGUUAAAUAGUCAAAUUUGUACAUCUAGUCCAUAAUUAAAAUUAUUUUUUAAUUAUGAACAACAAAUAAUCAUUUUUUGACUAAAAUAAUAAGAGAAUAAAACAAGUGUGAGUAAGUCAUUGCAAAAAUUAUAAUCAAUUUCUUCAACUCGAAGCAAAUUAAUAAAUAAACCCAACAAUAGGGGAACAAACACAUUGGAGGUGUUCCCAAACCCUCCACAUUUCAAUGGUGGGAGUGUUUUUCCAACUUGUAACUUGUUUACUGAUGAGCUGGAGGUACUGCUGGGAAUAAUUUAAAUUAUUUAUUUAUUUUUUAUUUGCUUUUAGCUAGGGUGGACCAAUUUAAUUACCAUAUAUUUUUUAGAAAAGAGCAAGCAUCUCUCGUUUUUAACUUAUAUGUCAAUGGGAUGGUCCAUUAUCUAUGUUCAGUGAAAACGUGGCAUGCCACGUACUUCCCAAUGCACAAGCUGACAAGAUAUUUGAAAAGUUGUCGUGUUUUAAUUUGUAAAAUGAUUGACUUUUGGGUCCCAUAAUCAUCGAAGUAUUUAGUGAAAUAUUGCUUAAUUUAUUGAAAUAUAAAUUUUAUCAUUAACGUGGAUACAUGUGCAACACCCCUUGAUUAUAAUAAAAGACAAUGAUUUCGUGUGGUUAUUUUAUAAAAAUUAAUACAUAAUACAUAAUUAUUAUAUAUAAUUUAAAAUUAAAUUAUAUUUAAAUUAUCAACUUUAAACUUAUUAUCAAAUUAUUAUUUUUUGUGCUAGGAUUAUAAAACUCUUUUAAAAAAUUAUAUUAUUAAAUUUACCCCUUUACUUUCGUGAAUACUAAAAAAUAAGGUUUGAAGAGAGAAACAUAAAAAUAAAGUGACAUAAAUAAUUAAAAUAAAAUAUUUUGGAGGAUUUAUAAAGAAUUAUUUAUUUAUAAAGAAUUAUUAAAAAAAGUUUAGAUGUUAUUUUAUUUACAAACUUGGUGACAAAAAAUAAAAUAAAAUAAAAUGAACGUGAAAUUAUUCAAAUAGUAUACAAAAGGGAUAUCAACAACAAACAAAAAUAACCCAAAAAUAUAUAUAAAUAAAUAAAUAUAAGAUGGAAUAAAUAAGAGAUUCAAAGCAUGCUAAAAAUACUGUAUUAAAAAUGAAUGAACAAAGAACAAACCAAACAAAAAAACAAUACACAAAAAAUUACUGAAAAUGAACCAAAUAUAAAUAACAUACCUAUAUUUACAAAACUGAAACGAAUAAAUAAAAAAUAAAUGAAUGAAAGGGAGAAGAAUGUACCCAAAAAAUAAAUGAAUGAAAGUGUCAUUAGUAGGGUAAAACCGAGACAUUUUCGAAAUAAAUCUUAAAUAAAUAUCUACAGGUGUUAUUUCAUCAAAAUAAAAAAUGGACAACAUCUUAAAUAUGUCUAUAUCAUAAUACAAAAGUCCAAAUUAUUUAAUUACAUGUCAUCACAUUAAAUACACUUCAUAGAACAUUUAGCUUAUAAUCAAAAUAGAGAUGUUCACCAAAUAAAUCCAAAAAAAAAUAAUCUAGAAAUGGAAUUUCAUCAUGAAAAAAAAAAUUGAAUAAUAUUUCCCAUGUGUCCCAAUUACAAUUCAAAAGGCCAAAUUAUUUAAUUAUGCAUCAUUCAAUACUAAAUUUCAUUUUACUGUUACUUUAAUUUACUACUAAAUGCAGAAAUUAAAUACCAUCCAAAAUAGAAGUAUAUAAAUAAAUCACACUCAAAUUGCAAUGGAUUGAAGUCACAAAAGGCCUAACCAUACAAGAAGAUGAGAAAACAACUCUUAAAGAGAAUGGUGAUAAGCUUUUUAAAAGGGUGUACUAUGGUAAAAAUAAAAGAUUGAAUUAAUAAAAUUUAAUUCAAAGUGGAGACUAUUAGAAAAUAUUUCAAAUUCCUAAUUGUUACAUAUUAUUUUUUUAAAGAAUAUUAUAUAAAAUAUUUCCUUAAAUUGAUAUGUUAUUAUGAUAUUAGAUUCUUUAUAAAAUAAAGAAAAUUAUUAUAAAUAUUUCUAUAAAUAUUAUAGUUUAUAAGAAGAAAAGGUUAUGGGAUGAAGCCGAUUAAAAUAUAUUUUAUGAUCAAUAAUUAUAUCUUAUUUCUAUCUUUUAUAGUAUUUUUUAAAGUACGGUAAAAAUAUUCUAUUUCAUUUGUGGAUUGACAUGAUUGGACAAAUUAGGUAAAAACCCAGUGUAACUUUGCACAUAAAUUGUUUGUUUAAUUACGCACUCCGAUAUUAAUAUAUUUGUAUUAAAACUUUAUGGAUACAACAUCGGCCAUCAGUGCAACCACCAUUGCUCUCAUGGCAAAAGUAAUGAGGAAAAAGGCUUGGGAUAUGUGUUCGUAAGUGAACUCCUUUUCAUGGUGGAGUGCAUAAAAAGGUGAGGCAUAUGAAGGUGUGGAGAGCAUCAUGGUGAGAGUAAUGACCACAACAAAUACUUCAAAUGCUAUCAUGUGGAUUUCUUUGACAUAAACUAUUUUAAUGGCAUAACAAUUAUCAGCGAUCCUUUAUAAAUUUUACUUUUUGAUUGAUCUAAUUAUGUGUGGGUAUAAUUUUAAAUGCCUAUUAUUAAUUAAAGGGUAGUUUCAACUACCUACAAUUCUCUAUUUUGACAUAUUACAAUGGAUUCAAUGCCAUUUUGUAUGAGUAUUAAUCUAUGAAAUUAAAGUAAAGGCGUAAAAGAUAAUUUUAAGAUUUUUUUCUUAGCAUAAAGGAAAGUUCUCUGUCCAAAUACGAUUUGGAUUUUCUCUUUCUUUCUGACAUAGAUAAGAGAAGUCUGUAAAAGUUACAAAAUUAGACUAAUCUGUUCUUAGUUUAGGGAUAAUAUCUGAACCCACAUUACAUAUUUUCUACAACAAUAGUGGCUCGCAUCAAGGCCUGGCAGAGGAUGAAAUUUGUAGAUGGGUUAGGCAGUGGGGCCAAUGUGAUUGGGUCGUAUUUAGGGCGGGCCAGGCCUGAUCCAAGUGUGAAUGCUAUAAUAUGGAUUUUGAAAGGCCAAGGUUGAGCCCAGCCCCCAAAUGUGCAGGCUUGGUAGAUCGACCUGGUUAAGCAAAAGCAAGAUGAGUUUGGAAUCCGACGGGGAAAAGGUCAGUAAUGGUAGGGCCCACUUCCCUUUGAAACCUUGUUCAGUCGUCCGUCCCCACCCUUUGGUUGCGUAGGACAAACCCCCACCAUAACACCAUGUGGGUUGCCCCCUCGUUCGACAUCAUUCCAUGAAAACAAUGUCGUUCUAUGAACGGAGCAGAGGAUCGCUUGCACAUGGCACUGGUGACGAAGGAGUCGGUGGAAAACCGGCGCGGACCAAAGUCGGGAGGCAUAUUUUUCAUUUCUUUUUUUCUUUUUAAUAAUGAGAAUCUGGUAAUUAUGAAUAAUUGGACAGGUGGAGCCUCGGAAUGAAGCAUGUCAGAGACCUCUAUUUCCAUGAGGAUACACAGGGAUAUAGUUUUGAAGAAAAGAGCCAUCACCCUUAUCUUGGUCAUCGCAAAUUGUAUAUAGAUGUGGCCAAACAGAUUCAUUCUAGCAUAAACCUUACAAUGGCAAUAGCCAUCACCCUCAUAGGCCAAGCCUUGAUCCUCUCUCGUUUGGUUUUGGAAGCCAAAAGUCCAAUCUCUUUUAUCCUUUGGGCCUCUUAUAUAUGGAGAGAGAGAGAGAUUGAGGCUGUCUCGAAGCUUGUAGUACAAGUUGCAAAUGACAUAUUGAUCCUGCAGUUUUUAGUUAAUAUAGUCACCACCCAUGGCUUGCGUUUUUAUUUUUAUUUAUUUGUUCAUUUUUUUUAUAUCUUUAAUUUGUUCAAACGUUUCAAUCAAGUUUACCAGAUCCACUAAUGGAACAUCAUGACACACUUUCAUGUAAAUUAAUAAUUUCACUCCCAUAAAGAAAAUGAGAUCUUACCCAUUGCAAAUAGAUCAAUUAGCACAUCCUGAGAAAAAGUUAAAAAGACAAAUUAUAAUAAUAAUAAAUUACAAAGCAUGCUUACAAGAAAAUUAUUUCAAGUUCCAGAAGAAAAGGAAAAGGUAGUCCUACCGCGGUACCAGAUCUGCCCCUUGCCCAAUUGCAAUUGCGAACAUAAGGUCAUUUGAUGGUAAUUUUGAGAACUGUUUUUAUCUUCCUUUUCAAACGUAUUCUAAAUGGACAAGUUAAGGUAAAGGCAACAAUAAUGAGAAACAAGUACCCGGAGGUACAAACAACGAGUAGAAGCCCUGAGGAAAAUGGUAACACAGCGGAUAGGCCCAUCACGAAUGCAACCACCAUUAGUACCACACUAGACAUAGUGAGACAAGUGCCCAGGACUAAUUGUUUUGCAAGGAUGUCCUCGUCCUUAUGCAACGACAUAACAAAAUAAACGAACACAGCAGAUACAGAGAGCAUCAUGGCUAAUGUGUCCGUCACAAUAAAUGCUUUAAAAGCUACUUGCUUUGUUAAUUUUGCCAUGCCAUCACUGUCAUUGUAACCACCGGGCAAGGUGAAACCCGCUGCACAGGAUACAGUUGCUACAAGUGUUGCCACUAUCAAAUGGGUUUCACCUAGUCUCUCUGUGAAAGCCAUGCUUUCGUCUUCUCUGACGUCUUUGUUUUUACUACUACUACCAUUGUCUUUAUUGAUGGCCUCUUGCCAACUGAAGGGUCCGACAACAACUUUCUCCCAUUCCUUCAUUUGUUUUUUUAGUUUCCCCUGAAAUUUGAUUAAAAAACAGAGAAAAUUGUUGUCACUAUUUUGGCCUUCGGCACUUCUUUUUAACAUUUCCCACCUUCCCUCACAACAAAGGAAAAUGGAUGAUUAAACAUUGAUAAACUAAUCAAAAUAUUAAGUUAGGAGCCUUACCCCGAACAUUUGUCCCGACUUAAUGUUAGCCCUUGAAAGAAUGUCUAGGGCAGUUAACUUAUCGUCGUUGAGUGCCAUUUUAUCCACUGCAUUGUCCAUUGAGAAAACUGGAUUAUAACAUUGGCAAGAAGAAAGCAGGUGGAGGGGUGUGUCUCCUUCGUCAUCCUUCUCAUUUACAAGUCCUCUCACUCUUAACUUAUUGUCAUCCGGGAACAAAUCAUCAAUAGCAAAAGGCCGUUUGCUCAUUGCGGCAAAGUGAAGAAAAUUAUUUCCCUGAUCAUCAACCUGCUCGCAACAAUCUGGAGAGUGUGAGAGCAGAAGCUUUACUGUCUCUCUAUGGUGGCGGUUAGCUGCAAAGUGUAGUGCUGUUUUCUUGGUAUCUUUGAUUGCAAGGUAAGUUACAGACUUAUCUGAUGAUUUGUCUAGUAAUUGCUCCGCAAUUUUAGUAUAACCCAAGUAUGCAGCACAGUGAAGGGGAGACCACCCAUGUUCAUCAACUUCUUUUGUUAGAUCUGGCUUCCAUUCCAAUAACUUCGCUAUCAUGUCUGAUAAACAAAUGAACCAACAAAAAAAAACAGCAGAGAAAAAAAUUUAAGAAAUUCCCUCUAGUAAAGCAUGACCCCUAGAGGUGAUCAUGAUCUCUAACAAUAUAUUGCAUGAGUAACUAACCAUGUAGGAAUCAAGAUUCAAGGAAAGGGUCUGCAUAUGUGUUACCUUGGUCCUCACGAAUUACAGCAGCAUGCAAAGCCGUUCUACCCAUUAUGCCACUGUGAGAUGGUGAAGCGCGAGUUUUGUCUAUAAUUAUACACACCAAGUCUCCAUAUCCUCUCUCGGCAGCCAUGUAAAGAGGAGUGUAGCCUGUAAUAUUUGCACCGUAGAUAAACUCAGGGUCUUCCUCAAUCAAUGACACCACUAUCUCUGAAUGAUGAUACCGCACCGCCUCAUGCAAGGCUGUGUCUUUCUCCUUAUUGGUCAUCCUCAACAUCGCCUUGUCUGUUCCAACCCCACUUUCGAUCUCUUGGUGAAGUGUUUUUGCGGCGUCAAGGAGAGCUUUCACAAUUGCCCCAUGGCCUUCUCUCGCAGCAAGGUGAAGUGGAGUGUCGCCUUUCCGAUUGGGCUGCUGCAGUAGAGGUGAACAUGAAUGAAAGUGAAGGAUCCACUCUACGGAUGCCAGCUGACCGAACUGGGCUGCAAUGUGGAGGACAGUGUUCCUUUUUGGGGUUUGUUGGAGUUGAAGAUGAGCUUCUGAGUACUUUCUCUCGAGGAUUCUGAUAUCACUUUCAUACAAAGCCUCGUACAAAUCAGCAUCCAUGUGGGUGAUCUCAGUUUGGCCAUCAGCUGCAAUCUGGUUCGACAUCUUAGUUUGGCUUGAAAAGGUUUCCAAGUUAAGGUUCUGCGAUUCUGUAAUUUAGUUGGAGCUGGACUGAUUCACUAUUGGCGUUGGAGGAGCAAAGUAAUAAUCAACUCUUCAGAUUCUAAAUAUAGCGCAUAGAAAAGUUGUGUGUCCACUUGGAUAAUAUUUAUAUAAUUAGGAGUGAAUCACUACAAUUUUACUAAACCCAAAUUUAUUUUUAAAUUUUUCUUAUUUUUCCUUUUUCCUUGCACUCCAUCCUAUUUAGCGAUUAUUUAAGCUGCUUUUACCACGAACAACAAUUCUGGUGGUUUAAAACAAUUUCAACCAUAUUAUCAACCAUUUUAUGAGGUCAUCUUCCAAAAUAACACAAAAUAACAAUUCUGGUGGCAAUUUGUGCUCAUGGGUUGUGUUUGUAUUAUAUUAAAACUUACUCAAUAUAAAUAAUAAUCUUGUUAAAAACAUAAAUCAAAAUAUUAUCUAUUUAUUAAAUAGGUAACAAAUCAUGUAAUCCAUUAAUUUAUUUAGUAAUUAAGUCUUUCUAUUUAAUAAUUAAGUUAAGUUAGGUAUUGUAUAUAUUUAUAUAAUUAAUUUUUUAAUCAAAUAUAUUUAUAACUUAAUUCAUCUAUUUAUUCAAAAACAAAUUAAUUUAAAAUAAGUUGAAGAUUAGUUAAAUAAUUUAAAGUUAUAAUUAAGUUAAUUAAUAAAAUUAUUAAAUCAAUCCAUUUGAAUCAAAUUUGUAUUAUACAGAUGGAUAUAAAAUCUACAUAUCUAUAAAAUGUGUAAUACAGACUAACAUAAAUUUGAUCCAAACUCAAUUAUACUCAAAUUUGUAAAAAGCAUGCUAAGUUUGAGUCGUGUUGACGUAUUAUAUCAAACUUUGUCAUCCCUACAAAAUACAAUGUUAAGGCCCAAACAAUUAAUAAUCACACAUGCUAAAGAGAGGAAAAUCUAAGGGUUAACCAUUUUCAUGAUUGCAAGAUAUUUUUUCUUGGGAAAAAAUGUGCUUCCAUACUCAUAUUUAAGAAUAUCACAAGAUGAAAAUCCAUUAAAAGUAAUUCAAGUUUUAGGCACUCUAAAGUCAAAAUAGCAUUUAGGGUAGUAAAAGGUAUUACUAACAUUACUAAAAAUAGUAGCUAUUUGCUAAAAAAUAUGUAAAAUCUGAAUUAUUUUUAGAUAAAUGUAUUCAAUUUAAAAAUUUUAAAUUGGGGUUGUUAUUUGAUUUUUUUCAAAUGUAUGUUUGAAAACACAAUUUAAUUUCCCUGUUUUUCUUUAUAAAGCAUAGUACCAAGGACGAUUGCUAGGCACCACGAGAAGUUCAUGUUUUUUUGUCUAUAGUCUAUUUAGUGAAUUUUUUCUUUUUUCUUUUUCUUUUUGUAGGGACGGAGUGUAGUAUUUUUCUAUUACUAAAUUUUCUCUCUUUUAAUUAUUCCUUUUCUUUCCCUUUUGGUGGGGGAUGAAAUAUAAUAUUUGUUCAUUAUUAAAUUUUUUUUUCUUUUUCUUUUAUUGGGGACAAGUGGAAUAUUUGGUUGUUAGAAUUUUCUCUUUUAAUUAUUCUUUUUCUUUCUCUUUUGGUGGGGGAUGAUGCUUAAUAUUUGUACAUUAUUAAAUUAUUAUUAUUUUUUUUUUAAGGACAAAUGGAAUAUUUGUUUGUUAGAAUUUUCUCUUUUAAUUAUUCUUUUUCUUUGACUUUUGGUGGGGAUGAAGGAUAAUAUUUUUUGAAUUUUUUUUUUCUUUUUCUUUUUCUUAGGGACGAAGUGAAAUAUUUGUUUAUUAUUAAAGUUUCUCUUUUAAUUUUUUUUUUCUUUCACCUCUUUCAAUUUUUCUUUUUCUUUCUCUUUUUGUAGGGGAUGAAGCGUAAUAUUUAUCUAUUACUAAAUUUACUCUUUUUCUUUCUCUUUUUUUGUGAACGAAAUGGAAUAUUUGUCGGUUUUUGAAUUUUCUCUGUUAAUUAUUAUUUUUUGUUUUCUUUUUGUGGGGGCUGAAAAAGAUCAAGAUAUGGAGGAUUUUGGAGGAGAGGGAGUGAAACUCCAUCAGCAGUGAAAAUGGAGGAUCGGAUUAUAGGGAUACGUGAAGGUUCUUGGUCUUAUCUUGCUGGUACCAUUGGUAGAGUUCCUGAGAAAAGUGAUAGGAACAGCAACACCAAAAGAACCCCCAGACCAUCAAAUAUCCGCCUGGUGUUUUUCCAUUGGGGAUGAACUGAUUAUACAUUGGGAAUUAUCAUCAUCAAAUGCAGCACCACCGGCACCAGCAAAUGCAGUCUCUUUGCACCCCGGGCCCACUUCUGCACCCCUGCAUGGCCACCUUUGGCAUGCAAUCCCAACGGCCACAUGUCAUCCUCCCAUUUCUUCAUCUUUUGCUUUCAAAAUUUGAUUUUCAAAACACUAGUUUUCAAAUAAUUUUAAAAAAUUCAACUUUCAAAUAAUCUUAAUCAAGUACCCUUUUAUAUUUAUUUUAUUUUAUUAUUAUUUUUAUUUAUUUAUUUAUUUAUUUAUUUCCUUAGAAAUUUCAAGUCAUUCCAAAAACCCAAUUUUAAUAAACUUUUUGCUGUCAUAUUUCUCUUCUGGUAUGCAUUUUCAUAUUUUCUUCAAAUUUCAAUUUUUUAUAUUGAUUUUCCUCAAUUUUUAAUAAAGCAUGAAUAAAUUCUAUAAUUUCAAGCAAUAGAAUUUAUGGAGUUAAUUCAUGCUAAAAUAAAUCGGGUUGGUGGGGCCUGACAUCUGUGAUUGAUUGCUUGAUUGACUUUGCCCUACUCUGACAUGCAUGCGAUUAUUUAGUAUUUGUGCACUAACCUUGUCUCCCAUGAUAGCACUCAACUUGCGACAAAGAUACGUCUUGUACCCGAUCAUAUUUAUUUAUUUAUCCGUUAUCAUGCAUGACUUGUUUUAUUAUUUGAUUAUUAUUUGGUAUCCACGAUUUCCCGAUCAAUUGUUAUGUUACCCUAACUGAUUAGUAGAGACUCUUUUUUAGGGGUUUAGAGGGGUGUACGCCUUAUUACCGUACCUUCUCGAUAUAUAACCUGACCCCAGAUCCAAACUUGGUUUUUCGCAAACUUGUAUGUCCUUUAGGAGUCACAUUUGAAUUUUUUUUUUAUUUUGUUCUUCCCUUUAAAAAUAAAACAAAAAUAAGAUGUCACUCCAAUUUUUAUUUUUUAUUUUUAAAAAAUCAAAUUUCUAAUAAAAAUUGAGUCUCGCCAGUUGAGUGGGAACGCAUGCGAGAAAGAUGGGGUCCACACAAUUAUUAAAAAAUUAUCCAAAAAAAGUUUGAUCCCUUUGUUAUUAUUAAGUUUGUUUUUUUUUUUUUUCAUAUUUUUUAUAAUAAAAAACUAAAAUUAUCAAACAUAUUUUUAAGAAUUUAAAAACAUAAUUGAAAACUUAUUUAUUAUUUCUACCCUUAAAAACUCUAAAACAAAAAUAUAGCUAACAGCCAUCUAACCUAUCAUGUUCUUCUCCUUUUCUUUUCUUUUCUUUUUUCCUUUUUUUUUUCUCCAAUUUCCAUGUAAAAUGGACAAAUAAUUUUCAGAAGGAAAAUAUAGAAUAUGAUACUGUGGUAUAAAAAGCAACCUAUUUUUAGGUUUAGUAUUAAUCAAGUGAGAAAAAAAAAAGAAGAAAUUUAAAAUUUCUUAUUUCAUUUAAUAUUACAACAAAAAAAAGUGGCAUUUGUGUGUGUUAAAGCACUACCAAUCUUGUCAUUACACUAUAAUUAUUUUUUAGGAUUUGAGUAUUUUCUUUCAACUUAUAUCUAUAUUUAAAGAUAUUUUAUGUAACUUAUGUUUACAUUUAAGGAUAUCUCAUAUAUAAUAUUAGCGUAAGGAAAAGUUGUCUAGCUUGAUCCUGAUCCUUAUCUUAUUGGGAUCCCAAAAUUUGAUUUGAUCUCCAAUUACAAUUAUAGAACAAUAACACCAUGGUAGCUGCUGUAUUCCUUUGCUACACAGAAUAGAAGCUUCUCUACAACACUACCCAUUUUCUCUAGCUAAAUUCAUUUUAUUAAAUAUUUUUAUAAAUAAAAUAACAUUUCUGACAUUCCAUAAUUUCUACGUUCUUGAGCCAAAUUUAGGAAUGAAUCAUUCUUGGACAACCUCGAUCCCGUGGGGUUUGGUUUUGGAAGCCAAAAGUCCUAUCUCUGUUGCCCUUUAGGGCUCUUGUAUAUUUAGUGUCUCAAAAUUUUGUCACUUUGAUAAACUACAGUAAUUUUUAUCUUAUCAACUUAUGAACUCGGACCAAUAGAGAGCUAGAGCCACUUUGCAUAUAUCAAUAAAUAAAAAAAGUUAAAUAGUCAAAUUUGUACAUCUAGUUAUUAAUUAAAAUUAAAAUAAUAAUCAUUUUUUGACUAAAAUAAUAAGAGAAUAAAACAAGUGUGAGUAAGUCAUUAAAAAAAUUAUAAUCAAUUUCUUCAACUCAAAGCAAAUUAAUAAAUAAACCCAACAACAGGGGACAAACAAAUUGGUGGUGUUCCCAAACCCUCCAUAUUUCAAUGGUGGGAGAGUUUUUCUAGCUUUGACUUCACUUUUCAAACUUGUAACUUCUUUAUUGAUGAUCUGGAGGUGCGGGUGGGAGUAAUUAAAAUUAUUUAUUUAUUUUUUUAGGGAUAAUUAUGUUUUGGAUCUAGUUGAGUCCAAAAAUUAAGUUUUAGUCCAUAUAAAUUUACCAUUUAAAUCGAAGACCUAGAGAAAAUGUGAAAAUUGAGAAGAAUGAUAUAAAUUUUUUAUCUUUCCAAAAAUGAUCUUUAUUGACUAUGAAAAAAAGAGAGUAGAAAAACAUUAAUUUAAAUUUUAUUCCUUUUGCAAACCUCAAUAAAAUUUAAUUUAAUUUAGUGAUUUGAAAAAAAAAACCAUUUUCCAAAAAAAUAAAAAUAAAUUAUUAUUAUUAUUAUUUAAAAACCAAACAUCUUGGAAAAAUAUAUAUUUUUCAAAUUAUGUAUAUAAAAAAUAACUAAAAAUAUGUCAAAUUUAUUUUUUUUAAAUUAUAUAUUUUUAGAAUAUAUAUAUAUAUAUAUNNNNNNNNNNNNNNNNNNNNNNNNNNNNNNNNNNNNNNNNNNNNNNNNNNNNNNNNNNNNNNNNNNNNNNNNNNNNNNNNNNNNNNNNNNNNNNNNNNNNUUUUUUUUUUUUUUUAUAAAACACACAUCUGGGAAAAAUAUAUAUUUUUUUCAUUAUGUAUAUAAAAAAUAAAUAAAAAUAUCUCAAAUUUUUUUUUUUUAUAUUAUAUAUUUUUAGAAUAUAUAUAUAUAUAUAUAUAUAUAUAUAUAUAUAUAUAUAUAUAUAUAUAUAUAUAUAUAUAUAUAUAUAUAUAUAUAUAUAUAUAUAUAUUAAAUUAGUUUUCUAAAAAUAAUAAAUUUUCAGAAUAAUUAUUAAAAAAAAUUUAAGAUCAAAAAAUUUGUCACACAUUAUGAUAGAAAAUAUUCAAAAUGGUUUUGAAGGGUAUAUUGGUCUCUUUAUAUUUUAUAUCAUUCUCCUCAAUUAUACAACUUUUAUAGGCUAAAUUUUAAUUUUUGGGUCCAGAUUCAAAACACAAUUGUGCUGCUUUUAGCUAGGGUGGACCAAUUUAACUACUAUAUAUUUUUUUAGAAAAGAGCAAGCAUCUCUUGUUUUUAACCUAUAUGUCAACGGUAUGGUCCAUUAUCUAUGUUCAAUGAAAACAUGGCAGUGGACGUGACCACCUUGCCAUGGUGGUGGUUGAAACAGUAGAGCUGAUGGAAGCUUAAAGAAGAAGAAACCAGCUGGGGAAAAGGAGGGCAGAGAGAGGCCGUUGGCGGAAAAGAAAAACGGAGGUUUGGAUGAGAGGUUUUCAAGGACAACUAUGUAGUAGUCUGGGGGGUGGUACCAACAUAUUUUGAGAGCAAGGAAGAAAAGAGUUGCAAAAAAGGAAAAACAAAGUUGCAAAAACAAAGGAGGAGGGUGAUCGAUUGGUUUUUUGGAGGAGAAGGGAUAGCUAGAAGCCGAUAUUCCACACGUCCGGAGAGGAGUCUUCCAAAGAUAAUCCCAAAAGAAAUAGCCCUCCAAGCCCUCAACACCAUCAUCUAGCUCCACUUCAAGAAGACCUUGGAGAAGAAAAGAGCUAUCGACCUCCAAAAGAAGGAGCAUUGGAAGCUCUUUCAGCUCUUCUUCAUCUUCCUCUCUCUCAUCUUCCUCGAUCAGACCUAGUCCCUACACUUCUAGUGUCGCCACUACUAGGUCCCAAUCACUCUCCUCUCCUUAGCCCACCUCAUCUUCUAUGUCUUUGUCGCUCAUACCCUUCCUCCGCUGCAUCAAUGGCUUCAAGUACCAGCGACGUUGCCACAAGCUCACUCUUAGCCUCUCCACUAAGCACCUCUAGUAGAUCUGUUAGUGAACUAGUUGAGUUAGUUUUGAAGUCCAGUUAGUUUCAACCAAUCAUUUCUGUUUAUAACCAACCUCUCAAGUUAGUUAUAGCUAUCAACAACUAAGUGUAUAAAUACUACAGAAGUGUAAUGAUAUAAGCACUGAAAAUAACAGCAAGAAACUUUACUCUGUUUUUCUCUUACUCUGUUUUCUCUUCCUCUUCUUCUAAUCGUUUCUGUUACUCCAUUUCUUCAAACAUGGAAUCAGAGCAGGCUUUAGCUUAGUUAUCCGCCAUGGAUGAAACCUCAAGAACCACCAGUUUUCUCCCAGUUUCCUUUCCCCAUCCAGUCUCAUCCAAACUAGACAAUCACAACUUUCUGGUUUGGCGAAAACAGAUACUCACCACAUUAAGAGGCCAUAAGCUGCAACAUUUCCUUUCUAAAACUUCAGUUCUACCCUCAGAGUUUCUCUCCUCAGACGAUGAAACCCAAAAUCAUGUAAAUCCCAAGUUCCAGGAUUGGGAACAACAAGAUCAGCUUAUUAUGUCUUGGCUUCUUGCAUCUAUAACUGAUGCUCUUCUCACUCGUAUGGUGAAUUGUGACACUUCAGCCCAGGUAUGGAAAACCCUUGAACUAUACUUUGCUACUCAAGUGAGAGCCAAAGUAACUCAAUUCAAAACGCAAUUGCACAACACCAAGAAGGGAGACUUGUCUAUAAUUGAUUACCUCCUUAAAAUCAGAAAUGUAGCUGACCUUCUUGCUCUGGUUAACCACAAGAUUUCUGUCAAAGAUCACAUAGAUGCAAUUUUUGAAGGUCUCCCUCAAGAUUAUGAAACCUUCAUCAUCUCUGUCAAUUCUAGACUUGAUCCAUACACAGUUAAUGAAAUUGAAGCUCUUCUUCUUGCUCAAGAAAGCCGUAUUGAGAAAAACAUCAAGAUUGCAGACCUUUCCACUCCUAGCUUGGCUCAUCUCAUCACAACUAACAGAAAUGGUUCUCCACAUUUCAACUACAGAGCUAGCACCAGAAACUCAAAUUCCCGUCCACCUACACAUUCUGGAAAUGGAAUGCAACACUUUCGUGGGAACUUCACUCAACAAGGAAGAGGACGCCAUGGUCGAGGCUCCUGGAAAGGCAACAACAAACCUCAAUGUCAACUUUGUGGAAGAAUUGGACAUGUUGUCAUGCAGUGCUACUACUGAUUUGAUCAAUCUUUCACAGGACCCUCACAACUUCAAGGAAAUCGUCCACAGGGAAACAUGGCUCAUCUUCAUCAACAACCAUCUGAAAAUUUUUUCCCAGGAACCUCAUUAGUCAAACCAACAACAGCAGAAAUGAUCCAAGACAACAACUGGUACCCUUAUUCUAGAGCCACUCAUCACCUUACACCAGACCUCAACAAUCUCCUGACCAAAUCACAGUUUCCUUCAUCAAACGAAGUCUUCGUGGGAAAUGGUAAGGGUCUCCCUAUUCAUCACAUUGGUCACACCCCAUUUUCAUCAUCAUUCAUUCCCUCCAGAACACUUGCCUUAAAACAACUUCUCCAUGUACCAGAAAUUACAAAGAAUCUUCUUAGUGUUUCUAAGUUUGCUGCUGAUAAUCAUGUAUUUUUUGAAUUUCAUCCUACCUCUUGUUUUGUCAAGGAUCUUUCCACCCGGACAAUCCUCAUGCACGGCCAGCUUAAGGGGGGAUUAUAUGUGUUCGAUAACACACAGCUGAAACUCCCUCUUCACAGUGUAGAAACUUUCAACUCUUCAUGCUUUGCUUCUACAGCUCUCCCGUCCAAGGAACCAACAACACUUACUUCAUCUCCAUCUCCCUUUAUAUUGUGGCAUAAUAGACUUGGUCAUCCUUCCUCACAUAUCGUUUCUCUUGUACUCAAUAAAUGUAAUCUCCCACUAAUGAUCCUCCCUUCUUCAACCUCUGGUUCAACCUCUUCUCCAACCAAUCCAUCAAUAUUUCCUGUCACCUCUAACCACAACGUAGCAUCACAACCUCCACCAUCCUCUGCCCCUCCUUUUCCCACCCAUCAUAUGAUUACUCGAUCCAAAAAUGGCAUCUUUAAACCAAAGGCCUAUCUCAUUUCUACAACUCCCACUUCAGUCCCUGAAGCCCUCCAACUUAGCCAUUGGAAACAGGCCAUGACUGAUGAAUAUCUCGCUCUCCUCCGAAACAACACUUGGGAUCUUGUUCCUCCUCCCACUGAUCGUAAAUUGAUCGGCUGCAAAUGGGUGUUCAAAGUCAAGGAGAAUCCCGAUGGAACUAUAAACAAAUACAAGGCCCGUUUAGUUGCUAAGGGUUUUCAUCAGAUUGCUGGAUUUGACUUCAAUGAAACUUUUAGCCCGGUUGUCAAACCGACUACCAUUCGCAUUGUUCUCACUAUUGCUUUAAAUCUACAAUGGAAAAUUCGACAAUUAGAGGUCAAUAACGCCUUUCUCAAUGGCGACCUACAUGAAGACAUAUUCAUGCAUCAACCUCAAGGCUUUAUCGACCCUGUCAACCCAAACUAUGUCUGCAAGCUCAAUAAAUCUCUUUAUGGCCUCAAACAGGCCCCUAGAGCUUGGUUCGAAAAGCUGCAUCACGCACUUGGCAUUCUUGGUUUCUCAUCCACCAAAUCAGAUCAAUCUCUAUUUAUCAACAUCACACCUACUCACUCCACUUACAUUCUAGUAUAUGUGGAUGAUAUUCUUAUCAUCGGCAGCAAUGAUCAGUUUGUUCAACAUGUGAUCACUCAGCUUAACAACCAAUUUGCUCUCAAAGAUCUUGGAGAUAUUGAUUACUUUCUGGGUAUCCAAGUCAAGCAUACAUCCGCUGGAAUGCACUUGUCACAGGCCAAGUAUAUCUCCAAUCUACUUCAAAAAACCAAGAUGCUUCAUGUCAAGCCAGUUCCUACACCUAUGGUAUCUAAUCAGUCCCUAUCCAACUCUGGAAGUCCUCCAUUCAGCAACACUCAACUUUAUAGAAGCACUGUUGGUGCCCUCCAAUAUGCCACCAUCACAAGGCCAGAUAUCUAUAAUGUCAACCGAGUUUGCCAAUUCAUGCAAGCUCCUCUGACUGCUCAUUGGAAGGCUGUCAAGAGAAUUCUACGCUACCUGGCUGGCACUCUUCACCAUGGACUCCAUCUUCAGCACAGCUUCAACUCACACCUCAACAUAACAGGGUUUUGUGAUGCAGAUUGGGCAUCAGAUGUUGAUGACCGCCACUCCACAUCAGGAUAUUGCCUCUUUCUUGGUCCAAACUUGGUUUCCUGGCACUCACGAAAGCAACAUACAGUCUCUAAGUCUUCCACCGAGGCAGAAUAUAGAAGUGUAGCUACCUUAGUUGCUGAAAUUUCUUGGUUGCAGUCUCUCCUCAAAGAAUUAAACAUAUCUUCCUCCACAACUCCGGUCAUUUGGUGUGACAACCUCAACACAGUGUACCUCUCGGCUAAUCCCAUUCUUCAUGCUCGGACUAAGCACAUCAAAAUUGAUCUUUAUUUUGUUCGAGAAAAAGUUCUUCAGAAGCAAAUACAAAUCCAUCAUGUACCUUCCUCCGAUCAGCUAGCAGAUGUCUUCACCAAGGCAACUCCUAACUCCAGAUUCCUCACCAUACGUGCCAAACUCAGUGUCAACCAAAGUCCACCCUGAGUUUGAGGGGGGCUGUUAGUGAACUAGUUGAGUUAGUUGUGAAGUCCAGUUAGUUUCAACCAAUCAUUUAUGUUUACAACCAACCUCUCAAGUUAGUUAUAGCUAUCAACAACUAAGUGUAUAAAUACUACAGAAGUGUAAUGAUAUAAGCACUGAAAAUAACAGCAAGAAACUUUACUCUGUUUUUCUCUUACUUUGUUUUCUCUUCCUCUUCUUCUAAUCGUUUCUGUUACUCCAUUUCUUCAAACAGAUCAAGAUGAGGGCCAGUAGUGGAGGAUGAGGAGAUUGAAAAGCUUCUGGAGCCCUUCUCAAAAGAGCAACUGUUGGCUUUGUUUCAGGAGGCAAUGGAAAAGUACCCGGACUUCGUUAAUAGCAUCUAGAGACUCGCCAACGUCGACCCGGCUCAACGAAAAAUCUUCGUCCACGGCAUGGGAUGGGAUACACCUUUAUUCUGUUCAAGCACCGGAACGACGCUCACAAGGCACUGAAGCAGCCAUAAAAGAAGAUUGGAAAUCGGAUGACCUCAUGCUAGCUAGCCUUUACCGGCCUCGUUCGAACGCCGUCACCGGUGGUACCUCCGGUGUCUGAGUAUACUCAAAGAAAUUUUUUUUUUUUGUGAGCAAUGUUUCUGCAGAGAUCGAUUCUCAGAAGCUACUAGAGUUCUUUGCAAAGUUUGUGGAAUUUUUUUAGGGUCACACAUUGCAUUGCUAGAAGGCAAUUGAUGGGCCAAGCCAAAAAAGCCUUUCCACCAUCACCACCAACAAAACCUACACCACUUUUGAUCCUUUUUUAUUCUUUAUAUUUUGAUAUCAAAGUUUCAAUUUUCAAAACUCAAAUUCUCAACUAAUUCUCCAAAAUUUCUAUUUUCAAAUAAUUUUCCAAAAUUCCAAUUUUCAAAUUUAAUUAUCGAAACUUCCGUUUUCAAAUAAUUUUCAAAUUUAAUUUUUAAAAAUUUCAUUCUCAAAUAAUUCUUCAAAAUUCCAAUUUUCAAAACUUCUAUUUUCAAAUAAUUUUCCAAAAUUCUCAUUUUCAAAUUUAAUUUUCAAAAGUUCCAUUUUCAAAUACUUUUCCAAAUUUCCAAUUUUCAAAUUUAAUUUUCAAAACUCUCACAUUCAAAUAAUUUUUCAAAAUUCCAAAUUUCAAAAUUCCCAUUUUCAAAUUUUUUUUUAUUUAAAUUCCAAUUUUUAAAUUUAAUUUUUAAGAUUUCAAUUUUCAAAUAAUUUUCAAAACUCUAGUUUUCUUUCAAAUAAUAUUAAUUCCACUUCAAUUUUCAAAUAUUUUUAAUUUUACAACUUUUCAUCAUUUAUUAGGGUUUAGGUAAAAAAAAUCUUGUUUUAAAUAAACUUGCUACAUUUCACUUCAGGUAAGUACUUUUACAAAUUUUCUUUAAUUUUCAAAUAAUAUUUUCUUUCUCUUUAUUUUAAAUAAGCAUGAAUAUAAUUUUAAAUAAGCACGAACAUAGGUUUGGUUUUUCGAAGAUCAUCUUUUCCAAAUAAGAAGUCACAUUUACGGUUUUCUUUCUUAUUUUGUUUUCCCUUAAAAAAAAUAAAACAAAAAUAAGUGGUGACUCCAAGUCUUUUCUAAAAAUCAUAAAUUUUUACAAAUAAAUAAAAAAUAAGUUUUGCUAUCGAGUGGGAAUGCAUCGUGCAAAAUACGAGGUCCACAUAAUACUAAGUUACUUUACUAAGAUAUUGAAUGCACUUUAAAUAUUCCAUUAAGUCAUCUUUAUCAAUGUUGUUGAUUAUGAACUUAUAUUUUUUUUAAUUAUUAUUAUGAAAUGCUAAAUUAAUUAUUACAUUUUAAAAUCUAUAAAAUUAAGUAUGAACGUGUAUAUUUUAAAAUCUAUAGAAUUAAUUAUUAUAUAUUUUUCUUAUUUUAUGUAUUUAAGAUAAAAAUAUUCAAAAUUAAUAAUUUAAAUUGUCGUGCACCACCUUCUCUAAAACCCUAGGGGUAUGUGCCCUUUUAUAGGCUUUCAAGCUUGGUCUUCAUCGACCCUCUCACAUGGUGGACAUCAAAGCUCUAGGCAAAAAGUAAGCUAAUGGAGGUAGUAAAGUUGACCCUUGUCCAAAAUCAAAAGGCCAAAAUGAGAAUGAUGAGAGCCAAAAAAAUAAUAAAUAAAUAAAUAAAUAAACCCAAACCAAUAUAAAUAAGCCCAAAACAAACAAAGCCUAAACCCGAAAAAUAAAAUAAACUAGGCCCAAAAUCAAAUAUACAAAGCCCAAACUCAAAACAAAUAUGAUAGCCCAAGGCUACAAAUACAUCUCAGAGCAAUAACCGAAGUUCAAAAUAAUAUCCAAGAACCCCAAUACCCAUAAACAUGAAUCAAUAAAUAAAUCCAAAUCAAAGCCUAUCGUGGACUAGUAUUUUUCAUUCGAUGCAUCCUUAGUAAAAAAUGACGAGACUUACUAUUUAGCGAAAAACUGAAUUUUAUUAUAAAAAAAAUGUAGUUGUCACUUAUUUUUAUUUAUUUAUUGAAGGGAAAACAAAAUAAAAAAUAAAAUCCUAAACAUAACUUUUUAUUUUGAAAAGUCAAGUUACCUAUUGGGAAGUUAACAUAAGGUAACACCUCUUUAAACACUAAGACAUAUCUCUACUAAUCAAAUUGAAAUUACUAUGACAAUUAGUCAAUUAAUUAAUCAUGAAUACCAAGAAGCUAAGCGUAUAUCAAAAGCAAAGUAUAGCAAAAGGCUACUUGAACAAGGCAUACAUAUCAAAGAAUCAAAUAAAUGAGAAGGAAAUGAAACUAUCUCAAACAAUGAACCAAGUGUUUUCAAGUAACAAUUGGGUUAGCUCACAAAUAAUAAUAAGGAACCAUAAGCUAGGCCUCAUAAUGAAUGUAACAUAUGCAUAUCUCAACUCAUGAAGUAAAUGAUAUGGUGUGAACAAGAGGAAACAGGAUACAAUAAAACAUGUGGGUUGCCCCCUCGUUCGACAUCAUUCCAUGAAAACAAUGUCGUUCUAUGAACGGAGCAGAGGAUCGCUUGCACAUGGCACUAGUGACGAAGGAGUCGGUGGAAAACCGGCGCGGACCAAAGUCGGGAGGCAUAUUUUUCAUUUCUUUUUUUCUUUUUAAUAAUGAGGAGAAUCUGGUAAUUAUGAAUAAUUGGACAGGUGGAGCCUCGGAAUGAAGCAUGUCAGAGACCUCUAUUUCCACGAGGAUACACAGGGAUAUAGUUUUGAAGAAAAGAGCCAUCACCCUUAUCUUGGUCAUCGCAAAUUGUAUAUAGAUGUGGCCAAACAGAUUCAUUCUAGCGUAAACCUUACAAUGGCAAUAGCCAUCACCCUCAUAGGCCAAGCCUUGAUCUCUCUCGUUUGGUUUUGGAAGCCAAAAGUCCAAUCUCUUUUAUCCUUUGGGCCUCUUAUAUAUGGAGAGAGAGAGAUUGAGGCUGUCUCGAAGCUUGUAGUACAAGUUGCAAAUGACAUAUUGAUCCUGCAGUUUUUAGUUAGUAUAGUCACCACCCAUGGCUUGCGUUUUUAUUUUUAUUUAUGUGAGAGCAGAAGCUUUACUGUCUCUCUAUGGUGGCGGUUAGCUGCAAAGUGAAGUGCUGUUUUCUUGGUAUCUUUGAUUGCAAGGUAAGUUACAGACUUAUCUGAUGAUUUGUCUAGUAAUUGCUCCGCAAUUUUAGUAUAACCCAAGUAUGCAGCACAGUGAAGGGGAGACCACCCAUUUUCAUCAACUUCUUUUGUUAGAUCUGGCUUCCAUUCCAAUAACUUCGCUAUCAUGUCUGAUAAACAAAUGAACCAACAAAAAAACAGCAGAGAAAAAAAUUUAAGAAAUUCCCUCUAGUAAAGCAUGACCCUUAGAGGUGAUCAUGAUCUCUAACAAUAUAUUGCAUGAGUAACUAACCAUGUAGGAAUCAAGAUUCAAGGAAAGGAUCUGCAUGUGUGUUAUACCUUGGUCCUCACGAAUUACAGCAGCAUGCAAAGCCGUUCUACCCAUUAUGCCACUGUGAGAUGGUGAAGCGCGAGUUUUGUCUAUAAUUAUACACACCAAGUCUCCAUAUCCUCUCUCGGCAGCCAUGUAAAGAGGAGUGUAGCCUGUAAUAUUUGCACCGUAGAUAAACUCAGGGUCUUCCUCAAUCAAUGACACCACAAUCUCUGAAUGAUGAUACCGCACCGCCUCAUGCAAGGCUGUGUCUUUCUCCUUAUUGGUCAUCCUCAACAUCGCCUUGUCUGUUCCAACCCCACUUUCGAUCUCUUGGUGAAGUGCUUUUGUGGCGUCAAGGAGAGCUUUCACAACCGCCCCAUGGCCUUCUCUCGCAGCAAGGUGAAGUGGAGUGUCGCCUUUCAGAUUGGGCUGCUGCAGUAGAGGUGAACAUGAAUGAAAGUGAAGGAUCCACUCUACGCAUGCCAGCUGACCGAACUGGGCUGCAAUGUGGAGGCCAGUGUUCCUUUUUGGGGUUUGUUGGAGUGGAAGAUGAGCUUCUGAGUACUUUCUCUCGAGGAUACUGAUAUCACCUUUAUACAAAGCCUCGUACAAAUCAGCAUCCAUGUGGGUGAUCUCAGUUUGGCCAUCAGCUGCAAUCUGGUUCGACAUCUCAGUUUGUCUUGAAAAGGUUUCCAAGUUAAGGUUCUGCGAUUCUGUAAUUUAGUUGGAGCUGGACUGAUUCACUAUUGGCGUUGGAGGAGCAAAGUAAUAAUCAACUCUUCAGAUUCUAUAUAUAGCGCAUAGAAAAGUUGUUUGUCCAUCGCUACAAUUUUACUAAACCCAAAUUUAUUUUUAACUUUUUCUUCUUUUUCCUUUUUCCUUGCACUCUUGCACUCUUGCACUCCUGCACUCCGUGUCUGGAUAGAGCCUAGAGAUUAGGCUUAAUUUUACGUGUCUCACCCGAUUCCACUGCAUCAUAUACGAUAGAGAAUAAGCUCACUGUGGCAUAACUCUUUAGCUAGAGAGAGAUUUAAGCUUAUGCUUGGUACUAAAAUUAAGAUUUCAUUUUAGUAUUGGUAAAAAACCUAGAUCUUCGAGUCAAAAGUUUCACAUUGAUCUAAGUUGGUUAGGAUUAUUAGUGGGCAAGAAUUGAUAUCUUGACUUUGAUGAGAAAUGUGAAAAUGAAAUCUAGUAGCUAUUUUGAACAUAUAUAUAUAUAUAUUAAGCUUCUUUUUCGCCAAAAAAAUAAGUCGAAGAUGAGUUAAAUAGUUUAAAGUUAUAAUUAAGUUAAUUAGCGAAAUUAUUAAAUCAAUCCAUUUGAAUCUAUGUUGUGUAGGUCGAUAUAAAAUCUAUAUAUUUAUUAAAUGUGUUAUACAGGCUAACAUAAAUUUGAUCCAAACUCAAUUAUACUUGACCCAAACUUGUAAAAAGCAUAUUAAGUUUGAGUUGUGUUGACGUAUUGUAUCAAACUUUGUUAUGCCUACAAAAUAUAAUGUUAAGGCCCAAAUGAUUAAUAAUCACACAUGCUAAAGAGAGGAAAACCUAAAGAUUACCUGUUUUCAUGAUUGCAAUAUAUUUUUUUUUGGAAAAAAGUGUGCUUCCAUACUCAUAUUUAACAAUAUCACAAGAUAAAAAUCUAUUAAAAGUAAUUUAAGUUUUAUGCACUCUAAAGUCAAGAUAACAUUUAGGGUAGUCAAAGGUAUUACUAAUAUUAUUAAAAAUAGUACCAAUUUGCAAAAAAGUAUGUAAAAUCUGAAUUAUUUUUAGAUAAAUAUAUUCAAUUGGAAAAUUUUAAAUUGGGAUUGUUAUGUGAUUUUUUUCAAAUGUAUGUAUGAAAACAUAAUUUAAUUUCUUAGAUUUUCUCUAUAAAGCUUGGUACCAAGGAGAGUUGUUUUGGCUCAAAAGUCCAUGUUUCUUUGUUCGUUGUCUAUUUAGUGAUUUUUUUUUCAUUUUUCUUUUUCUUUAUGUGGGGACGAAGUGAAGUGUAGUAUUUGUCUGGUACUGAAUUUUCUAUUUAAUUUAAUUAUCCUUUUUUUUGCCCUUUUGGUGGGGGAUGAAGUGUAAUAUUUGUCCAUUGCUUUCCUUUUCUUUUAUUAGAGACAAGUGGAAUAUUUGUUUGUUAGAAUUUUCUCUUUUAAUUAUUCUUUUUAUUUCUCUUUUGGUGGGAUGAAGCAUAAUAUUUGUCCAUUAUUGAUAUUUUUUUUUCUUUUUCUUUUUUUAGGGAUAGGUGGAAUAUUUGUUUGUUAGAAUUUUCUCUUUUAAUUAUUCUUUUUUUUUUUUUUUUACUUUUGGUGGAGGAUGAAGCGUAAUAUUUGUUCAUUACUUAAAUUUUUCGUUUUCUUUUUCUUUUUUUUUUCUUUUUUCUUUUUGUAGGGACGAAGUGAAAUAUUUGUCCGUUACUAAAUUUUCUCUUUUAAUUUUUAUUUUUCUUUCACCUCUUUCAAUGCUUAUUUUUCUCUCUUGGGGAUGAAACAUAAUAGUUGUCCAUUACUGACUUUACUUUUUUCUUUUUUUUUUUGUGAACAAAAUGGAACAUUUUUCGGUUAUUGAAUUUUCUCUUUUAAUUAUUUUUUUAUGUUUUCUUUUUGUGGGGGCUAAAGCAGAAUAUUUGUAAUUUUGUGUUUCUCUUUCACUUUUUGUGGGGACGAAGUGAAAAUAUUUGUCCUUUAGUAUUGACAUUUGGAUAAAAAAAUGAGUAGGAAAUAGUUACACAACUUGGCAUCAAACGCUUUUAAGCUAACUUCAACUCAAAUAUAAAUAUUCCUUCCAACAUAAAGAAACUUAAGGAAAAAGAAUGGGAAGAAGUUCCAAAUUUUUUUAACCUAAUUAAGUAGAUUACGAAAAUCGGUCGGUCUUUCAAUGUAGCCUCUAGUGUUUUCUUUUUUUCUUUUCAAGUGAUAUCACCUCUAGCCAAUUCUUAAAUGUCAUAUUAGCUCUUCCAUUAGGAUUUUCCAUAGGAAUUGAUGAAAAACUCAUCCGAAAAACAGGUAGCAUUAGUAUAAAAUUUUAUGUCAUAGGUUGGAAUAUGUUCAAAUUUUUUGUGUUGAUGAUAUGUUUUCCAUCCAUUUUUUACACAUGAAAAAACUUAAAAAAUUAUUUAAUAUUUAAGGAUAGUGUAGGAUUAAUAUUGUAACGCCCAAGUUUCUUUUUAGGAAAAUAUUAUUAAUAAUAAUAUUAAAUUAAUUAAUUAAUUAAUUUAAUAAAAUGAAAGAGGGGUGAAAAGGUAAUUUUACGAAUAAAUACCCUAGGUAUAAAUUAGAAUUCUGUUCUUCCUGUUCUUUUUUGAAUCGCGUUCCUGUUCGCAGAGAGUUCCUGAGACCGUAAGAUUGGAGUUGGAUUUCAGGGUUUGAAAAACAUAUCUUUAUAGGUAAGAUUCUAACCCCUAGAUUAAUAUUUUAUAUUCAUUAGUUAAUUUUAAACACAUUAGAUAUUUUUUGGAAAACCCAAAUCUAGAUUAGGGUUAGUUUAUUAUUAUUAUUUUAAUUCGUUUUAAUAUCAAAAUAGUGAAAAUUUAAGAUUUUGAUUUAUUGUUGGAAUUUGGGAGAUCUUAAGUUUUUUUAGAUGAAAAAAAAAAAAAGAUUCCUAGGAAGAUUUCGAUUUAGAUUAGGGUUAAUUUAUUUAUUUAUUUUUAAAUAAUAAUAAAUAAAUAUAUUGUUAAUUGUGGCUUAAGGGAUUAGAAAAAUACAAUUUGAUUUAACAAAAAAAAAAAAAAAGAGAAAGCGUGUGCACCGGAAAAUAGAAGGUUGGUGAAAAAAAGAAAAAAAACGUGUGUGCACUGGUUGCAUGCGUGUGGGAACUGUGCAUCCAUUUUUUUUUUUUUUUUUGUAAGGAUUUCAUGGUUGAAAUUUAGUUGGUGGAUUUUCACAUACUCUAUUAUUAGGCUUUGAUGGAUACUUGGGUAUGUAAUAUUUAAUAGUAGCAGGACUCCGUAUAUUAGACUUUGAUGGGUACUUGAGUACUGAGUACUGUAUUAUUUAACAAUGGCAGAGCUUUGUGUUAUUAGACUUUGAUGGGUAUUGUAUUAUUUAAUAAAAGAAGAUGUGUACGAAUGGUAUUGAGGUGGUUAAUAUAUAUAUAUCUGUGUGUGUGUGUGUGUGUGAAACCAAGGUUUGGUUAAUCUUGAUUUUGAUGAUAACAAAACAAGGUUUAGAACUAAUGACUACAUUUUAAGUGUGAUUAGGUAAGACGACUUCCAAAGUGGUAAUCCAAAGAUAAAACAAGCCAAAGAGAAAUCAUGAAGAAGAAGACCACCUCAAAGAGAAGAGUUUUUCAAGACCAAAGCUUCUUAAGAUCUCUUUGUAAGGUUGUUGGUGCACUAUGACUUUCAUGCAUUUCAUUCUUUAUUUAUGCACCAAAAUCAUCCAAGAGUAAUAUUGUUUUAAAUAUCUUAAGAAUUGGAUGAUUUCAUGUUUUCAACUAAAACCUUGUGUUAAAUGAUUUUCAAACUUGUGUUAAAAGGUUUUAAGUUGAAAAGGGUUGAGUGUUGAGCCAAAAAAAUGGCUCAACCGGUCAACCGGUUGUGCUCGUCCGGUCGAGGAUCGGUUGAGGGAGGCCAAAAAGUUUCUCUCUCUCCCAGUGACCUUCUCUUCCCGGUCAAGGUUGAACCUCAUGAUCAACCGGUUGAGGUCUAGUCGAGGUCCGGUCGAGGUCCGAUUGAGGUCCGAUUGAGGCCCAACGGUCACUUUCCCUAACGGCUAGUCAACCGGUCGAUCCCUAGCUCGAUCGGUCGAACCCCCAACGGCUAGUUUGACUUUUUUCUUCUAUAAAAAGGCUUCAAUCUUCAUUGUUUCAAAAAACUUAACCUUCCCAAAUCAUUCUUGAUUAUAUUUGAGCCUUGGAAGAGUGUUUUUGAGUGCACCAUUGUUUCAUAACUUGCAUAUCUUUAGUGCACCAUUCAAUCUUAGUUUUUCUUGUAUCUUUGAGCCUAAAGUUCUAUCACUAAGAUUUUGAGAGAUCAUUAUUUGUAUAUCUUUGUGAUGAAUUUUCUCAAGUGUGGGGUAUCACUUGAGGGUUGUUCAAGAGUGGGAUAUCUCUUGAGAAGUGUAAAGGGCGCUUGGAGCCAAAAGUCCAAGAGGGUGAAUUGGAACCAUAAUCCAAUUGUAAAGAGAUUGGAAGCUUGGUUGAAGCUUCAAGAUAGUGAAACCCUCACUCGGUUAGGAGGUUGAGGAGAGUGGACGUAGGCAAGAAAGUGUCGAACCACUAUAAACUCUCGUGUUUGCACUCUCUCUUCCCUAACUCUUUUAAAUUAUAUGCAAUUGUGUUUAUUUUGUUUAUUAUAUACUUGCAUAUAAUUGUCUCUUAUUUUUGCAUAGUUUAAAUUUGAGAAAAAGAGACUAUCACCCUAUUUACUCCCCCCCCCCUCUCCUCCUCCUCCUCCUCUAAGGUGAUUACCAUAGUUUGGAGUAGCCCUAUUUUUCUAAUAAUAUAUAUAUAUAUAUAUAUAUUAUAUUAGCAAUGAUGGAGAGUUGUUGUGUAUAAGCUAUGUUUGGUGAAAAAGUGAGAAAAUAUAAUUUAUAAAUAAAAGAAAGUAAAGUUUUCGGUAUUAUAAUUAUAUUAAUGAUGGGUGUAAUGUAAUAAAUAGUAUAGAAUUUAAUUAGUGAAAUAAAUUACAAUUUUAUUAAAUUAUGUUGUGUCUCAAGAAAUAAAUUGAAAAUAAAAUUUAAGUUUUAUAUGAAUUAGAAAUUUAUUAAAUUUUCUAAAAUAGGAAUAGAUUAAAUUAUCUUUCAUAAUAAUAAAAAAAAAACAUUAAUUUGAAUGUCUAAAAUUUUAGGCUUGUCAAACCUAUAAUUUUAGAUAAAUAAUAAUGGUUAUUUCUCUUAUAUUUUGUUAGGUGAAGAGUUGAUUUUCAGGAUUAUUUUUCUCCAAAGUUUUUGAGGACUUCUUUUGAGGUAAAGGAAAUUAAUGCAGUUAUUAUUUUUUUAGAAACAAAUUUUUAUAUACAUCAUUUGGAAACAUUUUGAGUUAUUAUUCGUUUUAUGUAUGGAUCAAAUAUGUUUUGCAUGAAAAGUAUGUUAAAACCAUAUUUUAUUUACAACAGAGAAAUGUGGAGAUAUUAUGUUUUGCAAAUUUGAAUAAUUGAAAUAAGUGUUUGACUCUGGUUUGUUUGGCCCUUGUCAACGAGAUAUAAUAGUUGACUUUUGACUUUUUGACCCUUGUCAAUGAGAUAUAAUAGUUGACCUUUACAUUUCUUGGUGGGAAAUGUAAUUGAUUUGGACCCCAGCCUCUAGGGGUUUGGUUAGAGGUUACUAAUACUAGUAGUGUUUGGUUCCGUCCACCUUAAAUAAACAAUUUGAGGCUAGCCACCUAUUUGAAAAGUCUCACAUAACUGGGCACCAUUUGAUGUUUGAUGACCAGAGUAACUAAAUUAUUUGAAUGUUUUGAUUGAAUUUGACAUGAAAAUGUUUGAAUCAGAAAUAAAAGUGUACAAAUAAAAGUUUUGAAUGUAUUGACAAAACCGACUCAAAAGUUUAUGAAAAUAAUUAGUUAUAAUAUCUCAUAUUUUGCAAGUGAACUUGAAUAAUUUGAUCUAUGGACUGCAUUAAUGUUCCUUAUUGGGCUUUGAACUCAUUCCCCUUUGUUAAUAAUUUUUUUCAGGUACCCUUAGUUCGGGCGAGGAGUGAUGACUAGGUCAGGGAAUGGUCUUCAUUAGGAUUUUGCUUAGGAUGUUAUUUUUGGACAUUGUUAGCUUAUAAGUUUAUGUUCAUUUGGAUUAUUUGGUUUUUGGAAGCUAUUUAGAUUUGAACUUACAAAUUUUUUUUUAUGAUAGUUUGAAGUUGAGAUUUGGAGAUUAUGAAAAUUUGUUAACACUUGAUUUGUUUGAGUUUGCAAUCUAUUUGGAUAAUGGAUUUUGGUUGAUGGAUGCUUAGUUUUAAAGUUACGUUUGAAGAUUUUAGAAUUUUGUUCCAUUACUCUGAAUAGGUAUUUGGUAAUUGGUUACUUCCAAUUACAAUAUGAUUGUUUGGGUCAUGUUACACUUUAAGCCUUCGGGUUUGAGGUGUGAAAUGACCGGCAUGCCCUUGGAGUGGGUCUUAGGACGUGACAAAUAUUAUAACAAAAAAAUAAAAAAAAAUAAAAUUGGGGACUUAUAAAUUAAGAUAUAAAUAAAAGUAUAAAUUUCACACAAGAGAGUAAGGAAGAAAAUGUCGGGAUAUAUCGAAAGGUUUCAACACGAUAAAUCAUGGUGAUAUAUCAGAGAGGAGAAAUUUCUGUAAAUAUCACCAAAAAAUCACAGAUAUAUCGGUUGGAGGCGAUAAAUAGCCAAUUUUUUUUCAUUAAUCUGUUGUCACAAAAAAAAAUCGCCGAUAUUUCUGCAAAAAGAAAAUGCCCUCCUCUGCCCAGACUGCCUGCCCCUCUGCCCAGGCUUACCCUAUGCCCAGACUCCCUUUCCCCAGCCAAUCUCCUGCUCAAGCUCUAUUCCCCACUUUGCCUAUAUAUGAGACCUCCACGGUUCCACCUGCUCCUCUGCCCAGGCCUAUCAGUCUACCCAAGCUCCCCUUCCCCAGCCAAUCUCCUACCUGGGUUCCAUUCCCCAUUUUGCCCAUAUAUAAGACCUUCAUUCCCCUUUGUUAAUUUUAACCAAACGUGUGUAUAUAUAUAUAUUAAAAGUAUUCACAAAAGAAUAUUUUUGAAAACAAAUUAAUUAUAAUUAUUAUAAAAAAUUAUAAAAAUUAUAGAUAUAUUAUAAUUUAUUUUAUAUCAUUUAAUAUAAUUAAAUUAAAUGAAUCAUAAAUUUAACAUUAAAUAUAUUUUAAAAUUAUAUAUAUUAUGAUUAAAUAUUAUGAUAUUAUUAUAAAAUAAUAUUUGAUGUAAUUUAAUAAUAAAUGUACACUUAUAAAAUUCAUAUUUUUAUCAAUGCAUACGAUAUUAUUAUCAAAUAUGAUAAAUCAUAUUAUACAUAUAUCAAAUUAUUUAAUAAAAUAACUUAAAAAUAUCAUUGUACUUCUAAUUACAUUUUUAUGAAGUUUUUCUUAUAUUUUUAUAAAUUUUGAUCAAUUUUAGGCUUAUCAAUAUUUUUUUCUAAAAUAUCCGUCGAUAUAUCUUUGAUAUAUCCGUAAUUACCGAUAUUUUCAUCCUUCCAGGAGAGUAAAUAAAAUUAAAAAAAAAAAGAAAUUAUUGAAUUUAAAUAACACUUUUCUUUCUUUCCUUUUUGUUUCCCAUUGUUUUUAAUGUGCUAAUGGAGCCAUAACAUGUGUGUUGGUCAUAUGUUUCCUUUUGUUUAAACAUUGACCCAAAGCCUUAGUGGAUCUCUACGGUUAUGUUUGGUUAUUUGGAAACUUGAUAGAAAAUGUGAGGGGAAAAAAAUAGGGAAGAAAGAUAAAAGGAAAGAAAAAGUGACAAAAAAAAAAAAGAUUUAAAAACAAUAAAUUAUUUGUAUAUGUUUCUUCAAAAGUUAUUUCACUUAUUUUCCUUUAUUACAUAAAGAUUAAAUAAAUUAAAAAUAUAUCAAUUUUUAACAAAUUUUAAUUAUAUUUGUCAAAUUAUAGGUGUAUAUAUAUUUAAAAAUAUCGCCAUUAAUAUAAAUAUAUAUAUCAAAUAUAAAUUAAUCUAAAAAAUGUUAAUAAAGACAAUGGUAGAAGUAUCUUAAAACCCUACCACCUCUAUCAAGAUGUAUGUGUUAAUACUUAAUAUCCUCCAAACUUUGUCAUUCAAAUUAAAACAAGAGUUGGAAGUAUAUCAUAAUAGAACAAUUGUUUUUCAAGAGAUGAAUAGUACCUUUUAACUUAGGUUCACAUUCCUUAGUGGACCCAAUUAAUUAGUAAGUGAAAUUUCAAACAUAAAUCAAUCUCAAAUAUUAAUAUCGAUAAAGACUAGGUAUAUACCAUAUCAAAAUGGUAGAAAUAUCUUAAAACCCUACCACCUUUAUCAAGAUGUAAGUAUUAAUAUCCUCUAAGUUUUGUCAUUCAAAUUAAAACAGGAGAUAAAAAUAUAUCAUAAUAGCACAAUUAUUUUUCUGUGAUGAGUAGUCCCUUUCCACUUAGGUUUACAUUCAAAGACAUAUAUAACAUGAUUUUAAAACACACAAUUCACUCAAAUCUUAUUAGAUUUUACCAAAUCCACAUCAUCGUCUCUUGUGCAAACACCGGAAAAACCAUCAAACCUAAUAAAAAAUCAUUAAAAAAAAAAUCUAAUUGUAAUAUAAUUACAAAAAAAAAAAAAAAAUCUUAUUUUUAAAAACAAAAGUGAAACAAGGUUCGGUGAAAGUGGUAGAUGUAUCUAUGUUCAAACUCUACUAGCUAUAUUCUAAGAGUUCAAAAGAGUCAGUGGAGGUACAAUGGGGCAACAUAAUUGUUUUGGUGGAAGUGUUUUGUGGCUCCUUCAAAUCUCAAGUCCGUAUUUUCAAAGUUGUUUGUCCAAAUAGGAUUUUCCUUUUCUUUUUGGCAUGAUAAGGAUAGCUUGUAAAGAUUAGAGAAAUAAAGAUUUAUUUAACAAAAAAAUAAUUUAUAUAAAUUAAAUUUAAAAUAAAAAGUCACUCACAAGUAAACGUAAAAAUUGAAAAAUUAUCCAAAAAAAAAUUGUGUUUUCUUUUUGUCAUACUAUCAAAUAUUUUUCUUCUUAUUUUUAUAAAUAAAAAAUAAACCCAGGAUUAGAAAAUAUUUUUUUUCUAAAAAUUUUAGAAAAUAUGGGCAUGUUUGGUUAGUUGUUUCAAAAAAAGUUUUCUGUUUUUGAGAACAAAACAUGUUUGAUAAGAGAGUAGUUUUUGUUUCCAUGUGUUCUCUGUGUUUUCUAAAACCUGGUUUUCAGAGAACAAAAAAAUGGUGUUUUUCGUCACUGUUCUAAGAAGAAAAAAAAUAAAAUUUUCUUCAUAUUUUCAAUCACUGUUCUUGGGUGUUCUCAUCUCUUCACUAUGAAGGAAAAUUCUUUACACUAUGAGAAAAAAAAUCAGAAAAUGGGAAAAAUAAAAAAAUCGGUCUAACAAAAAUUCAAACAAAAACUUAACAUUAUCGACAAUUUUUUUAUUUUUUGGUCAUUUCCAUUUCAAUAUUUUUCAGAUAUUUCAGGAUUUAUCCCCAUAUGAUUUUUCGAUGCAUUUCAAAGCCAAAACCUCCAUAUAUUCUAGGAUUUCCCUGAAACUAAACAAAACAUAAACAAUAAGACAAAAAACCAAGAAUGCAAAAAAUGAAAAAGAAUAGAAAAAUUAAAACAAAAGUUGAAACCCUAACCAGGAAUCUUUACAACAACCACAAUAUGGAUUUUGAUCUCAGUAAGUAAUGUUUUGAUCUUAAAAGAGAGAAAUAAACCGACGGUGAAUAAAAAUUUGGAUAUUGGAAGAGAAAGGGAGAUAGGAAGGAAAGAGAAACAGAGAAUAGGAGGGGAAGAGAAACAGAGGAAAACAGAAGAAUGAGAGAAAUGAGAACAUGGUUUCAGUCCCAAUAAAUAUAAAUAUAAAUAUAAAUAUAUAUAGUAAAAUAAGUAAAAUAGUGAAAAUUAAUAAAUGUUUAUAAAUAAAUUAGUUUGAUUUCCUUUUAAUUUUUUUUAUCUUUUAUAUAAUUAUUAAAUAUAAAAUAAAAUUUAAUUUUAAAUAAAAUUAUAAAUAUUUUUAAACAAAAAUUAUCAUAAAUAUAUCAUUAUUAAUUAAUUUUUUAUAUUAUUAAUUACAUUUAAAAUAGAAAAAAUACAUCAUCUAUUUCUAAGUAUAAUGCAUUACUAUUUGAUAUCAUAAAUUUUAUCUUCAUAAAAUCCAAUAAUUGAUAUUUACCAAUUUAUGACAUUUUGAUCAUAUAAUUUAUCAAUUAUUGAAAUCAAACACAUUUAAAAAUAUUUAUAAAGUAAUCCUUUGUUUGAAAAAAUUAAAAAUGAUGCAUAAAAUUUUCAAAAUGAAACAUUUUUAUUUUUUAUAAAGUGUGAAUGUAAAAAUUAUUUAUUUAUUUAUAAUAUCAAUUAGUUAAAGAAAAUACUCAACUUUAAAAAACAAAACCAAUUAUUAUUAUCUAUUGUUGAAUUUUUUUUAUUUGUAUCCUUUUUUCAUUAAUGGAGAGGAGUUAUGAAAAAAAUUCAAUUAAAAAAAAAACCAACUUUUAAACAUGUUUUUUAUUUUAUUUAUUCUAAAACAUUUUUUUUCUUAACUUAACCAAAUAUAUUUUUUAGGUUUUUAAGAAUAAAACUGUUUUUUAAAAUUCAGUUUUCAAAUAUAAUUUUACUUUUUAAAAUAUAAAAAAUUAUUCUUAAAAACUAUUUUCCUCCACAAGUUUUAAAAACACCAACCAGGCCUAUAUUUUCUAAAUGUUUUCAUGAAGAAUCUUUACCUGUAGUUAUUUUUAAUAAAUUUUAGUAUAUUUGAAAAGAAACUAAAGAAUCCAAUUCAACUUGAUUCAAUUUUGGCUAGUAUAGACUUCUAAAUUAUUUUUAUAAAUUUUUAGACUUGUCAUUGAGUAAACAUGGAUAGUUCAAUAAUUUCUGGAUUGGAUUAUUUGGCAAAAAAUUGGGAAAAUAAUUGUGUUUUAAAAUGUGCUAUUUUACACAAAUUUGGAACUAAUAGAGGUUGAGACUAAGUUGAUGCUCUUUUAGUCACCAGUUGACUUAGUUAUCAAUUUUCUAAGUAUAUAUAUAGUUGAAAGACUCAUUGGUUCAAGUUUUACAAAAGUUGGACUCCAUUUUCCUAAAUUCUUAUUUUCAAGUUCAUCGAUUUCAGUCUAAGGUGGUGUUUGGGUGAAAGAAGACUAUUAGGUGUUGUUCGUGUGAAAGAAGACAAUUAGGGCCAUAGGAUCUUAGCCAUCUUUUAUGAAAUUUCCAAAUCUAAAAGUUAAUUUGAAUAUUCAUUUGUUUUUAUUUUGAUUACAAGGAUUUUUGUGAGUAGUUAAAAUAUAAAUGGUUUUAGUAAAUUUUCCUAAAAUAAAUAUCUCUUGUAUGCAUUAUACAUUACUUGUUCAAAUCGAUUAUUAGUAUGAGAUAUAUGUGAAAUUUCUAUUUGGUCGAAAUACAUAUGAUUAAUAUUAAGUUUGCAAAACUAAAUACUACUUCUUCUUCAAGUAAUUAUUUAAUUCCUUGCGUAUGUGUACAAUAAUGUAAUUACAUACUUUGUUAAAUUUUAAAUUAAUUGUUAAAGUUUUAGAGAUUUAUAUAUAAUAGGUAUCAUACAUAACACAUAUAUCAAUGAGGUGUUUCAUUUUGUUUUGAUCUAAAACUUUACACCAUCUUCAGCUGCAGCCUGGUUGGUGAUCUGGAUUUCCCUAGCAUCUUCAGCUCCAACCUGAUUGGACUCUCUACUCAAGUUAAGGCUGGAAGUAGUGGAAUCGGCCAUUGUUGUUUGAUGAGCAGUCUCCUUUCUAUAUUUUGCGCCAAGGAUGGGAAACAAGUUGACCAAUUGUUUAAUGGAAUGGGUGGCUCUUAGUUCAACCUUGGGAGAAGUUGAUACUUCUUAUAGCCUGCAGGCCAAAACGUUGGGCUGAUGACAAUUUCCCAUCUCAUUGGAUGGAUCCAUAUGCAUAAACAGUACAACGAAAUAUUUGGUCACAUAUUCAAUUCUUAACAAUCCCUUGUAUGAUCAAAGUGAAGAGAAUUUAAAUUGCAUAGGAUCACAUGUUAACAUUUAAACAUGCAUUUAAUAGCAAAAAUUCAUCCGGUUACCUUGGUUCAUGCCAUCAGAAGCCAUUUCUUUCCCCUCUGAUAUCCAAUAAGCUGCUUUUCGGGUGCGUGAUGGUCCGAGAAUGAGGGAUCAAUGAGCUCUUCCCUUGCCUCCCAAAAUUCAGUCCAAAGUGAAGUGUGUGUGUGUUUUCUGGGAGUGCUCUCCAAAGAGAAGAAAAUAUGAUAGCUCCCCCAAUGCACACACAUCUAUAUAUAUAUAUAUAUAUAUAUAUAUAUAUAUAUAUAUUACACAUUACACACUUUAUUUGGACGACUUGACUUAAUAGGCCAGUCAAGUGAAUUAGGAUAAGCCUAUAAAAAUUAAGCAACAAUAUGUGUCCAGUCCCAUUGUGGACCACAAUGCAAAAAAUAAAUUAACACCGAUUUAUGAUAUUAUCAAAUUGAUUAUGUAAGUCCACACAUAAAAAUUCCAACACAAAGAAGUUCAUUGAAUUUUACCCAAAAAAAUAUAAGCAUUAUUCUAAUUAUGUCUUUUAUUUUCAUAAAUAUUAAAUAUAUUUGGUAGCAUCAUUGUUCUUAAAAAUUAUAAAUAGAAAAUUAUUUUUGCUAAUUGUAUUAAAAAUAAUAAAUACAAUAUUAAUUUUUAUAAUUAUUAUAUGUUAUAUUUUUUGUGAUUUCUUCAAUGGAUUUCAAUGACUUUUAAUGUCGACAAGCAAGACAUACAUGCUGUUGGUUUAAUUGUAGAAAAACAAGAUGUGGUGAGUUUCGCGUGUUAAUUUUGUAAAUUGAAAUGUGGAAACAGUUGGUUUCUUUCCAUUUAUGUUUUAAUUUUUCUUCAUUCAUGUUUAUGUUCUUAUUCUUUCCUCUUUUUUUUUUCAAUUUUUAAUUUAAAUAUAGGUAUGGAAUCAUAAUUGUCCAUCUCUUAAAAGUAAUCUACAUUAAAAUGUACAUCAAAUAAAUUUAAGUGAUGAUUAAGAAUAAGGGCACGAAACUUAGGAAAGGGCUAAAAUAAAAGUUGUAAUUGUUUUUAAAAAUAAUUUUAAAAAAUAACUUUUUAAAACAGUUUUUGAAAAUUGUUAUCUGAUGUCUUAUAGAAUAAAAAUUUGUUUGAAAACUUGAAAUAUUUUUAAUCUAUUUUUAAUGUUUUUAAAUAUAUUUUAAAAAUAAUUUUUUAUAUUUAAUAAUUUUAUUUAUUUAUAUAAUUAUUUUUUUAAAUAUUCAUAAAAAAAUAAGUGAAAACAAUUAAAAUAUUGUGGACCCCGCAUUUCGGCUCAUGCGUUUCCCACUCGAUGGCGAGCUCGAUUUUUAUUUGAAAAAUUGAUUUAUAUUGAUUAAAAAAAAUGACUUGGAGUCGCCACUUAUUUUUGUUUUAUUUUUAAAGGGUAAACAAAAUAAGAAAAGAAAACCCUAAGUGUGACUCCUUAUUUUGGAAAAGGUGAUCUACGAAAAACCGGAUCGGGCUCGGGGGUCAGGUUACUCAUCGGGAAGGUACGGUAAAGACCGUAGCACUCCUCUAAGCCCCUAAAGUCGGGUCUCUACUAAUAAAAUGAAGCUGACAUGGUAAUUGAUGAAUAAAUCAAUGAAUACCCAGAGCGAAACAUGCACAUACGGGAGUCAGAAAAUGCAUAUAAACUAACCAGAGUAGGAAUGAGCGUGUACCUGAGCAGCGAGCCACCAUGCGCUAUCAAGAGAGAAGGUUAGUACAAAAUAAAGAGCAGAAACAUAUAUAUCUCACAUGUCACUAAAUCGAGUACUAAAUCAUCAAAGGCACGCAUGACACUCUACUCAAAAUUUAUUUUUAUUUUAAAGAAAUUUUAUUUGAUGUUGGGCCCCCACCAAAGCCCGUUUAUUUUUGAAUGAAUUAAUUCCAUAAAUUCCAUUAUUCGGAAUUACGGAAUUUAAUUCAUGUUUUUUUUUAAAAAAAAAAAUUUUAAAAAACAAAGAAAAUUCGAAAGUGGCGGCCAAAUUUUAUUGAAAAACGGAUUUUUGGAACCUAAACGAAAAAAAAAACUAAGGAUGAAAAAUUAAAGAGAUGAAAUUAUUUGAAAAAAAAGGAAUUUGAAAAAUUAUUUUCAGAGUCAAAAGAUGAUGGAAUGGGGGGUAACAUAUGACAUGAGAGUGGCCAGUGAACCAUACAACCGGAUGUACACACGUGUGGGCCCAAGGUAGAGUGAUGAGAUGGAACAUGAAAUACCCAAUGAAAACGAGGCAGCUCUGGAGACAUCAAAUGCAAACAUCUUAAUAAGACCUUCCUUUAGCACAUCAACUUCUCUUUCCUCGUUCGCUAUCUCUCCGAAAACAACUUCUGCAACUGGAUGCUGCGCUUGAUGACAGGUAAUAGCUGGCAUGGCUAGAUCAUUAACUACCCAUUUAAAGAUAUCGUCAUAGGCAACAAAAAUUAGUCUCACGAUCCGUCACUAUCAGAACAUUGGUUCAGUCAUCAUGAACGUAAGAACCAAUUCUUCCUUCAGCAUGGACCCUACAAGCCUGAUAUUCUCAUUCAACUCGCUGAUCAAGGGUGACUUCAAUUCUGGGACCAAAUACAAGCCACUGUGCUGCAGGGUUCACGUAACAGAGGCUUUCCAGAUUAAAUAAAUCAGCAUUGCAACCCACAGCUGCCACUUGCUCUUUCAUUCGAACAGGUCCAACCUCUAGCUCCUUCAUAAGCCACUGCAAUUUUGUUGACUUUCCUUCACCAGAUAUGCACUGCCCACAAUAUCCACUGGUGAAUCUGUGAAGUUACCAAAUGCGAGGGACCCCAUUCAUUUGAUUCUCAAAACCCAUAAGACAUACCGGGUUGCAAUCUCACCUUGCUCAUAGCAUGCUGAAAAAUUCUCUCCCUGAUGUAGCAUGAAGGUCCGGCUUGGCUAUCACCGUUGGGGGUUGGAGCAGCAGGGAGGACAUCAAUAUCUAUCUUCGAUGCCGUGUCACCAACAGGGACCUUGGGCUUCAUGGGCUUCUUGGACUUCACUUUCUAAUGGCACAUCAACAGAGGAACGCGAUAUUCAAGCCCAUAAGCUUCGCCCCGUUAUGGUUCUUUGCCCAAGCAGUAAGCUCACAUCGUAGAGGCUCAUCUCCACUUCGAAACUGUUGAGACGGAUGUACCAUUAUGUUCGUGGGCAUCUUGCAGGCUGUUCACUGCAUGGAAAUGUCUACACUGAUAUCUUGACAUUCUCUGGGACUCCUUAACAUCCUCAAUAUUGCAGCCGUGCAUUCUUUUGGACAUGGGUAAGUGGGAUAGUGUGAGGGUGUAGAGANNNNNNNNNNNNNNNNNNNNNNNNNNNNNNNNNNNNNNNNNNNNNNNNNNNNNNNNNNNNNNNNNNNNNNNNNNNNNNNNNNNNNNNNNNNNNNNNNNNNGAUGGGUAUAUAUGCUGAGUGAUGAUGAGAGAGAAAAGGUGGCGGAGAGAGAAUAUGAAGGUGAUGAGACAUGGGUAUGGAGUUGUGAUAGCAUGAGAUGAUGGAGGCCCAUGGGGGGGGGGGGGGGCGGCUGUAUGCAUGAACGGCAUGUGGUAUAUAGAGAUAAGGGCAGUGGUUGGCAUGUGAGGGUAGUAAUGGGUCUAGAAAUCGGUUAUGAAGGGUAUGAUGGAUAUGAUGAGUAGAUGGGGAAUGACAUGGUGCAUGGUGGUGUAGAGAGAGAGUGGUGGUAAUAGAAAUGGGUAUGAAAGGUGUAGGGAUAUGGGUAUGAGAGAGAUGACCAGAUUUGCAUGUUCUCAUGAGCGUGGGUGGAUGAAUCUGAGGAGUUUUGGACAGCCAUGCCUGGGCGGAAACAGGUAAUGGAUUGGUGGAAUGAGUAGAGAGGUUUAAUGAGAAAAUGGGUAUGGGAAAAGGUGAUCUAGCUUGCAUGGAAUUGGUGAUGUGGCGAGGUGAAGCAUUAAGGUGGCAUGGGAAGGCAGUAAGAUGCAAGGAGAAAUGGAUUUAAUGUAGACACCCAUGGCCGUGAAUCGAUGGAAGGAAUGAUUUUGAAAUACACUCAGAAAAUGGGUAUGGGGCUUGAAAAAGAGAGAGAAAAGGUGGUAAAAAAAAAAUGAGGAUUAGGAACGUGGGUAUGGAGUUUUGGGUGAUGAGAUGAUGUAGUUAUGGAGUGUGGGUAUGGGGAGUGAGCAUGGCGCAGCCACGCAUAGCCAUGCAUUCUUCACACGUCUAACCCCGUCCAGGAACUUUCUCCAGCUUUAUGCGCAUGCAAUAAAUGUGCUCUGCCCCCCCUCAUUGCACUAUGUGUAAGCAGAAAGCAGUUCCUCCAGAUCGGCAUCCCCACAUAUAUCACAAACUUUUACUUCAUAUUCCAAAACAUCUGAUUUAACAUAAUCAUCAACAAGCUGAGAUUGCAAAGGACGUUUCUGUGAGUUUGAAUGUCUCAAGUAAUGCACAAUACUCUUCAGAAUGUUCCUUUUUAUCUGACUUUUGACCACCGAAACUAGAGGCUGCCACUGCCACUCUCGCCGAUGAUGAUUCAACUUGUUUUCCAAAGCAUUCAGAAGAUUCUCCCUUCGGUGAUGUUGGAUUUGGACCAGCAUAAACACCUUUUAAGUAAGAAAAUUCUGACGGGUCCAAUUUGUUUGAUAAGCCAGCAGUUUUCCUCAUGGAUUCUUUAAUAAAUUCCUCUCCAAACUUUCGAAGUCCCUCAAAACACCCAACCCGGACAGCCAAACUUAAACAAAAAUAUUUGUACUAAAAGAAAUAGAAAAAACAGAGGAUAAAGAGUGAAGAAGGAAAACAGAGCAAGAAUGACAAGAGGAAAGAAGUAUUUAGCCAAAACCAUGUAUCAUGAGUGAUAAACGGGCUUCGAACUGGUGGGACAAAGACGAAGGCUUCAAUAUAACUAUCAUUCAUCAAAUCUAAACCCAAAGAAGAAACUCACCAUUUACAGAGGGGAAAACAAGAUUAUUAGAAGGGAAUAAACAGAGCAUAUAGAAGCAGAAAAUCACAUUCAACCAAAGCAAACCUGUGGCCCUUGAACGUCCACAGCAAAUCACAAAUAGAUAUUCGUUAGAUUAACAUAGAAUGAAGUGGGAUUUUUAGAAAUGAAAACGCACCAGAUUCAAAGUGACGCUUCUCACGCCUCCACAACACAAACUCCUCCCCUUCAACGGCUGCCUCCAGAAAGAAAAAAAAAAAAACCCCCCCCCCCCUUUUCAACCUCUUUCCUUGCUUUUUAAACCUCCUCACCUUGUCUUCCUCAGCAAGCCAUCCUCGGCUCCACUGCUACACAUCCCAUCUGCCGCCCAAAAGCUCUGCCUCCCCUGCAGCUUCAGAGCCCCCAAACACAGCUCUCCCAUCAUAGCGAGCCCCGGGAAAUAAAAAUUAAAAUUAAAAAAAAAAAAGUCUCUGCUUCCGGGGGUCUACAAAUAUGUUAUUUAAAAACACCAUAUUUUUUGUUUUUAAAAACACCAUAUUUUUUGUUUUUAAAAACAUAAAACAUAGAACAAUUUUCUAGUAGUCAAAUAUAUUUUCCUUUUUUUGUUUUUUUUUUUUUAAACCUAUUCUCGAAAACAAUUAUCAAAGACCAUAUAUUUUUUACUUUCAUUAUCUAAUAACAUUGCAAUUAUUUUAUAAAUUAUGUUGAAAACAAUUAGCCGUAAGGCAUAGUAAAAUUAAGUUAGAAAAAUUAGUAUAUAUCAGCUACGAGAAAAAUGAGUUAUACAAAGAACAAAGCAGAGUGUAAGCUUUCUAGUAGCGUGCAUCAUGAGAUUUCAGGCCCAGCAAACUUAACCGCAGAGGCAGAGUGCAAGCUUUCUGGUAGCGUUCAUCAAGAGAUUGCAGGUCUAACAAACUUAACCUUGCUUGAUCUGUCUUUAUAAUGAGAUUGCAGGUCUAGCAGGGCCUGUGCCGAAGUUCUUUGACCGGUCCAACCGCCGACCUUUGACUGGUCCGGUUUGGUCCUCUCCUUCUGGGUGGUUGAACUGACCACAAACAGGGUGAACCGAUUGAAUCGGGCGGUUCUUCAUGAACCGCACGGCUCAAUUCCAGCCCAGCCUUCCCCCUAUUUUCUUUCAUCCAAACAGUCCAACCUUCCCCUCCUUUCUUUCAUAGGGGCCCAAGUAAAAGCCCAAUAAGCCUGGACAGGUUCCCAAUUCCAGCCCAGCCUUUCCCCUAUUUUCUUUGUAGGAUCCACCGCAAGCAUUUGAACCCUAAACCUCAACUGCGCAAGCAUCACAGAGCACCACUUGGCCAUAGGCUCAUAGCACAUUUUUUUAUACUAAGUUUAGCAAAUAAAAAAAUCUAUAUGUGAUUCUAAAAUAAUUUAUAAUAUUAAAUAAAAAUAAUAUAAUAUUUUUUGAAAUUAUAAAAUCAGUUAAAAUUUUCUUUCAUUUUUAAUAUAUUCACAUUUAAAUAUUAUAUAUAUUCCAUUUAAUAAAGUUUAAAAUAUUAAAUUAUAUAUAUUUAUAAUUGAUAACAUAAAAAAUAAAAAUAAAAAUUAUUAGUUUUUAAUUUAUUUUUAUAUAUAUUUUAAAAUUUAUUAUUUUUAAUAUUAAUAACAUAUAAAUUAUAUAUUUAUAAUGUUACUAGUUUGAUCCGAUUCAAUCAUUGAAUUGUGAAUUAUAACAUUUUUUUUGUUCAAUGACAAGUUUCGAUGCUAAAAACAUUGUGAGAAACCUUCAGGGACCUGUCAUAACCAGCUAACCGGAACCAUCCCUGUUGAUCUGGUCUUGUUGAUGCCAAACUUAGUUAAGCUCGAUUUUUUAAAAAAACUGGCUCAUUGGAUCACUUCUGACUUCCCUCAUUUAUAUUCUGCAUGAAAAGCCUGACCCAUCUAGACAUUACCAUGAAUUCUUUCUUGGAUCUCACUUCUCUUGAUUUUAGCCUCUUUGUUGCUUCUAAAUGCCAACAACUAACCUGUGUCUGUGACUUUUUAUGAAAUAUAACUUCCCCUUCUAUUUUGUAUCUUUAGAACAACAGAGUCACAGGCAGCUUCUUCACUCUCAAAGCUUGUUGCCUUGGCAUAACUCAAUUUCUCCAAUAACAAUUUCGAAAUAUGCCAUGCUAAAUUUGUGACAUAGUAGGCCUUGCCUUUGUCAAUUUCUCUGGCAACAGAUUCACUGGCUAUGCACCAGAGAUUUGCAUGAAGGACCAACAGUGCUCAGCACUCCUACCUUUAUCUCUUCUUGGCACGGCUACACAGCUGUGAGGGCUCUGACCCAAGCGGCCAAGCCUCUGUUUGAGCUGUUGUACCACUUUCAUCUUCCUAGUUCUGCUCAUUUUCCUUCUCAGACGGAGGAUGCUGAGGCAAAAAACUGUAGUUGUUGACAAGGGAAAGGGCAAGCUGGUGGCAGUAGUUGAGUCAUAAUCCACUGAUGAGCUGCUGGGCAAGAAGAUAAAAGGGACAACUAGCAUUAACUUUGCAACAUUUGAGCGCUCUUUGCUGCGGAUGGAACCUUUAGAUGUAUCGACCGCUGGGUAUACUGGAAUACUAAAAUAUUUCAUAUAAUGCAUAUUAACCAUUUCUCAUCGCUCGUAGCCACAACUUACCACAUAAAAGAAUGUAUAAAAAUUAUGGUAACUAUAAUGAAAAGAAGAACACUACUAUUUAUUAUUUAUUAAUAUUAAAUAACAUUAAUUAUUAUAAAUAUUUUAUUUAGUACUCAUACUUUUAGGUUUAAUUUGAAGAUGAUAAUUAUCAGGUUAGUUUUUCAAUUCUAGGUUUUAUUGAAAUUUCCUAUUAUCCAUAAUAUGUUAUACGGAAUAUAAGUAUUAAUGUAAUUUAUUGUAUUCAUUGAAUGGUAUGUGACCAUGUGACAACGCCAGAGUAUAUAAUGUUUUUUCUUUGUUUUAGGUGGCGUUUGUUUUUUGGCUGAAUAGAAAAAGACAAAUAUUUUGACUUUUUCUAUUCAACUAAAAGUACCUUAUUGAUACUAACCAAUAUAACUAAAGUAAACUUAUUAUCAAUAAGUUUAGUUUAAUUAUAUUGGUUGAUGCCAAUAAGUUACUUUUAACUGAAUAGAAAAAGCCAAAUAUUUUGAAUUUUUCUAUUCAGCCAAAAAACAAACACCACCUUAGUUUGCCGGUCAAUGGAUUCGUCUAUAGUGUGUUCUUUGUUUGGUCUUCCACUCAAUGAUUCCCGUAAAUUGCGGAAGAAAAGCGAAUCAUUGCAUGUGCAAGUGUUUUACCGAAUGGUUUGUGAUAAUAUAUAUCACGUGAAUUGUGAAAGAAAAGUGUCUCUUCUCCCUUUGAUUGCAUUCACUGAACAGCAUGUGACCACUCAGAGCAAAAGCAAGAUGAGUUUGGAAUCCGACGGGGAAAAGGGCAGCAAAUGGUAGGGCCCACUUCCCUUUGAAACCUUGUUCAGUCGUCCGUUCCCACCCUUUGAUUGCGUAGGACAAACCCCCACCAUAACACCAUGUGGGUUGCCCCCUCUUUCGACAUCAUUCCAUGAAAACAAUGCCGUUCUAUGAACGGAGCGGAGGAUUGUUUGCACAUGGCACUUAUUUGAUUUUUUUAUUUGAACAGCCAAAGGUAUUGCUAACAUUAUUAAAAAUAAUACUUAUUUGCUAGAAGGUAUGUAAAAUCUGAAUUAUUUUUAGAUAAAUGUAUUCAAUUUGAAAAUUUUAAAUUAGGAUUGUUAUUUGAUUUUUUUCAAAUGUAUGUAUGAAAACACAAUUUAACUUAUAUCAUAUAUAAUGUUAGUGUAAGGAAGAGUUGUCUAGCUAGAUCCUGAUCCUGGUCUUAUUGGGAUCCCAAAAUAUGAUUUGAUUUCGAAUUACAAUUAUAAAACAAGAUUCUGUGUUCCUUUGUUGCACAAAAUAGAAGCUUCUCUACAACACUACCCAUUUUCUGCUCCCCACAAAAACCAUGGUCGUUCUUUUUUUCUAGCUAAAUUCAUUUUAUUAAAUAUUUUUAUAAAUAAAAUGACAUUUAUGGUGUUCCAUAAUUUCUACGUUCUUGAGCCAAAUUUAGAAAAUGAAUCAUUCUUGGACAAACUCGAUCCCGUGGGGUUUGGUUUUGGAAGCCAAAAGUCCUAUCUCCGUUGCCCUUUAGGGCUCUUGUAUAUGGAGAGGGAGAGAUUUGUGGAUGUCUGCAAGGUUUUAGUAUAGUCACCAUCCACGCAUGGCCGUGGUUUUAUUUUUAUUUAUCUAGGCUAUGUUUGUUUCAAAAAUGUUAUAGAAAAUGAUUUUUCAUAUUUGGUUUCAUCAUUAAAAAAAAAUAAAUAAAUAAAAUAUAAUUAAAAAUUUAUAUAUUUUAAAUUUAUUUAAUCUUUAUAUAAAAAAAAAAAAUAAGUAAAAUAAAUUUAAAGAAACAUAUAAAAAUAAUUUAUUGAUUUAAAUGUAUUUUUUAUUUUUGUUCCUUUUUCUCUCUAUUUUCUUUCCUUAAAAUUUUAUGGGAAUAAAAAAUGGCCUUAUUUUGUAUAUUAAUUUGUUUAUUUCAAGGGUACAUUUUAAUAAACCAGAUCUUAUGGAAGGUCAUGACAUACCUUCAUGUUAAUUAUUAAUUUCACUCCCAUAAAGAAAAUGAGAUCUUACCAAUUGCAAAUAGAUCAAUUAGCACAUCCUGGGAAAAGGUUAAAAUUACCAAGCACGCUUAAAAGAAAAUUAUUUCAAGUUCCGGAAGAAAAGGUAUUCUUACCGCGGUACAAGAUCUGCUAUUUGCCCAACUGCAAAAUCAUAAACAUAAGGUCCCACUAAGAUUCUUUUAUAAAUUUAAAAAGUUGUCUAAAUACAAAAUAAAAGGCAAGAAGAAAGAUGCAGCAGAUGAUACAAGUAACGAUUGGAAGGCCAGAGGAAAGUGGUAACACAGCGUAUAGGCCCGUCAUGAAUGCAACCACCAUUGCUCCCAUGCUUAACACGGUGAGAAAAAAGCCCAUAAUUAAGUGUUUGUCAAGGUAGUCCUCGUCCUCAUGCACCGACAUAAAAAAAUAAACAAACACAGCAGAUACAGAGAGGAUCACGGCCAUGGUGUCUGUCACAAUAAAUGCUUUGAAAGCUGCUCUCUUUGUUAAAAUUGCCAUGCCAUUGUCAUUGUAACCACCAGGCAAGGUGAAACCCGCAGCAAAGGUUACAGUUGCUACAAGUGCUGCCACUAUCAAAUGGGUUUCACCUUCUCUUUUUGUGGUAGAGAUGCUUUCGUCUUUUUCGACGUCUUCGCUUUUACUACUACCACUGUCUUUAUUGAUAGCCUCCUGCCAACUAAAGGGUCCAACAACAACUUUCUCCCAUUCCCUCCAUUGUCUUCUAAUUUCUUCCUGAAAUUUGAUCAAAAUAAAACAAAUAAACCUUUUUCCUUAAAAAAAAAUAAAAAUAAAAGAAAUAAAGAAAGAAAAAGAAUGUAGUUCAUGUGUCGCUGUUUUGGCUUUUUGCUCUUCCUUUAUAUGAAAAUAUUUUCUCAUCUUCCCUCAAAAUGUUUUUCCAUAAGUCUACAAUUUUGACCCACAGGUUCUACAAAUUGCCUUCAUUAUGCUAAUUUGGUAGUUAAUUUCUAUUUUAAGCAUGAUUGUCUCUACCGAUAAUAAAAAUAGAAAAAAUAAUGAUGAUGGACUCUUUCCAUAUCAUUACUAAUAAAAAGAUUAGGUUAGGAUCCUUACCUUGAAUAUUCUUCUUGGCUUAACUUUAUCCCUUGAAAUAAUGUCUAGGGCGGUUAACUUAUCCUUGUUGAGUGCCAUUUUAUCCACUCUAUUGUCCGCUGACAAAAAUGGAUCAUAAACUUGGUAAGAAGCAAGCAGGUGGAGGGGUGUGUCUCCUUUAGCGUCUUUCUCAUUUAUAAGUCUUCUCACGCUUAACAAACUAUUACGACCCAAGAUACCACCAGCAGCCAAAAACUGCUCGCUCAUAAUGGCAUAGUGAAGAACAUUAUUUCCCUUAUCAUCCACUUGCUCGCAACAAUCUGGGGAGUGUGACAGCAGCAGCUUUACUAUAUCUCGAUGGUCACGGUUAGCUGCAAUGUGAAGUGCUGUUUUCUUGCUGUCCUUGAGUCCAAGAUAAGUUACAGAUUUAUCUGGUGAUUUGUCUAGUAAUUGCUCCACAAUUGCAGUAUGACCCAAGUAUGCAGCACAGUGAAGGGGAGACCAUCCAUUCUCAUCCACUUCUUUUGUCAGAUCUGGCUUCCAUUCCAAUAACCUCGCUGUCAUUUCUGUAAACAAACGAACCAACAAAAAACAGAGAAAACAAAUUGAAGAAAAUUAAGUGAAUAAUUGAAGUUCCCUCUAGUGAAGCAUGACUCCUAGAGGUGAUCAUGUUUUCUAACAAUAGGUUGCAUGACUAUCUAACCACAUGGGAAUCGAGAUUCAAGGGAAGGAUCUGCAUAUGUGAUACCUUGGUCAUUGCGAAUUACAGCAGCAUGUAAAGCCGUUCUACCCAUCAUGCCACUGUAAGAUGGUGAAGUGCAAGUUCCUAAGAUUAAAUUCACCAAAUCUUCAAAACCUCUCUCGGCGGCCAUGUAAAGAAGAGUGUAGCCUGCAAUAUUAGCCCCAUAAAUAAACUCGGGGUCUUCCUCGGUCAAUGACUUCACAACCUCUGAAUGAUGAUACCUCACUGCCUCAUGCAAGGCUGUGUUUUCCUCCUCAUUUGUCAUCCUCAUAAUCGCCUUAUCUCCUCCAACCCCACUCUCGAUCUCUUGGUGAAGUCGUUUCGCAGCAUCAAUGAGUGCUUUCACGACUGUCAAAUGGCCUUCUCUCGCUGCAUGGUGAAGUGGAGUGUCGCCCUUCAGAUUGGGCUUAAGCAGGAGAGAUGAAGAUGAAUGCAGCCCCAGGAUAUACUGAACACAGUCCAGUUGACCGAAUUGGGCUGCAAUGUGGAGGACGGUAUUCUUAUUUGGGGUUAAUUGGACCACAAAAUGAUGUUCUGACAUUUGUUCCAGGACAUCGAUCCUGCCAUAUGCUGCGGCCUCGUACAAAGCAGCAUCCAUGCAAGUGAUCGGAGUUUGGCUGCCAUCUGCAUCUGCCGCCUGGUUCGAGAUCUCGGUUUGGCUACCGUCUUGAGCUGCAAGCUGUUCCAGGUAAAGAGUAUGUGAUUCUGCAGUGUUGAUGGAAGUGGAAAGAUCCAUAGGUGCUUCAGCAAUCAGCACUAUCCUCCUCUACACAACUUUUCCCCACCCCACCUUGCCUCCAUUAUAUAUUAAAAACAAAAAUUAACAAAAAUUAAAUGGGACAGAGUGGAAUGGCCGGCGGGAUUUCUUACACCCAACUAUGCUUUAUUUAAUUAGUUAAUUAAUUAAUUAAUUUAAUGUGAUGGGAUUGGGAGAGGUGACCCUGUCCCAUUUAAUUUAUUUAUUUAUUGAUAGAUAUAAGUAUACGUGAUGGGAAUGGCUAGAGAGAGACCCGUCCAGAAUUUGCCGGUUGCCAGCCUGUUGAUAGAAAAUACUAGCAUAUUUCUCGUGUACUUACAAAAUGGAGCCAAGAGGCUUGGGCAAAAGAAUUAACAUGUCAUUUUGAAUUUUAUUUUUUUUCUCGAGUACCAAUAAUUCUAAAUAUUUUAUAAAAAUAAGGAUAUUUGGGAAGUUGUUUUUAAAAGUAAUUUUUCUACUUUGAUUUUAUAAAAACAUUUUAAACUGAAUUUAUAUAAUAGUAAUUAAAUUUAAUUUAAGCCUUAUUACAAAUAAAAAUAGUUUUCUAAUUAGAUAUAAGUUAAAAAAUAAAUAGUUUUUUAUAAGAUAUGAAUAGUAAUACUACAAUAAAAACAUAAAUUAUAGUUUCUUAAUAAAUAAAUAAAUAACUAUUUUAAUACGUAUUAGAGAAGUAUGGAUAUUAACAUUUUCUUGAAAGCAUAAUUAAAUUUUUUUGUUAAAAAUGAAGAAUAAUAUUUUAAAAAUGCUCAUACACAACUUCGAAAAUAAUAUUUAAUUGAUAUUAAUAUUUUAUAUAUAUAUAUAUAUAUAUAUAUAUAUAUAUAUAUAUAUAUAUAUAUAUAUUUAUAGUAUUCAUAUUCGUUUCAUACGGGAGGUCUUACCAAGUCUUUAUUUUAUUUCAUUUAAAGUUUUGACCUUUUCAACAAAGUAUUUUCAUCUUUUUUUAAGAAAAUAAAUAAUUUUUUAUUUUUUAUUUUAAUUUUUUAGAAAAUGAAUAUGGAAAAAAUGUGUUCAAUAUACAUGAUUUUCUCUUCUUUUUUUUUUUCUUAUAAAAAAAACUCAAAUAAAUAAUAUUGUGAAGAUAUGUAUAAUAUAAAAUUUUCUACUCUAUUUUUCUAUUUCAUUUUAAAAAAUAUCAUAUCUUUAGAAUAAUUUCUUAAAUUAUAAAAAGUAUAAGGGUUUGUUUGACAACUGUUUUCGAAAAUAAUUCUGAAAAAUAGUUUUUAAAAAUUGUUCUCUAAUUUUUGUAAAAUAAAAGUCUGUUUGCAAACCGAAAAUAUUUUUAAAUUAUUUUUAAAUAUAUUUUAAAAAUGAUUUUUAUAUCAAAUGUUUUAUUUUUAAUCAUUUUAUAUGUUUGUAUAAUUAUUUAUUAAAACAACCAUCAGAAAACAAGUGAAAACAAUAGAAAAAAACUAAAAGAUAUUCUCUUAAAACACUUUAUUUUUUGUUCUUAAAAACAAAAAUAUAAAACAUUUUUUAGUUACCUAAUGUGUUUUUUAUGUUUUUGUUUUAAAUAAUAGAAAAUUAUUCUUAAAAACAAUUCUCAAAUAGACUCUAAAUAUAUAAACAUAUUUUUAGUUUUAAUUUUUAUUUUCUAAAAAAAUGAAAAUACCAAACAAGAUCUUAACCUGUCUUUAAUCACACUAAUUUAGGGCAAACUCCACACAAGAGUUUUUUUUUUUUUACAUUUUUUCUAUAUGUGGUUAUCAACUGCUUAUCUUUUUUAUUUAUCUGUUUGUUAGCUAGAAAAAUAGACUAUGUGGGAGGUCACCCCAAAUAUAAUAUACAUCCUUUUUAACGCUUGAAGAGUAGUCAUCAUGAAAAUCAUUUCAUCAUUUUGAGAAUAUUAUAAUUUUGAGAAUAAAACAAUUGUGAGCCAUAACCAAAGUAAUAAUCAAUUUCCUCAACCAGAAACAAAUUAAUAAAUAAAUAUAAAAAAAAGGGAACGAACAAAACACCACCUACUACAUGUUAAACAAGUUACAACUUGCAGCCAUAAAAGCGAUCUUGGAGCCGACACGAUUAUUUUAGUCCCUUUCAAACUUAUUUAAGGCAAACUCUUUCUUUUUAAUACUUGAUUUUUAUAAAUUUUCAAGGAAAAUAUGAAAAGAAAGAUAAUAAAAAAUAAAUUUAAAAUUAAUAAAUUAUUUUAUGUAUUAUUUUAAAUUCAUUUACUAUAUUUUUUUAUAUAUAUAAAGAUUAAAUAAUUUAAAAUUACAUACAUUUUUAAAUAAUUUUAAUUAUACUUGAUUUUUUUUUUCAUAUUUUUCAUAAUAAAAUCAAAUAUAAGAAAUUUAUUAUUUUAAUAUUUUUCAUAUUUUUCAAGGUUGCUUUCAUUUUUUCCAAACUUGUAACUUGUCAAUUGAUGAGCUAGUGGUGCUAGUGGGAAUAAUUCAAAUUUUUUAUUUGCUUCUAGCUAGGGUGGACAAAUUGAGUAAGAGCCCUGCUGUCUCUUGUUUAAUUGUUUUUAACUUGUAUGUCAGUAGGAAUAGUCCAUUAUUAUCUUUAUUCAGUGAAAACAUGGCACGCCAUGCACCUCGGAAUACACAAGCUGACAAGAGAUAUGAAAGGUUGUCGGUUUUUUAAUAUAUAAAAAGUUAUAAUUUACAAAAUUUAUGAAAGGGUCCACAUAUAUAGAAUAUUUAUAAAAUAUGAUUUCGAUAUAUUCUAAAAAAUUGUAAAAUGAUUGACCUUUGGGUCAUUUAAAAUUUGUGUGCCUAUUCAUAGAAGUAUUUAAUGAAAUAUUUAAUUAUUUUAAAAUAAUAUAAUUAAAUAAAAUAUAAGAUGACGAUCUUAAAGACUUAAGCUUGGUAUCUAAUAAGAGUUAAUACUUGAUACAUAAUUAUUAUACUUGACUUUAAGUUAACUUAUGUUUAAACCAUCAAUUUAAAACUUAUUAUAAAAUUAUAUUAUUAAAUUAACAUAUUUACCUUCAUCAAUACUUAAAAAAUGGGGGAGAGAAACACAAAAAUAUAGAGACACAUUAAUGUUAUUUUAGGUUGAAUUAUAUAUACUUAUUUAUUAUUUAGUUAUUAAGAAAUAAAUUUAUUACUUCACAUUAAUAAUAAUAAAUUCUUUAUUAAGUCAUCUUUAUUAAUGUUUGAGUGUUGUUAAGUAUGAACUUAUAUUUUUUUAAUUAUUAUUUUUAAAUGGUAAAUUAAUUUACUUUUAUAUUUUAAAAUCUAUAAAAUUAAUUAUUAUAUUUCUUUUUAUUUUAUGCAUUUAAGAUAAAAAAAAUAGUUAAAAUUAAUAAUUUGAAAAAGGAAUAGCAAUGUAAUAUAUUUCCAAACAUCAAAAUUUAUUAACAUAAUAAAAAUUUUCUAUUUUGAGUAAUAGCUCAUCAGAAAAUUUUAUAUUAAAAUUUCUUAAGAAAUAAGAGAAAAUAUAACUUAAAACAAAAUCUAUUCCAACUAAAAUAAAUUAUUAUUUUUUAUUUAUUUUUAAGACAACAGUUAUCAAAAUUUUAAAAAUAAUAAAAAUAAAUUUAAAAAUAAAUUGAAUUAAAUAAUAUAGAAAUAAAAAAUGAAUAAAUAAAUGAAUAGAUGUGAUGUAUGAUAUUAAUGGGUAAUUAAUUAUUCAUGGCACUUACAUCAUAUCGUAUUUUCUUAAGAAUUAUUUUUCAAGUCAUCAUUUCAGAUAGAGUGAUAUUUAAAAUGGAUGUCCGUUUAGUUAUGAUUUUAAAAAAUGGUUUUAAUUUUUCUUAUAAUUCAAAAAAAAUUUAUCAUUUAAGUGAUAAAAAAAUUAAAAACUUUUUUUAUGUUACUAUCAAACACAUUCUAAAAGAAAUGGUAUUAAAAUGAGUUAAUAUUUAUUAUUUACUGAUAAUAAUAUAAUAAUGGAUUUUAAAUUCAAGAACAGCAAUAAAGAGGGGACCCGUGAGUAUCCUAUUUAAUGUUGAAUAUUUUAUUUAUUAAUUAAUCUCUUUAGUUGUAUCAACAAUAAAAAGCAUGUUAAAAUAAUGGAAUAAGUUUUUCUAUCCUGUCAAUUUAUAUAUAACUUUGAAGAACUCAUCUUAGAACUACAAAAUGAUUAUUUUAACAAAAUGGUACAGACAAAAUUGUGGGCCUACCCUCAAGAUUCCUUUCAUAUUUCAAACUUGUAAAACUUGUUUAUGGAGGAGUUGGUGGUGGUGAGAAUAGUUUACAAUUUUUAUUCAUUUUUUGUUUGGCACUAGGGUGGACAAAUUUAAGCAAGUGUUUAAAUCUUGGUGAUGACAAGAUGGAUGAAUGCAUUUUUGAAAAUUUAAUUGAUUAAAAAAGAAUGAAAUGAUUUCAAGUUUAUAUUAUUGGUGCAAUACCAACCAAACUUGUGUUCGUCUAUUAUUUUUGGAGUUAGAUGAAUAUCUUCCCUACACAAAAGGAUGUCCGGAUAAGGUGAUUCGGACAUGCUCAUCUGAAACUUAAGUCAAAAAAUAAUAAGGACUAGUCUAGUUAUUUCGAAUGACUUUGUACAUGUGUUCCUUUUUCAUGCUUCUUGAGGGGUAUUUAUAGAGCGAAUGACACCAUUGUUAUAGCGUUGAUGGAUAUCAGAUGGAAUGGACAAACCACACCGAUUGAGAUUUUUGGACGAAUUAACCAACAUAGCCGGAGAUUUUGGGUACUGAGCAUAUGGAUAAUCACACCCAGUGUUUGAGUAAGACAACAUUUACGUCUAAAAGUCAAUGAAUACUAAUUGCUACACACAAUUAGCGACAUUGAAAAAUGUAAAUGCAGAGUCAACUACAUGGUCCGAGACUCUUACUUGACAACCAGCAAAUGACAUCAAUCAGGGAAUUUUAUUUGGUAUGAUUACCCAAUUCGUAUAGAAAUGAUGGCGUUGACUCUCUUGCUAAGGCUCGAUUUCCGCCCUGAUAACAAUCAUCAUCAUAAAAAAGACAUGAAUGCAUCCUCAAUGUUAUAACGAUGGUGCCAUCUGCUUUAUAAAAACCCAUCGAGAAGCAUAAAAAUGUACACACGUAUAGAGUCAUUUAAAAUAACUAGACAUAUUCUUAUUAUUUUCUAACUUAAGCUUCGGAGGGAUAUACCCGAACCACCUAUCCGGACAUCCUUUUGUGUAGGGAAGAAACCCAUUUGACUCUAGAGAAGCUAGACGAACACAAAUCUGGUUGGUACUGCAUCAAUAUGUAUAUCUAAUUUCUUGUCUUUAUAACUUGAUAAUCCUCUUUAACCUUUUUAUUAUUUACAUGUAAGUUAUAUAUAUAUAUAUAUAUAUAUAUAUAUAUAUAUAUAUAUUAUUUUUAUAAGAAAAAGAUAAAAAUAUUGUUUUCUAAACGGAUAGUUAAAAAAAUGUAGAAAGUUAAAUUUAUAAAUUGAGAAUCAUUUCAUCCUUUAAUCAAAUGACUUUUUUGCAAUUACUUAUUUCUAUUGUAAAGGGCUGGAAUCAUUUGUAAUGUUUAUAUUAAAAUUUGUGUGCCUAUUCAUAGAAAUAUUUAAUGAAAUAUUUAAUUAUUGUAAAAUGACAUAAUUAAAUAAAAUAUAAGAUGAUGAUUUUAAAGACUUAAGCUUGGUAUCUAAUAAGGGUUAACACUUGAUACAUAAUUAUUACAUGUGACUUUAAGUUAAAUUAUGCUUAAACCAUCAAUUUAAAACUUAUUAUAAAGUUAUAUUAUUGAAUUAACAUAUUUACCUUCAUCAAUACUAAAAAAUGGGGGAGAGAAACACAAAAAUAAAGAGACAUAUUAAUGUUAUUUUAGGUUGAAUUAUAUAUACUUAUUUAUUAUUUAGUUAUUUAAAAAUAAAUUUAUUACUUCACAUUAAUAAUAAUAAAUACUUCAUUAAGUCAUCUUUAUUAAUGUUUGAGUGUUGUUAAGUAUGAACUUAUAUUUUUUUAAUUAUUAUUUUUAAAUGGUAAAUUAAUUUACUUUUAUAUUUUAAAAUCUAUAAAAUUAAUUAUUAUAUUUCUUUUUAAAAAUAGUUAAAAUUAAUAAUUUGAAAAAGGUAUAGCAAUGUAAUAUAUUUCCAAACAUCAAAAGUUAUUAACAUAAUAAAAAAAUUUCUAUUUUAAGUAAUAGCUCAUGAGAAAAUUUUAUAUUAAAAUUUCUUAAGAAAUAAGAGAAAAUAUAACUAAAAACAAAAUCCAUUCGAACUAAACUAAAUCAAUUUUUUAAAAUUUAUUUUUAAGACAACAAUUAUCAAAGUUAUAAAUGUGAUGUAUGAUAUUAAUAGAUAAUUAAUUAUUCAUAGGUCGCACCAAUUUCAGGGCUUACAUCAUAUGCAUCUUCUUAAGGAUUAUAUUUUGAGUCAUUUCAAACAGAGUGAUAUUUAAAAUGGAUUAUUAAGAGCCCGUUUAACUAUGUUUUAAAAAAUUUUAUCAUUCACGUGACAAAAAAAUUAAAAAUGUUUUCUAUAACCUCUAUCAAACGCAUUUUAAAACAAAUGGUAUUAAAAUAAUAUUUAUUAUUUACUUAUAAUAGUAUAAUAAUGGAUUUCAAAUUCAAGAACAGUGUUCAAGAGGGAACACGUGAGUAUCCUAUUUAAUGUUGAAUAUUUUAUUAAUUAAUUAAUCUCUUUAUUUGUAUCAACAAUAAGAAGCAUAUUAAAAUAAUGGAAUAAGCUUUUCUAUCCUAUUAAUUUAUAUAUAACUUUGAAGAACUCAUCUUAAAACUACAAAAUAAUUGUUUUAACAAAAUGGUACAGACAAAAUUGUGGGCCUACCCUCAAGAAUCCUUUCAUAUUUUCAACUUGUAAAACUUGUUUAUUGAGGAGUUGGUGGUGGAAUCAUUUGUAAUGUUUAUAUUCUAAAAAAAAAAUUGGGAAAUGAUUGGCUAUUAAGUCAUUUAAAAUUUAUGUGGCUAUUCAUCAAAGUAUUUAAUUUGAUAUUACUUAAUCUUUUUUUAUUUAAGUUUUAUCAUUACUUUUGAAUGUUCAAUUGAGUCAAGUAUUUAUAAUAAUCUUAUUUUAUGUUAAAUUAUACGUACUUAUCUUUUUUAUUGAUUAAUAUAAAAAAAUAUUUCUUUUCUCAAUAAAGAUAAAUAUUUCAUUAACUUAUGUGGACCAACAUCUCUCAUGUGAUUCCAUUUGAAAAAACUAAUUUUAUUAUGAAAAAUUAUUUUUUUGAAAAAAAUAAAAUAACCACUUAUUUUUGUUCAUUUUUAAAAGAAAAGCAAAAUAAAUAAAAAAUAUUAAAAAAAACCAAUGACUCCUUUUUAAUUUUAUAUUAAAAGUUUGCAAAUUAUCUCAAUUCAAUAAAAAAAAUUCAAAUUUAUUGUUAAAAUUUUUAAAAUUUUUUUUUAAAUAUUAGAAAAUAUUUUAUUCUUAUUUAAAAAAAAAAGGAUUUUGCCCUUUCUAUUUUAGAAAAAGGAUUUGCAGUUUUUUAUUUUAGAAAAAGAUAUUUUAACAGUUUUUUUUUAUUGGAAAUAAAUACCCUAUAGGGUUUUUUUUCAAAAAAAAAACUUUGAAAAAAAGAAAAAGAAAAGACUCUUACCGUUUUUAUUUAAUAAAGGCUUGAUAGUUUUAUUCUAUUAAAAAAAAGAGUAAGAUGUUAUUUUAUUUGCAAACUUGGUGAUAAAGAACAAAUCAAAUGAAACCGAAAUAAAGAACAAAUCAUAUAUUCAUAGAAUUGAAAAUUAAAACGAAGGAAAAAAAUACGGAAAGAGCCCCGGCAAAAUGUCGUCCACCACCUCCUCUAAGAUCCUAGGCCUUCAAGCUUGGUCUUUAUCUACCCUUCCACGUGGUGGACAUGCUCUAGGCGAAAAGUAAGCAGAUGGAGGCAGUAAAGUUGGCCCAUGUCCAAAAUCAAAACAAGGCCAAAAUGAGAAUGAUUAAAACAAAACCCAAACCAACAUACACAAGCCCAAAACAAAUAAAGCCCCAACGCAACAGACAAAUUAAACCAGGCCCAAACUCAAAUAAACAAAUAUGAUGGACCAGAGCAAUAGUUGAAGCCUGAAAUAGUAUCCAAGAACCCCAAUACCCAUAAACGUGAAUCAAUAAAAAAACCCAAAUCAAAGCCCACAAAUAGCCCAAGUUCUCAAAACUAACACUUUGAAGUAGGGAUGGCAAUGGGGCGGGUCAUUUCGGGUACCCGCCCCGCCCCGCCCCUAAUGGGGUGGGAUAUUAUUUUUCUAAACGGGUAUGGGACGGGUUUGGGAUUUUUUUUGAAACCCGGGGCGGGUUCGGGGCGGGUUCGGGUAUUGCCCCACCCCGCCCCGCCCCGAUUAUAUAUAAAAUUAAAAUUAAAAUUUAAUUUAAUUUAAAAUUUAAAAUUAAAUUAAUUUAAUUUUUAUUUUAUUAUUUUUAAUAUAUAGAUAAUAAUAAAUUAUUUUUAAUAAAAUAAGUUAUAAAAAAUAUAAUUAUUUAAUUAUUUAUAAAAUAUAUUUAUUUUAAUAUAAUUAAAAAAAUUUAAAAGUAAUUUUUUAAAAAAAUUAAAAUUAAAAUUAAAUAAAAAGCUAAACGGGGCGGGUAUGGGAAUGUAGCAUACCCGCCCGCCCCGCCCCGCCCCGCCCCGCCCCGUUUAAUUUUUUAAAUGGGACGGGGAUGGGAAUUGAUUUAAAUAAACGGGGCGGGGUUGGGAGGGGGGCGCCCCGCCCCGAACCNNNNNNNNNNNNNNNNNNNNNNNNNNNNNNNNNNNNNNNNNNNNNNNNNNNNNNNNNNNNNNNNNNNNNNNNNNNNNNNNNNNNNNNNNNNNNNNNNNNNAAAAUUAAAAUUAAAAUUAAAUAAAAAGCUAAACGGGGCGGGUAUGGGAAUGUAGCAUACCCGCCCGCCCCGCCCCGCCCCGCCCCGCCCCGUUUAGUUUUUUUCAACAUACACCAUUGGGAAUCAUAUUGAUGGUACACCACGACGAUCUGAGUUGAGAUUGUAGUGAUGGUGAGCGGCUCUGUUCUGUACCAAAAGAACUGGUUCAGAAACGAGAGGAGCACGCACGAGACCGUUCCGAGAACCACAUUUGGAAGGUGAGCACCGACAGAGAAGGGUCGUCUGUGGUGGGCACAGUUAGAGCCACCUGUUUGAUCGGUGAGUUCUCUUUGUCUGGGCAGGUUUCAAUGAAGAAGACGAUGGUUCCAAGCUCGAAUACCGCCCUUUGAUACUGCAGAAAACAGAGAGAUAGAGAAUGUUAACUUUCUUUUGCAAAGAUCUGAAGAAGAAGAAGAAGAAUAGAGGACUUACUAAGAGGGGAGGUGAUUUCGUUUAAUUUUUGGGAUUGAAUCAUGAGCUAAGAAUCUGAUGGAAUUGUUAUGGUUUUGGGGUGGAUGUGCAUUUUUUAUCCUGGAUCCUCAUGUUCUUGGCUUGAAAAGUAGUUUUGGUUUUCUUUGUUCCUGAUUUUGUUUCAUUUUUCAAUUUGGGUGUUUUUGUUGUUUGGUCUUCACUCCAGUCCUUGCUUUUGUCAUUUCGAUGAAGUUCUGUUUGAGUUCAUUGCUCAAUCUGUUAUCUUUAUGUUUAAUUUUAAAAUUUUUUUUUCCUGUAAUUUGAUUAUGGGUUGCUCUGAAAGCAGAUGUAUAGUUGAAGAAUGAAACAAAUCAUAUUGAUGGUACACCAUUGGGAAUUUUAUAUGUAAACGGGGCGGGGCGGGAUGGGGUAAUACCCGAAUCCGCCCCGAACCCGCCCCGGGUUUUAAAAAAAAUCUCAUACCCGUCCCAAACCCGUUUAUUAAAUUUAAACCCCGUCCCAUUAGGGGCGGGGCGGGGCGGGUACCCGAAAAAACCCGCCCCGUUGCCAUCCCUAAUUGCAAAGGAAGGGUUUUGCUUUAUGCUCCUGAAACGGAAGUAUAGAUAAAAUAUUUUAUUUCAUUUGUGGAUUGACAUGAUUGGUCAAAUUAGGUAAAAACCCUUUGUAGCUUUGGACAUAGAUUGUUUGUUUAAUUUCGUAUGUUGAUAUUAAUAUGUUUGUAUUAAAACUUUACGGAUAUAACACCGAUCAUCAGUGUAACCACCAUUGUUCUCAUGGAAAAAAUAGCGAGAAAAAAGGCUUAGGAUAUGUGUUUAUAAAUGAACUCCUUUUCAUGGUGGAGUGCAUAAAAAAGUGAGGCAUACAAUAAAUGUAGAUGUGGGGAGCAUUGUGGUGAGGAGUAAUAGGCACAACAAAUACUUUAAAUGUUAUCAUGUGGAUUUCUUUGACAUAAACUAAUUUAAUAGCACAACAAUUAUAAGUGAUGUUUAUAAAUUUUACUUUUUGAUUGAUUUAAUUAUGUGGGUAUAAUUUUAAAUACCUAUUAUUAAUUAAAGGCAACUACCUAUUGCUCUCUAUUUUGUCAUAGUACAAUGGAUUUAAUGCUAUUUUGUACAAGUAUUAAUCUAUGAAACUAAAGUCCAGACAACAUAAAAGAUAUUUUGUAAAAGAAGUUUCAAUCAAAGUGGUAGAUGUCUCUGUGUUAAAGCCCUACCAACUUUGUUGUUAGAGUUAAAAGCCCUACCAACUUUGUUGUUAGAGUUAAAAGCCCCGAUCAAUUUUGUUGUCGGAGUUAAAAGCCCUACCAACUUUGUUGUCGGAGUUAAAAGCCCAACCAACAUUCUUGUCUGAGUUAAAAAAAAGUUGUUGGAAGUAAAUCAUAACUAACACAAUUAUUUAUAUGGAGUAAUGAUGAAAAUAUUGGUAAUCAUGGAUAUAUCGGUAUUUCAAUUUUACAGAUAUAUUGGAAAUAUAUCGACAGAUAUUUUGACACAAAAUAUUGGUGGACUUAAAAUUGAUUAGAACUUAAAAAAACGUAAAAAAAAAAUAUUCUUCGAAAUAAAACUAGAAAUAUGAUAGAUAUUUUAAAGUUGUUUUAUUGAAGAAAUUGAUAUUUGUAUGGUAAAAUUUAUCAUAUUUGAUAAUUAUAUUGUAUACGUUAACAAAAAAUAUAAAUUUUAUAAGUGUACAUUUAUUAUUAAAUUACAUCAAAUAUUAUUUGAUAAUAAUAUUGUGAUAUUUGAUUAUAAUAUAUCUAAUUUUAAAAUAUAUUUAAUAUUAAAAUUAUGAUCCAUUUAAUUCAAUUAUAUUAAAUGAUAUAAAAUAAAGGAUAAUAUAUGUAUACUUUUUUUAAUAUUUAAUUAAUAUAUAAAUGAUAUUAAAAAUAUUAUAAAGAAAAUUAUCAUAAUAAUUUUUAUAUUUUUGGUAAUUAAUUAAUUAAUUUGUUCUUUAAAAUAUUCUUUUAAUAUUUUGUUUAUAUGAUGAGUUUUAGUAUAUAUACAUUUGGUGAUAUAAGCGAACUUGCCCCAAUGGUCGACUGAAAGUUAGAACCUUUUGUUUGGGAUUUGAGUCGUUAGGAUUUUUUAAUCCUUGAUGCGGAGAUGAGAGUAGUUUUGUAAAAGUUAUACUUUUUUAGCAUAAAGGAAAGUUCUAUGUCCAAAAUAGGAUUUUGAUUUUCUCUUUCUUUCUUACAUGGAUAAGAGUAGCAUGUAAAAGUUACAAAAAUAAAAGUAAGUUUCAUGAAGCCAACACAUUAAAAAUAAUAAUAAUAAUAAUAAUAAUAAUAAUGAUGUGUUUUUACUUGUCAUGUAAAAAAAAAAAUAAUAAUAAAAAUAAAAAAUAAAAACAAAAUUUUGUAGUGGUUGGAAGUGAAAAGAGAGGAGAGGUUAGAAGUUAAUGUUGAGAUUGAUAAUUUUCACAAUUGAAGCUUAUGUUUUGAGGAUUAUUUUUUUUGGAAAAGUGAAAUAGUUAAAAUUCUUAAAUAUAUUAUUUUUUAAAAUAGUGCAUCUUAACAUAAAAAAAAUAAAAAUAUCGAUUUAUAUGAAUAUAUCAAUAUAUAGGGGUCGAACUCUAUUCCCGUGAUCUACUUGACACUUUUUUUAAAAGCCUAAAAAUGCUAUCCCACAUCGAUCGCUUGAUAGAAAAUAGAGCACGAUUUAAUAGAGGGUGCCUCGCAUUAAGCCUCUGCCUGGUGCAGCGGGCAGCCUCAGAUCCUUUACUUAUUUUUUGUCAAGAUUAUCCUAUCAUGCAUGUGAUAUAACUAAAAAAAUUUAGGGAGAAUUAUGUUUUGGGGGUAGAUGGGCCCCCAAAUUAACAAAAGGUUCAUGUAACUCUUCAAAUUGAGCCCAAGACCCAAUGAAAGUAUGAAAAUUGAGUUAAAGGAUAUUAUCCUUCAGUAUUUCCAAAAAUGCCCUUUGUUGAUUUUGAGAAAAAAAAUUAAUAUUUUUGAAAAAUACUUUUAUUUAAUUUAAUAUUUUUUAUUUAAUUUAAUAUUUUUGAAAAAUACUUUUAUGUAAUUUAAUAUUUUUUAAAAUACUUUUAUUUAAUUUAAUAUUUUUUAAAAAUAAAUUUAUUUAAUUUAAUAUUUAAAAAAAAUUAAUUUAAUAUUUUUUUAAAUACUUUAAUUUAAUUUAAUAUUUUUGAAAAAAAAUUAUUUAAUUUAAUAUUUUUGAAAACUACUUUUAUUUAAUUUAGUAUUUUUGAAAAAAAAAUUAUUGAAAAAAAAUUAUUUAACUUAAUUUUAUAAAAUAUUUUAUAUGUGUUCUUAAAGGGUAUAUUUGUCCAUUACUAUUUCAUAUCCUUCAACUCAAUUUAAAGAGUUAUAUGGACCUUUUGUUAAUUUGGGGACCCAUCUACCCCCAAAAGAUAAUUCUCCCAAAAAUUUAAACUUAAAAUAUGAUAAAAAAAAAAAAAAAAAUGCUCGGUCACGUGCCGGUGUACAACUUCGUGCUACAAAAAUAUCAUGAUAUUUUUUUUCCCCACUAGAUAUGACUAUCUGGGACCACAUCUUUUGUGGGUGCAUUUGGCCCGGUUCCUUUUGCUGCUGUAAUAUAAUGCUCAGAGGCGGUGGAUUGUGGUGUUGUGAAAGAUUUGAUCCAAGCAGAGAGGCUGUAGGGCUUAAGCCACUAAUGGAUCCUUCCACUUCCACUUCCAGCCAUGCUUUAGAAUUACAGAACCUUAACUCAGUUCCUAGUGGGAACCAGGAGAAUGUCACAUGCAUGGAUCCUGAAAUUUACGUGGCUGCUGCAGAAGGCGACACCGAUAUCCUCAAGAGAAUGCCUAGCGCUGACCUUCAAUUCCAAUUAACACCCAAUCACAACACUGUCCUUCACAUUGCAGCCCAAUUCGGUCAACUGAACUGCUUUGUAUGGAUCAUUCAGCACUACUCCGCGGAUUCGUUGCAAAUCAAUUAUCAAAAGAACUUCUCAUAGAUAUUGAAAAUGGCAUGUCAAUAUCCUGAUGUGAUUAACCAAAUCAAUUAUUAAAGCAACAAAGGGGUUAACCAAAUCAAACAAAAGGCCCAAAUAAUCUCACAUGCUAACGACUAUGGAGGAAAACCUUAAGGUUAACCAUCUCCAUGAUUGUAAGAAUUUUUUAUUUGUAAAGCAUUGGUACCAAGGACAGUUGUUUGGCACCAAGGAAAGUUGUUUAUCCAUUUUACUUUUGUCUGUUGUCUAUUCACUUAAUUUUCUCUUUUUUUGUGUGGGGGCGAAGUGAAGUAAUUGUCCAUUCAGCAUAACCAUUUGGACAAGCCUUUCCCAUGAUGGGAUAAGGAAAUGGGUGGAAAAUAGUUACACAACUUGGCAUAGUAAUGUUUAAAGUAAUUUUGAGAUCAAGUUUAAAUUUAGUCCCUAAAGGGAAAAUGGCACUAAAGAAACUAAUGAACAAUUGUCCCUUUCUUUCUUAUGCAACAAGACGAGGCAUUUGAGACAGCCUUUGCUCGAGUUUUUUUCCUAGAUAAUUUUAAUCAAUACAAAACUGGUGCUUACACCAAUCACCCCUUAGUAUAUUAAAAGAGGAAAAAAAAUUCAAAUGUCCACUUAGUCAGGUAUCAAUAUACCUGAGAAAAACAUUCAAUUAAGUUCAGUGUUGAUUGGUCUUCAUAGUAUAUUUACAUGUCGAAUUUUCUAUUUGAAUAACUAAAAAAUCAGUGCCCUUACUUGCACCAGAUUAUGACUGGAACAGGUUUAAGAGCCUUUGGUCCAUUUCUUAUGCCUCUUUUAUGGCAAGACGCCUACAUAUUUAGGACAUAUAAAUAGCUUUGAGAUCGGAAGGUAACAAAUUUUCAUCACCUAAAACAAAUGAAAUAAAUAAACAAAACCCCAAAUAGCACAUUACAAAAAAAACUUGAAAUUAAAAAUCUGGGUGUGAGUAUGUAUACUUUUUUCUUUAUAAAUUUUUUCUUCAAUCCAGGCUUCUUUACAAUGCAAGCAGAGCUUACACAAUGUAGGCCUACCAAUAAUUGUGUGACUUGAAAUGAUACCAUUCAUUGAUUCCUAUUUUAUUUAUGGAAAACCGAAAUUCUGAAUUCACAGCUUUGCUUGGUUUUGUUGCAUUGGGAAGAUAAAGUGAGGUUUGAUCAUCACUGAUUUUUGUAAAACAGUUUGUUUUGAUCAUCCAUAUUUAAUUAACAUCCAUAAACCUAUUCUGUAAUGGAUUUAAUUUUCCGAUAAAAUAUUGCAUUCCUUCUCUCAUUAUAGGUCUAGAUAUCAAGAUUUAGCAUGUUAGCUCAUCCAUCCUAGGAAUUCUAAUUCAAGAUUUCAUUUUCUAGAUUUAGAUUUAUUAUGCAUGUAUUACACAAGCUCUUAAACUAAUAUGAUUUUUUCAGUAUAUUAAUUUAUACUCGUUUCUACUCACUGAACAGCAGUAUAAUCAAUACUAAAAGGAGACACCUUAAAAUUCACUUCUGACACCAUAUUAAACCCAGAUCGUUGGACAACCCAACAAUCAGUGCUCAAAAUAUGGAAUCCCUAAAUGAUAAAUCAGCUAGCAAUCGACACCAAAAAAACAAAUCAAUAAUACAUUAGAGAGAACCUUUGAUUUAUACUCAAUGACUUAUUUCCUACUCACCUACCACCAUCAUAAUCAACACUCAAAGAAGCUAAAAAAAAAAAAAAAAUAAAAAUUUCACUACUGAAAUAGAGUGGAAGCAAAGCCAUUGGACAACAAAACUUUCAAUGCUCAAAAUAUGAAAACCCAUAUGCUUAAACCAGAUAACAAUCAAUACUCUAGAAUGAAAUCAACAACACACCACAUAAAACCUUUAAUUUAUAUUCAUUUUCUGCUCACUUACUACAAGUAUGAUUAAUAUCUAGAAGGGGCAAAAUACCUCAAAAUUGACUUAUGAAACGAUAUAAAAGCCAAGUCGUUGGACACCCCAACAAUCAAUGCUCAAAAUUCGAAAGACCCAAUUGCUUAACCAGCCAACGCACGACCCCGAAAAUAAAAUCCACAUCAUAGUAUACAGAAACUUUACUUUAUAAUGAUUUCCUACUCACCUCCUACCAGUAUAAUCGAUACUCAAAACAGUAAAAACACCUCAAAUUCAAUUUUGAAAUGAGAUGAAAGCCUAAUCACUGGACAACCCAGAAGUCAAUGCUCAAAAUCAGAAAGACCCAAAUGCUUAAACCAACCAACAACCGACACAUAAAUAUAUUUUUGUGAAAACAUCUAAAAUCUGAAGUUUUGGCCAAAAACAUAUUUUUAUCCAACAAAUCUUUAGAAUUAGCAAUUGAUCAGCCUGGCUUUUUAAGGUGAACUAAUUCAAAGGUCAGCCCGUGCAUGAGUUACCAUGAAUACUUGCAUAUUCAUACCUGGAAGGUUGAAUUGUAAAGGGCCACAAUAUCAAAAGAGUACUACUGUGUGACAAAUAAACAAUAAGCUCGAGGGUAUUACAAUAUUUGGACAUCAUGUACGAAACCCUGGAGAAUGAAUUAAGACCAUUCAUCAUCACCUAUGAAUUAAGACCAUGCUAAACCAUGGUCCACUGGAAAAUUCCCAAAGUGGGAACUUUUUUAUUAUUCUAUGCAUUUAGAUAUAUAAUAAUAAUGCAAGGAAAACUGCCCUUCUUAUUAUUGUCGGUGGUGACAAAAGGCGUUGAUGGGCUCACCUCCUACCAGUAUAAUCGAUACUCAAAACAGUAAAAACACCUCGGAUUCAAUUUUGAAAUGAGAUGAAAACCUAAUCACUGGACAACCCAGAAGUCAAUGCUCAAAAUCUGAAAUACCCAAAUGCUUAAACCAACCAACAAUCGACAUAGAAAACCUCACAAUACCCAUCAAAAAGUAAAAAAAAUAAAAAUAAAUAAAUAAAAGCACAACCAAAAUAAAGUACCAAAAUCGACUUUUUUCUGAUGCUCAAUCUGUUAUUAAACUAGUUUCUCUUCUGAUGCUCAUGAUAACACCUUUAGCCCUAAUAUGUUCUCAACACCCAAACGAAUGCUUAAAUGGAAAACUCACCUGUGAUUGAUUGAGGAAGCUCCACUUCAGUUUUUAGAAACCUUUAAAAAAUCAACCUUUGAUGAAGAAAUACGAAGAUCUGCCUCAACUUUGGCUUCCUUGAAGGUUUUCAGAAGAAACCUAUUGGGUUUGGGUUGUCAACUCGUGAAGAGACACGCUAGGGUUAGGGCAGAAUCAGACGAAGCCGACUUUCGAAAGAUGGGUAUCCAUUGCUUGCUCAAGACCUCAAUAAACAGAUCGACUCUAUCAAAUGAGCUAUGAAAAUGGAAAUUUUCUGAGAUCUGGUUAGGGCAAAACGAGAGAAAGUGACAGAGAUAACUUCAAGUUUUAAAUGUUUCUCGGGUCGGGUGUGUUGUGGGUUUCAGACUUCAUAACUUCAUUAUUCACAUUUUAGUGUUUCUAAAAUUGUGCAAUGGCUGUUGAUAUGGACACCGCAGUGGCUGCUGACAGGGAAAAAUAAAGGGCAAUUUUGGAAUAGCUUACCAAAACAGUAUAUAGUGCACAAAAAAAAUAAUAUUUUGGUCAUUAACGGACAAAGCCCAUAUUCCAGUUUUUUUGGGUUUGAUUUGCAUAUUACCUUCAAAUGGGCCAAUGUUGAGAAAAUUUGGAUACAAUGGAGAAAGGAAACACUCUCACACACUCACUUUGAUACAAUAAAACUCUCUUAGAUACAAAAUAAGAAGAAGAAGAAGAAGAACACAAGAAAGGCUCAAACAAGUUCUUGGAACUUUGUCCAAAGACUCUAUUUCCUCCCACCUCUAGAAAUCUUUUGGGAACUAAAUGGAAAUAGUCUUGGGAUUGAUCAAGCCUUUUCACUUUUCUGCAUGAGAUUUCAAAAAGAAGAAAAGUCAUAUAUAUAGCACUCUUAGGGUUGAAAAAAGGUUACAAGGAUGAGAAAAACUCAUUGUCUUCCUCAAUCUCUUCAUCUUUGUAAUAUUCAAAAUUAAAUCAUAUGUUUAAUUCACACAUUAAACAUGAUUUAAUCUCAAAUGUGUAACUCUCUUACACUUAAUCUCUUAAGUUUAUAAAGUUACAAAGAUGAGAAGACUCAUUGUCUUCCUCAACCUCUUCAUCUUUGUAACAUUCAAAAUUAAAUCAUAUGUUUAAUUCACACAUUAAACAUGAUUUAAUCUCAAAUGUGUAACUCUCUUACACUUAACCUCUUAAGUUUAUAAAGUUACAAAGAUGAGAAGACUCAUUGUCUUCCUCAACCUUUCAAGUUUUGUAACAUUUCAAAACUUAAUCAUGUGUUUAAAUCACACAUUAAAAGUGUAACCCUUCUUACACUUUAUUUUCCAAAAGUUAUUUUCAAAAGUGUAACUCUUCUUACACUUUAUUUUUUAACCAACAAUAUAUAUAUAUAUAUAUAUAUAUAUAUAUAUAUAUAUAUAUAUAUAUAAAUAUAACAAUCCCCCACUUGGUUAAAAAUAAACAUAAACCCUUAUAACCUUAACAGUGAAAAUGCAUAAAAUAAAAUAUCUUUCGAUUUGAAUUUUACCUUAGUGUAAUUGUCACAAAGCUCCGUUGAAAUCCCAGGUUGCUUGUAGCAUUGAACCAGUUAUUCCUUGUAACGAAACCGGUAACAACACACACACUUCCACUAACCACACGAGUGCCCAUUAUUUUCUUGCUUAGCACUUUUAUGGCCAUGUGCUCAAUCCAUUCAUGAACUUUCUUGAAAGAAACUCCAACUCUCAUGAGAGGCGGCACCACCCCUAAGUUCACAUAGGUGAAAUUCUUCCAGCAUCCUUGUUACCUUUAAGAUGCUUGUCACACAUAGACUGAAUUUCAUUAAAAGCUUUAAGCUUAACCCUCCAACGGUAACAACCAGCAUUAAUAAUCACAGAUGGAACUCACAUGUUCUAAUGCUGCCACAACCCACUUAUCAAUGACUUGUUUUUACCCAUUGAACUUAAGACUAGUCAUUUCGUAGUAUUAAGUUGGGUUACCAUCAUUGGUGAGUUUUAUUUAAGGAGUUUUAGUCCCAUCCCUCUAGAUGUUAUCCUUACUAAAUCUCUUGUAAGAGGUUUAGUAAAAGGAUCCGCCAAGUUUCCACUUGACCUCACAAAUGAGAUUGAGAUGAUUCCAUUUUGAAUCAAUUGUCUUACAUACUCAUGUCUAAUGCUUAUAUGUCUAGACUUCCCAUUGUACACUCCACUGUACGCACGAGCUAGAGUGGCUUGACUGUCACAAUGUAUCGACACUGUUGACACAUUAUUUGCAGUAAAAGGGAUGUCCAUCAUGAGAUCCCUAAGCCACUCAGCUUCUUUUCCAGUUGCAGCUAGAGCUAUAAACUCUGCCUCCAUGGUUGAGUGUGAUAUACAAGUCUGUUUCUUGGAUCCCCAAGAGACAGCCCCACCACCAAGUGUAAACACCCAACCUGUGGUAGAUAAAUUAUCUCCCACACUCGAUAUCCAGCUUGCAUCUGAAUACCCUUCAAUUAUAGCAGGAAACUUUGAAUAUUGGAGGCUUAGUUCUUUGGUAUUCUUUAGGUAACCAAGAACUCUACCAAUAGCUUUCCAAUGUUCCACGCUUGGAUUGCUAGUAAACCUACUUAGUUUACUAACUGCAAAUGAAAUGUCAGCCCUAGUACACUGAGCAGCAUACAUAAGACUUCCAAUUGCACUUGCAUACUCAAGUUGAGCCACCGAUCUACCAUCAUUCUUUUCAAGUUUUAUACUUGAAUCAAAUGGAGUAUUAGCAUCUUUAAUCUUGAGAUGACUAAAUUUGCUAACUACUUUCUCAAUAUAGUGGGUUUGGUUCAAAGCAUAACCCCCACUAUUUCUUUUCACUUUGAUACCCAAUAUAGUAUCAACUUCCCCAAGAUCUUUCAUCUUGAAGGUUGAGGAUAGAAACCUUUUCGUUUCUAUUAUUCCUCUCAUGUCAUCACUCAAGAUUAACAUGUCAUCCACAUAUAGACACACUAUGACCAUAUAGUCAUCACAAGUCUUAGAAUAUAAGCACUUGUCCACAUUGUUGUGUCUAAAUCCAUCCGAAAGAAUAGCAUGAUCAAAUUUUUCGUGUCAUUGUUUAGGAGCUUGUUUUAAACCAUAUAAUGAUUUGACAAGCUUACACACUUUGUUUUCAUUCCCCAGUAGAACAAAACCUUCCGGUUGUUCCAUGUAGACCUCUUCAUUGAGAUCCCCAUUCAAGAAUGUCGUUUUGACAUCCAUUUGAUGAACAAAUAGAUUAUGAAUUGAUGUCAAAGCAAACAAUAUCCUAAUCGAUGUUGUUCUAGCCACCGGCGCAUAGGUAUCAAAAUAAUCAAUACCUUCUCUUUGUUUAAACCCCUUAGCUACUAAUCUAGCCUUAAAGGUUUGAAUCAUGCCAUCGGUGUGAUAUUUCCUUCGAAAUACCCACUUGCACCCUAUUGGUUUAGAUCCUGGUGGAAGGUCUACCAAUUCCCAUGUUUGGUUGGACAUAAUUGAAUCCAUUUCAUCAUUGAUAGCCUCUUUCCAAAAAGCAACAUCUCUAGAAGCCAUAGCUUCUUUGUAUGUUUUGGGAUCCUCCUAUAUUUGAAGUACUAUAGGAAUUUUUCUUAUAAUAUCUUCUCUAUUUCCUUCUACUAAGUAAAAGGAAAUUCUUUGAGAGUCAAUCUCAUCCGAUCCCAACACUUUCUCUUUUCUAGCUCUUUGGCUUUUCCGAGGCACAAUGGGUUGCUCAACAACCUUUGAAGGUGUCUCCUCUUGAGACUCUCCAACACUAGUAGGUACUUGAGAAUUGCUAUCACUCAACAAAUUCUCAAAGAACUCUACCUCUCUUGAUUCAAUUAUCACAUUAGACUCCAAGUCUAAUGGCCUAUAAGCUUUGCUAUUUGAGGCAUAGCCUACAAAUGCACACUUAACGGCUCUUGGACCCAAUUUUGUUUUAUUUGGAUCCGUUUUCUUGCAAUAAGCAAGACACCCCCACACUUUGAAGUAACCUAUAUUAGGCUUCCUUCCUUUCCAUAACUCAUAUGGAGAUAUCUCAUUUUUCUUCAUAGGAAUUCUAUUCAAAAUAUAGCAAGCAGUCAACAAAGCUUCACCCCACAAAUUGAAAUUCAAUUUAGCAUGCAAUAACAUAGCAUUCACCAUUUCCAAAAAUGUUCUAUUCUUUCUCUCCGCUAUGCCAUUGUGUUGAGGUGUAUAGGGUGCGGUGCACUCAUGUAUUAUGCCAUAUUCUUCACAAAAAGAAUUGAAUUCACUAGAGAAAUAUUCACCACCUCUAUCACUUCUAAGCACCUUAAUAUUUUUUCCUAGUUGAUUUUCAACUUCGGCUUUGUAAACUUUAAAGGCAUUGAAAGUUUCACUUUUGUUUUUCAACAAAAACACAUAGGUAAAUCUAGAACAAUCAUCUAUGAAUGUAAGAAAAUACCUAUUUCCACCUCUUGUUAACAUGCCAUUAAGUUCACAAAGAUCACUAUGUAUUAAAUCAAGCAAAUUAGAUGAUCUCUCAACACUAUGAAAAGGCUUUUUAAUCAUCUUUGCUUUAACACAUAUUUCACACUUUUCAAAUUUCUUGGUAUCACAAGCAAUCAAACCACAUUUCACAAUCCUUUUAAUAGUGCUUAAACCAAUAUGUGCAAGCCUAUUAUGCCACAAAAUUAAAGAAUUUGAAUCACACAUAUAAGCGGAAGUAGACGUCAUUUUAUUGAUAUUGUCAUUGGUACUAAGUUUGAUCAUCCCAUCACAAGAAUACCCUUUUCCCAUAAAGUUCCCCGAUUUGGUUGAAAUUAGCUUACCGGAUUCAAACACCGCUUUGAUACCCGGUUUGCCAAGCAAAUCCCCACUAACCAAAUUUUUAUUCAUAUCGGGGACAUAUAAUACAUUUUUAAGGGUAACCUUUUUGCCGGAGGUAAAAACAACUUCAAUAGUGCCCUUGCCAAGCACCUUGGAUUUUCCUUCAUUGCCCAUUUGAACCUCUUGAUCUCCCUUUGCAUCUUCAAAGGUCUUGAAAAGAGAUUUGUCAUAGGUAACAUGAACUGUGGCACAAGUAUCAUACCACCAUCCUUGCACCUUUCCUUGGACAACGCACACAUCGCUUAGUGUUGCAAUGAUCUCCUCAUCAAUUGCAUUCACCACAACCCCUUUUUGGUCCUUUCGGAACCUACACUCCCUAGCAUAAUGCCCGGGUUUUCCACACACAAAACAAGGACCUUUCUUGCCCUUAAAUUGCUCUUGAUUUUUCUUGGGGCUCAUAUAAUUUCCGGAAUUCUUUUUGUUGUUGUUAUUUUUACCUCUAGGAUGAUUGGCCUUUGAAAUCGCAUUGGCUUUGUUAGUCCCACCAUUGGACUCUUCCACCAUUUUGUCUCUUGAUCUCGAUUCUUCCUCAAUGCGAAGAUGUUUUUGAAUCUCUUCCAAGGAGUAAUCUUCACUCUUGUGGAGAAUCCUCUUCCGGUAACCUUUCCAACUUGAUGGUAAUUUAGCCACAAUAGCACCAACUUGGAAGGCCUCCGGAAGUUCAAUUUUGAGAACUUUCAACUUAUUCACAAUUACUUGCAACUCAUGAAUUUGUGGUAAGAGAGGCUUUUCAUCAAAAAAUUUGAAAUCUAUGUAUUGAGAAAUAAGAAACUUUUUGGUACCUUCUUCCUCGGCUUUGUACUUGUUUUCAAGAGCCUCCCAAAUCUCCCUCGCGGAAUUGGUGUUGGUGUAGAGAUCAUAUAGCCUAUCGGAUAAGGCGUUCAAAAUAUGACCCCUACAUAUGAGCUCAUCCUCCUCCCUCUUCUUCCUUGCCGCCACCACUUGAGGUGUGUCAUUUUCCUUUGGUUUCGGUAAUGGUGCCAAGGUAGGAUCAAGGAUGUAGAAAAUCUUGAGUGCUGUGAGAAGGAAUCUCACCUUGUCUUGCCACCUAGUGAAGUUAGAACCAUCAAAACGAUCCAACCUCACAAGGUCUUGGUUCAUAAUCUUGAUAGUCUCUCCCUCCAUUGAGAAUAGAGUCUUUGAUUGUUGAUGAAAUUUGGAUACAAUGGAGAAAGGAAACACUCUCACACACUCACUUUUGUACAUAAAACUCUCUUAGANNNNNNNNNNNNNNNNNNNNNNNNNNNNNNNNNNNNNNNNNNNNNNNNNNNNNNNNNNNNNNNNNNNNNNNNNNNNNNNNNNNNNNNNNNNNNNNNNNNNCCCUCCAUUGAGAAUAGAGUCUUUGAAUGUUGAGAAAAAUUUGGAUACAAUGGAGAAAGGAAACACUCUCACACACUCACUUUGAUACAAUAAAACUCUCUUAGAUACAAAAUAAGAAGAAGAAGAAGAAGAACACAAGAAAGGCUCAAACAAGUUCUUGGAACUUUGUCCAAAGACUCUAUUUCCUCCCACCUCUAGAAAUCUUUUGGGAACUAAAUGGAAAUAGUCUUGGGAUUGAUCAAGCCUUUUCACUUUUCUGCAUGAGAUUUCAAAAAGAAGAAAAGUCAUAUAUAUAGCACUCUUAGGGUUGAAAAAAGGUUACAAGGAUGAGAAAAACUCAUUGUCUUCCUCAAUCUCUUCAUCUUUGUAAUAUUCAAAAUUAAAUCAUAUGUUUAAUUCACACAUUAAACAUGAUUUAAUCUCAAAUGUGUAACUCUCUUACACUUAACCUCUUAAGUUUAUAAAGUUACAAAGAUGAGAAGACUCAUUGUCUUCCUCAACUUCUUCAUCUUUGUAACAUUCAAAAUUAAAUCAUAUGUUUAAUUCACACAUUAAACAUGAUUUAAUCUCAAAUGUGUAACUCUCUUACACUUAGCCUCUUAAGUUUAUAAAGUUACAAAGAUGAGAAGACUCAUUAUCUUCCUCAACCUUUCAAGUUUUGUAAUAUUUCAAAACUUAAUCAUGUGUUUAAAUCACACAUUAAAAGUGUAACCCUUCUUACACUUUAUUUUCCAAAAGUUAUUUUCAAAAGUGUAACUCUUCUUACACUUUAUUUUUUAACCAACAAUAUAUAUAUAUAUAUAUAUAUAUAUAUAUAUAUAUAUAUAUAUAUAUAUUUAUAUAAAUAUAACAGCCAAUGCAAACAUAACUUUCCCUCGUAUCAACCCAUUAACCUAGCAUCAUAGCUGCACUGCAUGGAGCCUUGAACCAGCCGUCCUCUCUGUCCAUUUCGCUGACCAAACCUUACCCUGAGGUCCCAGAGCUACAAGCAAGCAUGCUUGGCCGUUCAUUCACUCCCCUAUCAUCACUGACAAUUGAUCACUCCUCUCAUCUCCCUUCUCUCAAACCCAUUUUACCGGUCACCCCACAAAGGCCACACCCAAACCGCCUGAUAAAAAAUCCUAGAUUUCAUGGUCCUCCUCUCCACUAAUGGUGUCGUGAAAUUUCUGGAAUCUUCGGAGGAUUCUCUUUGCGCUUCUCCAUGGCCGCGCCUUUCUUCUCCACACCUUUUCAGCCGUACGUUUACCGGAGUCCACAAGAAAAUGUGACACCUUUUCAAAUAUUGGGUGGUGCAGCUCAGAUGGUUCAGAUAAUGUUGAAACCACAAGAAAAGAUUAUUGCAAAGCUUGGUUCCAUUUGCUACAUGUCUGGGUCCACCCAAAUGGAGAAUGUUUACAUCCCUGAAAAUCAGGGUUCAAAAUCUCGGUCGAGACCGGUACGACUCGGCCGAGUCAUAUCCGCCUCGACCAUGGCCGGUACCGGACCGAUACCCGAGUUGGAGUAGAAAUUGUGGAGAAGAUCAGAUGAGAGGAUCAAAACCCACGAAAAUGAAAAAUACAGAGUUAGAAUCCUGCAUCUUGGAGUUGUCGGCGAGGUCGAAGAAGCACGCCUGCUUGUUCGGAUCGCCCAAGUUCCUGCCGGAGAUGGAACUGAGCAACAUCAAGAGCAGAGUCGCCGGACUGCUGUUAUCAUCGAUGUUCAGCAAUGCCGCCACCGUCGCCCACCAUUCAGGCCCAGCUUGGCCUUGCCGAACCCGUUCGCGGUGUUAGCGGCCUGGCGUCAGGCGUGACGCAGCCCCGGACCUCGUGCCCGCUCGCGCCCCAAUCGCCUGCACCACCUGCGACUCACCCAGUCGCGCUAGGAGCUCAGCCAUUGAAGCCGCCCUCUCAAUGAAAUGGGUAUCUUUGAUGACCGAGGGUUAUGGGUAUCUGUGAUGAGGAUUUAGGUUUUAAAUAAUAUGUUUUUAUUUUCUAAUUAGAUUAUGAGUAUUUGGUGGGGAUAUGGGUAUUAAAUAAUUUGAUAAAAAUUAUAAUGAUAAAAAAUAAAUAAUAAAUAAUAGACUUAUAUCAAAUAAAUAAGAAAUACAAAUUAAAAUUAAUGAAUAUAUUUUAUAAGAAAAAUUAUAUUUAUUUUUUUAAAGAUGAAUUAUGGUUUUAUUUUUUUUAAUAAUUGAAAAUAUUUUUUAAAAAAUUCAAAAUAUUUAAUUUAAAUAAUUUUUUAUUAAAAAAAUUUACUUUUUAUUAUUUUCAUCUUCAAUAAGAAAUAUUUAUCAUCAAGCGAUUAAAUUAAAAUAUUUUUAAAGAUUUUUAAUAUUAUUAUAAAUCAUCCCAAAAAUAUGUUUUUAUUAUAAUUUGAAUAAUUUGAAUAUAAUAAAAGUUUAUUUUAUUAAUUUUUUAUUCUACUUAUUUGUAUUUAAUUUUUUAAUAAUUUUCAUAAUUUUUUAAAAUUAUUUUGAGCUCUUAAAUUAGAAUUUUUUGCAUAUCACCCGAUACCGAUCCGAGAUACCGAUACCGAUGUGCCUCAGGACCUCCCGAGUCAAUGACCGAUACCGUGACUUUGAACUAUGCUGAAAAUGAAGUAGGUAUGUGGCAGUGGGCUUUUGGCAAGGCUGCGACAAGUGUAGUUCUUCUCAAUCAAGGUUCAGGUGAUGGCUUUGUUGGAAUUGUUGCACCAUCUCUUGCAAGAAUAUUCCCGAUUGAUUCGGCAAUGUUUGACGGGGAAAUUUUAUGCCAGCCAGAUGCAUUCCUUUGCUCUCUCAAUGAUGUAAAAGUCAGUAAUACAACUGAUCAAGGGGCUCGUAACUGUCGGCGUUUUCGAAUUCUAGUAGACCGAUUGAUUAAAUCCAUCUUGUGACCAUCACCCUUUCUCAUGUAUCAUGGGCAAGCACGUGCAUUAGCAUGCAUGUGUUUAAGUUGGAUAGCUUUUUUUCUUCUAGGUUAUGUUUGGCUGAUGCAUGUGCAUGCAAGGUUAACUGAACUUCAUGUAUUUGGGACGGUUUGAGGGCGCGUGAAACACGGAGUUAGAGAGCAUGUCACGUGAGAAGGAAGGGGAUGGAGAGUCUUCGAAGAGGGGGUGUAUAAUCAGGGAAGGAUUUUCUGUUUUGGGGGGUGGGUUUUUUUUUUUUUUUUUUAAUGUAUGGUGAGAUUCCGAUCUCUGUUUAGAGAAAGCUACAGAUAAAAGAGAGAGAGAGAACGAUCUUUCUUUUUGGUGGUGAGUUUCUGGAUCUUUGUUGAGGGGGAACUUGAGAGAAGAGAGGGGAAGAGAGAGUUUCGGAAGAAGGAAGUGAAGAUUGAGAGUUCCCGUAGAAACUGUCGUGCCAUUUAGAAUUAAGUGAAAGAAAACAAAUAUUGUCUAUGUUUCAAGUAUAGCAUGUGUUUUAAAAGAAUGGGAGAAUUGGGCUUUAGACCCACUUGGUUUUGAUAAUUAAUAAAGAGUCCAUCAAACACCAAUAAUUGAUCAUAAGGAUAUAAGAUGGGAAUAGACAAAAAUACCCCCUUUGACUCAUUUUUGUCUUUAUUCUACCACCUUUCACAUGUCACUAUUCUUUCUUAUUUAACCAUUUUUAGAUUUUUCAUUAUUUUUUUAAACUCUUUUAUAAAUAAUUGAAAAAUCAACAUUAUUUUUUUAUUUUUAAAUUAUAAAUAAACAAAAAUUAUAUUAAUGAUUCAAAGACUAUUUUGGAAAAUACUUUCUAAAAAAAUAUUAAUUUAAAUAAAUAAAAAUUACAUUUUACAUUUAUUUUUAUCUUUUAUAUUUUAGAAGUAAAUAAUUUAAUGAUUAAAAUACUAUUUAAAAUAAAUAUAUUCACUAUUUUAUUUUUUUAUAUUAAAAAGUAUUUUAAAUUUUUUUUUACUAUUAUAAAAUAAAAAGUUUAAUUUUUUUUAAUCUUCUUUCUUCCUUAUUUUAAUAACUUUUUGAACAUGACUUUUAGUAAUAAGUUAUAUGAAAUGUUACAAAUUCGUUUAUUAAGAAUUUAUUUUAAUGAUUUGAAUUAAUUGAAAAUUUAUUAAAAUAAGAAAAAGAAAAAGAAAGAAAGAGGAUGGAUGGAAAGUUUUUAUUUAAGUACUCAAUUCAAAUGUUUUCAUAUGACCUAAUUUUAGAAGUGGAUUAUAUCAAUACAUAAUAGAGAUUGAAUUUUUCUUAUAUAAAAUGGUUGAAAGGUAUAUUUACUUAUUUUAGAUAAAAACAAGUAGUUAAAAAUUAUAUAGAUUAUAUUUGAGUUUGGUUUUAAAAUAUUUUUCUAGUUUUUAUUUUUUAUUUUUAAAAAUAAUUUUUAUUUUCUAUAUUGUCUCUUUUUGAAAAUAUUUUUAAUUAAAAAAUGAAAAGUAUUUUUUAAAAUGAAAAUUGAAAACCUUGUUUAAUACUAUUUUUUUAUAUGAAAAUAAAAAAAUAAUAAAUUUUAUUUAUUCAUUUAUUGCAUCACUGUACAAUUGUAUUACACUAACUGUAUAAGGGAAAUGUACUAAGUGUACAAAGGUGUACAAGGCUACCAUUUGUGAAAUAUUAUAAUCGAUUAUGAGUCAUUCCUUUAUUUUUUUUAUCACUCACGAAUUGUACACAUAUGUCAUACACUUUAUUUAAUUCCCGCAUGGAAAUUCCAAUAUUUUUCCUAAUAAUAAUAUUUGGAGAAAAAAAAUUUUGACCUUAAAUCAUCUACCAUCUUCUCAACUAAAUCAUUGAAAAUAUAAUUAAACACUAUUAUGUGGAUACAUAACUUAGGAGGGAUAUAAAAUUUGUGUCAUUGUACAAGGGUAUUACACUAACAAGAAAUGUACUAAUUGUACAAAAGUGUACAAGAUUACCCUUUGUGAAUCAAUUUAAUCAAUUCUAAACCACUUUUUAAUUUCCUUGUCACCCAAGGAUUGUACACCUAUGUCAUGCAUUUUAUUUAACUCUCACAUGAAAAUUCUAAUAUUUUCCCUAAUAAUGAUAUUUGGGAAAAAAAAAAAGUUGAUCCUAAGUCAUUCAUCAUUUUCUUAACCAAACCAUUGAAAAUAUUAUUAAUACACCUACAUGAACAUAUAACUUAUAAGAAAUAUGAAAUUUGUGUCAUUGUACAAGGGUAUUACACUAACUGUACAAGGGAAAUAUGCUAAGUGUAAUUGCUAGGAGAAUUACAGUUGUGUAACCAUACGAAUGAUCAAAUACUUUUACCCGUAAUUUUAUACAAUGUUUUGAUCAGAUACUCUUGCCAACAGUUUUUUUUUUUAUGUGUCCUAAGUUGUUACUCGACAAUUGAUCUUGCAAAAAUAAUGUGAACAUUAUUGUGAACCCGUAUUUUUCACAUGCAUCCCCACUCUAUAGCAAAACUUAGAAUUUAUGAAAAAUGUUUCAUGUUUUUAAAAACUCAUUUUAUUUGAGUUUUGGAAUUGACAUUUAUUUUAUUAAUUUUUUUUAAAAAAGGUAAAACAAAAUAAGAAAAAAAAUCACAUAUAACUCUUUAUUUGAAAAAGACAAGUCCAUUAACCAAAAAUGGAUUUGAGGGUCAAGUUACGUAUCUAGAAGGUAUGAGGAUGAGCCUUUGCACACCUCUAAACCCGUAUAAUUAAUUAAUUAGUGGAUACAAAAGAAAUCAAGAAACCUAAUGUCUCACAUAUAGAGAUUGGAAAGUGGUGGAAAUUGAUCAUCAAAAAAUCAUUAAAAAAAUUCCUUUUAUUAUUGUAUAAUAAUCAUCAAUAUAUUUUUCUAUUUUUUUUUAAAAAAAUAAAACUAAAAUUAAGGAAGAUAUUAAAUAUUUUUUUAAAUUAACAAAUGUAAUUAAAAAAUUAUUUAUAAUUCUAAUUCUAAAAAUAAUAUAAACCAAUGUAUGAAUAUAUAUUUCUUCUUCUUUUUCCUUUUUGGUAUUUUCUUUUUCUUUUCUAUUUGAUUGGUCUAUUAAAUGAAUUUCACUAAUUAUUAUUUAUUUCUUAAAUAGUAAUUGGUCCACUUUUCUCUCAUAUUUAAAUUAGCUAAUUAACUUGAUUUCCAUGUAAGGACCCAAUUAGUGGCAUUUCAAAUAUAAAUCAAUAUCAAAUAUUAAUGUUGAUAAAGACUAUUAUCUGCCACAUCAGUAUCAAGUAUUAAUGUUGAUAAAGACUAGUUAUCUACCACAUCAAAGUGGCAAACAUAUCUUAAAACCUUACCACCUUUGUCAAGAUGCUCCAAGCUUUGUCAUAGGAUUUAAAACACCAAGUGAAAGUAUAUUAUAACAUAACCAUUAUUUGUGUAGAGAUGAGUAGUCCCUUUCAAUUUAGGUUCACAUUCAUAGAUAUCUUGAAUAGAUUAUGUUUAUAUUCAAAGAUAUUUUAUGUACAAUAUUGAUUGUAAUUUUGUAAGUUAUAUGUACAUACUUUUAUUUUAAUGUGGUAGUAAAAUUUAAAAAGUAAAUGUAUCAUUUUUUUUUCAUUCCUAAAUUUAUUUAAAAUAAUUACAAAACUUACAAUUCACUCAUAUCUUAUUUUUUCUAUAGAAUCAACAUUAGCAAUGUCUCUUGUGAAAACAUUGGAAAAACUGUGGAAACCUAUUAAAAAAUCAUUAAAAAGAUAUUUGAUAUUUUUAAAAUUUUAAAAUAUAUAUAACUAAAAUAUUAUUUGUAGUUUACCUUUAAAAUAUAUAUAUCUAAAUGCAACCUAGGAUAUCACCACAAUCAAAAAAAAUUCUAGUAGAAGGAAAUUUCAUUGUGAAAGCAGUAUCAUUCAAACAUCAUCCAUAUACACACCUCUCCAUGGUGUUCUACAAUUAGUGUAAGAAAAAGAAGAAAAAAACAGGAAAGGGUAAAUUUAGUAUGGUAGAAGGAUUCGUAAAUUAGGUGAGAAUAAUGCCUUUGGAUCAAAGAGUUACUCCUUAAUUUAGGGAAAUGCACCCAGGGGCUUAAUAUUUUUAUGGCUGGUGAAGAUGAAAAGUGGAGACUGGAGAAUGUAUUUAUUCAUUGUAAAAAAACAAAAGGCAUGUUUUUCCCUGAUUGCUAAUUGUAAUCGGACUUGUUAGUAAAAGCAUAAACAAUAGGUAAGACUUAAGCAUGUUUAAAAUGAUUUACAUCAAUGUCAAAGAUUCACAAAUUUUUUCCAUGCAAAAUCCCGACUGAUGGUUACCAAUAAAGGAAAAGCUGGAACAAAAAGGAAAAGCAAGAAGACUACAAUCAUGUAUUUGGUGGUAACUUCAAGCGAUGAAGAAGGAUGUAGCACAGCUUGCAGCCCGUCAACGAAUGCUGUCACCAUUACAGCCAUCGCAGCCAAGGUGAGAACAUAGCCGUACAAUAAGUAUGCGUGGACGGUCUUCUUAUUUUCUAUGGGGAAAGAGGCAAGGAAGUAAAUACCAAUUGCACACAUAGAAAGUACCAUGGCUAUGCUAUCUUCCAUGACAAAAUUUCUGAAAUUUUCCGUUGCUGCACUUGCCAUGUCUCCGUCCUUGCCCAGGGUGCCAUCUGUUGGGAGCGAUAAGACUGCCAUGCCCUGGGUAACGCCCUUGUCCGGAAUGUAACCACCAGGCAGUGUGAAACCUGCCGUGAAGGUUACAGUUGCUAUGAGUGCCGCCACUAUCAUAUGGCUUUUCAUUGUUUUCUUAAUUUCAGAUAUUUCUUUACUUUCUUCACUUCCUUUGUUUUCAGAUAUUUCUUCGCUUCCUUUGCUUUCGCUGCUAUCCAUGUCUUCCUUAACCUCUAGCGAACCCAAGGGUCUGAUCCCAACUCUGAAACUUGGACUCCGUCUCUGAAAUUGUAAAAAGUUUACAGAAACAUGGAUAGAGAUUUGAUUUAAAGGGGUGAAGGAAUCAUCCUAAUUCUUGUAAAAGAAGAAAAAUAAUUUAUUUGCUAACAUAAAAUUACCAGAAACUGCAUUUUUAUUGUUCUUCUCUCACAUAAAAACAUAUUUUUGAAUAAAAGCAUAUGAAGGAUGGUUGUCAGAUGUAAUAUCUAUAUAAUUAAAAUACAGAAACACGAAAUAUAUAUAUAUAAUUAAAAUUAAUUAAAAAAAAUUAUGUAUUUUUGGAUGUCAAAUGGGUAACAUUGGAAAUCGAAAAUUUUGACGACCUUACCCUUAAUCCCGCGAAGGUGUCCAAUAUCCACGUCAACAUCCUCUUCGGAGGUGGGAAGUAGUCGACAUCUUUAGACGAGGGAGAAUUGUGAAAUAGGUAGAGGGGCGUCUUUCCUUCAGCAUUCUUCUCGUUCAUGAGUCCUCUCAUCCUUAACGGGGGAAUAUUUGACAAACCCGAAGUUAUAAAUAUUUUUUUUGGCAUUAUAAAAUGAAGAACAUUAUUGCCCUCAUCAUCAACUUUCUCACAACAAUCUGGAAAGUGUGACACCAGCUCUUUCACUAUGUCCACAUGGCCUCGGCUUGCUGCAAUGUGAAGAGCUGUCUUGUUUCCAUGGUCUUUGACUCCUAGGUGGACAACACUGCUGUCACAUUUCUCUAGCAAUUGCCUCACUAUUGUUGGAUGACAACCCACAUAUGCAGCGAAGUGAAGGGGAGACCACCCAUUUUUAUCCAAUUCUUUAGUUAAAGCAGGUUUCCAUUUCAGUAUCUUCUUUGUCAUCGCUGAUAAAAUCAACAAAUGAGAGAAAAAAAAUGAUUUAAGAAAAUAAGAAAAUAAAUUAAGUCUCCUCUUGUAAUGUGAUUCGACCAUUAAAUAAAAAUGGUGCAUCCUCCACUACGUACCUUUGUUAUUGAGAAUUACCGCAGCAUGCAAAGCCGUUCGACCCUUGAUGCCAUUAUGAGCUGGUGAAGAGUACUUGUCUAGGAUCAUCUGCACCAAGUCUCCGAAUCCCCACUCAGCAGCGAUGUAAAGAGGAGUAUUGCCUUCAGCAUUAGCACCAUAGGCAAAGUCGGGGUCAUCCUGAAUCAAUAACUUCACCACCUCAGGGUGAUGAUUUCUCACUGCCUCGUGCAAGGCUGUGUCUUUGUCGUUAUUUAUCAUCCUCAGAAUUACCGUACAAUCUGCUACAGCCCCUCUUUCUGUGUCUCCUUCUCCAAGUUUUUUGGCAGCGUCAAUCAGAUUUUUCACCACUGUCCAGUGCCCUUCCCUGGCUGCAAGGUGAAGUGGUGUGUCACCUUUCUCAUUGGGCUGUUGCAAUAGUGAUGAAGGAGAACCCAACCCAAGGAUCCACUUAACGCAUUCCGCUUGACCGAACUGGGCUGCAACAUGGAGAACAGUGUUCUUCUUUGGGGUUAGUUUGACUUGAAUAUCAUCUUUACGAGCGUUAAGGGCAUGGGUGUCACCAUCUGCUGCAGCCACGUACAAUUUAGGAUCCAUGAUUGUGAUCUUGGUCAGGCUCCCAUCUUCAGCUGCAGCCAGGUUGGUGAUCUCGAUUUCCCUAGCAUCUUCAGCUGCAGCCUGGUUGGUGAUCUGAAUUUCCCUAGCACCUUCAGCUCCAACCUGAUUCGACUCUGUAUUCAAGUUAAGGCUGGAAGUAGUGGGAUCGGCCAUUGUUGUUGAAUGAGCAGUGGCCUUUCUAUAUUUUGCUCCAAGGAUGGGAAACAAGUUGACCAAUUGUUUAAUGGAGAGGGUGGCUCUUAGCUCAACCUCGGGGAAAUUAAGUGGAUGCUUUUUAUAGCCUAUAGGUGUGUGGGUGUAAUUUGAUAUUCAAAGAUGGAAGUAUAUUCAAAUUCUCCAAUCUUUGUCAUAAAUUAAAACAGUAGAUGGAAGUACAUAUCAAAACACCACAAUUAUUUAAGUACACAUUCUAAGAUAUUUUCGGUAGGUUAUGUUUAUAUUCAAAGAUAUUUUAUACACUAUUGAUGUAAUGGAAAGUUGUUUAUUUGAAUUUUUCUUUUUAUAUGCCGUUCCUUUCAACUUGAGUCCACAUUUCAAGAUAUUUUCUAUAAAUUAUGUUUAUAUUCAAAGAUAUUUUAUGUACAAUUCAUAAUGUGAUAGAAAGUUGUUUAUUUGAUUUUUCAAUUCCUUUUUAUAUGUAGAUAAUGGUAUGUGAGGAAAUUGAAGAAAAAUGCUCUGAGCAUGUACUCCUCCGAGGAUAUCACCAAAAACAUUUGGAGAAGAUCACCAAUGCCAAAAAAAUUAUGAAUACAUAUUUCUCCUUUCCUGGUAUUUUCUUUCUCUUAAUUUUCUAUUUGAUUGGCAUAUUUGGAGGACACCACUAACUAUUAUUUGUUUUUUAAGUCAUAAUUAGUCUAUUUUUCUCUCAUAUUCCAACUAGCUACUUAACUUGAUUUCCAUCCAUUUCUUAGUGAAGAAAAAUGCUUUGAAUAUAUCCUUGUCCAAGGAUAUCACUAAAAAAUGCUCUGAAUUAGUCCAUUACUAAUUAUUAUUUAUUUUUUAAGUAGUAAUUAGUUCAUUUUUCUCUCAUAUUCAAACUAGCUAAUUAACUUUAUUUCCAUCCAUUUCUUAGUGAAAGAAAAAUGUUUUGAACACGUCUUCCUCCAAAUAUAUCACCAAAAGUAUUUUUGGAAAAAUAUCACCAGUGUCAAAAAAAAAAAAUGAAUACAUAGUACAAUGGAUUUAAUGUUAUUUUGUACAAGUAUGAAUUUAUGAAAUUAAAGUCAAGACAACGUAAAAGAUAUUUUGUAGAAGAAAUUUCAAUCAAAAUGGUACGUGUAUGUGUGUUAAAGCCUUACCAACUUUGUUGUGGGAGUUAAAAGCCUUACCAGCUCUCAUUGUAGAAUGGACAAAAAAAUUUCAAAAAGAAAAAAUAGAAUAUGAUACUGUGGUCAAAACCAAAUUAUUUUUAGGUCAAUUAUAAACACAUGUUCUAGACCCAAUGGGUUUGGGCCAAUAAACCCAAUGAGUUCUUUUUACUUAGUUAAAUGAUUGAAUGCAUUAUCAAAUUGAUAUCCCUUUAGGGCUCGUGUUUUUAUUUUUCUAUCUUUUGUUUCUUAUUUAUUUAUUUACUUAUUUUUGUAUCUCUCUAUUUUAAUUUCAACUUUUUCACAAAUUUUAUAGUAUCCAUGUAUGUAACAUUGUAAACUAACAAUUUCACUCUCGGAUCAGAUUGGUAUAUUUGGCAUAUGUCGCCAAGUUUUAGUUUAAUUUUUCUAAAUGAUAAUUGACCAUUUUUCUCUUACAUUUGAAAGCUAAUUAGAAUAUAUUUGACAACUAUUUUUUAGAUUAAUUUUUUAUUCUGUAAAACAAAAAAAAAAAAAAAAAAACCAACAAGGAAAUAUGUUUGACAACUAAAAAACUAUUUUAUAUUUUUAUUCUUUAAAAUAGAAAACAUGAUGUUUUUAAAGAAAAUUUUAUAGUUGUUUUCGUUUGUGUUUUUAAGAACCAUUUUUAUAAAAUAAUUAUACCAAUAUAUAGAAUGAUUAAAAAUAAAGAACUGAAUAUAAAAAUUAAUUUUAAAAUAUAUUUAAAAAAAUAAAAUAAUAGUUUUUUAGAAAUGUUUUUUAAUAUAGUUACCAAAACAGGGUUUCAGCUUUACGCCCCUCCAUGUUGACUCAAUUAUUAAUUAUGUGGCAUUCGAACAUAAGUCAAUGUAUAAUUUUAAUAGGAAAAAGACGGUUAUAUAUAUAUAUAUCAUAACAAACAAAAAGGUGAUAGAUGUGUGUUUUAAAGCAGUUUGUUUCAAGUUAUGUGUAUAUUCAAAGAUAUUUUAUGUAGCUUAUGUUGACAUUUAAGGAUAUUUUAUAUAAUAUUAAUAUAAGGAAAAGUUGUUUGUUUGAUUUUGUUUCUCUUUCUACUAUAGAUCCUACCUAGAUCCUGAUCCUUGUCUUAUUGGGAUCCCAAAGUCUUCUAUACAACACUACGCACUUUUUACCCCCACAGAAACCAUAGUCGCUCCUUUAUCUAGCUAAAUGCUUUUUAUUAAAUAUUUUUAUAAAUGGAAUUAUAUUUCUGACAUUCCACAAUUUCUUCGAUCUCCAAGGAUAGAAGAUGGAAGGAUUAUAAGGAAGAGGAUGUUUAAUUGUAAUUUUUUUAGUAAUAUAUAUAUAUAUUUAAAGAAGUAAUUGGUCCACUUUUAUCUCAUAUUUGGAUUAACUAAUUAACUUGAUUUCCGCCUUAAAGAACCAAUUAGUGUCAAUUUAAGUAUAAAUCAAUAUCAAAUAUUAAUGUUGAUGAAGACUAGGUACCCAAUCAAAGUGGUAGAAGUAUCUUAAGGCCAUAUCACCUUUAUCAAAAUGUAUGUGUUGGCCUACUACCUUACCAUCUUUGUCAAGAUGUAUGUGUUAACCCUACCUACCACCUUUGUGAAGAUGUAUGUAUUAAUAUCCUCGAAACUUUAUCAUACGAACUAAAACAAUAAGUGAAAAUAUAUCAUAACCCAACAAUUGUUUUUUUGACAACAAUUGUUUUUUGGGAGAUGAGUAGUCCUUUUCAACUUAGGUUCACAUUCAAAGAUAUUUUGUAUGGCAUAAAUCUAUAUUCAAAGAUUAUAUAUAUAUUCCAAACAUAAAUCAACUUCAAAUAUUAAUGUUGAUAAAGAUUGGGUAUCACCAUAUCAAAAUGGUAGAAGUAUCUUAAGACCAUACCACCUAUAUCAAGAUGUAUGUGUUAAUAUCCUCAAAGCUUUGUCAUUUGAAUUAAAUCAGGAGGUGGAAGUAUAUCUUAAUAGAACAAUUAUUUUUCUAGAGAUAAGUAGUUCCUUUCAACUUAAGUGCACAUUCAAAGAUAUUUUAUAUAGUAUAUGCCUACAUUAUAUAUAUUUAUAUUCACUCAUAUCUUAUUCUUUUUUUAUCAAAUCCACAUCAACAAUGUCUCUUGUGAAAACAUUGAAAAAAUCGUCAAACCCAUUAAAAAAUCAUUAAAAAAAUUGUGAUAUACUAAUUUGAUAGGAAGAAAUCCCACUAGUUAAUUAUUAUUUUUUUCCUUGAUCAUUUACACUUUCAUAUGAUCCAUCAAAUUCAUCUUCCACAAUUGGUCUACUUCUUAGUUAAUUUUGUUUACCAAUUUUAAUAUGAUCAAAAUCAAUUUUAAAAUUUUAGGUUAUGUUUGGUUUAAAAAAAAAUUGAGAGAAAAUAUAAGGGAAGAAAAAUAUGGAGGAAAAGAAGAAAGAAAGAAAAAUGAAUGAAAAUAAAAUAGAUUUAAAAUUAAUAAAUUAUUUUUAUAUGUUAUUUUAAACUAAAUUCACUUAUUUUAACUCUUCUAUAUAAAAAUUAAAUAAUUUGAAAAUAUAUAAGUUUUAACUAAUUUUAAUUAUAUUUUAAUUUCUUUGAUAUUUUUAAUAGUAUUACAACCAAACAUUAAAAAUAAUCAUUUUUUUUUAACAUUUUUUCCAUAAUACUUUUUGAAGAAUCAAAUAUAACCUUAAUGUUAAAAUUGAAUAGAAUAUAAUUAUUUUGUAUCUGUAAAAACUUGCUACUUUGACAAACUAGAGAUAAUUUUUAUCUUAUCAACAAUUGUGAAGUUGAGUAAAUUUAAAGCUAAAUCAAUUUCCCAAACAUCAACAAAUAAAAACAAAAUUAAAUAGUCAAAUAUCGUAUUUUUCUAGAGUUGGAAGUACAUAUAAACACCGCAAUUGUUUUUCUAGAGGUAAGUAGUCCCUUUCAAUUAAGUCUAAUUUCAAAGAUAUUUUCUAUAACUCUACAUUUCACAUUCUAUAUAUUUUGUGAGCAAUUCCCUUCAAGCUUUUGUCCAUGAUUUAAAGAUAUUUUAUGUAGAGCAUACGUGGAAGGGCUUUUGCCCAUGAUUGAAAGAUAUUUUAUGUAGAGCAUAUGUGGAAGGGAAAGUUGUUUGCACAUAUAUAUAUUUUUCUCUUUCUUUCUUGUGAAGUUUUUCUGUCUUUUUAGACAUCUCCCAUUUUUAUUUACUUGAUGAGAUUUUUAUCCUAUCACACUCCGGCCUCAAUAAUUUGGCUACAUUAAACCCAUUAACACCAUUUUAUUAUUUAUUUUUCUAAAUUGUAAUGCUUCAUAUUUCUCUCAUAUUUGAACCAACCAUCCAGCUUCGUUUCACGCUCAUUCCUUGAUUCACCCAUUUGAUAAGUGACUGUCAAUCAUAAAUCAAUAUAGAGAUGAGUCGUUGCUUUCAAAUCAUGUCUAUAUUUUUUAGAUUUUUUUUGUAACUUAAGUCCACAUUCAAAGAUAUUUUACGUCAAACAUGGGUGUAGAGGAAAGUUACUCAAAUACCAUAUUCUCUUUCCUUCUAUGGAUAAGAUAAUGCUUGGUUCUAAUUUCAUAUGUAGUAUAAUUUUAAUUCUUAAUUUUAAGAAAAUUAUAAAAAUAAAAAUAAAUAGUAAAUAAAAGAUUCAUUCCCAAAUUUGUUUAAAGUCAUUUUAAAUCUCACAACUCAUUCUCAUUAUAUUUGUAAGGCAAUCAAGCAACUUGCUGUCUCACAUGUAAAGAUUAAAAUGUGGUCAAAACUCAUCAAAAGAAUCAUUAAAUGUUUUUCUACUUAUUGUUAUAUAAUCAUCAUUAUAUUCUUGUGUAUUUUUUUUUUAAAUAAAACUAGUUUUAAGAAAAAUAUUAAGUAUUUUUAAAAGCUAAAAUUCAAUUGAAAAUUUAUUUAUACGUUCUACUUUUGAAAAUAGUGAAAACCAAAGCAUAUUUAAAUGCAUUUUUUCCCUCUUUUAUUUCUUUUGUGCACAUCUGGACUUUUCACAAGAAAAUGGACAAAGUAGCUUUGGGAAUAAAAAAUAGAAAAUGUUUAUGGUAUCAAAACCUAGUUAUGUUUUAUUAUAGAAGGAAGAAAAAAAAUGAAUGAAUUAUAUAUAUCUAUAUAUAGUAAGGAUCAAUGUGAGGUAAAAUCCCAAGAAUAUUAUCAAAAAUAUUUUGGUAAAUUAUUAUUAUUAUUAUUUUGGUAAUAUAUAUAUAUUCUUAAGAAGUAAUUGGUCCACUUUUCUCUCAUAUUUGGAUUAACUAAUUAACUUGAUUUCCGCCUUAAAGAACCAAUUAGUGUCAUUUCAAAUAUAAAUCAAUAUCAAAUAUCAAUGUUGAUGAAGAGUGGGUACCAUAUCAAAGUGGUAGAAGUAUCUUAAGGCCCUAUCACCUUUGUCAAGAUGUAUGUGUUGGCCCUACCACCUUAUCACCUUUGUCAAGAUGUAUGUGUUGACCCUACCACCUUUGUGAAGAUGUAUGUAUUAAAAUCCUUGAAGUUUUAUCAUACAAACUAAAACAAUAAGUGGAAAUAUAUCAUAACCCAACAAUUGUUUUUUAGGAGAUGAGUAGUCCUUUUCAACUUAGCUUCACAUUCAAAGAUAUUUUGUUUAGCAUAAAUCUAUAUUCAAAGAUUAUAUAUCUAUAUAUAUAUAUAUAUAUAUAUAUAUUCCAAACAUAAAUCAAUCUCAAAUAUUAAUAUUGAUAAAGAUUGGGUAUCUACCAUAUCAAAAUGGUAGAAGUAUCUUAAGGUCAUACCACCUAUAUCAAGAUGAAUGUGUUAAUAUCCUCAAAGCUUUGUCAUUUGAAUUAAAUCAGAAGGUGAAGUAUAUCUUAACAGAACAAUUAUUUUUCUAAAGAUGAGUAGUCCCUUUCAACUUAAGUUCACAUUCAAAGAUAUUUUAUAUUGUAUAUGCCUAUAUUAUAUAUAUUUAUAUCCACUCAUAUCUUAUUCUUUUUUCUUUUUUUUAUCAAAUCCACAUCAACAAUGUCUCUUGUGCAAACAUUGAAAAAAUCGUCAAACCCAUUAAAAAAUCAUUAAAUUUUUUUACUAAUUUUGAUAUACUAAUUUAAUUUGAUAGGAAGAAAUCCUAGUAGUUAAUUAUGUUUUUAUUCCUUGAUCAUUUACACUUUCGUAUGAUCCAUCAAAUUCAUCUUCCACAAUUGGUCUACUUCUUAGUUAAUUUUGUUUACGAAUUUUAAUAUGAUCAAAAUUAAUUUUAAAAUCUUAGGUUAUGUUUGGUUUAAAAAAAUUGAGAGAAAAUAUAAGGGAAGAAAAAUAAAGAGGAAAAGAGGAAGGAAAGAAAAAUGAAUGAAAAUAAAAUAGAUUUAAAAUUAAUAAAUUAUUUUUAUAUGUUAUUUUAUUUUAUUUAUUUUUUUAAAAAGAAAACAAAAUAAAAUAAAACAUGUGUAACUCCUUAUUUGGAAAAAUAAAAUAAUAAAAUAAGUGUAUGGAUUAAGAAUGAGUUUUGAGGGUCAAGUUCCCUAUAGGGUAAGCCUUAGCAUACCUCCAAACCCAUUUGUUUACAAUCUCUAAUAAACAAUAAGAGAUACUUUAACAUUUAAUUAGUCAAUCAACGGAUAGAAAAGAAAUUAAGAAACUUGAUGCCUCACGUACAAAGAUUAGAAAGUGGUUGGAACCACUCAUGAGAAAAUCAUUAAAUUUUUUCCUUUUUAUUAAUGUAUAAUCAUCAAUAUAUUUUUCUACUUUCAAAAACAAAAAUAAAACUAGAAUUAAGGAAGAUAUUAAUUUUUUUUAAAGGAAGAUAUUCAAUAUUUGUUUAAAGUUAAAAAAAUGUAAUUAAAAUUUUAUUUAUAUGUUCUAUUUUUAAAAAUAGUAUAAACAAAUGUAUGAAUACAUAUUUCUUCUCAUUUUUCCGUUUUGGUAUUUUCUUUCUCUUUUUUAUUUGAUUGGUCUAUUCAAUGGAUUUCAUUGAUUAUUAUUGAUUUCUUAAGUAGUAAUUGAUCCAUUUUUAUCUCAUAUUUGGAUUAGCUAAUUAACAUGAUUUCCAUGGUAAGGUCCCAACUAGUGACAUUUCAAAUAUAAAUCAAUAUCAAAUAUUAAUGUUGAUAAAGACUGUGUAUCUACCAUAUCAAAGUGGUAGAAAUACCUUAAAAUCCAAAUAACCUUUGUCAAGAUAUAUAUAUAUAUAUAUAUAUAUAUAUCUAUGUGCGUGUGUGUGUGUGUUGGUCCUAGCACCUUUGUUGAGAUGUAUGUGUUAAUAUUCUUGAAACUUUAUCAUAUGAAUUAAACAACAAAUGGAAAUAUAUCAUAAUACAACAAUUGUUUUUAUGGAGAUGAGUAGUCCAUUUCAACUUAGGUUCACAAUCAUAGAUAUUUCCGUAUAAUUUAUGUCUAUAUUCAAAGAUAUUUAAUGUACAAUAUUGGUUCUAAUUUUUUUGGUAAUACAUAUAUAUAUAUUGAGAAGUAAUUGGUCCACUUUUCUCUCGUAUGUGGAUUAACUAAUUAACUUGAUUUCCACCUUAAAGAACCAAUUAGUGUCAUUUCAAAUAUAAAUCAAUAUCAAAUAUUAAUGUUGAUGAAGACUGGGUACCAAAUCAAAGCAGUAGAAGUAUCUUAAGGCCCUAUCACCUUUGUCAAAAUGUAUGUGUUGGCCCUACCACCUUACCACCUUUGUCAAGAUGUAUGUGUUAACCCUACCACCUUUGUGAAGAUGUAUGUUUUAAUAUCCUCGAAACUUUAUCAUAGGAACUAAAACAAUAAGUGGAAAUAUAUCAUAACCCAACAAUUGUUUUUUUUUUUUUUUUUUUUGACAACAAUCACUGUAGAUCUUAAGCUUAGAGACGGAUAGUGCGAGUGCGAGGUCCAAUCUAGAUAGAGUGGCUUUGUACUCGGCUUCGUUGUUUGAUGCGAGGAAUCCGAGUUAGAUGGCCUGCUCUCACCAGUUGGAGAUUGUAGUAGCAAUCCCACUCUGGAUCCUGACGACUAAGAGGCUCCAUUGACUUGUAAGGUCCAUCACUCCGUCUUGUCCGAUUCUCAGUCUCGAGAGGGUUGUUGGGGAGACUCCACCACAAAGUCAACCAUGACUUGCCCUUUCAUGGACAGCCUAGGCUAAUAUUCGAUCCCAUACUCGCUCAACUCUAUGGCCCAUUGCAGCAUUCUUUCGGACUUAUUCGGUUUGUGUAGGGUGCUUCGCAAGGGCUAGUCGGUAAGCACGACUAUUGGGUGAGCUUGAAAAUAUGGGUGGAGCUUCUGGGCGGCACUCCGCAAGGCUAAGGCAAUUUUUUCUAUCUUUGAAUAUCUUGUUUCUGCAUCGGCCAUUGCUCUGGUGAUAUAAUAAACAGGCUUCUGCUCCUUGUGUGAUGGACAACGAAACAAGACGACGCUAACCACUCAAUCCAAUACUGCUAAAUACAUGUACAACCAUUCGGCAGGCUGAAGGCUGCUCAAGAUGGGUGGUUGUGUGAGGUACUAUUUGAUUUUCUUGAACACGCCUUGGUAGUUAUCCGUCCAUCCAGUCGCGUCGGCUUUCCUUAGCACCAGGAAGAAAAGUUGUAGUUUGUCUGUGAAUCGGGCUAUGAAACGUCCUAGUGCGAUGAGUUUGCUAGUGAGGCGUUGCAACUCCUUUUUGUUUUUGGGGGCGGGUGCCUCCAUGACUGCUUUAAUUUGAUUCGGGCUGACUUCUAUUCCUCUUUAAGUGACCAUGAAUCCCAGGAAUUUUCCCGUGCUUACACCAAAGGCGCAUUUGGAUGGGUUAAGUUUCAUGUCGUAUCUCCUCAGUAAGUGGAAGACUUUUUGCAGGUGGUGGGUAUGAUCUUCUCUAGUUUUUUUUUUUUACCACUAUGUCAUCAAUGUAUACCUCCACUGUGCGACCAAUCAAGGGCUUGAAGAUCUUUGUCAUUCGUCUUUGAUAGGUGGCGCCAACGUUUUUGAGUCCGAACGACAUGACCUUGUAACAAUAAAGUCCAUGCGACGUUAUAAAGGCAGUUUUUUCUUCGUUCGCGAGGGCCAUGGGAUCUGAUGGUAUCCGGAGAAGGCGUCUAGAAAGGAGAGCAUCCCUUGCCCGGUAGUGGAGUCCAUAAUUUGGUCUAUCCGUGGCAACGGGAAGCUAUCUUUUGGGCAUGCAUUGUUGAGGUUGGUGUAAUCAAUGCACACUCGCCACUUCCCUUCCUUUUUGAGGACUACCACCACAAUUGCCAACCAUUCCGAGUGCUCAACUUCCCUGAUGAACCCAACAUUCAAUAACUUAUCCACCUCAUCUUGAAUAAUCUUCUGUCUAUCCGGAUGAAAUCGUCUAACCUUUUGUUGAACAGGUCUUGACGAGGGCAAGAUGUUAAGUCGAUGGGAGGCAACUGAUGGGUGGAUCCCAAGCAUAUCGAAGUGGGUCCAUGUGAAAACGUCUUGGUUUUGUCAAAGCAUCUCCUUGAUGUUCUGAGUCUCUUCGAGUUCCAAGAGGGAACUAAUAUAGGUGAGACGACCAUUCUUCUCCGAGAUUUGGAUGGUUUGCAAGGGAUCUACCACCGGGGGAUCUUUAUCCGUCGGGUACUGUAAUUGCUAUUGGUCGGGUGCAUUCGCUUGCUCAGGGAGCAACUCGCGAUCGUUACUAGGUCCGGCCUCUCGUGCUAUUUGAUAGCACUGACGGGCUGCUAACUAGCUACCAUAUAAAUCAAUCUGCCUGUCUUCGGUCAGGAAGCUCACCAUCUGAUGGUACGUGGAAGGGAUGACCUUCAUGUAGUGAAACCAGGUGCACCCCAAAAUGGCGUUGAAGGAGGAUAGAUCUUCCACUAUUGAGAAUUGUACGUUGAGGAUGACUAAGCCUGCUUGGAUCGAUGACACAACGUUUCCAAGAGAGGUUGUUGCAGUUCCAUUGAAUCCUGACAAAAUCCGUCCCGGGGUCUCUAGGCUAAAGGGCACGAUUCCCAUUUGUUUGAUUACUAAUACUUGCAAGAGCUCGAUGGAGAUGCCUAGGUCGACCAAGAUCCGCCUUACGUCGAAGUCUCCAAUCCCAAGAGACAGGAUAAGGGUGUCUUGGAGUGGUUGCAAUAUUCGUAUGGGGUCUACUAGAGGAAAAAUGAUUGUCCCAUCUAUUGGACGGGCGUUCCUGCUAGUUAAUCCGGGCCGGAUGGAGUUGAUACGUUCGCGUACCGAAGCGGCCUACAGCAGCCUUUGCCUCUUUCUCUUGGAGUCGUACUCUUCAUCCAAGGGUCCACCAUGAAUGUAGUUAAUUAUGGCCCUAGGGGCGAUCGGAGCUGAGGUGACUCCGGAGGCUUGACUCCGAGAAGUCUCCUCCCUUGGCUUUUGAGCGAACGUACUGCUUUAGGUGUCCUGCUCUUAUAAGCUUUUCUACCAAGUAAUGGAGACUCCUACACUGUUCCGUAGUAUGUUCAUGCUCUUUAUGAUAAGCACAUUUCCUGUUAUAAUCUCUCUUGGUUGGGUCCGCUUUGAGGGGUUCAUGUCACCUAAAGUCGGACAGCUCGCAGAUCAUUGGAAGAAGCUUCUCAUAUGAUAUGGUAAGGGGUGUAAGCAGUGGCAGCUUUGACUGACUUUGUUCACCUUGUCUACAGCCGGGUGGCCUCUGCUAGUUCGGAGGUUUGGAACUUCUUGCCACGUCAUUCCUGGUCGGCUGUCCGGUAACCAGGAUUUGUUGGAUGGCUGCGCAUACAGCAUCUUCCAGCAUUGAGUAUUUGUUCGCGCGCCGGAACAAGUCAUCCAUAGUUGUGGGAGGUUUUUUAGUGAGUGAUUCCAAGAAUGGUGUGCCCGGACAUAUGCUCCGCUUAAAAAUUUGGAGGACAACAUCCAUGCUAUAGGAUUCUAGUUGUAGUGCAACUUGACCAAAUCGUUUCACGAACUCCCUCAGGGAUUCAUUUUCCUGUAUUUUUAUGUUUUGCAGGGUGCUAAUAUUCUAUUUAUGUCAUGCGGAACACAGGUAUUGUCCCACAAAGGCUUCUGAUAGAUCCUAGAAGUUAUUAAUAGAAUUCACAAGGAGUCGAUGAAACCAUGAGAGAGGCUGGUGGGGAACACCUUGCACAACAUUGCGGCAUUCCCUAUGUCGAGUGUCAUGAGUUGUUGGUAGUGCAUGAUGUCGUCAAACGGAUCGCUAGACCCGUCAUACGUAGAAAAUUUUGGCAUGAGAAACCCUCUUAGGGGCUCGUAAUUGAUAAUACGCGAGCUAAAAGGUGUGGAGAGCAUGUCAUCCAAUUGCCUAUUGAUGGAGCCCGAGGGGGCUCAUUUGCUGAAUUUCCUCCGACUUGUCAUAGUGCUUGGUGUGGGGGAUUGCCCUGUGUGAUGGGUGCGACCGCGGGACUAGGAUACGUCUCCCGGGUCGCGGCUGUAGGUGGCCUAUCCUUACCAGGUGCUUGUGGUCCCAACCUCACACGCAUUGUGUCAGAUAACUGUGGUCUCUUGUCGCGUUGUCUCUUUGACGAGACACAAGUGGAGUCCGAGCUUUCAUCAUAUGGAGCGUGAUAUGUAGGUAAGGGUCGUUCACUAGGCCGUUCAUCGCGCAUAUCAAGAGCGAUCUCGAUGACUUCAAGAUACAUUGUCUCCUGGUUAUGCUUAGAGUUUGUCCCUUGGCCUCUCGGUCGCUGGUCGUGAGGAGGUCCCGAGGAUGAAACCUGGAUUCUUAACACAUCGUUUUCUUCCUUAAGCCUCCUUGUUUCUUGGAGUAGGGCCUGCACUUGCCGCUCACUUUCCAGCUUUCGUUUUUCCAUACUUUCGCGCCAGUCAAAAUAACCCUCAUCACCCAUGGCUGAUGAACAACUUCUAGAAGGUGUGGACAUCUUCGUAAAUGUUGUUUCCCACAGACGAUGCCAAUUGAUGCCGAGAGGACCCAGAGUCACUGUAGCUCCCUAAAGUACUUGCCUCCUCAACUGAGAGCGAUGCUUCCUUCCUUUGCCCUGCAAAAGAUGUCCAGAUAGGUGGUCCGGACACACCUUCCAAAGCUUUUGUUAGUUUGGCGGUCAAACAUAUUGAUAUUUUUGGGCCCUUUUUUUAGGAAUGCUUACCCUCUCUUGACUGGGUCGUCGGGGGCCUUUUAUAGUGUCUAGAGCCCCGUCACUUUGAAUGUGGGAAGGCUCUUUGACUUUUACAGUCAUGAUGGUGCUCAAAGGGUGGCAGAGCCGUAUUAUCCUGCAGGCGGCUAACAGAAAUUGUUUGGGGGGGGGGGGGGGGGGGGGGGGAGGGGGAAUUUUUCCCCCCCCCAUUUUUUUUCCCCCAAAGGGGGGAAAGGGGGGGGGGAAACAAGUCCCCCGAAAAAANNNNNNNNNNNNNNNNNNNNNNNNNNNNNNNNNNNNNNNNNNNNNNNNNNNNNNNGAGAUGACAACUGUCGAGUUCGGACUAGACGUCCGAAUAGAGGGUGGGACGUGCCAUGUGUCCACCGGAGGAGUGCCUUGUGAGCCCAGGGUGGCCUACCACAUGUACGUUUAAGGGUCGUCCCUACAGUAAGAACAUAGGUAGAAAACGGUACUUACAUAUAGUUUUGGAAAAUAAAAGAAAAAAUGAUAAGGAGUUUCAAAUUCAUUUAUUUAAUUUAGAGUAUAUUGAAAAAAUCAUUUUUUUAUAUUUUUGCUGGCAUAUCAAUUUAGUCCCUAAAUAUUUUUAAAACAAUAUUACCCUUAAUCAAUGCUCAAAUGUCAAAUGAUCUCUUUUAUUGAAAAUUUUCAUCAAAACUUUACAUAAAACUCCCUCAUAAAAUAUACAUUAGCAUGAAAUUUUAUAUGAUAUAUUGGGAUCUGUCCAAGUUUUUCGUGCUUAGUCAUAUGUGUUUUUCCAUCUAGAUUUUAUUUUAUUUUAUUUUUAAAAAAAAAAUUCUUGUUCAAUUAAACUAAGUCAGAGCUAAUAUUGUGAGAGGUUGGACUAAACUUCUCACCGAAAAAAAAAAAAUUAAAAGUAAGUGAGUUUCUAGAUAUUGAAUCUGAAAUUAGUUAUACGAACAGAUCAAUCGAAAAAAAAAUGCUGAAGUAAAAAAAGUAAAAAGUCUUAACUUGGCAGUUGGAUUGAUGGUGAUAGGGCCUUUUUAAGGCUGCAAUGGAGAGGUUGUUGUCCAGUGGCCUUUAUUAACUCACAUCAUGGUUGUAAGGUAUUCCUUUUGUGACGCAUACGAUAUUUAGAGAUUUUUUUUGGCCUAUUUUCCUCUUUUUUUUUUCUUUGGAUGGGUGGUGGGGUAGAUUUUUUUGUUCCUCUUUUUUUCUUUCUUUUUAUUUUUUGCUUAUCGAUGAGGGAAAGAAAAAACAAUUUUAUGAAAAACUAGUCUAAAUCAAAGGGUUAAGUUCCUUAUUAGAAAUGUACUUCAAAAUAACAUAUCUUUUAGCCCUAAAAAAAAUCUUUGUUAAACAAGUAUUGAAGAUAAUCACAACAACUGAUUAAUUAAUCAUGAAUACAAAAAAAGUAUGAUAAACUUAUAUACAACAAAAAUUGGAUUGAUGGUGACAAGGCCUUUUUGUGGUUGCAAUAGAGAGGUUGUCCUUGAGCAAUUGUUGUCCACGGACCUUUAUUAACUCGCAAGGUAUUCCUUUUGUGACCCAUAUAUGGGUGGUGGGGUAGAUUUGUAUUUUUUUCCCCCUUAUUUUUCUUUCUUUUUCUUAUUUUUUUCUUUAUCUUUUCUAUUCAUUGACGAGGGAAAGGAAAAAAAGUAUGUGAAAAAUCAAUCUAAAUCCAAGGGUUAAGUUAUUUAUUAGAAAUGUACUUCAGAAUAGCAUAUCUUUAAGUUCUAAUUUUUUUUUUUUAGUAACCAAGUGGAGAAAAUUAUAACAAUUGAUUAAUUAAUCACAGAUAUCAAGAAAAGUAUGAUAAACCUAUAUAGAACAAUACAAAAAGGAAAAUAAGAUACAAUAAUAUACAACAUUGGUAAAGGAAAUACAUAAAUUAAUUUAUUAAAAUAUUUAGAUAAAUGAUUUGAUUAUUUCUAAAUAUUACAAGAUUUCUAAGAAAUUUUAAAAGAAUUUGACUCGCAUUAAAAACAAUUUCAAGUUAAUGAUAUCAAAAUUAUUUAUUCACAAAAAUUCAAUUUGUUCACAAAAGAUUUGAUUUUUAUUUUCGUUCAAAUUUAUUUCCAAAAUGAGUUUUGCUUGUUUUUGUUAAAAGAAUUUAUUGAACACAAUUUUAUAUAUCUAUAUAUAUAAAGAAUGUUUAAAUUUUAUCUAAUUUAUAAGAAUUUUUUUUUCUUUUUCUAAAAAAAUUACAAAUUUAUUUUUGAGAAAUAUUUUGAUUCAAUUUUUAUCAAGAAAAAUGAUUUUCUAUUUUUUUUAAAUAUUUGCAAAUUUAUUUAUAGAAAGGGAUUUCAACCUAAUUUUAUUAAAAGAAUUUCUACAACUUCUAUAUUUUAGAAAUUAUUCCCAAUCCAAUUUUAUUAAAAAAAUUAUAUUUAGGAAAUGAUUUUACAUCUGUAAUUGAAAAAGUAAUUUUGCAAUUUUUAUUUUAAAAAAGGAAUUUAUAGUUUUUUAUUUGAAAAACUGAUUUUGAAAAUUUUUUAUUUAGAGAAGUGAUCUUUUAUUUGAAAAUUUUCAAAUGAAAUAUUCCAUAGUUUUUACUUGAAAAAAUAAAAUAAAAUAACAAUUUUUAUUUAAAAAGAAUCCUAACAAGUUUUAUUUGAAGAAAUAUUCUAGAGUUUUUAUUAAAAAAAUAUUUUGUAAUUUUAUUUAAAAAAAAAAGGUGUUGAUAAAAUCAACAAAAGAGAUAAAAUGUGGACAUGUUGUGCAUUAUUAAGUUUUCGGUCCAAGCCACCUAACUUUCACUUAAAUGGGCUUCGGCCCCUUGUGCGCACAAGGCUCCCCACACCUCUGCUAAGGGGGGAGGGUUAGUAUAUAAAACACCAUUAAAGUACCCAUCACUUUCCACGGUGGGAAUCUUUUAUUUAUUUUUUAUUUUUUUCACAUUAAAACAAGGGUCUCCAAAAAGCCUGCGGCCUGCGGCCCGGCCUAGCGGGCUAAAGCCCGGCUCGAGCCCAGCAGGCCCGAGCCCAUUUCUGGAUGAGCCAGGCCAUGGGCUCCAAUUUAGGCCCGGCGGGCUGGCCCGCCACUUAAAAAAAAAUAUAUAUAUAUAUAUAUAUAUAUAUAUAUAUAUAUAUAUAUAUAUAUAUAUAUAAAUAUUCAAGAAAUAGAAAAUGCUACAUUAAUAAAAAUAUUCAUUGCUAACUAUUUUAUUCAUUGAAUGUAUACGUUACAUUUGAAAAUGUGGGAAAAGUUUGCAUCACUACAAAAUAAAUACAUCCCAACUAGGUUGACACCUACUUAUUUGUCAAUCAUUUGUAUUUUUCAACCACAAAAAUAAAAAUAAAAAUAUAACAUACAUUUAGUAAAAUAUUUUAAUCAUUAUCUCUUGGCGGUGAUGGCGAACUAUCGCAAAUCCAUGAAGAUCUUGAUGAUUUUAGUUUUUCCAUAUCGACAAGCAUAUUUUCUUCUUAAAUAGAAUCAAAUAUCAUUUUAUCUGCUAUUGCCCAGUCUUUCACACAUAUAUUUGCUUCAAUAGAAUCCGGCGCUAAGCUGCAUCGUUUAUCACUAACUACUCUUCCACCUGCACUAAAAGCAGCUUCUAAUGCAACUGUACUCACAGGAACUGUUAGUACAUCACGAGCAAUGAUAGAAAGCACAGGAUAUUUGUGUUGUUGUGAUUUCCACCAUAUUAAAAUAUCAAAAUUUUCAUCAUCUUCAAAUGAAAUUAAAUCAAUAUUAAGAUAUCUAUCUAAAUCAAUUGUGUUGUUUGGAGAACUAUUUGUUGUCUUCUUUCGACUUUUUAACAUUUCUAGAGCUCCUUUAUAAAAAGAUGAAGAACUUGUAGAUGUAGGUGGUAAUUUAAUGAAACUAAUAUCAUCACCAUAUUUUUCUUUAUAAUAGUUAUAUAAAUUAUAUAAUAAUGAAUUUAUUUCAUUUUUAAUUUCUUCAAUUUUUAUUUGGUCAUUAAAAUAAAUAAUUGUUAACCAUUCAUCCAAAGCUUCAAAUUUCAAUCUAGGGUCCACAAUUAAACCAAGAUAAAAAAUUAAAGGUAUUUCUCCCCAAUAUUUUCUAAAUUUUUCUAUCAUUGCAAAUAUUGCAUCAUUAAAUAUAUCCAAAUUUAAAUAUUUUUGAAAUACAAUAAAAAUAUUAGUUAUUUGCAUGACAACUCGGUUUGAAGAUGGAUAAUAUACACCACAAAUUUUUUUUUGUUGAAGUAUCAAAUACUUCAAAAAGAUCUCUUAAAAGAUCUGCAAUAUGCCAAUCAUAAUCAUUUAAUACAUCAAUAUCUGCUUCACAAUCAUUGUUAAUUAAUUGUUUUUCAUAUAGUUCUACUACUUUUCUAUAUUUUGUAAUAGUUUGUAAAAGUUUAUAAGUGGAAUUCCAUCUAGUGGGCAUAUCCAAAUUUAUAUUUCUUUUUUUCAUAUUUAACAUUUUGCAACAAUAAAAAAAUAAUUCAUGUUUUGCUUGAGAACUAUUAAGACCCGCAACAAUGCCUCUAAUUUUUUAUAUUGUAUCAUCAAUGUGUUUUAAUCCAUCUUUUACAAUUAAAUUUAAAAUAUGUGCACAACAAUGCAUAUGAAAUAUUUUACAUUGAUCUUCUUUUAUUUGUCAAUAUCGUUUUAAUCUAGAUACUGCUGCAUCAUUAUUAGAAGUAUUAUCUAAUGUUAUUGUAAAUAUUUUAUCACGAAUGCCAAAAUCUAUAAUUUCAUCAUUUAUUAAAGAUGCUAUAUUUUUACCAUUAUGUGGAGCAUUUAUUAUUUUAAAUGAAAUAAUUCUUUUAUUUAAUUUCCAUUCAUUAUCAAUAUAAUGAGCAGUUAUACAUAAAAAACCACUAUGAGUUAAAGAUGUCCAAAUAUCAGAUGUUAAACAAAUUCUUCCUUCAAAAUUUGCAAAAAAAAAUUUUAAAAUUUCUUUUUGUGUUUCAAAAUUUUUUAUAAGAAUUCUUUUAACUGUAUUUCCAGAGCAACCUUGAAACUGAGGAUUAACAGCUUGUUGCAUUGUUCCCGUAAAAUCAUGAGUUUCCAUGAAAUUGAAAGAUUGUUAUGCUCUUAUUAUAUAACCAAUCAUUUCUUCACGACAAUAAGAUUCAUCAUAACAAAAUGUUUUUAAAUUUCCACUUUCAUCUUUACCUAAUUGCAUAUAAUUUCUAAUAUCUACAUUAUUUUUAGUUUUACAAUUUUCAUGAUGCCUUUUUAAAUGACUUGUACCUGCAUUUGAGCCACCACUAAGAAGUUUGUUACAAAUUUUACAUUUUACAUUUUGCUUUUAUUUCUUUUUUAUUAUUUUCUAAAUUUAUUUCUAUUCUAUAAAAAAAAUUCCAUAUAUUUGAAGUAAAUUUUUUGCUAUCACAUGCAUUAGAUGAAGAACAAGAACCACUUGCCAUAAUUAUAAUUAUUGAUAAAAUAUUAUGCUAAAAAUAAUAAAUGUAAAAUUAAAAUGUAACAAAUAAAUAAAAGUAAAGGUGAAGUAUGUUACUAAAUUGGAGAACCGAAGCAGAAAUUCCUUCAAAUUUGAACUCUUUGAACCACCAAUGCUUGUUUUUCACCACUAAUAAUAUUGAAUAAUUUGAGACAAAAUGCAAUAAUCGGAAAUAUUGUGGAAUGGGAAAGAGCUUAAGAGUUGAGAGAAUAGAAAAAAAUUGAGGGUAUUUAAUAUUUAUAGGGAUUUAAAUAUUAGGAUUUAAUUUUUUUUUAUUUUAUAAUCAAGACUGUUCAACGGUCAUAAUAUUGAAUUGAGUGGCAAGCAUGUUCAACGGUCAUGUGACCGUUGAACAGCCAGUUCACUUUUAUUUUUUUUCAAAAAUCAUACAACAUUUCUAAUAUAUAUAUAACUAAUGCAAAAUAGUUACACAAAAGAGGGCUAGCUCAGUUGGUGGCUAGCUCCCUUGUGGAUCCAUAAGGGAAGGGGUUCGAAUCCUCUUUCCUUCCCGGCCCGGCCCGUUGACCAGUCAACGGGCUCAAUGGCCCGCCCCGUUGACCAGUCAACGGGCUCAGUGGCCCACCCCGGGCUAGGCCAUGGGCCUUACUCCUCCGGGCCGGGCAGCCCGGCCCGGCCCGUUGGAGACCCUUACAUUAAAACACCCACACACACAAGCACUCUACCAACCAUUACUGGGCAGAUUUUUUUGGAUACCUACCUUAUAUAGGAUGGAUUUGAGAUAAACUUAAACAAGUCUAGCAAAUUUCAAUAAAAUUCUUAAAACCUGAGAUUGGUCUGAGACGGAUUCAAAUUUGACUAUAUCCUACCUUGAUAAUUGUUGUAGUAUGUGAUUCAUAUUUGAGUGAAAAGACAUAUGAAGAAAAAUAGGCAAAAUGUCCGAGCAAAACAGAGUGGAACAUAGUGAAUAUCCUAUUUCCCUGUUCCUGUGGACAUAGACAAUUAAUCGAACCACAUUAAAUCUCUGUGUUUUUCUUUCUCGUUUUUUUUUCUAUUUUUUUCAUCAUUAAUCAUUGCACGGAUUCCAAUAAUAAUAUAAUACAAAAUAAAAAAUUAUUUUAAUUGAUUUUUUUUACAAUUUAAAAUUUUUAAAGUUAAAAAAAAUAAAAAUAUGUAAAAAUAUGAUAAAAUAAAAAAGUUAAAUGGAGCUGGGUGGGGUGAGGCAAAUAUAAGAAUUUCCUACACCUGUCCCAUCCCUAGGAAUGGCAACGGGGCGGGUUCGGGACGGGUCGCCCCCAUCCCAACCCCGCCCCGUUUAUUUAAAAUAAUUCCCAUCCCCGUCCCAUUUAAAAAAUUAAACGGGGCGGGGUAGGGCGGGUAUGAUAAAUUCCCAUACCCGUCCCGCCCCGAGCAGUCGUGAAGUUGGUCAGGCCCAGGUGGUAACGCAACUCAUCCUCAGAGGCAGCGUAGGGUAUGUCUAUCUUGUUUCCCAGAAUGAGAAAUGGAACAUAUGCCAGUGACUCAUCAGAAAGGAGGGCAUCCAACUCCCUCUUUGACUCGGCAAAUCUUUCCUUGUCAUACGCAUCAACCAGGUACACCACAACAUCCACCUUGGCAUAAUAAUCCUUCCAGACUCUUCGAGCGAUCUGAUGCCCACCCAAAUCAAAGGCUUUAAACUUAAUUUUCCCAAUUCUCAAUUCCUCGGACGUUGGGUGUUGCGUUGGUUGAUGCUGAACUAAUCUCUCAUCCUUCAACAUAUGAAGCAACGUCGUUUUUCCCGCAUUAUCAAGCCCUAAAAAUAAGAUCUUUGCCUCUUUUUACCAUAGCCCCAAAGAUGCGAGAAGUCCAUAGAACCAAUCGAAAAGAAUCAUGGUGUUCCGACAAGAUUCGCGACUCAAAACGCGGCCAAUUCACCGGAACUAAGCCGAAAACCACAAACUUAUCAACGAACUUGUCGGAAAAUCCCACUGGAGGUAGAGAUUCAUAUAUUCAUAUAUUAUAAACAGGGCGGGACGGGGCGGGAUGGGGCGAUACCCGAACCCGCCCCAAACCCGUCCCGGGUUUUAAAAAAAAAUUCCAACCCCGUCCCAAACCCGUUUCUAAAAUUUGAACCCCGUCCCAAUAGGGACGGGGCGGGGCGGGUACCCGAAAAAACCCGCCCCAUUGCCAUUCCUACCCAUCCCUCCCCAUUUAAAUAAAAAAAUAAAAAGGUUAUUUUUUUUCUUUUUAUGAAGAUGAAAAUAAAUAUAAAUAAAUGCAUGAGGUUAGGAUGGAGUGGCCAUCCGAACUCAUUUUGUUGUCGUCCCAAAGCAAGAGCCUCAUUUUAUUUGUUUUUAAUUUAUUUGUCAACAAGAAUGCAGAGGUACAUCUUUCUUUUUUUUUUCAAGGGCCGUAAAGGAUGCAACUAUGGGGAGUUGUAGUCUGCUCCAGGACCUCGAAGAAGUUGCAAGACUGGAUCACUUUCUGAUACAAGCUCUCCAAUGGUAGCCAAGUUAUCAGUGAGCAUCUUCAACUUGAGUAUGUAUUCCAUCAUGGAGAGGGAACCUUUCCGAGUUAUCUGAAAUGCUAGCCGAAGCUGCAUUACUUGUGCUAUUGAAGAUACGGAGAAGAUCUUCUCUAGAGCCAUCCAUGCUGUGUGAGAAGUCUGAUAUCCAAUUAUUUGUCCCAUAAUUUCGAGAGUAAGGAAAGAGGAGAUCCAACUCAGGACCAUGCGUACCAAAACAUCACCAACCAAGGAAUUCUGAAUUAUUUUCAUCAAUGGUAUUCAUCUUAGGAAGACGGAUUUUCAGUCCUUCACUGUGUGUUCUUCAAAACUAUUAGUAAAGAUGACAUUGUCUAUUUGUAUACACCAGCGAAUGGAAUCAUCUCUGUUGAAUUUGAUGGGAAGUGAAUGAUUCAACAUGUUGUAAUAGCUCUGAUGCCAUGAAAGAACUGCAGUCAAGAAGAACAACCUAUCUAACUAUCUAACAGAUUAGUUUCUAUUCUGGUGAAGCUUCUAAAUGCUGUUCUGUUGAUGCUUCUGGAUGACUAUCAACCCUGGGUAGUAAAUCUCGUCCUUUCAUUUUCUUUUCCUUUCUUUUCGAUGCCCUCUCUUGUGAAUGCGCCUGACUCAACCGCUGGUAAAUGGCACUAUUUGAAAUGUGCACUAGGCUUUUCACAUGCGCUUCAAUCAAAUGGUUCAUAUGCAAUAACUAGAAAUAUCAUAAGGAAAGGAAGAACAAACGGAACUGAUAUUGAUGAAAAGAAAAGCUAGGAUCGUGCCCUAUUGAGUGAAAAGAUAACAUUUGGACUCAUAGGCUCAGUGGGAGACUUUCAAAUACCCUUGCUAAAAAGAAGAUUGAAAUACAGAGAGUUGGGACCUUCAACUCAAACCCUAGACUUAGUCCGUUAUAACAUCAAAUCCUACCAACAUGUCAACAAUCGGGCAUGUUCAUCCUUGAAACAUCUUUCAUUGGCAUGAGUUAGAGUCCUCUCCUACCGGAACCUGGCAGUGGACUAUUAUUUUUAAGAUAGUUCACCCUUUUUUUAUAGUCCAUUGGGGGCUAUUGUGGGCUAUGUCAAACAACAGAUCUUUCCAUUAAUGGUUCCAUUCUCCCAUCGAGAGGCUAUGAUACUAGUAAGUGUUAACCAAAACCCCACACAUACAAAUAAAAUGUAAAAAAAAUACAUGACAUUUUUAAUAUGAUUUAGCAAUCAAUGUGAUCCUUACAUCAACAAAGUGCUACUAAUUAAAAAUAAAUAAAAAAUAGAGGUUAUGAUGUUGAAGCUAUCAAAAAACACCUCUUAAUUGUGGUUACACUCUCUUUUUAAAAAAAAAAACCUAAAAACAUAAGAGGGUUAAAUAUAUAAUGGGAGGAAACUCGUGAUUCAUCAUAUUAAAAAAAAUCUCUAUAUUCAUACUUUACAAUUCAACAGUAAGAGUUCUAUUCUUCUCCUCUGGACUCAACUUGGUUUAUGAAAUAGAGGUCUCUUUUUUAAGUGUGUGGAAAGUCCAGUUUCAAACUAUCUAGAACUAUAAUGCCUCUUUACAUAUAUACUUGGAGAAAAAAGUUAAGCCUAUCCAUCUCAUUACUCUUUCGUUUCUACAAUCUUCAAAUCCUUCUUACCUUACCCUCAAUAUCAAUGUUUGUCUAAUUUGUGGUCUCUACCUAGCCAAGUGAUCUUUCCUAUUUGCCACUCUAUAAUGCAUGCUCGUGUUGUUUUACUCUUCUGGAGCCAUUUCUCUUUCAACUUCAAUAUUCCCCUAAAAUACUACCAUUUUUAAAAAAAAUCUAUACCAUUUAUAUUUUUUUAUUGAUAUUACUAUUUAUUAUAAAUAUCCAUUUAAAGUAAAUUUAAAAUGUAUGCAAAAUUUAAAACAUUACAAUUCAUUUUUAAAAAUUUUAAAAUGUUAUUAUUCAUUUUAUAUAUAUAUAUAUAUAUAUAUAUAUAUAUAUAUAUAUAUAUAUAUAAAUCUUAGUAUUUAUUUAAAAAUUUGACAAUAGGAGGAAUUUGACAAGAAGAAAAACAUAUCUGCUUUUCAAUGAUAGCAAGAAAAUAAAAGAAAAAAAAUUCAAUGAACAAGCAAGAAUUAGGGAAUUUUUUCUUGGACAUUUACUUUUAGGAGGAAUGAAACUUGGGUAAUGGGAUUAGCUGGGCUGGUUUGGGCCAGUUUGGGCCUAUUUUUGGGCUCACCCAAUUAGUGUACAUCUACAAUUCCUACUAUUUUGAACCCUAAAGUUUGUAAUCCACAAUUUCUUUCAACUCUUUAUUUUUUCUUUUAUCAUUUGGUUUGAAGACAUGCUAUCAAUCUCUCUCCAAUUCUCGAGUCUUCCUUUUUCCUAUGUCAUGAUCAAUUAAUACACUCUUAGUCACAAAAUGAUAUAUAUCAAAUUCUUUUGAAAGAAUUAUAAUGACCAUAAAUUUCAUAAUCAUAAAUGUUUAGGAUCACUCAAUGGGACAUAUUACUUCAGAUUCAUGAGAUAUUAUGGUGUCUCUAUUAAGAGUAUCUAUUAUUACUUAUGUAAACCACCAAUAACUAUAAUUAAUUAAUUUUUCACGUCUAUGACUUACUAUUCAUUGUAUGCAAGUUCUUUAUGAAUUGAUGUCCAUUAUUCAACAAGGUAAUAACUAUCAAUCUCUCUCCAAUUCUUGAGUCUUCCAUCCACCUAUAUCAUAAUCAACUAACAUACUCUUAGCUAUGAAUAACAUAUGUCUAAUUCCAUUGAAAGAAUUCUAAUGACCAUAAAUUUCAUAAUUAUAAAUGUUUAGCAUCACCCAAGGGGUCAUAUUAUCUCAAACUCAUGAGAUAAUAUAAUGUCUCUAUUUAGAGUAGAAAUUAUUACAUGUUUAAACUACCAAUAACCUAAUACAUAGGAAAUAUAUGAUAAUUUUGGGAUCUCACCCAAAGGCCAAAGCCACUAAUGACCUAAACUCUAGUGCAAUAAUCUCUUAAGAGUAGAACCAAUGCAACAUAUUAUAAUGGAGAAGUCAUAACAAUUCAAUAGUCAUUCAAUCACAACUCUCUAUGGAUUAUGUUCGAUGUUUAAGAACACACAUUAAUACAUUUACUAUGCGAAAACCAUCAACAAUGAACAAGACUAGUCACUCCAUUAAUACAUACAUAUAUAUAUAUAUAUAUAUAUAUAUAUAUAUAUAUAUAUAAUUAUGAGAUGUUGUCUCUCUACUCUAUAAGAUUAUAUAUAUGUGGGACUCAUAUGGAGUUAAUUUCUGUCCAUUUAUGUUUUGAUUUUAAUUUUUUGAUUUAAUUUAAAGAUAUGCAUGCAACCAUAAACGUUCAUCUCUUAGAUUAUGCCACAGUAAAACAUAGAUAAAAACUAAAUUUAAGAGAUUAUUAAGACUAACAGCAUGAAACUUAGGAAUGUGCUUGUGAUGUAUAUUUUUAAAGUUCGUCUUCUAUAUUUUGUUGCAAAUUAUAUUGAAAAAAUUUGAGCUUGAUGCAUAUUAUUAUUUCCUUCCCUUUCCAUUAAAUUCUUUAAUUAAUGAAAUCUUUAUUAAUGAAUUCUAAUAUAAAUUCAGUCAUUAUAUUGAAAAACAAUUUACCUUAUUGUAGUUCUAUGAUGAUGUAGUUAUGCCCGGCUUUCACGAGUAACAACGAUUUAUCGUAGUGGUUGGAAGCACUUUCAACUGUACGUUUAUCGGUCAUCUAAUGCAAUCUUCCAAACGCAAUACAAAGAGAUGGUUCAAGAAAUCAAACAUGCUAAAGACAGAGGCUCGAUUACCAAGGGAAUUUCCAUGGGAAAAGAUUAGGCAGUGUUACCAAGAAAAGUUGAUUAUCCACUCUCUCUUUUGUUGUUUGGAUGGUGGUUGAGAAAACUUGUCUCCGUAAAUCAGUGGAUGAAAUAUUUCUCCUUUUUCUCUUCUCUUAAUUUUCUGUCCAAUGCUAGUGAUGGGAACAUUUGGAUAUGUUUUUACAAUGAUGUAGCGGGUUCGAAGUGAUCAAAUAGAUAAAAAGAGUGAAGUUUUAACAUUUCAUUUGGAUGUCACAAGAAUAAUACCAAAACAAAAAAAAAAAAAAAAAAAGAAGGAAAAAGACAAAAAUGAAUAAGGAAGGACUCCUAAAUUUUUAUUUAAUUUUCAGAGACUGAAUUUUUUUUUUUUAAAUGAUUGACCUCACUGGUAGUAGCUAAAGUUGCUAGCUAGUCCAUUUCUCACUUUGAAGCUUUGCUUAAGAUGUGUGUGGAUGAGGGCAUUUUUUUUUUCUCUCUCUCUUUUUCUUUUUUUUCUUUUUUAUUUUCUAGGCGAGGAGUAUUUGCUGAUAUAGUGGGAACAUUUGGAUACAAUCCUUUUGCAAUAAUUGAUAGGUUGGAUGUAAGAAAAUAAAUAGAAAGAGCUACACUAGCUCAUCACAAAACUAAAAGAACUAUAAAAUUUCAUUUAAAUGUUAGAAAAUAACAAGAAAUAAUUCUUAAUUUGUCUUAUUUGUUUUAUUUAUCUUUGGGAGAAUGAUAUAAAUUAAAGAAAAUAAAAUUGAUGAGCUCCCCAACUAGUUGCAAGUGAAGUUUCCAGCUUGUUUAUACUUCUCUUUUCUUUUGAAAUGAAUGGGUAACUUGAACGUGUAUUCUUUGAGUGAGAUUAGCCCCCAUUUGUAUUCACCAAGGGGAGAGUGGAGUACUUGUAGGUUUGGUGGGGACAUUUGGAUAUCGAUUUGCAAUUAUUGGAGAGGUUCAAAAUAAGGACAUGGAUGAAAAGAGUUACACAAGUUCACAAUCAAGUUUAUAGAUUUGUAUGAUUCCAUCUCGAAGCACAAAAAGAAAAAGAGAAAAGAAAUAUUUUUAAAUUAUUUUAUUUAAUUUUGGAAGAAUGAAUUAAAUUAAAGGAAAAAAAAUGUUGAGCUCAUUCGUACCUAAUAAAAAUGCUUUUUCAUUCUUCUGUUUUCGUUUAACGGGGUGGUGGAGAAAACCUGGCUCUCUAUCUAUUCAUUAAAUGAGUUUUCCCUCUUUUCUACUUGUUGGUGAGGAAAAGAUGAAGUAUUUCUUGGUUUGAAUUCAACGUUUAGUUAUGGUUUUGUAAGGAUUGGGUAGGUUAAAAGUAAUGAAAUAGAUAAAAAUUAAAUAAAUAUUUCAGUUUAAAGAUUUGUAAUAUUUCAUUUGAACAUUUAAUACAAUUUGUAUGCAAAACUAUACAAAAUAUUUACAUAAAUUCUUUUGGAUGUUGUUAUAAAAUUGUGACACAUAAAAAUCCUAUGUUUUUGUUCAAAGUUGGAAAAUAAUAUGAAGAGGAAAAAAAAAAAAGAAAAAGAAAGAUUCUUAAAAUUCUGCUUAAUUGUUGAGAGAGUGAAUUAAAUUAAGAACAAAAGUAAUUGAGCUGUGAUCAUGAUAGUAUGUAAAGUUACUAGUCCAUUUUUUUUACUUUUGUGAUUUUUCUUAAAGAUGAUUGGUAGAGAAAACUUGACUCUUUGUUCGAAUGAGAUUAGUCUUUUUCUUCUCUCUCCUUUUUACAACGAAGACUAGAGUAUUUGUUGAUUGGUGAGAACAUUUGGAAGCCGUUUUUCAAUAAUUGAUAGGUUCAAAGUAAGGAGACAAAUAAAAAGAGUCACACAAGUUCAUGAUGACGUUUAAAUUAAGAAUUGUAAAAUUUUAUUUAAGUAUUGGAAAAGAACAAGAAAUGGAAAAAAGAAAAAGAAAGAUUCUUAUGGCAUGUUAGGUAAUUAUUAAAAAAAAACAAUUAUGAAAAAUGGUUAUUGAGAACAAUUUUUGAAAUUAUUUUUUGAUUUUUGUAGAACAAAAAUCUGUUUGGAAAUCUAAAAUAUUUUUAAUCUAUUUUUAAUAUUUUUAAAUGUGUUUUAAAAAUAAUUUUUAUAUCUAGUGUUUUAUUUUUAAUCUUUCUAUAUAUUUGUAUAAUUAUUUAUUAAAACAACCCUUAAAAACAAGUGAAAACAAUAAUAAUAAAAAAAAAAAACAACUACAAUAUGUUUUCUAAAAACAUCAUAUUUUCUGUUCUUAAGAAUAUAAAACAUAAAAUAGUUUUUUGUUAUCAAAAGUAUUUUUUAUAUUUUUUUUGUUACGGAGAAGAGAAUACUAUUUUAAAAAAUAGUUCUCAAACAAACCCUUAAUUUUUUCUAUUUAGUUUUGGGAGAAUGGAAUUAAAAAAAAAAAUGGUUGAGCUACCUAGUUGCAAGUAAAGUUGCUUGUUCAUUCUUCAUUUUUUCUUUUGAAUGGCUAACUUGACUCUUUGUUUGUUUACUGGAUGAGAAUAGCCUGCCUCGCCCCCUUUUCCACUCACUAUUGGGAGAAAGUAGUACUUGCAGAUUUGAUGGGGACAUUUGGAUAUGGUUUUGCAAUUAUUGGAUGGGUUCAAAAUAAGGAUGGAAUAAAAAAAGAUAAAACAAAAAAAAGAAGUUACGAGAGAGAUAUGACUUAAAUGGACAUGUGAGUAUGAACAAUAAAUAAUUGAUGGAGUAAAUAAAGAGUGAGGAAAUAUGAAACUCGUGCUUCAGGGUAGAAAUUUAAAGAGUGAGGAAAUAUGAGACGUUUCAAGACACAAUAGUUAUAUUUAUUUCUAUCAUCUAUAAUAUUCUCUACUGUAUGAUAGAAUGUUAUCAUUUAUCCAUAAAGAUAAGUAUUGUUGGUCGAUGAAUCAUAUCAAACUUUUGUGUAUCUUCCAUUAAUAUGAGACUUUUUUUUUUAUUCUUCCAUUAAUUUGUUACAAUAUUAAAGGCCCAACAAGUAAGAGUACAACUUGGGUCUAAUACCAAUGUUAGAAAAAAUUAAUAUUAAAAAUAAUAUUAAAUAUGUUUUAUGGUAUGAACAACAUAUAUGCAAAUCCUAGAAAAACAACUUAACAGAUAAUAUAAAAACUAAUUAAAUUUGGGCAUACCUCGAUCCUACUCCCCAAAUGAUGCCCUCAUGAUACAAUAAAAAAGGAUCCCACAAUGGUGAAUACUAUAAGAGCAUGCUCGCAUAUCCACAAUCCAAAAAGGCACCAUUAAGGACAAAUGGUGGAAAAAGAAACAACAUUUUGUUUAUCUUUAUUUAUGCACCUUUAAAUUAAGAGUUCCUUUUUUUUUUUUUUCUUUUUGCGUGUGUAUUCUGAGUGUAGAGCAAAGAAGAGCAACUUUUGACUAUAGAAGAAAAAAGCAUAAUUGAAUUAGAACCAAGUUCUUAGCUGUUAUCUCUUGGCAGUCAUUAUAAUCAAUUAAUCCAUCUAGAAACAAAUAGUGAUCACAUGCAACUAUUGUCAGUAAUGGAAGUAACCUUAAAAAGGAAAUAAACAAUAUUUGAAUGACUUCUAUUAACUUCCUCUAGGGAACAUUGUACAUAUAUAUGCAAAGAGGAGUGUGGCUGGUAAUAUUAGCACCAUAAGUAAACUCAAGGUCUUUCUGAAUCAAUAACUCCACUAUAUCAGGGUGAUCAUACCGUACUGCCUCGUGGAAUGCUGUGUCUUCCUCCAUGUUGGUCAUUCUCAGCAUCACUUUAUCUGUUCCUAUCUCACUCUCCAUCUCUUUAAAGACUGCUUUUGCACCAUCGAAAAGGGCUACCACAACAUCAAUAUAACCUUUCCUGGCUGCAAGAUGAAGGAGAGUGUCACCUCUCAGAUUUGGGAGCUGCAACAGAGAUGAACAUAAAGGCAACCCAAGGAUCCAUCUAACACCGUCCACUUUACCAUAUUGGGCUGCAAUAUGGAGGACAGUGUGAUAUUUUGGGGUUUAAUGGGGUUGAAGUUGGGCAUCUGAGUACUUGGAUUUAAGGGUAUCAGUAUCGCCUUCAUAUACCGCCUUUUACAGAUCAUCAUCCAUAGGAGCGAUCUCCAUUUGCCUACCAUCAUCAGCUGUAACUUGGUCUAACAUCUCAAUGUGGCUUGAGGAGUCCAAGUUAAGGUUCUGCGGUUUUGCACUUUGGUUGGAAAUCAAUUGUGUUAGGGUGAAUUCACAAUAUUCCAACAAACACCAAAACUUUUCUACCUUUUAUUUGUGCAAAAUUAAAUAGGUAAUAGCAACUACCAGCAAUAAAUAAAUAAACUCAUGCAACAGAAAAAUAAAUCAAACACUAGAAUUUUUAUGUGAAAAACCCCCCAAUGCGAAGGGAAAAACCACGGGACCUAGUCCAGUUCAAACUUCCAUUAUCAACAAUAAUGGGUUAUACUUGUCUUCUCUAGAAUAAUCUUUAAAGGCUGCUAAAUACAUCAAGAGCAUAUAUAGCCUUGGAUUAUAUAAUCUCUCUUGGCAAAAUAAACAAAGAAAAAUUGGAGAAAGUAUACCAAAAAUGUUGUUACUGUUCACGGGUAGUAACACCAGUUUUCGAGCUCAAAAUCUUAUCUCCACCGUUCAGAUUGUAGCUACUCGAGUUUCAAACAUUUCCUCCAAAUUUCAACUCUAUUGAACCACAGAUGAAGUGGGAUCGGCUUGUUGAUGAAAUCUGGGUAGAUGUGUUUUUUUUUUAUUUCUCUUCUCUUCUCUCUGUUUUUCUUUUCCUGAUCUACUUUUUUUUUUUUUAAAUGUAACUAACUUGGGCCCCAAGCAUAUGGGGCCCACUCCCUCACAUACGAGGAAACCCAACUCCUGACUAUGUGAUGGGCUCUACCAAGCUCACUUGUUUUCUACAAAAUUGUAGCUUCUCUGUAGGUAUUGGUUUUGUCAUCAUAUCUUAUCCAUUCUCAUCAGUAUGGAUUUUUUCAAGGCAAAACAAUUUCAUCUCUAGUACAUCACGAAUCCAAUGAUAUCUCACAUCAAUAUGCUUGGAUCUAGAGUGAAAAGUUGGAUUCUUACUGAGAUAAAUAACACUCUGACUAUCACAGUAGAGUAGAUACCUUUCUUGCUGUAGACCUAAUUCUUGUAGGAACUUCUUCAUCCACAGUAACUCCUUGCUAGCUUCAAUGAUAACAAUAUACUCAGCCUCUAUGGUCGACAAAGCAACACAUUUCUGCAACAUUGAUAGUCAUGACACUGUUUCCCCUAAAAAGGUGAUCAAAUAACCAAAAGUAGACUUUCUAGAAUCAACAUCCCCAGCCAUAUCUGCAUUUGUGCAUCCUAUAAGCAUAAGUUUGUUAGUCUCAAAACAUAAACAUGUCUUAGAAGUACCCCUUAGAUACAUGAGAAUCCAUUUCACUGCAGCCUAAUGUUCUUUGCCAGGAUUAGAAAAGAACCUACUGACAACUCCAACAACAUAAGCAAUAUCAAGCCUCAUGCACACCAUGACAUACAUUAAGCUACCCACAACUGAUGCAUAGGGAACCUUUCGCAUUUCUUCUUUUUCUUUCUCACUUGAAGGACUUUGUUUGGAACUUAGCUUUAGAUGACUUCCAAGUGAUGAACUCACUGGUUUUGCCUUGCCCANUAUUGAACUNNNNNNNNNNNNNNNNNNNNNNNNNNNNNNNNNNNNNNNNNNNNNNNNNNNNNNNNNNNNNNNNNNNNNNNNNNNNNNNNNNNNNNNNNNNNNNNNNNNNNNNNNNNNNNNNNNNNNNNNNNNNNNNNNNNNNNNNNNNNNNNNNNNNNNNNNNNNNNNNNNNNNNNNNNNNNNNNNNNNNNNNNNNNNNNNNNNNNNNNNNNNNNNNNNNNNNNNNNNNNNNNNNNNNNNNNNNNNNNNNNNNNNNNNNNNNNNNNNNNNNNNNNNNNNNNNNNNNNNNNNNNNNNNNNNNNNNNNNNNNNNNNNNNNNNNNNNNNNNNNNNNNNNNNNNNNNNNNNNNNNNNNNNNNNNNNNNNNNNNNNNNNNNNNNNNNNNNNNNNNNNNNNNNNNNNNNNNNNNNNNNNNNNNNNNNNNNNNNNNNNNNNNNNNNNNNNNNNNNNNNNNNNNNNNNNNNNNNNNNNNNNNNNNNNNNNNNNNNNNNNNNNNNNNNNNNNNNNNNNNNNNNNNNNNNNNNNNNNNNNNNNNNNNNNNNNNNNNNNNNNNNNNNNNNNNNNNNNNNNNNNNNNNNNNNNNNAGUGUUCCUUGCCUUUGAUUGUAAACCCUUCUGGUUGCUCCAUAUAUAUUUCCUCCUCUAAGUCACCAUGGAAGAAAGCAGUCUUCACAUCAAGCUGUUCAAUCUCUAGAUUCAUAUUGGCAGCUAAGCCUAACACAACUCGGAUCGAAAACAUCUUAACCAUGGGUGAGAAAAUCUCUUCAAAGUCAAUGUCUUUCUUCUAACUAAAACCUUUCACAACCAAUCUUACCUUAUACCUUGGUUGUGAUCUAUUUGGUUCAGGCUUCCUUUUUAGUAUCCAUUUAUUAUUCAAUGCUCUCUUACCCUUAGGCAACUUCAUCAAUUUAUAAGUGUUGUUCUUAUGCAAGGAUUUCAUCUCCAUGCAUAGCUUUCAACCUUUUUUUUUCUCAUCAUGUAGUAGAACUUCUUGAUAAUUUUCUGGCUCUACUCCAUCAGAAAGCAACAAAUACUCAUCACUAGUAUUCUUUCUAGAAGGUUGACACUCUCUAGUAGAUCUUCUUAACUAUGUUUCAGUAAGCAACUUUGAAGUAGCUUGUUCUUGCUGCUGUUCUAAGUCAUCAUUCUCAAUUGUAAGAUUUUCUUCUACAUCAUCAAAUGCAGACUCAUCAUUUUUGUCAAUUGUAUCAAUCUAUUCUUCUUACACAACUUCCAUGUGUUCAUUAUGUCCCAUAGAGUUAGGAGAGACUAGACUCAAAUCAACUUGUUCUUCACUGAAAGGCUUUGGCUUCUUAACCUGAUCCAAGUCUUCAAUGGUUUGAUCUUCGAAGAAGACAACAUCUCUGCUUCUUAUAAUCUUUUUGGUAGUUGGAUCCCAUAACCUAUACCCAAACUCUUCAUUUGAAUAACCCAAGAAGAUACACUGUUUAGUCUUGUUGUCAAGCUUGGAUUGCUCGUCUCUAGGAACAUGAACAAAUGCCCUACAGCUAAACACUCUCAAGUGCUCAAAGGAAACAAAUUUUCAUGUCCAAACCCUCUUUGGAAUAUCAACCUCUAAGGGAUAUGAUGGAGACAUAUUAAUCGGAUCAAUGGUUGUCCUCAUGGCCUCACCUCAAAAAGACUUAGGCAAUUUUGCAUGAGAGAGCAUACACCUUAUUCUAUCGCAGAUGGUCCUAUUCAUUCUUUUAGCUACACCAUUUUGCUGUGGGAUCUUAGGAAGCGUCUUCUUAAGCCUGAUGUCAUGAAUUUUGCAUUAUUGCUCAAAUGGCCCCCUAUAUUCAUCACCAUUGCUUGCUUUGACAGAUUUUAACUACUUCUCAGUUUGCCUCUCAACCUUCACAUGAAAAUCUUUGAAUACAUCAAGUAUCUGGUCUUUGGAUUUCAAAGCAUAUGCUUACACCUUUCUUGAAUGAUCAUCAAUAAAAGUCACAUAAUAAAGUGCACCACCAAGAGUAUUACUUUGCAUAGUAUAAACAUCAAUGUGAACUAAAUCAAGAAUACCUGGUUUUCUCGUGAAAGAAAUCUACGAAAUGCAACUCUACUUUGCUUUCUAAACAGACAAUCUGUACAAGGUAAUAGUGACGUACCUUUGACUGGUAGAAGCUUCUUUCUGGAAAGAACCCGAAGUCCCUUUUCACUAAUAUGACCAAGCCACUUAUGCCAUAGCUUAGUAAAGGCUUCAUUCUCAACAAUGUUCACAUCUCCCUUGAUUAAUCUUGCUUCUGUCUUGUAGAAGGUAUUGUUUUUCUUUCCCCUAGCUAAAACAAGAGAACCCUUGGUAAACUUCCAUUUACCCUCUCAAAGGUGACUAUGAUAGCCCUCAUCAUCAAGCUUCCCAACAGAGAUCAAACUAAAGCGCAUUUCAGGAACAUGUCUAACAUUUUUCAAAACCAAUUUGCACCCAAUGCUAGUUUCUAGCUCUACAUCUCCCAUGCCAACAAUUUCACAUUUUGCUUCAUGUCCCAUCCUAACCCAACCAAAACUGCCAUUGGUGUAGGAAGAGAAGAAAUCUCUACGUGCAGUGAUAUGAAACGACGUUGCUGUAUCAACCACCCAAGUGGAAUCCUGACAUGCAAGGUUUACACAUGCAUCAUCAUAAAUAAUGAUCUUAUCACAAUCAGAUGCCAAUGUCUUUGUUAUCUUUCUGUUCUUCACCUUUUCCUUUAGAUUGUUUCUUCUGAAUUUUCUACACUUUCUCUUAAUGUGCCCUAACUUGCCACAGUAAAAACACUUUAUCUCUUUUCGGGACUUUGACUUUCCUCUUAACUUGUCACGGUUACAAUCACUAAAAGGUUUUCUGCUUUCACUUGUCCACCACCUUUCUGUAACAAGUGCUUCUGUAUUAGAGAAAAUACCUAACUCUUUUCUUCUUGCCUCUUCAUUAAACAUGUUGUCCUUUACCAUUUUGACAAUUCUCACACCAUUUGGGGCUGAAUUACUCAAGGAUACCACCAAAGUUUCCCAACUGUCUGGUAAGGAACUCAACUAAAGUAAAGUCUGUAUCUCAUAAUCUAACUAAAGCUUAAUGGUAGACAACUCAUUCAACAGUCUCUGAAAAUUACUGAAAUGCUCUGCAACACUAUUACCAUCCUUGUACUUUAAAUUCACAAGUCUUCUUAUUAUAAAGGCUUUGUUCUGUGCAGUCUUUAUCUCAUAAAGACUCUCUAAUUUCUGCCAAAUGCUAUAUGCAUCAACUUCCUUGACUACAUGAUGGAAGACACUCUGAUCAACCCACUAUGUGGACCCGCAUUUUUCACGUGCGUCCCCACUCGAUCGGCGAGACUCGCUUUUUAUUUAUUUGUGAAAAAUUGAUUUUAGAAAAGUUGGAGUCGCCACCUAUUUUAUUUUUAUUUUAAAGGGAAAAUAAAACAAGAAAGAAAACCCUAAAAAAGUGACUCCAUAGUUUUGGAAGAAGCAUGUCUUUGAGAAACCCGAGUCUAAGUCCGGGGAUCAGGUUACUUAUUGGGAAGGUACCUCUAGGAGGUAGCACCCCUCUAAGCCCCAAAGAGGUCUCUACUGACAAAGUUAAGGGAAGUGUGACCAUUAAUCAGUUAAUUUUAGGUACCUAAGUAGGCUAGGUGAUUUCAAAUAUUGCAUGCCUAACAAGAAAACGAACCAUAAGAGAGAGUCGAAGUGCGUACCUGAACGGCUUCUCAAGCGCUAUCAUGAAACAUAAGAGAUUAGUUUGGAAAUAUGACACAUGGUAUGUAUUUUCAUCAAAGAUGAUCAAACAAGCAUCAAGGCAAUCAAUUAUGGCAUCAAACAUGGUCAUGUCUCAUGAGAAGAUACACAUUCAUAGAAUUUUAGGGUUGUGGGGUAGAAAUGGCGUACCUGAUUAGCUAGCAUCCACAUCUCUAUGGGAAGCAAGGAUAUCUCAACAGUAAAAUAAUGAAUUCAAGGAUUUCACCAAGAAGAAUAAAAAAUCAACAUAUCAAGCAAAUAGUAUUGAAGUGAAUGCUAUGAAUGUCGGGCCCCCACCAAAGCCCUAGUUGAUUUCGCAUGAGUUUGUUCUAUGAAUUCCAUUGUUUGGAAUCAUGAAGUGUAUUCAUGCUUAUUGAAAAUCAAGAAAAACACAAAAAUAGUUAAAAAUCAAAUAAAACAUUGAAAGUGCAUACCCGAAGGAGAGUGGCAGCAAAUAGCAUGUUAAAAUUGGGAUUUUAUACCUAGAAACUCCUAAGGAAUUUUGAAGAAAACCAAAGUUAUUUGAUGGAAAAAGAUUUUUGAAAUUCAUAUUUAAGAUGUAUAAGAUCACAAAAAAAAAAAAAAAAAAAAAGAAACGAUAGGAGGAGUACGAUGUGAGGCAUAGUGACCACGUUGGAGUGAGGUCGGGGGUUAUGACCAAGUUUGCACUGUUGGUGAUUGCAGGCACUGCUGUCAUUUUCUCUAGAUUUUUCCUUCUGCUCUCUCGUAUGCAUUUAGGUACCUUACAUCACUGCAUUCUCAGACCUUUUCUAAUUCCUUGAAAUCCCCCUACAUUCAGAUGCAGCAUCAAUAUUGUUAGAGCAAGUGUCGGCAUCUUCUAUGACCUCCUUAUUAAUUUCUUCUGAUAUUUCAGAUACGGAGCUGAGACAUCCACUUUCUUUUCACCACUCUGUUUCUGUAGCAUCUCUACUUCCAUUGCUCUUGUGAUGGGAAAUCUUUCAGAGUCUUUGCUGAAAUCUUCUACAACCUGUAGGUUUACAGUUUUAGUCUGCACUUCAGAAUCUGUCAUUCUAGAAUUUUCAGCGAGCAUUGUCUCAGAAUGCCAUUCCUAUUUAACCGAUUCAACUUCAAUGGAUGUGGCUGGAAACCCCCCUGAUGUCUCUCUCUUUCUCUAUGAUCAGUUCUUUGUUGUUUUCAUACUCUUCUGCAGGUUUCCUAGCUCCCUCAGGAACCCCUGCUGGCAGCCUCAUGAUUCUGUCACUUUCUAUUGGAGAAUCUGGAACAUAUCGGUGAGUAAUCUUGGAAACAAUUGGGCAAUCUGUAGGUUCUUCACUUGUUCUCAUUGCUAAGUUACCCCAUUCCAUCUGAUGCCUUGGACCUGCCACCGCUGCUGGUAUGUUCCGUUGAACUAAGCAAGCUUGUUGAUGAUGCCAUUAAAAUUGUCUUGACGACAGCGAGGAUCUACUAAAGAUCACUUUCUUGGCGUCUCUAGCUCUGUGAGAUAUCUCAAGGUGUAGCUCGAAAGACUCAUAGUCUGAGAUCUUAUCACCAGUGGUGUUUGCUUGGCUUGCUUCUUUUAACUAUUUACAUGAACAAAACUGAAAGCUAAUGCAGUGUUUCAAUCCACAGAUGGUUGUUUCACCUCCGACUUCUCACUUACUGGUGUCAAUAAUAAUGACAGUAUCCUGACUUCAAUCAUUUCGAGUUCCAGCAAAGACUUUAUCCUGAAGAACUCCAAUCUGAAAUUCUGAAGUACUGAUGCCCUGUAACCCCUGACUCAUGAACGCAGCUUCGACUUAUGUUGCUUGUCACUUGCUCUUUUUAAUACUCCCCACCUUAUUCUCUUCCACCUAUAGUUUGAUUGUCAAUCAUUUCUUCUCUUCUUCAAACUCUCAAAUCUGUGCCCUUAACUUCUCAAUCUGAAAUUCUGGAGCAGCUCGCUUUUCUCGUAGAGACUCGGUUUCUGCUGCAUUGGAUUUUCUCUUCAAAUCCUCAUUUACAAUUUUUGGCUGCUCAUUUUCUUUCAUCAGCUUUGCAAUUUCAUCAGCUUUUACCUGAGCUUGUCUUGCAGCCUCCCCCUUAGAGUGCAGCUUCCAGCAUCUUCAAUUUGCUCAGCUAAGUUACCUUCAAUCUCUGGGACUGACCAGUUCAUUUCUGUUUUGCUUUUGGACCCAUGCUUCUUCCCUUUCUUUCCCUCGAGCUCUGAGAAUUCUUUGUAUUGAACCCUUAUAGUUGCCCGAGUAGUCUUCUGAUGGAGUAGCUCGCACCAAUAACUGAAGUGUUUUCAAUUCCCUGGUCUGAAAUAUCCAACAACUGCUUAUAAGUUGAAAAGAUUAAAGAAUCAAGUUACUUGGAGAGGCUACUAAACAUCUCAUCCCCUGGCUAAACUUCAAUGAGAAGCCUCCAGUCCCAAAGAUUUCUUCCACUGAUUGUGUUUCAAUGCCAACUGUGAAUUUCUAUAAUUCUGAACUCAUGGCCCAGCAAAGUUCAGAUCCAUUAUGGUUAAACAUGGUCAGAAUAGGACCUGAAAUGCCAACCAUGCCCAGAACAUCUUUUACCACUUCGAUUUACUAUUUUGCCCAUUUUAAUUUUCAAGCGAAUAUGACUAGUUGACGCACGACCUUUUACCUUUGACCCCUCAGGUUUAUCAGUAAUGCAGUCUUCAGAGAUAGCAAAUUAUUCCUUUUCCACCCUUGUGCGCUUUUCCACCAAGAUAACCGAAGAAUUCUUAUAGUACCCCUGAUUCAAACCACCAGAUUUACCUAAAAGUGGCAACUCAUAUUAUUGUUUUUUUUGCUGAGCAAACAGGGUCUCAAAGUACGCUUUCUGCAACCCUAACAAAAUCUCCAUGUGAAGUGCCAAUGAAAUUCCUUACUGAAGAAGGGUCACCCUGGCUAGCAGCUGUACGUGUUGCAUAAUCUGAAGUUCCUUGCAUGUAGUGGACACCAUGCGAUUCCAUGUAUGAGUGAAGGUCAGAGCCCAUAAUUUUAUUCCAGCUUGUGCAAGCUUGUCAAUGCAGUGAUCUCUUCUUCAAUUACUGCUUCAACACCUUGAUAUUUCGAUUCAGAAUCCAUUUCAGAUGCUCUUUUGAUUUGUUCUUUAAUUAUAUCUUCCUCUUUCUUGGUAUAACAUUCUCUGUCAAGUCUUCAUCAUCACUUGAAUCAGAAGAAACGUUUCCAUAUGCCUCAUCAUGCAGCUUUUUGUAAUCCCGCCUUUCUACACGUCUCUUUGCAGACAGAGGUGCAUUAUCUUGACCAGAAUUUGACUCCAACACAGAUAAGAGCUCAUCCUUUAACUGUACAUUUUGAAUUACAAAGCCCUGGUGAAUGCGAGGUAUCAUAUUAUUAGCUGCAAACAACAUGGUGUACACUUAUAUUAACACUGAUUGGGAAAUUAAUUGCAGUAACGGUAAGCUGAUCGCGACUAGAGGAUGCUGAGACAGUCGUGAGUAAGCUCCACACAGCAAAUGAAGAAGUCAUUCAAGCACUCCUGAAACUUCCCUUCACCGAUUUCAUAUACAACAUUAGGAAUUGGAUAGAUGCAGGACUUUGUAUGAUUGACAUAGUAUUGAAGGCAUGUCUGCGUCUCUGAGAGGUCUUGUCAUAGAUAUUCAUGAAUAUUUUUCUUCCGUAACUAGGUCCCCUGUAUUUCUUUCAAUUGCAGGUCCAUAAUCUCUCAAACUUAUAUCUGAGUUCUCUAUGGCCAUUUUGUUUGACGUGUGUUCAGAAUGAGUUUUCACUCCCAUGUGCUUGAACUGAACUCCCCUACAGUUAUUAUUUGAGGCCAAGACAAAGGGUGUGGAGGAAUCAUCUUUCUGGGUAAUGUCGGUCCUCUUUUAUACCAGUCAAAAGCUUAUCCCAAACUUCUUAAGGAACUAAAACAUAAUCAUGUCCCUCCUCUAGCGUAUUAAGAAUCUCCAGAUCAUCAAGUUCUUAUUCAUUUCCAUUUAAAACAAUAUCAGAAUUAUCAAUAGGUCCAGGCUUCUCUAUUGUCUUUGAUGGAACCACAUCCAAACGCUGUGAAUCAGACAAAUGUCCAUUGAUUGUUGGAUUCCAGACGCAUCAAUUCACAUCUAACAGCCACUGGAAGCUGCAGAAAUAUCAGUAUUUCUAGGCGGGUCUUCCCUGAAGAUGCCAUGCUAAACGUAUAUCCUUUCAACCUCAGCUUCCAUGCCCUUGCUGUAACGUAAAGUGGACUGUCUCUUAGCUUCAGCCCAAAAAAAAACUGGAAUUCUGGGCCUUCGCGAUCUGGAUGGCAAUUCUGCUCACGGGAUGUAAGUCUUUAAUUUUGCUUUAGCGUAGAAUUUUAAUUCGAAGAGUCCUCAUGGUAAUGGAGUUGACAGAAGGUUACCGUCAUAGGAUUGCUUGUCCACUAAUGGAGCAUCUCGAGAGAUUCUUCAAUAAAAUCGAUUAAGCAUAGAAGUUGAUUUCAGCUUUAGAUGCAAUCAUGACGAAUUAUAGUUGAUUGCUAGCUUCUACUGAAACAGUAUUCUGACUCCCAGCUUCUGGCACUACCCGUGAUCCUUUAAUUUUAUUGUCUUCUCUAAUUGCCAUAGUUUUUCUUCUAGACAGCAGCAAUGAGGAUUUUGAAUUCCAUGACUGACUCAUCUGAUUAAUUAACAUAUAGAGAAGAUUCUUCCAACCGGAGCAUUUGAGACUCACUUAUCAACAGAAGCUGCAUCAAUUUCUUUCUUUCUGCUAUUUUUCCCGCCACUAGAUCCUAACCCAUGACAGCUACCAAUGGCUGAAGCCGUAGAAAUAGUGUAAGAACAUUGCCAGCUUCCAUUCCCCAUGACAUUUUUCCUUAAAGAUCCAGAAUCUCAACCCCAAUCGCAUCUCCUCAUUAUUUCUCAUCUCUUUCCAUAAUCCCCAAAAUUUUUGAACCAACGCUGUCAACUUUUUCCUUGCUUUCAGAAUCACACACUCCUCUGUAGAACUGAUUAGAGCUGUUCCUGAAGGUGAAUGGCCCAGGUUGUAUUUGACUUUUAGAUUUUAGGAUCACAACGACAGUACCAGAAGGCUUAGAGAAGUCCAUGAUUUCGAGCACCACAUUAUGCUUAUCCGAAUGCAGAAAAAGCAGAGUGUCCCUUUUCCCAUGAUUUUUAAUUUUUAACUCCGAAGCAGAGAACAAAUCUUGAAGGCCAGGAAUAGAGCUUGUUGAGGUAUGGACCAAAAACAGAAGAAGACAACAAAAACGUAUAGAAAGAGAGGAAGGAUGAUCAACAAAAGUCACAAUUUCGCAUUUCAAUCCAUUAGCUUAGAACAGGGGAGUGAUUUCAGAAUAAGAUUUGAAUAAAAACCGGACGUGAUUUCUACUAUCCAGUCUGAAGAUGGACAUGUAUGCAAUUUAUUUUCAGGCGGGAUCGAUGACAUUAACAGAAUGAUGAACAUAUCAAACAGACAAAGAUCUAAUUUCAACACAGCAAUUUGUGGCCCUUUCCGUCCACACCAACCAAUAAUAUAUUGAAUAUUCAGAAAUCAUCAAAUGGAGGAAUCGAGUAUGAAUAAGAACAUCAAAAGUAACCAGAAACGUACCUGGGCAGCCUUGCUUCCAAUCUCCCUCCCUUUCUGCUCUUCUCUCUGCGCUUUUCUUCAAGAUCUCUCUUUUUCUCCUUUCUUCCAGCCCCUCUAAAAUUCCAGUACGUGCCCCCCUUUCUUCCUUUUUUCCACCUAUAUAUAUCACCCUUCAGGACCUAAAUUUGUUUCCAAAAAAGAGAAUUCUCCUAUUUUCUUUCUUCUUCUCUUCUCUUUUUUUAAAUCCUUCAAUCAAAAGCAAUCUUCCCAAUUUCAAAUUCCCCUCCAAAACCUUCCAAGGAGAGUCCCGCCUUCCUUAAACUUCAAUGGUAAGUUUCCUUGCAAAAAUAUGAAAUUUUUGAAGUUAAAUAAUUGCAUGAAUAGAUAAAUAAGUAAAUAAAUUAAAAAAUGGUAAAAAUAAUAAAUAAAUAAAUAAGUUAAGGAAAAUAAUAUAAAGAGGAAGAUAACCAAUAAAAAGUGAAUGAUAAUCAUAAAAUUAAAACUAAAAACAAAAUAAAUAAAUAAAUAAAAUAAAAUAAAAUAAAAGUCUUCGUAGGCCUAGUGUGCCUAAACGGGCCUAAGGUGAGACUAAGUGGGCCUAGGGUGGUGCCUAAUGGGCCAAGUGUAUCUAAAAGCUAUCCUAAAAAAAAAGCAAGAAAAGCCUAAGUCUAAAUUAGGGCUGCCAAGGGUCACAAUAAGGGAUCAAAUAAUCCCUCAACCAAAAUCUCCGAGGUGACUCAGAAAAAGGUAAGUGGUAUGAGUAGCCAUGGGCCACCAAAUUUUGAAGCACUGAAAACGAAUUUUAAAGACAUGUGCUAAAGGGACAAAAUUGAGGGUCUACACACUACCUAAUCUGUCCAAUGGUUUUCCUAUUUAAUUUUUUCCACUCAUCCUCAAUUGUAGUAACUAGCUUAUAACCCCCGCAUUCAGUGGGCUCAAACAACUCUUUGCAAUAUAGAAUAUCCUCAAUUUUAGUCUUCCAAAUUGAAUAAUUGGAAGUUAUGAGUUUAAUCAUUCCACUGUCAGCCUCCUCCAUUUAAUUCACACAAAAGAUCCCAUUGCUAAUCAACUUGGCUUUGAUACCACUUGUUAGGGUGAAUUCACAAUAUUCCAACAAUCACCAAAAAAUUUCUACCAUUUCUUUGUGCAAAAUUAAAUAGGUAAUAGCAACUAGUAGCAAUAAAUAAAUAAACUCAUGCAAUAGAAAAUUAAAUCAAACACUAAAAUUUUUACGUGGAAAACCCCCCAAUGCGAAGGAAAAACCACGAGCCCUAGUCCAAUUCAAAAUUCCGCUAUCAACAAUAAUGGGUUACACUUGUCUUCUCUAGAAUAAUCUCUAGAGGCUGCCAAAUACAUUAAGAGCACAUAUAGCCUUGUAUUAUAUAAUCUCUCUUGGCAAAAGAAACAAAGAAAAAUUGGAGAAUGUAUACCAAAAACGUUGUUACUGUUCACGGGUAGUAACACUAGUUCCCGAUCUCAAAAUCUAAUCUCCAUCGUUUCAAUUGUAGCUACUUGAGUUUCAAACCUCUCCUUCAAUUUUCAACUCGAUCGGACCAUAGAUGAAGCGAGAUCGACUAGAUGAAAUCUAGGCAGAUGUGUUUUUUUCUCUCUCUCUUCUCUUUUCUCUGUUUUUCUUUUCCCGAUCUACUUUUUUUUUAAAAAAAAAUGUAACUAACUUGUGCCCCAAGCAUAUGGGGCCCACUCCUUCACAUACUAAGGAGCCCAACAGGUUGAUCCAUGUUUGGUCUUGGAGCAAUGCACUAUAUCUUUUCCAUUUUUCUAAAUCCUUAUCAAAAGUUCCCUUUAAUCUCAUGUCCAUGAUUACGCUCACACACACAUAUAUAAAUCUUCUCAAUAGUUUCCUCAUUUCCUUUUCCUUUUCUUUUCUUUUCUUUUCUUUUUUUUGUCCUUUUAGAGUUGAUAUUGAUGGGGUUGUGAAAAAUGUUUUUCAAUUUGAGUGUUUGUUUUGAAAAAUUAAAUUAAAAAAAAACAUGUAAAAAAAUUUAUUGAAUGUUUUUUUUUCCUACUUAUUUUAUUUUAUUUUUUAUUUUUAUUUUAUCAAGGUUAGAAAAAAGCCAAUGGCAUUUGAGGAUAACAUGGUUGUCUCUUUCAAAUAGUAGGUCAACUUUUUGUUAGUAUUCUAUCAUAUGUAACAAUUCUUUUCUAUUUUUUGAUAUAAUUAAUGGAAAAUGAUAGACGAGUAGUUGCUUUUAGAAAGUUGUCUAGAGAGCAGGAGUAGCUUUCAAAUUUUGUUAUAAAAAAGUUCAUGAAGAUGAGAGUUAUUUGACCAUAUACAAUUUUCUCUUUCUUUCUAUAGAUAAGAUAAUUUUUGGUUGUAAUUUCAUAAGUAAUAUAUUUUUAUUUUAAUACAAUAGCAAAAAUUAGAAAAAAAAAAAAAAUGAGAAACUUGGGGUCUCACAUGUAAAGAUUAGAAAGGAGUCAAAACUCAUGAAAAGAAUCAAUGAAUUUUUUUUUCUUUUUAUUGUUAUAUAAUCAUAAAUAUAUAUAUUUUUCUAUUUUUAAAAACAAAAAUAAAACUAAAAUUAAGAAAUAUAUUAGAUAUUUUUAAAUGUUAAAAAAUGUAAUUAAAAUUUUAUUGAUACCCCCUACUUCUAAAAGUCAUAAAAAUAAAAGUAUGAAUACAUGUUGUUUCUCCUUUUUGGUAAAGAUCACUAGUAUCAAAGAAAUUAUGAAGACAUAUUUCUUCCCCUUUUUCUUUUUUGGUAUCAAAGAUCACUAAUUAUUAUUAUUUUUUCAUAUGUAGCAUAUCAAAUAUAAAUCAAUACCAAAUACAAAUGUUGAUAAAGACUAGGAAUCUACCAAAUCAAAGUGGUAGAAGUAUAUUAAGGCCCUACCAUCUUUGUCAAGAUAUAUGUGUUGGCCCUACCAUUUUUGUCAAGAUGUAGGUAAUAAUAUCCUUGAAUUUUUAUCACACAAAUUAAAACAAUAAGUGGAAAUAUCAUAACACAACAAUUGUUUUUUUAGAGAUGAGUAGUCCCUUCCAACUUAGUUUCACAAUCAUAGAUAUUUUGUAUAGCUUAUGUUUAUAUUCAAAGAUGUUUUAUGUACAAUAUUGGUUGUAAUUUUUUUGGUUAUAUAGUUAUAUAUAUAUAUAUAUAUAUAUAUAUAUAUAUAUAUAUAUAUAUAUAUAUAUAUAUUAUUUCUUAAGUAUAGCAAUUGGUCCACUUUUUUCUCAUAUUUGGAUUAGCUAAUUAAUUUGAUUUCCAUCCUUAGGACCCAACAAGUGACAAUUCAAAUAUAAAUCAAUAUCAAAUAUUAAUAUUGAUAAAGACUUGGUAUCUACCAUAUCAAAGUGGUAGAAGUUUCUCAAGGCUCUAUCACAUUUCUCAAAAUGUAUCUGUUGAUCCUAUCACCUUUGUCAAUGUAAAUGUUAAUAUCCUCAAAACUUUAUCAUAUGAAUUAAAACAAGUGGAAAUUUAUCAAAACAUAACAAUUGUUUUUUUGAAGAUGAGUAGUUUAUUUCAACUUAGGUUCACAAUCAUAGAUAUUUUCUAUAGCUUAUGUUUAUAUUCAAAGAUAUUUUAUGUACAAUAUUGGUUGUAAUUUUAUAUAUAUAUUGGUCCACUUUUCUCUUAUAUUUGGAUUAGCUAAUUAACUUGAUUUCCAUUGAAAGGACCCAACUAGUGACAUUUUGAUUAAUAUAAAUCAAUAUCAAAUAUUAAUGUUGAUAAAGACCGGGUAUCUGCCUUAACUAUCAAAGUGGUAAAAGAGCAUCUUAAGGCCCUAUCACAUUUCUCAAGAUAUAUGUGUUGGCCCUAUCACCUUUGUCAAGAUGUAUGAGUUCUUUUUUUUUUUUUUUUUUUUAUUUGAGAUAAGUAGUCCCCUUCAACUUUGGUUGACAAUCAUAAAUAUUUUGUAUAGCUUAUGUCCAUAGUCAAAGAUAUUUUAUGUACAAUAUUGGUUAUAAUUUUUUGAUAAUUUCGAAAGUAAAAAUUUCAUAAGAUAUCAAUUUUUUUUUUCACUCCUAAAUUUAUUUAGUGUAAUUUUAGAACUCAAAAUUCACUCAUAUAUAUAUAUAUAUAUAUAUUAUCAAAUCAAAAUCAUUAAUGUCUCGUGUAAGGGAAACCUAUUAAAAAAUAAUUUAAAAAAUUCUACUAAUUGUGAUAUAAUUACAAAAUAUUUUUUUUCCUAUUUUUGAAAAUAGAAUUAAAAAAAAGAUAUUUAAUGUUUUUAAAUUUUUAAAAUAUAUAUACCUAAAUCAUUAUUUGUAUUUUUACUUUAAAAAAAACACAAAAAUAUACUAAAUGAAACCUAAGGAUCUCACUACAGUCGAAAAAUAUUUAAAAUUUGAAAAGCAAAAAUUUCAAAAGUAACAGUAUCAAUUUGCUUAAUUUUAAAACUCAAAAUUCACUCAUUUUUUUUCCUUUUUAUCAUUUCAAAAUCAUCAAUGUCUCUUGUGUAAAGGAAACCUUUUAAAAAAUUAUUAAAAAUUUUCUACUAAUUGUGAUAUAAUUACAAAUAUUUUCUUUCUUCCUAUUUUUGAAAAUAGAAUUAAAAAAUAUAUUUAAUAUUUUAAAUUUUUUUAAAUAUAUAUAACUAAAACAUUAUUUUUAUUUUUACUUUUAAAAAUAAAAAAUAAAUAAAACAAAAAAACAAAAAAAUACUAAAUGGAACUUAAGGAUAUCACUGAAGUCUAAAAUAUUUAAAAUUUCAAAAGUAAUUAAGGGUUUUGAAACUCAAACUUUAAUUAAUAUGAUUUUAAAACUCAAAAUUCACUCAUAUCUUUUUUUUUUUUUUUUUUUUAUCAAAUCAAAAUCAUCAAUGUCUCUUUAUGUAAAGGAAAUCUAUUAAAAAUCAUUAAAAAAAUUUAUUAUAAUUUAAAAAGAUAUUUAAUAUUUUAAAAUUUUUAAAAUAUAUAUAUAACUAAAACAUUAUUUGUAUUUUUACUUUUAAAAAUAAUAAAAAAACAAAAAUAUAUCUAAAUGCAACCCAAGGAUAUCACCACUGUAUUAACAUUGAUGAUUUUGGUUGAAAAACAUUUAAAAAUUCAAAAGUAAUAAUUUCCGAAGUAAACUGUUUUCAUUCCUAAAUUUAUUUAAUAAUUUUAAACCUCAAAAUUCACUCAUUUCUUUUUCUUUUUCUUUUUUUAUCAAAUCAAAAUCAUCAUGUCUCUUGUGUAAAGGAAACCUAUUAAAAAAACAUUAAAAAAAUUCUACUAAUUAUAAUAUAAUUACAAAAUAUUUCUUUUCCUAUUUUUGAAAAUAGAAGCGAAAGCAAAAUUAAAAUGCAACCUGAGGAUAUCACCACAGUUGAAGAAUACUCUAGUAAGAGGCCUAGUAGGAAGGAAAUUUUGUAAGUAGUCCCCCAUAAAACAUCCCAAGAUGAUAUUAUUUUAUUGGAAAUAUAUCUUAAAGUCAGUACUGACGAUCGCUAUUUACGCAUGAAUUUGUAUUUAUGAACAAAUCUUAAACACUUUGUUUUAGUUGAUAAAUCAUUGCAUGCACCAUAAGAUUCAUAAAACACCUUGAGAUGAUGUAAAUUCUAGUGUGACUGUAGAGGAAGGUUGUCCUUAAUAUUAGCUCCCCUCCAUAGGCCAACUUUGAAUCUUCAUCGAUAGAAAACCUUACAACAUUAAGGUGAUUUUCUUUUUUCUUUUUUUCAUUUUUGACACUCUAUAGUUUUCUUCAAAUUACUGACAACGCCAAAGUAGUCUUUAGACUCUAUUCAAGCAAUAUAGAAAAUAUGUGAAACUAAUCAACCUUAGUAAUUGUUAAAAAUAAUUUUAUUCUUUUAAUUUAUAUAUUCUACUAUAUAUGCAUGUGUCCCUUUCAAGCUAAACCUAUGCCAACUUCCAAUAAUUACUCUCCAUUUUGAUAUAGAGUACAAAACAUGUUAUUAUGUAUGAGGCAUUAAUCUAUGAAAUAAAAGUAAAAUUAAUGUAAAAAUCCUAAUGAUGAUCAACACACAACCAUUUCAUUGAAAGUGGUAAAUGUAUCUAUGUUCAAACCCUACUAGCUUUAUCUUAGGAGUUAAAAGGAGUAGAUGCAAGCACAAUAGAGCAACAUAAUUGUUUUAGUAGAAGCACGUGUCUCCUUCAAAGCUAUGUCCAUAUUUUCAUAGUUGUCUAUUCAAAUAGGAUUUCCUUUCUCUUUCUAACAUUGAUGAAUAGCUUGUAAAGAUUUUUAAAAUAAAAAAUUAUACUCCCAAAUCACCCGUUAUCUUAUAUUUUUUGUCAUAUUUAACAAUAUUGAUGUCUUAAAUGUGAAAAUUGAAAAAUUAUCAAAAAAAUGUUUUUUAUUUUGCUACUAUCAAAUAUCUUUUUCUAGUUUUAAAAGGAGAAUAAACAUAGGAUUACAAAAUAUAUUUUCUAAUUGGGUUAUUGCAAUAGUGAUGAAGGAGAAUGCAACUAAUUAAAGAAUCCACUUAAUGCAAUCCACUCGACCAAAUGCAUCCCACUUGCCCUUCUUUUUAUAUGCUUUAAAUACCAAUUUGUUCGGAAAUUAAAAUUUUAUUUGAAGUAAUUUUAAAACUCACAAGUCAUCCAUAUCUUAUUCUUUUUUAUGGCCAAAUCAAGAAACUUAGUAUUUUGCAUGUAAAGAUUAGAAAGUGGUCAAAACUCAUAAAAAAAAAUUAUUAAAUUAUUUUCUUUUUAUUGUUAUAUAUAUAAUCACCAAUAUAUUUAUCUAUUUUUAAAAAAUAGAAAUAAUACUAGAACUAAAUAAGGAAGAUAUUAAUAUUUUUAAAAGUUAAAAAAUGUAAUUAAAAUUUUAUUUAUACCUUGUACUUUUAAAAAUAGUAAAAAUAGAAUUAUGAAUACAUAUUUUUCUCAUUUUCGGUAAAAAUCACUAGUAUCAAGAAACUUAUGAAUACAUAUUUCUUCCUCUUUUUCCUUUUUAGUGUUUUGUUCAUCUUUUCUAUUUGAUUAGCCUAUUUGGUGAAUGUCACUAAUUAUAAUUUAUUUCUUAAGUUGUAAUUGGUCCAUUUUUCUUCUCAUAUUUCAAUUAGCUAAUUAACAUGAUUUCUAUUCAUCUCAUAGUGAACCCAACUAGCUAGUAAGUGGAAUUCCAAACAUAAAUCAAUCUCAAAUAUUAAUGUUGAUAAAGACUAGUUAUCUAUCAUGUCAAAAUAGUAGAAGUAUCUUAAGUCCCUACCACCCUUAUCAAGAUGUAUGUGUUAAUAUCCUCCAAACUUUGCCAAUUAAAAUAGGAGGUGAAAGUAUAUCAAAACAAAGCAAGUGUUUUUCUAGAAAUGAAUAGUCCCUUUCCACUUAGGUUUACAUUCCUUAGUGGACCCAACUAUCUAGUAAAUGAAAUUCCAAACAUAAAUCAAUAUCAAAUAUUAAUGUUAAUAUAGACUAGGUAUAUAUCAUAUCAAAAUGGUCAAAAAAUAGUCUUUCAAAAUAAUUUUUAAAAACAAUUAUCAAUUGGGAAAAAGUUUUCCUAAUUUAUUCUCAUAUAAUACAAUAAUUUCUAAAGUAUUUUUCAUAUUUUUAAUUAUUUAUUACAAUACUUGACAAAAAAGAAAAUUUUUAAAUAUCUAGAAACACUUUAAAUUCAUUUUGAAAAAUAACUUAUUUUAUAACAAAUUUUUAAAAAAUCAUUUUCAAAAAAAAAAUUGAUAAAUAUAUUUUCUAAGUUGGAAAUGUAUUUUGUAUUUCAAAAAAUAGAAAACUAGUUUUAAAUGGGUCAUUAAUCAGGUUUUCUUCCCAGGGUAAAAAAUAAUAGUAGAGGGGAAGUGAUUUUUGACCAUUAAUAAAAUUAUUGUUAAACAUAUUCCAACCUAAACCUUUAAUAUUUAUAAGAAAAACAGUGAAAACUAUUGCUAGGAGAAUUACAAUUGUGUAACCAUACGAAUGAUCAAAUACUUUUACCCAUAAUUUUAUACAAUGUUUUGAUCAGAUACUCUUGCCAACAGUUUUUUUUUAUGUGUCCUAAGUUGUCACUCGACAAUUGAUCUUGCAAAAAUAAUGUGAACACUAUUGUGAACCCGUAUUUUUCACAUGCAUCCCUACUCUAUAGCAAAACUUAGAAUUUAUGAAAAAUGUUUCAUGUUUUUAAAAACUCAUUUUAUUUGAGUUUUGGAAUUGGCAUUUAUUUUAUUAAUUUUUUUUUUAAAAAAAAAGGUAAAACAAAAUAAGAAAAAAAAAAUCGUGUAUAACUCCUUAUUUGAAAAAGACAAGUCCAUUAACCAAAAAUGGAUUUGAGGGUCAAGUUACAUAUCUAGAAGGUAUGAGGAUGAGCCUUUGCACACCUCUAAACCCGUAUAAUUAAUUAAUUAGUGGAUACAAAAGAAAUCAAGAAACCUAAUGUCUCACAUAUAGAGAUUGGAAAGUGGUGGAAAUUGAUCAUAAGAAAAUUAGUAAAAAAAAUUCUUUUUAUUAUUGUUUAUUAAUCAUCAAUAUAUUUUUCUAUUUUUAUAAACAAAAAUAAAACUAAAAUUAAGGAAGAUAUUAAUAUUUUUUUAAAUUAACAAACGUAAUUAAAAAAUUAUUUAUAAUUCUAAUUCUAAAAAUAAUAUAAACCAAUGUAUGAAUAUAUAUUUCUUCUUCUUUUUCCUUGUUGGUAUUUUCUUUUUCUUUUCUAUUUGAUUGGUCUAUUAAAUGAAUUUCACUAAUUAUUAUUUAUUUCUUAAAUAGUAAUUGGUCCACUUUUCUCUCAUAUUCAAAUUAGCUAAUUAACUUGAUUUCCAUGUAAGGACCCUAUUAGUGGCAUUUCAAAUAUAAAUCAAUAUCAAAUAUUAAUGUUGAUAAAGACAAUUAUCUACCACAUCAGUAUCAAGUAUUAAUGUUGAUAAAGACUAGUUAUCUACCACAUCAAAGUGGCAAACAUAUCUUAAAACCUUACCGCCUUUGUCAAGAUGCUCCAAGCUUUGUCAUAGGAUUUAAAACACCAAGUGGAAGUAUAUUAUAACAUAACAAUUAUUUGUGUAGAGAUGAGUAGUCCCUUUCAACUUAGGUUCACAUUCAUAGAUAUCUUGAAUAGAUUAUGUUUAUAUUCAAAGAUAUUUUAUGUACAAUAUUGAUUAUAAUUUUGUAAGUUAUAUGUAUAUACUUUUAUUUUAAUGUGAUAGUAAAAUUUAAAAAGUAAAGGUAUCAUUUUUUUUCAUUCCUAAAUUAAUUAACAUAAUUUCAAAACUUACAAUUCACUCAUAUCUUAUUUUUUUCUGUAGAAUCAACAUUAGCAAUGUCUCUUGUGAAAACUUUGGAAAAACUGUGGAAACCUAUUAAAAAAUCAUUAAAAAGAUAUUUGACAUUUUAAAAUUUUUUAAAUAUGUAUAACUAAAAGAUUAUUUGUAUUUUACCUUUAAAAUAUGUAUAUCUAAAUGCAACCUAGGAUAUCACCACAAUCAAAAAAUGUUCUAGUAGAAGGAAAUUUCAUUGUGAAAGCAGUAUCAUUCAAACAUCAUCCAUAUACACACCUCUCCAUGGUGUUCUACAAUUAGUGUAAGAAAAAGAAGGAAAAACAGGAAAGGGUAAAUUUAGUAUGGUAGAAGGAUUCGUAAAUUAGGUGAGAAUAAUGCCUUUGGAUCAAAGAGUUACUCCUUAAUUUAGGGAAAUGCACCCAGGGGCUUAAUAUUUUUAUGGCUGGUGAAGAUGAAAAGUGGAGACUGGAGAAUGUAUUUAUUCAUUGUAAAAAAACAAAAAGCAUGUUUUUCCCUGAUUACUAAUUGUAAUCGGAAACUUGUUAGUAAAAGCAUAAACAAUAGGUAAGACUUAAGCAUGUUUAAAAUGAUUUACAUCAAUGUCAAAGAUUCACAAAUUUUUUCCAUACAAAAUCCCGACUGAUGGUUACCGAUAAAGGAAAAGCUGGAACAAAAAGGAAAAGCAAGAAGACUACAAUCAUGUAUUUGGUGGUAACUUCAAGCGAUGAAGAAGGAUGUAGCACAGCUUGCAGCCCGUCAACGAAUGCUGUCACCAUUACAGCCAUCGCAGCCAAGGUGAGAACAUAGCCGUACAAUAAGUAUGCGUGGACGGUCUUCUUAUUUUCUAUGGGGAAAGAGGCAAGGAAGUAAAUACCAAUUGCACACAUAGAAAGUACCAUGGCUAUGCUAUCUUCCAUGACAAAAUUUCUGAAACUUUCCGUUGCUGCACUUGCCAUGUCUCCGUCCUUGCCCAGGGUGCCAUCUGUUGGGAGCGAUAAGACUGCCAUGCCCUGGGUAACGCCCUUGUCCGGAAUGUAACCACCAGGCAGUGUGAAACCUGCCGUGAAGGUUACAGUUGCUAUGAGUGCCGCCACUAUCAUAUGGCUUUUCAUUGUUUUCUUCAUUUCAGAUAUUUCUUUACUUUCUUCACUUCCUUUGUUUUCAGAUAUUUCUUUGCUUCCUUUGCUUUCGCUGCUAUUCAUGUCUUCCUUGACCUCUAGCGAACCCAAGGGUCUGAUCCCAACUCUGAAACUUGGACUCCGUCUCUGAAAUUGUAAAAUGUUUAGAGAAACAUGGAUAGAGAUUUGAUUUGAAGGGGUGAAAGAAUCAUCCUAAUUCUUGUAAAAGAAGAAAAAUAAUAUAUUUGCUAACAUAAAAUUACCAGAAACUGCAUUUUUAUUGUUCUUCUCUCACAUAAAAACAUAUUUUUGAAUAAAAGCAUAUGAAGGAUGGUUGUCAGAUGUAAUAUCUAUAUAAUUAAAAUACAGAAACACGAAAAAAAUAUAUAUAUAUAAUUAAAAUUAAUUAAAAAAAAUUAUGUAUUUUUGGAUGUCAAAUGGGUAACAUAGGAAAUCGAAAAUUUUGACGACCUUACCCUUAAUCUCGCGAAGGUGUCCAAUAUCCACGUCAACAUCCUCUUCGGAGGUGGGAAGUAGUCGACAUCUUUAGACAAGGGAGAAUUGUGAAACAGGUAGAGGGGCGUCUUUCCUUCAGCAUUCUUCUCGUUCAUGAGUCCUCUCAUCCUUAACGGGGGAAUAUUUGACAAACCCGAAGUUACAAAUAUUUUUUUUGGCAUUAUAAAAUGAAGAACAUUAUUGCCCUCAUCAUCAACUUUCUCGCAACAAUCUGGAAAGCGUGACACCAGCUCUUUCACUACAUCCACAUGGCCUCGGCUUGCUGCAAUGUGAAGAGCUGUCUUGUUUCCAUGGUCUUUGACGCCUAGGUGGACAAUACUGCUGUCACAUUUCUCUAGCAAUUGCCUCACUAUUGUUGGAUGACAACCCACAUAUGCAGCAAAGUGAAGGGGAGACCACCCAUUUUUAUCCAAUUCUUUAGUUAAAGCAGGUUUCCAUUUCAGCAUCUUCUUUGUCAUUGCUGAUAAAAUCAACAAAUGAGAGAAAAAAAAUGAUUUAAGAAAAUUAAGAAAAUAAAUUAAGUCUCCUCUUGUAAUGUGAUUCGACCAUUAAAUAAAAAUGGUGCAUCCUCCACUACGUACCUUUGUUAUUGAGAAUUACCGCAGCAUGCAAAGCCGUUCGACCCUUGAUGCCACUAUGAGCUGGUGAAGAGUACUUGUCUAGGAUCAUCUGCACCAAGUCUCCGAAUCCCCACUCAGCAGCGAUGUAAAGAGGAGUAUUGCCUUCAGCAUUAGCACCAUAGGCAAAGUCGGGGUCAUCCUGAAUCAAUAACUUCACCACCUCAGGGUGAUGAUUUCUCACUGCCUCGUGCAAGGCUGUGUCUUUGUCGUUAUUGAUCAUCCUCAGAAUUACCGUACAAUCUGCUACAGCCCCUCUUUCUGUGUCUCCUUCUCCAAGUUUUUUGGCAGCGUCAAUCAGAUUUUUCACCACUUUCCAGUGCCCUUCCCUGGCUGCAAGGUGAAGUGGUGUGUCACCUUUCUCAUUGGGCUGUUGCAAUAGCGAUGAAGGAGAACCCAACCCAAGGAUCCACUCAACGCAUUCCGCUUGACCGAACUGGGCUGCAACAUGGAGAACAGUGUUCUUCUUUGGGGUUAGUUUGACUUGAAUAUCAUCUUUACGAGCGUUAAGGGCAUGGGUGUCACCAUCUGCUGCAGCCACGUACAAUUUAGGAUCCAUGAUUGUGAUCUUGGUCAGGCUGCCAUCUUCAGCUGCAGCCAGGUUGGUGAUCUCGAUUUCCCUAGCAUCUUCAGCUGCAGCCUGGUUGGUGAUCUGAAUUUCCCUAGCACCUUCAGCUCCAACCUGAUUCGACUCUGUAUUCAAGUUAAGGCUGGAAGUAGUGGGAUCGGCCAUUGUUAUUGAAUGAGCAGUCGCCUUUCUAUAUUUUGCUCGAAGGAUGGGAAACAAGUUGACCAAUUGUUUAAUGGAGAGGGUGGCUCUUAGCUCAACCUCGGGGGAAGUGGAUGCUUUUUAUAGCCUAUAGGUAUGUGGGUGCAAUUUGAUAUUCAAAGAUGGAAGUAUAUUCAAAUUCUCCAAUCUUUGUCAUAAAUUAAAACAGUAGAUGGAAGUACAUAUCAAAACACCACAAUUAUUUAAGUACACAUUCUAAGAUAUUUUCGGUAGGUUAUGUUUAUAUUCAAAGAUAUUUUAUACACUAUUGAUGUAAUGGAAAGUUGUUUAUUUGAAUUUUUCUUUUUAUAUGCCGUUCCUUUCAACUUGAGUCCACAUUUUAAAAUAUUUUCUAUAGAUUAUGUUUAUAUUCAAAGAUAUUUUAUGUACAAUUCAUGAUGUAAUAGAAAGUUGUUUAUUUGAUUUUUCAAUUCCUUUUUAUAUGUAGAUAACGGUGUGUGAGGAAAUUGAAGAAAAAUGCUCUGAGCAUGUACUCCUCCAAUGCCGAAAAAAUUAUGAAUACAUAUUUCUCUUUUCUUGGUUUCGGUAUUUUCUUCCUCUUAAUUUUCUAUUUGAUUGGCAUAUUUGGAGGACACCACUAACUAUUAUUUGUUUUUUAAGCCAUAAUUAGUCUAUUUUUCUCUCAUAUUCCAACUAGUUAAUUAACUUGAUUUCCAUUCAUUUCUUAGUGAAGAAAAAUGCUUUGAAUAUAUCCUUCGUCGAAGGAUAUCACUAAAAAUGCUCUGAAUUAGUCCAUUACUAAUUAUUAUUUAUUUUUUAAGUAGUAAUUAGUUCAUUUUUCUCUCAUAUUCAAACUAGCUAAUUAACUUUAUUUCCAUCCAUUCCUUAGUGAAAGAAAAAUAUUUUGAAUACGUCUUCCUCCAAAGAUAUCACCAAAAGUAUUUUUGGUAAAGAUCACCUGUUUAUUUUGUACAAUGAAUUUAAUGUUAUUUUAUACAAGUAUUAAUUUAUGAAAUUAAAGUCAAGACAACGUAAAAGAUAUUUUGUAGAAGAAAUUUCAAUCAAAAUGAUAGGUGUACGUGUGUUAAAGCCCUACCAACUUUGUUGUGGGAGUUAAAAGCCUUACCAGCUCUCAUUGUAGAAUGGACAAAAAAAUUUCAGAAAGAAAAAAUAGAAUACGAUACUGUGGUAUCAAAACCAAAUUAUUUUUAGGUCAAUUAUAAACACAUGUUAAAGACCCAAUGGGUUUGGGUCAAUAAACCCAAUGAGUUCUUUUUAGUUAGUUAAAUGAUUGAAUGCAUUAUCAAAUUGAUAUCCCUUUAGAGCUCAUGUUUUUAUUUUUCUAUUUUUUGUUUCUUAUUUAUUUAUUUACUUAUUUUUGUAUCUUUCUAUUUUAAUUUCAACUUUUUCACAAAUUUUAUAGUAUCCAUGUAUGUAACAUUGUAAACUAACAAUUUCACUCUCGGAUCAUAUUGGUAUAUUUGGCAUAUGUCACCAAGUUUUAGUUUAAUUUUUCUAAAUGAUAAUUGGCCAUUUUUCUCUUACAUUUGAAAGCUAAUUAGAGUAUAUUUGAGAACUAUUUUUUAGAUCAAUUUUUUAUUCUCUAGAACAAAAAAAAAAAAAAAAACACCCAACAAGGAAAGAUGUUUAACAACUAAAAAACUAUUUUAUGUUUUUAUUCUUUAAAAUAGAAAACACGAUGUUUUUAAAGAAAAUUUUAUAAUUGUUUUUGUUUGUGUUUUUAAGAACCGUUUUUAUAAAAUAAUUAUAUCAAUAUGUAGAAUAAUUAAAAAUAAAGAACUAGAUAUAAAAAUUAAUUUUAAAAUAUAUUUAAAAAAUAAAAUAAUAGUUUUUUAGAAAUGUUUUUUAAUAUAGUUACCAAAUCAGGGUUUGAGCUUUGCUCCCCUCCAUGUUGACUCAAUUAUUAAUUAUGUGGCAUUCGAACAUAAGUCAAUGUAUAAUUUUAAUAGGAAAAAGACGGGACUUUUCUCAAUAGUACGGUAAUUUAAAAAAGUUAUGCUUAAAUUAUUGUAGUAGAAGAAAUUAUUACAAAUAUAUGGUAGUUUUUGCCACCUAGGAGAGAGGAGAUAGGAGAGAGGAGAGAGGGUGAACGGAUAAUUUUUUUUAAAACCAAAAUCACCUUUUCAAAAAAAAUUUCAAAAGGAACUCGUCUCUUCAAGAGACGAGUUCCCUAAAAAAAUAUAUAUAUUUUUUAUAAAAAAAAUUCCCAAAUUAAAAAAACAAAAAAAAACAAUUCUUCAAGAACUCGUCUCUUGAAGAGACGAGUUCCAUGAAUAUAUAUAUAUAUAUAUAUAUAUAUAUAUAUAUAUAUAUAUAUAUAUUAAAAAAAAAUUCCCAAAUUAAAAAAAAAAAAAAUUCCUCAAGGGAACUCGUCUAUUCAAGAGACGAGUUCCAUAAAAAAUUCCUCAGGAACUCGUCUCUUUUCCAUGAAAAAAACAAUUCCUUAAGAGAACUCGUCACUUCUUUUUUAAAAUUCCCAAAUUUUUUUUUUUUUUUAGAAAAAAAAAAACAAUUCCUCAAUGGAACUCGUCUCUUGAGUUCCCAUGAAAAUAAAAUUUUUUUUUUUAAAUUCCCAAAUUAUUAAAAAAAAACAACUCCUCAAGGGAACUCGUCCCUUCAAGAAACGAGUUCCCAUGGGAAAAAAAAAUGUAUAUUUUUUUUUAAAAAAUUCCCAAAAAAAAAAAAAAAAAUUCCUCAAGGAAACUCGUCUCUUGAAGAGAUGAGUUCCCAUGGAAAAAAAAAAAUUUUAAAUUUUUUUUUUUUUUAAAUAUUCCCAAAUUUAAAAAAAAAAAUUUUAAAAAUUUCCUUAAGGAACUCGUCUCUUCAAGAGACGAGUUCCAUGAAAUUUUUUAUUUUUUUAUUUUUAAAUUCCCAAAUUAUUAAAAAAAAAAAAAAAGCAAUUCCUCAAGGGAACUCGUCUCUUGAAAAGACGAGUUCCCAUGGAAAAAAAAAUGUAUAUAAUGGAAAAAAAAAAAAUUUAAAUUUUUUUUUUAAAAAUAUUUCCAAAUUUUAAAAAAAUAAAUAAAAAAUAAAAAAAAUUCCUUAAGGAACUCGUCUCUUCAAGAGACGAGUUCCAUGAAAUUUUUUAAUUUUUUUUCUUAAAUUCCCAAAUUAUUAAAAAAAAAAAAAAAAAAUUCAAUUCCUCAAGGGAACUCGUCUCUUGAAGAGACAAAUUCCCAUGGAAAAAAAAAUAUAUAUAUUUUUUUUAAAAAUUCCCAAAUAAAAAAAAAAAAUUCCUCAAGGGAACUCGUCUCUUGAAGAGACAAGUUCCCAUGGAAAAAAAAAAUUUUAAAUUUUUUUUUAAAAUAUUCCCAAAUUAAAAAAAAUAAAUAAAAAAUAAAAAAAUUUCCUUAAGGAACUCGUCUCUUCAAGAGACGAGUUCCAUGAAAUUUUUUAAUUUUUUUUCUUAAAUUCCCAAAUUAUUAAAAAAAAAAAAAAAAAAAAAAAGGCAAUUCCUCAAGGGAACUCGUCUCUUGAAGAGACAAAUUCCCAUGGAAAAAAAUAUAUAUAUUUUUUUAAAAAAAAUUCCCAAAUAAAAAAAAAAAUUCCUCAAGGGAACUCGUCUCUUGAAGAGACAAAUUCUCAUGGAAAAAAAAAUAUAUAUAUUUUUUUAAAAAAUUCCCAAAUAAAAAAAAAAUUCCUCAAGGGAACUCGUCUCUUGAAGAGACAAGUUCCCAUGGAAAAAAAAAAUUUUAAAUUUUUUUUUUUAAAUAUUCCCAAAUUAAAAAUAAAUAAAUAAAAAAUAAAAAAAUUUCCUUAAGGAACUCGUCUCUUCAAGAGACGAAAAGGAGAGACGAGUUCCCAUGGAAAAAAAAUGUAUAUUUUUUUUUAAAAAAAUUCCCUAAUAAAAAAAGAAAAAAAAUUCCUCAAGGGAACUCAUCUCUUGAAGAGACGAGUUCCAAUGGAAAAAAAAAAAAUUUAAUUUUUUUUUUAAAUAUUCCCAAAUUUAAAAUAAAUAAAUAAAAAAUAAAAAUUCCUUAAGGAACUCGUCUCUUCAAGAGACGAGUUCCAUGAAAUUUUUUAAUUUUUUUUUUAAAAUUCCCAAAUUAUUAAAAAAAAAAAAAAAAAAAAAAAAAGGCAAUUCCUCAAGGGAACUCGUCUCUUCAAGAGACGAGUUCCCAUGGAAAAAAAAAUUCCCAAAUUUAAAAAAAAAAAUCCUCAAGGAACUCGUCUCUUCAAGAGACGAGUUCCAUGAAAUUUUUUCCUCAAGAGAACUCGUCUCUUCAUGGAAAAAAAAAUUUAAAAACAAAAAGAUUUAAAAAAGAGACGAGGAAUUGUUUUUUUUUUUUUUUAGGAAUUUUUUUUUCCAUGGGAACUCGUCUCUUGAAGAGAAGAGUUCCCUUGAGGAAUUUUCUUUUCUUUUUCUUUUUUUAAUUUGGGAAUUUUUUUAAAAAAAAUAUUUUUUUUCCAUGGGAAGUUCCCUCGAGGAAUUGUUUUUUUUUUUUUUUUUUUUUUAUAUGAUUUGGGAAUUUUUUAAAUAUAUAUAUAUAUAUAUAUAUAUUUUCAUAGAACUCGUCUCUUGAAGAGACGAGUUCUUGAGGAAUUGUUAUUUUUUUUUUUUUAAUUUGGGAAUUUUUUUUUUAAAAAUAUAUAUAUUUUUUUUAGGGAACUCGUCUCUUGAAGAGAUGAGUUCCCUUAAGGAAUUUUUUUUUCAUGGAACUCGUCUCUUCAAGAGACGAGUUCCUAUUGAAAUUUUUGUGAAAUUUGAAAAGAUGAUUUUGGUUUAAAAAAAAAUUAUCCGUUCACCCUCUCUCCUCUCUCCUAUCUCCUCUCUCCUAGAUGGCAAAAACUACCAUAUAUUUGUAAUAACUUCUUCUACUAUAAUAAUUUAAGCAUAACUUUUUUAAAUUACCGUACUAUUGAGAAAAGUCCGAAAAAGACGGGUAUAAAUAUAUCAUAACAAACAAAAAGGUGGUAGAUGUGUGUUUUAAAGCAGUUGAUUUCAAGUUAUGUCUAUAUUCAAAGAUAUUUUAUGUAGCUUAUGUUGACAUUUAAGGAUAUUUUAUAUAAUAUUAAUAUAAGGAAAAGUUGUUUGUUUGAUUUUGUUUCUUUUUCUACCAUAGAUCCGACCUAGAUCCUGAUCCUUGUCUUAUUGGGAUCCCAACAUAUGAUUUGAUCUCGAAUUAUAAUUACAGAACAAUAACACCAUGGUAGCUACUGUGUUCCCUUGCUACAUAGAAUAGAAGCUUCUAUACAACACUACCCACUUUUUACCCCCACAGAAACCAUAGUCGCUGCUUUAUCUAGCUAAAUGCAUUUUAUUAAAUACUUUUAUAAAUGGAAUUAUAUUCGUUCUUGGAUCUCCAAGGAUAGAAGAUGGAAGGAUUAUAAGGAAGAGUAUGUUUAAUUGUAAUUUUUUUAGUAAUAUAUUUUUAUUUUUCAUUUUUGAGAAUGAUAGUAAAAAUGAAGUGAAAUAAAGGUACCAAUUUUUUUUUUUUCCAUUUCUAAAUUUAUUUAACAUAAUUUUAAUACUCACAAUUCAAUCGUAUCUUAUAUUAAUAAUAUUGAUUUCUCACAUCAAAACAUUGAAAAAUUGUCUAAACUUAUCAAAAAAACACUAAAAGGAAUUUCUACUUAAUGUUUUAUAAUUGUCAAUUUAAAAAAAAAAAAAAAGGGAGCCAAUGAAACGCGGAUAAAAUGGGAGAAAGCAUGUGGCUGGCCUUUAAAUUUUAUAUUUUAUUUUACUUCUUUGAUUUAAUUAUUAAUUGUAUGUGGAUAUAGAAUAGAAUGAAUUAGAUUCUAUUUUGUAUGGUCAAAACUGCACCACUUCAAUCAAAGUGGUAGAUGCAUGAAGGUCAAAACCCUAGCAGCUUUGUCGUAGGAGUUAAAAAGGAGUAGAUGGAGCUGAUAGAUUAGAACAGUUCCACAAAAUUACAGACAUGCAUUGCCAUUCUACCCAUGGGGCAACGUUGGCUUUGUGAAGUUCUAGCGUUGUCUAUGAUUAUUUGCAUCAAGUCACCAAAUCCUUCUUCGCACCUUCGAGGAGUUUUGCCCAUAAUACAAAUUAAUGGCCAAAAAAUUCCUUGAUUUUAGGACACGAAAUAUACACAAGGAAUCUCACAACCACAUAUGUGUGUAUGACAUAAUAGGUAAUUGGUCAAGUUUUCUCUCAUAUUUGGAUUAGUUAAUUAACUUGAUUUCCAUCAUAAGGACCUAACUAGGGGCAUUUCAAAUAUAAAUCAAUAUCAAAUAUUAAUGUUCAUAAAGACCGGUUAUCUACCAUAUCAAAGUGGUAGACAUAUCUUAAAACCUUACCACCCUUGUCAAGAUACUUGGCUUAAUAUCCUCCAAGCUUUGUCAUAGGAAUUAAAACAAUAAGUGGAAGUAUAUCAUAACAUAACAAUUAUUUGCACAGAGAUGAGUAGUCUCUUUCAACUUAGGUUCACAUUCAAAAACUUGAUAUCUCACGUAUAGAGAUUCGAAAGUGGUGGAAACUUAACAUAAAAAAAUCAUUAAAUUUUUUUCUUUUUAUUAUUGUAUAAUCAUCAAUGUAUUUUUCUACUUUUAGAAACAAAAAUAGAACUAGAAUUACCGAAGAUAUUAAAUAUUUUUUUAAAGUUACAAAAUGUAAUUAAAAAUUUGUUUAUACAUUCUACUUCUAAAAAUAGUAUAAAUUGAUGUAUGAAUAUAUAUAUUUCUUCUCAUUUUUCCUUGUUGGUAUUUUCUUCCUUUUUUCUAUUUGAUUGGUCUGUUGGAUGGAUAUCACUAAUUAUUAUUUAUUUCUUAAGUGGUAAUUGGUCUAGUUUUCUCUCAUAUUUGGAUUACCUAAUUAACUUGAUUUCCAUCAUAAGGACCCAACUAGUGGCAUUUCAAAUAUAAAUCAAUAUCAAAUAUUAAUGUUGAUAAAAAUGGGUUAUCUUGAACAUUAAUAUCAAAUAGUAAUGUUGAUAAAGACUAUUUUAUCUACCACAUCAAAGUGGUAGACAUAUUUUAAAACCUUACCACAUUUGUCAAGAUACUUGGCUUAAUAUCCUCCAAGCUUUGUCAUAGGAAUUAAAACAAUAAGUGGAAGUAUAUCAUAACAUAACAAUUAUUUGCACAGAGAUGAGUAGUCUCUUUCAACUUAGGUUCACAUUCAAAAACUUGAUAUCUCACUUAUAGAGAUUCGAAAGUGGUGGAAACUUAUCAUAAAAAAAUCAUUAAAUUUUUUUCUUUUUAUUAUUGUAGAAUCAUAAAUGUAUUUUUCUAUUUUUAAAAACAAAAAUAGAACUAGAAUUAAGGAAGAUAUUAAAUAUUUUUUAAAGUUACAAAAUGUAAUUAAAAAUUUGUUUGUACAUUCUACUUCUAAAAAUAGUACAAAUAGAUGUAUGAAUACAUAUUUCUUCUCAUUUUUCCUUGUUGGUAAUUUUUUCCUAUUUUCUAUUUGAUUGGUUUAUUAGAUGGAUUUCACUAAUUAUUAUUUAUUUCUUAAGUGGUAAUUGGACCAGUUUUCUCUCAUAUUUGGAUUAGCUAAUUAAUUUGAUUUCCAUCAUAAGGACCCAACUAUUGGCAUUUCAAAUAUAAAUCAAUAUCAAAUAUUAAUAUUGAUAAAAAUUGGUUAUCUACCACAUCAAUACCAAAUAUUAAUAUUGAUAAAGACUAUUUAUCUACCACAUCAAUGGUAGACAUAUCUUAAAAUCUUACCACCUUUGUCGAGAUACUUGGGUUAAUAUCCUCCAAGCUUUGUCAUAGCAAUUAAAACUGCAAGUGGAAGUAUAUUAUAACACAACAAUUAUUUGUGUAAAGAUGAGUAAUCCCUUUCAACUUUGAUUCACAAUUAUUUGUCAUGCCUUAGAGUGUGUUUUGGGGUGUGAUAGAGGGCAACAAGAUGGAUGAAUGCUUUUUUAAAGAAUUAUUUGAUUAAAAAGAAUUAAAUGAUUUCAAAUUUGUAAAUCUAACCUCUUUUUUUUUUUUUAACUUGAUAAUUAAUUAAUUUUCUUUUGAUAUAAAUCCUCUUGAACCUUUUCAUUAUUUACAUGUAAUAAAAAAAAUUUAUAAAAUAAAGAUAAGGAUAUUUUUAUCAAAAUGGAUAGUUAAAAAAAAAUGGAGAUUUAAAUUUAUAAAUGGGGGAUUAUUUCAUCUUUUAAUCAAAUGACCUUUUUUCAAUUAUUUUAUUUCUAUUGUAAAAGGCUCCAUAAUUUGUAAUUUUUAUAAUAAAAAAUAAUUUCCUUAUAUUCUAAAAAAGUGUGAAAUGAUUGACUUUUAGGUCAUUUAAAAUUUAUGUGGCUAUUCAUAAAAGUAUUUAAUGUAAUAUUAUCUAAUUUAUUUUUAUUUAAGUUUUAUCAUUUCUUUUCAAUAUUCAAACAUAUACAACACUCUUAAAUUGCGACAAGGAUUUAUGAUAAUAUUAUUUUAUGUUAAAUUAUAUAUACUUAUCUUUUAUAUCGAUUAAUAUAAAAAAUAAUUUUUUCUCAAUAAGGAUAAAUAUUUCAUUAACUUGUUGUGAAUCUACAUCUUUCUCGUGCGUUCCCACUUGACAGGGUUCCCAUUCGAUGGAAAAACACAUUGUAUUAUAGAAAAUUGUCUUUUUGAAAAAAUUGGAGUCACCACUUAUUUUUGUUCAUUUUUAAAGAAAAAACAAAAUAAGAGAAAAAACACCAUAUGACUCUUUUUUAAUUUUAUAUUAAAACUGUGCAAAUUAUCUCAAUUCAAUAAAAAAAAAUUCAAAUUUAUUGUUAAAAAAGGUUUCAAAUUUAUUUUUUAAAAAUAUUAGAAAAUAUUUUAUUCUUAUUUUGUUAAUAAGAGUUUUUCAAUUUUUUUUUUAAAAAGGACCACUUAGUUUCAAUUUUAUUAUUUUUAAAAAAGAUUAUAUAUUUUUAUGAAAAAGAUGAUUUUGUAGCUUUAAAAGAAGUUUUAAAAUUUAUUUUAAAAAGUUUCACUGUUUUAUUUAAAAUAAAAAAUUGUCAUUCUACUUAAAAAAUAAAAAAAAUAAAAAAUGUAGUUUUAUUUUAAAAACUAUUUUACAAUUUUUAUUUUAAAAAAGGAUUUUUCAGUUUUUAUUUAAAGAAAAAGAAGGAUUUUGCCCUUUCUAUUUUAGAAAAAUGAUUUGCAGUUUUUUUAUUGGAAAUAAAUACCUUAUAUAUUUUUUUUUCAAAAAAAAACUUUGAAAAAAAAAAAAAGAAAAAAGAUUUUUACAGUUUUUAUUUAAUAAAGGUUAUAUUCUAUUAAAAAAAGAUUUUAGAUGUUAUUUUAUAUGCAAACUUGGUGAUAAAAAAUGUAAAAGAAUAAAAUGAAUUUGAAACUAUGCAAAAAGUGUAUAAAAGGGAUAUAAACAACAAAUAACCCAAAAUAAAAUAUAUAAAUAAAUAAAUAUAAAAUGGAAUAAAUAAGAAUAUUUAUAGAACUGAAAAUGAAACAGAAAUAAAAUAUACAGAAAGAGCCUCCUCAAAAUGUCGUCCACUGCCUCCUCUAAAAUCCUAGGGUCUGUGCCCUUUUGUAGGCCUUCAAGCUUGGUCUUCAUAUGCCCUUCCAUGUGGUGGACAUCUAAGCUCUAAGCGAAAAGUAAGCAGAGGGAGGUAGUAAAGUUGGCCCAUCUCCAAAAUCAAAACAAGGCCGAAAUGAGAAUGAUUAAAAAAAGAGAAAAGGGGGAUCAAACCAAUAUAUACAAGCCCAAAACGAACAAAGCCCAAACCCAACAGAUAAAUUAAACUAGGCUCAAAGGCCACAAACACAUCUCAGAGCAAUGAUUGAAGCCUGAAAUAAAAUCCAAGAACCCCAAUACCCACAAACAUGAAUCAAUAAAUAAACCCAAAUCAAAGCCCACAAAUAGCCCAAGUUCUCAAAACUAACACUUUGAAGAUUGAAAGCAAGGGUUUUGCUUUAUGCUCCUGAAGAAUCCUUAAGGUAAAAAGCGAAGUGCAGCAUGGAAGUAUGAUAGCAUGGGCAAUCCGUGUGGAUGGCGGCGCGGGGUUUGGGUUGUGGCCAUAAAUAGUGCAAUGGUCGACAGUUGUGCCAACGAGGGAGGCGCGUGGCCUCGUCGAAGAUGGGGGUAGUGGAGGCCAUGGAAGUGUGGGUCUCGGUGGCUGGAACGGAUCAAGUCGAUAGCGGCGGGCUAUAAUGGUGGAGAGGGGGCGAUAUGGUGGCUGUGAGGUACACGACUGGUGUGAAGGUGGCAAGAAGGGUGUGGAGAGAAGGGGGAUCGAGAGAGAGAGAGAGAGAGGGAGGGAUGUUAGAGAGAGAAUAAAAAAAGAUAGAGAGAGGGAGAGGUGUCAGUCCGGUGUCUGCUGGAGUGGUGCGAUGGCGGCGACUUGUCAAAGUGGGGUCACCAGACGAAGAUGGCUACGGUGCCGAUAGGGUAUGAUGGUAUGAGUGUGAAAAUGGGUACAAGAGGGAGUGGGAGAGAGAUGGAGGUAUUGGCCGACAGUAGUGCCACAAUUGUGUCGGUGAUGAGACUGGCAACGGUGAGGCCAUGGUGGCGAGGGGUGUGGUGCAGGGUUCAAAGUAUCGGCCGAGUCGUAUCCGCCUCGACACCUGUCGCGACGAGACCGAUACCAAAUACAGUAUAAUGCACGAACUCGGCUAGGAAUCGGUAAAACUCGGCUGACUCGUCUGAGUUUUCGAGUUAACUCGGUUAGGUUACAGAGAAUUUUCAAAUUUUAUUUCCAAUCACAAUAAAACAUCAGAACAUUUUCAUAUAAAAAAAAAAUCAAAGAUUGCCCUUUCAAAAGCAAGCACAUAUUCUGAAAUUUUAAACCAUCAAUGAGAAGAUCAAAGAAGACGAAGAAGAAAUAAUCCAACCCGUGACCCGUUUGGAAAUAAGUGGAGAAACCACCGAAGGAUGAGGGCAUGAUUUAGGAUUUACUUACCUGAUUUUCCUCAAAAUCGAGAAUUACCAGAGGGUGGAGCUUUGGUGUUGACGGUGGUGACUCGUCAAGUGGACUGGAUCUUUCACCGGCGACGUCGACGAGACAACCCCUUCACAGUCAAAUUGCUUCCCCUCCCGUGUUGGGUCUUGCACGGUUGCAAAUUUGCAAUUGCAGGUGGUGUUGUGGGUCUUGACGGCAAUUUCUGGGGACGGGAUGAUUGAAUGCGUUUGUCCAAGCAAAUAUUAGGGCUACGCUCAUUUGGCUAAUUAUGGGCUGAGCAUGGGCCAGCCCAUUUUUUAACUAUUAGCUGUAACUGGGCCGUUCUCUGAUUUAUGUCAUAAAUCUCUUCAUCUUCAUCAAAUUUUAUAACUUGGAGGUUUUUAUUUCACACUCCAUUUAAUAAAGUUUAAGUAAGUUUCAAGUUUCACAAAUUUAAUUUUUAAAAAUUAUAUAUUCUAUAUAUAUAUAUAUAUAUAUAUAUAUAUAUCUUCUUCCCUUUUCUUUUUUUAAGUACAAAUUAUUUAUCCUUUUUAUUUUCAUUUUUAUUUUUCAUCAUCUUUCUUUUUACAAAUUAAGUAAAAUGUGUUUCAAUUAUAUAUUAAAAAUGUUAUUUUUUUAAAUUUAUUCUAAAUAAAAUAUUAUUAACAAUUAUUUUUGUAAAGUGUUAUUAUUUAUUUUUAACAAAAGAAUUAAUUACACUUUCAUAAAGAUAUCAUUAUCCAUACAAUGUAUAAUAAGCAAAUUAAUCGUAUGUCAUUUAAUAAAGUUUAAGUCGGUUUCAAGUUUCACUAAUUUAAUUUUAAAAAAUUAAAUUAGAAGUUAUUGAAAAUGACAAAUAAUUUUGAGCUAAAUGUGAAAAAAAAAAAUUGUUUUAUUAAUUUUUUUCAACUUAUUCAAUUAUAUCUAUUUUUUUUAAUUUAUAUAACAUUUUUUAUAAUUUUUUGAAAUUUCUAAUUAUCUUAUUUUGCGUAUCGCCCGAUACCGAACCGAGAUGUCGAGACCGAUAUGCCUCGUGGCCCUCCGAGUCAAUGACCGAUACCGCGACUUUGAACCAUGGUGUGGUGGGGAUAAGGGUAGGUAUGGGAGAAAGUACAUAAAAAAGGAAAAGGAAAAAGAAGAAGAGAAAGACAAGAAAGGGAAAAUUUUGGGGGCCAGGGGGAGGUUGUGAAGAAAGGAAACGAGAAAAAGGAUGUGAUUUUGGAAGUCAAGGGUCAGGAUUUAAUCUUCCUAUUAGGUAUUCGAAUGAGCCUGAAAAGAAAAGAUCCAACAAAUGUGAAAAAGAAAUAUGCUUGAAAUAAAUGUUAGAGAAGGGCCUGGAGCAAAUUUUGGGUCUGGCCGAGGAUAAUGAUUUUUUUUCCUUCUCUUGCUGCCUUGUUUAGUUAAGGGUCCAUAUGUCUAUCAUCUUCAGUUGCAAUCUGGCUAGAAUUGGAAAUCAUCAGUGCUUCAGCAAUCAGCAGUACCCUCUUCUACAGUCCACACCCAUGUUAAAACUCAAGCCCUUAGAAAAAUCAUUAGUCCAUUUCUGUAUAUAUAUGUACAAUGUCCCUCAGAGCAAGUCAAACGAAGUCAUCCAGAUAUUGUAUACGUCUCUUUUAAGGUUACUUCCUUUACUGACAAUAGUUGUAGAUUGUUUAAUGGACAGUGCAUAUGACUAUUUGUUUGUAGAUGGAUCAAUUGCUUAUAAUGAUUGCCUAGAGAUAACGGCUAAGUGUUUGGUUCUAAUUCGAUUAUGCUCUUUUCUUCUAUGUUCAAAAGUUGUACUCUUAUGUGUUGGGAUUUCAAUAUUGUAAUAUAUUAAUUGAAGAAUACAAAAACAAAAAUAAAAUAUCUAUACACAAAGAUAUAUGAUAUUUUAAUAUGAUUCAUCAACCAACAAUACUUAUUUUCAUGGAUGAUGAAUAAUAUUCUAUUAUACAAUAGAGAAUAUUAUAGAAUAUAAAAAUAAAUACAAUUAUUGUGCCUUAAAACAUUCCAUGUUUUCUCAUUCUUUAUGGCUAUGUUUGGUUUCCGAAAAAUGCGAGAGAAAGAAAAUUGGGAGGAAAAAUGGAAGGAAAUAAAAAACUAAGGAAAGAAAUAUAAAUUUUUUCACUUGUUUGGUUAUCUAUGGAAAAUUCAAGGGAAAAAAAAAAAGAAUUCAUUUUCUUUUAUUUGGUUAACCACGAAAAAAAAGUCAAGGAAAAAUGAAAGGAAAAUAAAACCAACAAUUUGUCUUAGAUGAUUAUCAAUAUAAACUAGGGUUUCUUAUAAAUUUAUCAUUAUUACAAGUGUUGAUCCAUUUUUCACUUCAUAUAAUACCUCAUUGACUUCAAGAUACAUGAGAUUUUAAUAUGAUUCAUCGACUAACAAUGCUUAUUUUCAUGGAUGAUAAAUAAUAUUUUAUUAUACAACAGAGAAUAUUAUAGAAGAUAGAAACAAAUAUAAUUAUUGUGUUUCAAAACAUCUCAUGUUUCCCUAUAAUUUAUGUCUCUAUCCUAAACCACGAGCCUUUUUGUUCCAUUGGGUAUCUUCUACUUUUUUGCACAUUUAUGCCCUGAACUACAAGCCCUCUUACUUAUCAUUUAUUUUUCGUUCUUCUUUACAUCUUAAUCUAAGUCAUGAUAAGAAAAAUGGUUCGCUUGAAAAUCAAUCUCAACCUCUAUCAAAUCCUUCGUGAUAGGGUCUCUAUAUUUCAAUAAUAUGUACAUUUAAUCUCCUUUAUUUGUUUUGGUAACCAACCAUGUAUAGUUCCCUUUUUUGAGGGGUUAAUUUGGUAAGCCUAGGUUGUAUAUUGUAUAUGUAUUUCUUACCUUAAACAAUAGAACGACUAUCUUUGACUCUUAAAGCCUAUGUGGACUUUAUCAUAUCUCUCUUAUAACUUUUUUCUCUAAUGUUAAUUCUGUCUUUAUUUUGAAUCUAUUCAAUCAUUUCAAAACCAUAUCCAAAUAUCCCCAUCAAAUCUAAAAUUACUUUGGUCUCGCAAUAGUGAGUAGAAAAAGGAUAAAUAAAGACUAUUCUCAUUCAAUAAAUAGAACAAAUUAAAAACCCUUUCUUUUCUUUUUCUUUUUACCAUUUCUUAUUAUUUUUAGACAUUAAAAUGAAAUUUUACAGUUCUUAAUUUAAAUUUCAUUGUGAGCUCGUGUGACUCUUUUUAUUUAUCAGUGGAAUGCCCUUUUGUGACACAAACCAUAUCCAACCACGUAGUGUGUGCUGGUCUGUUUUCAUCUUCAAACAUCUAAUUCCUUCCUCGGCCCCGUCACCACAUAUUUACCUCAAUAGCCUCCAAAAUAUCCACGACUAUCCACUUGGAAAUGUGAUUUCGUUUUUCCUUUUUUUUUUUGCUCAUCAUGGUGGUCCAAUUAUGUCCAUGGUCAUGGUGCUUGUGAUCCUAUAUAGACAUAUUCUUGGGCGCAGCGAAGUCGAUUACCAUGAGCCCAAGGUAAUCGUUGAUAUUAGGAAUGUUUCGUCCCUCCCGAUAUUGACUCCUCCCGUCAUUGCAGUUUUGAGAAUCGAUUCUCACUGUAAAAAGCAUUUGAAAGUAGCUCCUUCGAAAAGGCUCGUUAUCAGGCCCAAAAUAACCAUCCCAACUCAAAGUAAUCACAAGAUUUUGAUGGAACGAUUUCUUGUCCUGCUUCCAUCAAAGGCAAGUUAGCAACUUCCUUCCAGUACAUAAACCAAAGGGGUUCAAUUAUUCAAACAGGUUCCAUUCAUUCAAGUUACACAAUCCUCUGACUUUCAACUGUUUAAUUAAAGAAACUAAUGAAGCUUACUAUUAAUUGAAUAUAUGAAGCGAUUAGAUUAAGAUAAUUUUGGUAUGCUUAAAAUUAUAAAUAAAUUGCAUUAAAACAUGGAUUUUACUCUCUUACUAUUACUAAUACAAUCAAUUUUAAGGUGACAAUGCCUUUUUUUUUUUUUGGUUAAUUUCAUUGAUCUUUCUUGAAGUUUGAGUUCUCAUUUAUAUUUUCAUUUAUUGCUCCUUUAAUUCAAAAUAAGGAAAGUAUGUCAAACUAAUGAAAAUGGAGUUUAAUAAAAUAUGGAGAUAUUUGAUUAAAAUAGUCAAAAUAAGAAUAAUUAUCUUUUGGAACAAAAACAUCCUCCAUCAAAUUAUAUUAAAAUAUUUUUUAUUAAAUAACGUAAGAAAUAUUUUCAUCCAGUUUAGAUUAUAUUGACAAUAUUAAACACAAAGUUUUUUUUUUUUUUGCUUUUUCAAAGUAAGAAAUAUUUUGAACUUUUAGACUUAGAUAUUUUUAAAAUAUAGAACGAGGUACUAGAAACAUGAGAAAAGCUCGGAGGGAUGACAAGGCCACAAAAAUGUCACACCAAAAAAAUAAGCAAGAUUAAUCUAUUUAUUUAUUUAUUUUGUAUAUGUAUUUCUUACCUUAAACAAUAGAAGGACUAUCUUUGACUCUUAAAGCCUAUGUGGACUUUAUCAUAUCUCUCUUAUAACUUUUUUCUCUAAUGUUAAUUCUAUUUUUAUUUUAAAUCUAUUCAAUCAUUUUAAAACCAUAUCCAAAUAUCCCCAUCAAAUCUAAAAUUACUUUGGUCUCGCAAUAGUGAGUAGAAAAAGGAUAAAUAAAGACUAUUCUCAUUCAAUAAAUAGAACAAAUUAAAAACCCUUUCUUUUCUUUUUCUUUUUACCAUUUCUUAUUAUUUUUAGACAUUAAAAUGAAAUUUUACAGUUCUUAAUUUAAAUUUCAUUGUGAGCUCGUGUGACUCUUUUUAUUCAUCAGUGGAAUGCCCUUUUGUGACACAAAUCAUAUCCAACCACGUAGUGUGUGCUGGUCUGUUUUCAUCUUCAAACAUCUAAUUCCUUCCUCGGCCCCAUCACCACAUAUUUACCUCAAUAGCCUCCAAAACAUCCACGACUAUCCACGACUGGUGUGAAGAAAUGGAGAGAAGGGGGGUCGAGAGAGAGAGAGAGAGAGAGAGAGAGAGAGAGAGAGAGGGAGAGGGAGGGAGGGAGGGAUGUUAGAGAGAGAAUAAAAAAGAUAAGAGAGAGGGAGAGGUGUCAGUCCGGUGUCUGCCGGAGUGGUGCGAUGGCGGCGGCUGGUCGAAAUGUGAAAAAGAAAUAUGCUUGAAAUAAAUGUUAGAGAAGGGCCUGCAGCAAAUUUUGGGUCUACACUCGUCUUACGUGGAGUUUGCUUUUUGUUUCAAAUCGGAAUAAACUUGAACUUGAACUUAAACUUAAAUAAAGAUUAAUAUCAUCAAGUAUUUAAACUGUUUAUUUUUCUACUGAUGUAAUAUGGAAAACAGUGUUCUCCAUAGGGGUUUGUUGGACGUCAAGAUCACAGGGUUUUUAGGUCUGGCAGAGGAUACUGAUUUUUUCCCUCUCUUGGUGCCUUGUAUAGUCAAGGGUCCAUAUGUCUAUCAUCUUCAGUUGCAAUCUAGCUAGAAUUGGAAAUCAUCAGUGCUUCAGCAAUCAGCAAUACCCUUUUCUACAGUCCACACCCAUGUUAAAACUCAAGCCCUUAGAAAAAUCAUUAGUCCGUUUCUGCAUAUAUAUGUACAAUGUCCCUCAGAGCAAGUCAAACGAAGUCAUCCAAAUAUUGUACAUGUCUCUUUUAAGGUUACUUCCUUUACUGACAAUAGUUGUAGAUUGUUUAGUGGACAGUGCAUAUGACUUUUGUUUCUAGAUGGAUCAAUUACUUAUAAUGAUUGCCUAGAGAUAACGGUCAAGUGUUUGGUUCUAAUUCGAUUAUGCUCUUUUCUUCAAUGUUCAAAAUACUUAAUUCAAAGGUGCAUAGAUAAAGAUACACAGAAUGUUGUUUCUUUUUCCACCCUCGUGUCCUAAAUGGGACUUUCUUUGGAUUGUGGAUAUGGGAGUAUGCUCUUAGAGCAUUCACCACUGUGGGAUCCUUUUUUAUUGUACAUAUCAUGAGUGCAUCAUUUAGGGAGUAGGAUUGAGGCAUGCCUUGAUUUAAUUAGCUCUUAUGUUAUCUGUUGAGUUGUUUUUCUAGUAUUGCUAUCAUCAACGAAAGAGUGCUCUUGAACUACAUUUUUGUUUUUCUAGGAUUUGCAUAUAUACUGUUCAUACCAUAAAACAUAUUUUUUUAAUAUUAAUUUUUUCUAACAUUGGUAUUAGACCCAAGUUGUACUCUUAUGUGUUGGGAUUUCAAUACUGUAAUAUAUUAAUUGAAGAAUAUAAAAAAUAAAAAUAAAAUAUUUAUAUACAAAGAUAUAUGAGAUUUUAAUAUGAUUCAUUAACCAACAAUGCUUAUUUUCAUGGAUGAUAGAUAAUAUUCUAUUAUACAAUAGAAAAUAUUAUAAAAGAUAGAAACAAAUACAAUUAUUACGUCUCAAAACAUCUCAUAUUUUCCCACUAUUUAUGUUUUUAUCCUAAACCAUGAGCCUUUUUGUUCCACUAUGUAUCUCCUACUUUUCUUCACAUUUAUGCCUUGAACUACAAGCCCUCUUACUUAUCAUUUAUUUUUCGUUGUUCUUUACAUCUUUAUCUGAGUCAUGAUAAGAAAAAUUGUUCGCUUGAAAAUCAAUCUCAAUCUUUAUCGAAUCCUUUGUUAUCAAGUCUCUAUAUUUCAAUAAUACAUACAUUUAAUCUCUUUUAUUUGUUUUGGUAACCAACCAUGUAUAGUUUCCUUUUUUGAGGGGUUAAUUUGAUAAGUCUGUAACGAUAACUAGGUUAUAUACUGUGUAUAUAUAUUUCUUACCUUGAACAAUAAAACGAUUAUCAAAGCCUAUGUCAACUUUAUCAUAUAUCUCUUAUAACUUUUUUCUCUUCUAUUAAUUCUGUCUUUAUUUUGAAUCUAUUCAAUCAUUUCAAAACCAUAUCCAAAUAUCCCCAUCAAAUCUAGAAUUACUUUGGUCUGGCAAUAGUGAGUAGAAAAAGGAUAAAUAAAGGCUAUUCUUAUUCAAUAAAUAGAACAAAUUAAAAACCCUUUCUUUUCUUUUUCUUUUUACCAUUUCUUAUUAUUUUUAGACAUUAAAAUGAAAUUUUACCGUUCUUAAUUUAAAUUUCAUUGUGAGCUUGUGUGACUCUUUUUAUUCAUCAGUGGAAUGCCCUUUUGUGACACAAACCAUAUCCAACCACGUAGCGUGUGUUGGUCUGUUUUCAUCUUCAAACAUCUAAUUCCUUCCUUGGCCCCCUGUCACCACAUAUUUACCUCAAUAGCCUCCAAAAUAUCCACAACUGUCCACUUGGAAAUGUGAUUGGUUUUUCCUUUUUUUUUUUUUUUGCUCAUCAUGGUGGUCCAAUUAUGUCCAUGGUCAUGGUGCUUGUGGUCCUAUAUAGAGAUAUUCUUAGGCGCAACGACGUCGAUUACCAUGAGCCCAAGGUAAUCGCUGAUAUUAGGAAUGUUUCGUCCCUCCCGAUACUGACUCCUCCCAUCAUUGCAGUUUUGAGAAUCGAUUCUCACUGUAAAAGGCAUUUGAAAGCAGCUCCUUGGAAAAGGCUCGUUAUGAGGCCCAAAAUAACCAUCCCAACUCAAAGUGAUCACAAGAUUUUGAUGGAACGAUUUCUUGUCCUGCUUCCAUCAAAGGCAAGUUGGCAACUUCCUUCUAGUACAUAAACCAAAGGGGUUCAAUUAUUCAAACAGGUUCCAUUCAUUCAAGUUUCACAAUCCUCUGACUUUCAGCUGUUUAAUUAAAGAAACUAAUGAAGCUUACUAUUAAUUGAAUAUAUGAAGCGAUUAGAUUAAGAUAAUUUUGGUAUGCUUAAAAUUAUAAAUAAAUUGCAUUAAAACAUGGAUUUUACUCUCUUACUACUACUAAUACAAUCAAUUUUAAGGUGAUAAUGGCUUUUUUUUUUUUGUUAAUUUCAUUGACAUUUCUUGAAGUUUGAGUUAUCAUUUAUAUUUUCAUUUAUUUCUCCUCUAAUUCAAAAUAAGGGAGGUAUGUCAAACUAAUGAAAAUGGAGUUUAAUAAAAUAUGGAGAUAUUUGAUUAAAAUAGUCAAAAUAAGAAUAAUUAUCUUUUUGGACAAAAAUAUCCUCCAUCAAAUUAUAUUAAAAUAUUUUUUAUUAAAUAAGAAAUAUUUUCAUCCAGUUUAGAUUAUAUUGACAAUAUUAAACACGAAGUUGUUUUUUUUUUUUUGGCUUUUUCAAAGUAUUUGAACUUUUUGACUUAGAUAUUUUUAAAAUAUAGAACGAUAGAAACAUGAGAAAAGGUCGGAGGGAUGAAAUGCCCCCAAAAAUGUCACACCAAAAAAAUAAGCAAGAUUAAUUAAUUAAUUUAUUUAUUUUUCUUUAAGGGUCUUCUGGUUGAUUUGCUAAUUAUGGGGGGUGGAAAUAGCGGCAGAAAGGGUGAUGAUGGUGCCAUUGCAAUUGCGAUUACUGGUUUAUGCCUCUUCUGAAAGAGCAGUGAAGAUAAUCAUUGGUGAGAGUGAUGGGGACUGACGGCGGCGGAGCUCUCAAACAGCGGUGGCGGCCGUGGCAUUAUGCUGCUUGAAGAUUGGUGUUGAUUCUUGAUGUUUCAAACUCGUAGCCUUUAAUAAUGCUAUUACACCAUCAAUCAUUUAAUCCAAAAUGUUUAAUACUUAAGGUUGUGAUAAAUAUUACAUCUCAGGCCCAAGCCCACUAAAGAUGGUUUUUGCAUCAAUGAGCCCUGAUUUCUAAGCUUUCCACAAAAUGUUUUAGAUUAGUUUUGCCUGAAGCACCAUACUCCAUAGAUUCCACUGCCAAUCCUUUCCAUUUUUUAGCAUUUCUUCUCAUCGCAUCCCCUUUCUCUCCACCUUCCAUCACCAUCUCCAAACAUUUUUUGAUCUCUCAUUAGGUGAUCUUAAACAUUUAUGAUUAUGAAAUUUAUGGUCAUUAUAAUUUUUUCAAUUGAAUUUGAUAUAUGUCAUUUGCAGUUAAGGGUAUGUUGGUUGAUCAUGAUAUAGGCAUAUGGAAGACUCAAGAAUUGGAGAGAGAUUGAUAGCAUGUCUUCAAAUCAAAUGAUAAAAGAACAAAUAAAGAGUUGAAAGAAAUUGUGGAUUACAAAUUUUAGGGUUCAAAACAACGGGAAUUGUAGAUGUACAAUAAUUGGGUGAGCUAAAAAAUAGACCUAAACCAACACAACCAAUCCAAUUACCGAAGUUUCAUUCCUCCUAAAAGUAAAUGUCCAAGAAAAAAUUCCCUAAUUCUUGCUUGUUCAUUGAUUUUUUUUCUUUUAUUUUCUAGCUAUCAUUGAAAACAGGAUAUGUUUGUAUUCUUUUUCUUUCACCUUUCGUAAAAAAAAUCCUCCUAUUGUCAACUUUUAAAAAAAAAAAAAUUAAGAUUAUAUAUAUAUUUUAAUAAAAAAUGAUAAUACAAAGAAACAGAACAAGAUAAAGAUGGAGGAUGUUUAAAGGACCAAAGGAAAAGUUUCUCAUUUAUCUUCUCUCGAGGGUCUCUAAAGGUACCAAAUAAAAAUUAUCUCAUUUAUCUUCUCUCUGUUUUUAAAAAUUUUAAAUUAUAUAAAUAUCCUUGAAGUUAAGGUAGGAAUGUUACAUGCAUAGAGUUUGUACUCCAUUUAUUUAUUUUCCCCCAGAAGUUUAGUAAAACCUCUCACAAUAUUUUAAACAAAUGAACUAGGCUUUGACUUGGUUUAAUUGAACAUUGUUUAUGCGGGAGUUUUCUAUAAAAUUUUGAUGAAAAUUUUUAAUAAAAGAGAUUAUUUGAUAUUUGAGCAUUGAUUAGGGUAAUAUUGUUUUAAAAAUAUUUAGGGACUAAAUUGACAUGCCAGUAAAAAUAUAAAAAAUGAUUUUUACAAUAUGCUCUAAAUUAAAUAAAUGAAUUUGAAACUCCUCCCUAUCCUUUUUCCUUUAACUUCCAAAACCAUAUGUAACUGCUUUCAUUUAUCUCCUUAUCCUUUUUAAUAAAUGAAUGAUUAGAAUAAAAAACCAGACCAAUAUAUAUAAGCCCAAAAGAAACAAAGCCCAAACCCAACAAAUAAAACAAACUAGGCCCAAAAUCAAAUAUACAAAGCCCAAACCCAAAACAAAUAUGAUAGCCCAAGGCUACAAAUACAUCUAAGAGCAAUUCAAAAUAAUAUCCAAGAACCCCAAUACCCAUAAACAUGAAUCAAUUAGGGAGAAUUGUGUUUUAGGCCCAGUGGGGCCCAAAAAUUAACAUUUGGUCCAUCAAUCAUGCAUAUUUAAGCCAAAGACCCAAAUAAAGAAUGAAAAUUAAGAUGAAGGAUAUUGUCUUUCAUUAAUUCCUAAAAUACCCUUAUCCCUUAUGUGAGUGUGAAUUUCAAUUUUUUUUAUGUUUUUUUUUUUUUGCUUUUCCAUUCCCUAUUAAGUAUUACUCAUUUCUAACUUUUUUUUUUCUUUUUAUUCCAAUAUAUAUUUCUAUUUUAUGUCAAAUAAAAAAUAAUAAUGUUUUUUUAUUUUUCAUUUUUAAAGAUAUUGAAUCUUUUUGCUCUUAUUAAAAACAAUGAUAAAAAUUUUGGGAUUUUUCAUCCAAAUAUUUUUUAUUUUUUUGUAUUUAUCUUUUAGUUUAUUUUUUAUUUUUUAUUUUAAAUUUAUAUUACCCUUUCAUUUAUAUUUUUCUCUUAUUUUUAAUUAUUUUUUAUAUUUUCUACAUUAACCAUAUUUUAAAAAAAAUUUAAAAUUGACUAUCACUUCACUUUAUUAUAUAUAUAUAUAUAUAUAUAUAUAUAUAUAUAUAUAUAUAUAUAUAUAUACUUUUUAGCUUUUUAAUUUUUAAUGUUUUUAUUUUAAAAUUUUUAAAAAGAUAAAUUUAUUGAAAAAAAUAACUAAGAUAUGAAGUUCUAAUAUUAUAUUAAUAAUUCUUCUUAUCUAGAUAGACUAAUGCAAAGUAUUUUGACUCACAACAAGAAAAUUGUCAAUACAAUUUUUAAGUUAAGCUUUAAAAAUUAAAUUUUAAAUAAAAUAUAUUAUAUAAAAUUUUAUCUAAAAAUUAUUGAAAGUGGUAUUUAAUUUUUUUUUUUUUUGACUUUCAAACUUAUCUAAUUUUUUUACUUGAAAGGUAAUAGAACAUGUUUACAAAAAAAAAAAAAAAAAAAUUAUUUUUUCAUUUUUUAAAUAAAUGAGUAUAAAUAUAUUAAAAGAAUUAAAGAUAAUCUUAGUAAAAAAAUUGAUAAAUAUGAUUAUAAUUUUAAAUAUAGAUUAAUUUGGAUAAAAUUUCACAAAAAAAAAAUAGUGAAAAGAAAGAACAUUGCUAAAACUACAAAAACAAAAUAUGCAAUUACAAAAUUUUGAUGAUGAAAUUUCAAAAUUAAAUUUGAAACAAUUCUUGAGUAAGAGAAUUUGAGUGGGGAAAAAAUCUUUAAGUGGAAAAAAAUAGGAAAGUUUCUCACUUGAAAUCCUUAACAAAAAGUAGUCUUGUAUACCCUUAUACAAUUAGUAAAUUUGCCUUGUACAAUUAGUGUAAUACCCUUGUACAAUAACUCAAAUUUCAUAGAUCAUUUCAUGAAUAUCUGACAAUAGGUCGGUUAACCAUGUUUGCAUUGGUUUGGUUUUAAAAAAGAAGAAAAAUUGUUGUAGAAUUUUGUUUUACAAUCAUCAUAAGUGAGGUACCUAUUCAAAUAAUCAUAUACAAGUUAGAUAAAGCGCAUGAGAUGAAUGUAUGCUUAACCAAUGUGUGUAAGGAAUGUCAUUUAUCAUCGGUUAGGGGAAAUAAACAAACAAGUUUUUCAAAACCACUUAAAAUCUUUUACAAAUAAUAGUCUUGUACACCCUUGUACAGUUAGUAUAUUUUCCAUGUACACUUAGUGUAAAUACCUUGUACAGUGACUCAAAUUCCAUAUACCUGCUACUCAAUGUAUAACCAUAGGUAGAUUAACCAUGUUUUCAUUGGUUUGUUUCAAAAAAUAGUGGAAGAUGGAAAAACAAAAUUUUCUUUCAAACAUCAUUAGUGGGAUAAGUAUUUGAAUAAUCAUGCGCGAGUUAAAUAAAAUACAUAAGAUGAAUGUGUAAUAGAGGAAUGUGUACCUUAAGAGUGUGCAAUCCUUAGAUGACAAGACAAAAAAAAAAAGUUGUCCAAAAUUGAUUAAAAUCUUUCAAUUCUUUGAACUAUGCCCUCAAAAUAUUCAAAAAUUUUCCAUUCCAAAAUAUUUUAAAAAGUGUAAAUAGGGUAAUUUGCCCAAUUAAAUUCUUCAAAAUAUUCAAAAUUUCUCCGUUCCAAAAUUACCUAAUUGCUCUCCACACCAAUCCUAAAUAUUUUUUAAUAAAGAUUUAAAUAUUUAAAAUAAUUAAAAUAAAUACUUUCUUAUUAAAGCAAUUUUUUCAAAGUAAUAAGAUAAAAAUCAUGAAAUCUUCAAAACUAUAAUUACAACAAAUAUUUUUAAUUUUAAAACUAAUUUCAUAAUUUAAAUUAAUGAUUUAAAAAAAUAAAAAUGUUAUAAAUAAUUUUUUUUAUUUUUAAUUCCAUUUAAAUGUGAUUUUUUUUAAUCUCUAUUUAUAACAAAGAAAUUAUGUUUAUAAAAGAAAAAUAGUAAAAAUGUAUAUUUCAUUUAGUUUACUUAUAAUGAACAAUUCAAACAUUAUUGAUUUUAAUUUUAUUUCAUAUGUGUUAAUUUUUGUAGGGAAUGUCUUAAUAAAAUAGUUUGGUAAAAAAAAGAAAAAAAAACUAUCAAUAAUCGUCUUAAUAUCAAAUUCAAGUUGUUUAAAAAUCAUACAAAACCUAUCAGAAGCCUUGUACACUUAGCACAUUUCUCUUGUACAAUUAGUGUAAUACCCUUAUACAAUGUCACAAAUUUCAUAUUUGUCAUAACUUAUAUGUUCAUGUAGGUGUAUUAAUCAUAUUUUCAAUUGUUUGGUUAAGAAAAUGGUAGAUGACUUAGGAUCAAAUUUUUUCCCAAAUAUCAUUAUUGGAGAAAAUAUUAGAAUUUUCAUAUGAGAGUUAAAUAAAAUAUAUGACAUAGGCAUACAAUUCUUGGGUGACAAAGAAAAAUAAAAAAGUGGUUUAGAAUAAAUUUUUCUUUUUCUUAUUUUAAUAAAUUUUCAAUUAAUUCAAAUCAUUAAAAAAAAUCCUUCAUAAACUAAUUUGUAGCAUUUCAUAUAACUUAUUACUAUAAAAGUCAUGUUCAAAAAGUUAUUAAAAUAAGGAAGGAAGAAGAUUAAAAAAAAAAAAUUGAACUUUUUAUUUUAUAAUAGUAAAAAAAAAACUUUAAAAUACUUUUUAAUAUAAAAAAAUUAAAAUAGUGAAUAUAUUUAUUUUAAAUGGUAUUUUAAUCAUUAAAUUAUUUAUUUUUAAAAUGUAAAUAAUAAAAAUAAAUGUAAAAGAUAAUUUUUAUGUAUUUAAAUUAAUAUUUUUUUAGAAAGUAUUUUCCAAAAUAGUCUUUGAAUCAUUAAUAUAAUUUUUUUAUAUUUAUAAUUUUAAAAUAAAAAAUAAUGUUAAAUUUUCAAUUAUUUACAAGAGUUCUUUUUAUAAAAAAAAUGGUUAAAUAAAAAUAGUGGCAAGUAGUAGAAUAAAGACAAAAAUGAGUCAAGUGGGUAUUUUUGUCAAUUACUAUCCCAUAUCCUUAUUAUCAAUUAUGGGUGGUUGGAGGACCAAAUGUUAAUUUUUGGGCCCAGUUGGGCCCAAAACACAAUUCUCCCUAAAUAAAUCUAAAUCAAAGCCUACUAUGGACUAGCCUUUUUCACUCGAUGAAUCCUUACUCAAAAAUGGCGAGACUUACUAUUUAGUGAGAAACUGAUUUUUAUCAUAUAUAUAUAUAUAUAAUUGUAGUUGUCACUUAUUUUUGUUUAUUUAUCGAAAGAAAAACAAAAUAAAAAAUAAAACUCUAAAAAUAACUUCUUAUUUGGAAAAACAUAUUUUUGAAAACCAAGUCCAAGUUUGAGGGUCAGGUUACCUAUUGGGAAGUCACCAUAAGGUAGCAUCCUUCUAAUCCCUAAAAUAGGUCUCUACUAAUCAAAUUGAGAUUACUAUGACAAUUGGUCAAUUAAUCAUGAAUACUAAGAAGCUAAGCCUAUAUCAAAGCAAAGUAUAGCAAAAGGCUACUCAAACAAGGCAUGCAUAUCAAAGAAUCGAAUAAAUGAGAAGGAAAUGAAAAAUGAACCAAGUGUUUUCAUAAAACAAUUGGGUUAGCUCACAAAUAAUAAUAAAUAAGGAACCAUAAGCUAGGCCUCAUAAUGAAUGUAACAUAUGCAUAUCUCAACUCAUGAAGUAAAGAAAUGAUAAGGUAUGAACAAGAGGAAAUAAGAUACAAUAAAAUAUGCUGAAAAAUUCAAACGUGACUAACAAGUUUACACUCACAAAGAUUAGUCUAAAUAAAAUACCAAAUGAGAAAUUUUGAUCCCAAGAAAGGUUUAACUAAUCCAUAUAAUAUGUCUAUAAUGUAAAUCAAGAAUAAUAAUAAAAAAAAAACACUUAUAAAUAUUUGCAAGAGGAUUGAAUUAUCAAAAUCAUGCAAAAUGUCAUUAGUAGAGCAUAACCGGGAUAUUUUCAAAAUAAAUCUUAAAUAAAUAUCUAGAGGUGUUAUUUCAUCAAAAUAAAAAAUGGACAAUAUCUUAAAUGUCUAUAUCACAAUAUAAAAAUCCAAAUUAUUUAAUUAUGUGUCAAGUAAUACCAUAUUAAAUCACACUAAAGAUACUUCAGAGAACAUUCAACAUAUGAUCAUAAUAGAGAUAUUUACAUAAUAAAUCCUAAAAAAUAUAUAUAAAAAUGGAAUUUCAUCAUAAAAAAAUUUGAAUAAUAUUUCCUGUGUCUAGAUUACAACCCAAAAGGCCAAAUUAAUUAAUUAUGCAUCAUUCAAUACUAACUUUCAUUUUACUUUUACUUUUACUACCAAAUGCAUAAGCUAAAUACCAUCCCAAAUAAAAGUAAAGAAAUAAAACACACUCAAAUUGCAAUGGAUCGAAGUCAUAGAAGGUAUGAUUAUAAAAGAAGAUGGAAAACAACUCUUAAGAGGAAUGGUGAUAAGCUUUUUAAAAGCAUGUAUCAUGGGGGAAAAAUGAAAUAUUGAAUUAAUAAAAUUUGAUUCAAAGUGAAGAUAACUAGAAAAUAUGUCAAAUUCCUAAUUGAUACAUAUUAUAUUUUUAAAGAAUAUUAUAUAAAAUAUUUCCUUAAGUUGAUAUGUUAUUAUAAUAUUAGAUUUUUUUUAUAAAAUAAAGAAAAUUAUUAUAAAUAUUUUAAUAAAUAUUAUAGGUCAUCAAAUGAGAAAGUUACAAGAUGAAGACCAAUAUAAUAUAUUUUAUGACCAAUAAUUAUAUCUAAUUUCUAUCUUUUAUAGUAUUUUUUUAAAGUAUAGAUAAAAUAUUCUAUUUCAUUUGUAGAUUGACACGAUUGGUCUAAUUAGGUAAAAACCCUAUGUAACUUUGCACAUAGAUUGUUUGUUUAAUUUCGUAUUUCGAUAUUAAUAUGUUUGUAUUAAAACUUUACUGAUAUAGUACCGGUCAUCAGUGCAACCACCAUUUCUCUCAUGACAAAAAUAGUGAGGAAAAAGACUUGGGAUAUGUGUUUGUAAAUGAACUCCUUUGCAUGGUGGAGUGCAUAGAAAGGUUGAGGCAUACAAUAAAUGUAGAUGUGGAGAGCAUCAUGGCGAGGAGUAAUGGGCACAACAAAUACUUUAAAUGUUGUCAUGUGGAUUUCUUUGACAUAAACUAUUUUAAUGACACAACAAUUAUAAGUGAAUGUUUAUAAAUUUUACUUUUUGAUUGAUUUAAUUAUAUGUGGGUAUAAUUUUAAAUACCUAUUAUUAAUUAAAAGGGUAGUUCCAACUACCUACUACUCUCUAUUUUGGCAUAGUACAAUGGAUUUAAUGCUAUUUUGUACAAGUAUUAAUCUAUAAAACUAAAGCCAAGACAACAUAAAAAAUAUUUUGUAAAAAAAGUUUCAAUCAAAGUGGUAGAUGUUUGUGUCUUAAAGCCCAACCAACUUUGUUGUCAGAGUUAAAAGUCCUGUCAAUUUUGUUGUUGGAGUUAAAAGCCCUACCAACUUUGUUGUUGGAGUUAAAAGCCCAAUCAACUUUGUUGUCUGAGUUAAAAUGAGUAGUUGGAAGUAGAUCAUAACUAACAUAAUUACUUAUGUCGAGUAAGGAUGAAAAUAUUGGUAAUCACAUAUAUAAUAAUAUUUUAAUUUUACAGAUGUAUUGAAAAUAUAUCGGUGACACAAAAUAUUGGUGGACCUAAAAUUGAUUAGAAUUUAUAGAAAUAUAUAUAUAAAAAAAAAAUCUUAGAAAUGAAACUAGAAAUAUGAUAGACAUUUUAAAGUUGUUUUGUUGAAAAAAUUGAUAUUUGUAUAAUAUAAUUUAUCAUAUUUGAUAAUUACAUUGUAUACGUCAAUAAAAAAAUAUAAAUUUUAUAAGUAUAUAUUUAUUAUUAAAUUAUAUCAAAUAUUAUUGGAUAAUAAUAUUGUGAUAUUUGAUUAUAAUAUGUCUAAUUUUAAAAUAUAUUUAAUAUUAAAAUUAUAAUCCAUUUAAUUCAAUUGUAUUAAAUGAUAUAAAAUAAAUGAUGAUAUAUGUAUAAUUUUUUUGAAUGAAUAUAAAAACAAAUAAAAUUUAGUUUUUAAGGUAUAAAUUAGCCAAAAAUUUCAUUAUAUGCAUAUAUUUAUUAUUCAAUUAUAAAGAUGACAUUCCAAAUUAUUUUAUUUUAUUUAUAAUUAAUGAAUCAGUUUUUUGAAUUUCAAAUUAUUCUUAAAAAUUACAAGAUGUAUUAAAGAAAUAUAUAUAUAUAUAUAUAUAUAUAUAUAUAUUCAAGUUUUAAAUUAUUUUUUAACAUUAUUAAACUUAUUAAUAAGGUCUUACUUCGUUUGAAAUUCAUUUUCUCUAAUACAAAAAUCAGAAGAAUAAUUUUCUAUUUUACUUUGUUUUAAAAAAUUGUUUUUAAAGAAUAACAACCAAAUAGUGAUAUAAAUUUUUUUAAAACAAUUUUUUUAAAAAAUCACACGCCCAUAUAGGUUUUUAUUAUUUGGAAAAAAUCAAGGAUAUUUUUAAAAUGAAUAUAAAAAAUUAUUUCAAACUAUGUACAAUGUGACAUUUUUUUUAAAUAAAUAUAAAAAUAAAAAAUUAUUUUAAACCAUAAGUAUGGAUAUCAUUGAAAAUUUAUUUAUUUUUUCAUUUUUAUUCCCAUUUUUACUUAAAAUUCAAAUGGAAACAAAUUAUCUUUUUUAUCUUACAUUUCUAUAUGCAUUCAAAUAAAAUAAUUAAAAUUAUCAAAUUUAUUCCUAUUUAAAAAAAUAAAAAUAAAAAUGAAAUAUUUAUUCUCAUAUUCGUAUCAAACUUGCUCUAAUAUAUAAAAUAACUGGCAAGGGGAUAGAAGAAGCUGCCGAGGAUACAACUAAAGGUGAGAAUUGGGAGUCCAAAGGAAUGUGGCAGUACAGCAUACAGGCCCGUCAUGAAUGCUACCACCAUUGCUUCCAUCCCAAACAUGGUGAGAUAAGAGGCACAUAAAAACAAGAGUAGCCAUAUCGUCCUACUAAGUUCAACUACCAGUGCCAUAAGAAAAUAAAAGAAUACAGCAGAUACCGAGAGCAUCAGGGCUAUGGUAUCCGACACAACAAAUGUUUGAAAGAUGCUUUCUUUGUUAAGAUUGCCAUCCCAUCUGUGUCGCUGUAACCACCGGGCCAGGUGAAGCCUGCCGCAAAGGCUACUGUGCCCCAUGAAAAUUUAUUCCGAGAAGAAAUAAAAUUGUCAGAAAAGUUCAACUUUCUUUUGUUCCUUUCCAUCUUAUCCACCGUUUUGUCCAAUAUGAAUUCUACAUCAUUAACUCCGAAAGAAGCAAGCAGGUGGAGGGGUGUGUCUCCUUGAGCAUCUUUCUCAUUUACAAGUCCUCUCACUCUUAAUCCAUCCUUUAUUAAUAACUCACUACCAAAACGAGAAGCGUGCUUCUUCAUCAUGGCGAAGUGAAAAACAUUAUUGCCAUUUUCAUCAACCUGCUCACAACAAUCUGGAGCGUGUGACAGCAGCUACUUUACUAUGUCCAUACAGCCAUAGUAACUUGCAAUGUGAAGGGCUGUUCUGUUGCUAUUUUUUAUUCCAAGGUAGAUUACAGACUUGUCUUGUGAUGAUCCGUCUAGUAAUUGCUUGGUAAUUGCGGCAUCACGUAUGUAUGCAGCACAAUGAAGCGGAGACCAGCCAUUUUCAUCCACUUCUUUGAUUAGCAUUGGCUUCCAUUCUAGUAUCUUCUUUGUCAUUGCUGAUCAAAUAAAUAAAUGUAGAAAGAGAGGUCAAGGAAUGUUAAAGAAAAUUAAUUAUAAAAUGAAUAACCUAAUGCAUUACUAUAGACCCUUAUAUGCGCUACCUUGGUGACGGCAGAGUACAGCGGCAUGCAAAACUGUUCUACCCUCGAUGCCUUUGUGAUCUGAUGAAGGGCUGGUGUUUAUGAUUAUUUUCACCAAGUCCCCAUAUCCUUUCUCGGCAGCCAUGUAAAGAGGAGUGUAGCCUAUACUGUUAGCACCAUAGAUGAAGUGAGGGUCUGCCUCAAUCAAAAACUUGACCACUUUUGAGUGAUGAUACCGCACCGCCUCAUGCAAGGCUGUGUCUUUCCCCUUAUUGGUCAUCCUCAGCAUCGCUUUGUCUGUUCCGACCCCACUUUCGAUCUCUAAGUGAAGUGCUUUUGCAUCAAGGAGAGCUUCCACAACCGCCCUAUGGCCUUCUCUCGCAGCAAGGUGAAGUGGAGUGGAGUGUCGCCUUUCAGAUUGAGCUGCUGCAGUAGAGGUGAACAUGAAUGAAAUUCAAGGAUCCACUCUACGCAUGCCAGCUGACCGAACUGGGCUGCAAUGUGGAGGACAGUGUUCCUUUUUGGGGUUAGUUGGGGUUGAAGAUGAGCAAAUUCCGAGUACUUCCCUUUGAGGAAACUGAUUCACCUCUAUACAAAGUCUUGUACAAAUCAGCAUCCAUGUGGGGGAUCUCAGUUUGGCUAACAGCUGCAAUCUGGUUCGGCAUCUCAGUUUGCCUUGAAAAGGUUACCGAGUUAAGGUUCUUCGAUUCUGUAAUUUGAUUGGAGCUGGACUGAUCCAUUAUUGGUGUUGGAGGAACAAAGUAAUAAUCAACUCUUCACAGUCUAUCUAUCCAUCUAUCUAUAUAUAUAUAUAUAUUUAUAUUUAUAUUUUGUGAGCAAUUCCCUUCAAGCUUUGACCUUAAUUGAAAGAUAUUUUAUGCCCUAUCCCUUCAAGCUUUUGCCCUUAAUUGAGAGAUAUUUUAUGUAGAGCAUAUGUGGUAAGGGCUUUUGUAAGUUGUUUGCCCGCAUAUAUUUUUCUCUUUCUUUCUUAUGAGGUUUUUCUGUCUUUUCUGACAGCUCCCGUUUUUAUUUACUUGGUGAGAUUUUUAUGAAAGGGUUGUGAAGCCACUGCAAAACGGGUAGACUACUUUAGGCAACAGCAAUAGAAGAUGCUCGUGGAAAAUGAUGAAGAAAAGCUUAUCCCUAGGAACUUAAUUUUGAAAAAUAAUGUAUAUUUUUGGUGGUUUAAGCAGGUAAUAAUAAAUCCUCUCAAGAAAGACAUUAUAAUAUUUAAUGAAUUUGAAAUAAUAUAUCAUUUUGGAUUAUUAUAAAUAUUUAUGGUUAUGGAAUUUAUAAUCAUUAUAAUUCUUUCAAUGGAAUUUGACAUAUGUCAUUUAUGGCUAAGAGUGUGUUAGUUGAUCAUAAUAUAGGUGGAUGAAAGACUCAAGAAUUGGAGAUUGAUAGCUACUACCUUGUUGAAUCGUGGACAUCAAUUUAUAAAGGCCUUGCAUGAAAUGAAUAAUAGGUUAUAAACACGAGAAAUUAAUUAAUUAAGGUUAUUGGUGGUUUAAGCAAGUAAUAAUAGAUACUCUUAAUAGAUACCAUAAUAUAUCAUGAGUUUAAGAUAAUAUCUCUCAUUAAGUGAUCUUAAACAUUUAUGAUUAUGAAAUUUAUGGUCAUUAUAAUUUUUUCAAUUGAAUUUGAUAUAUGUCAUUUGCGGUUAAGGGUAUGUUGGUUGGUCAUGAUAUAGGCAUAUGGAAGACUCAAGAAUUGGAGAGAGAUUGAUAGCAUGUCUUCAAAUCAAAUGAUAAAAGAAAAAACUAAAGAUUUGAAAGAAAUUGUGGAUUACAAAGUUAUCGAUUUUUUAAUUUGUAAAAAGUUAUAAUUUACAAAAAAAGAAAAGAAAAAAUUCUAUUAUGAAAGGGUCCAUAUAUAUAAAAUAUUUAUAAAAUAUAAUUUCGAUAUAUUCUAAAAAAUUUUAAAAUGAUUGACCUUUGGGUCAUUUAAAAUUUGUGUGCCUAUUCAUAGAAGUAUUUAAUGAAAUAUUGCUUAAUUUAUUGAAAUCUAAAUUGUAUCAUUAAUGUGGACACAUGUACAAUAGCCAUUAAUUAUAAUAAAAUGACAUAACUAAAUAAAAUAUAAGAUGAUGAUUUUAAAGACUUAGGCAUGGUAUCUGAUAAGAGUUAAUACUUGAUACAUAAUUAUUAUACGUGACUUUAAGUAAACUUAUGUUUAAACCAUCAAUUUAAAACUUAUUAUAAAGUUAUAUUAUCAAAUUAACACAUUUACCUUCAUCAAUACUAAAAAUGGGAUUAAGAAACACAAAAAUAAAGAGACAUAUUAAUGUUAUUUUAGGUUGAAUUAUAUAUACUUAUUUAUUAUUUAGUUAUUUAAAAAUAAAUUUAUUACUUCACAUUAAUAAUAAUAAAUACUUCAUUAAGUCAUCUUUAUUUUUUUAAUUAUUAUUUUUAAAUGGUAAAUUAAUUUACUUUUAUAUUUUAAAAUCUAUAAAAUUAAUUAUUAUAUUUCUUUUUAUUUUAUUCAUUUAAGAUAAAAAAAAAUAGUUAAAAUUAAUAAUUUGAAAAAGGAAUAGCAAUGUAAUAAAUUUCCAAACAUCAAAAUUAAUUAACAUAAUAAAAAAUUUCCAUUUUGAGUAAUAGCUCAUGAGAAAAUUUUAUAUUACAAUUUCUUAAGAAUUAAGAGAAACUAUAAUUAAAAACAAAGUCCAUUCAAACUAAAUAAAUCAAAAUUUUAAAUUUAUUUUUAAGACAACAAUUAUCAAAGUUUUGAAAAUAAAAAUAAAUUGAAUUAAAUAAUAUAGAAAGAAAAAAUAAAUAAAUAACUAAACAAAUAGAUGUAAUGUAUGAUAUUAAUGGGUAAUUAAUUAUUCAUGGGUGGCACCCAUUUUAGGGCUUACAUCAUAUGCAUCUUCUUAAGGAUUAUAUUUCAAGUCAUGCUUUCAGAUAGAGUGAUAUUUAAAAUGGAUUAUUAAGAGUCCAUUUGGCUGUGAUUUUAAAAUUUUUAUCAUUCAAAUGGUAAAAAAGUUAAAAACAUUUUCUAUAAUCACUAUCAUACAUAUUAGCUCAAGGGUUCUCCUAUUUAGGUUUUGAUGAUAACAAAAUAUAGUUAAAUUACUAAUUGGUUUGAAUUGUAAAGAAUCUCAUGUAUUAAUUUAGAAAUUCAUCAAAUGACCUAAUGGAUACAAAAUCAAGACAUUUGGAAAACCUUUAAUCAUAGGAAAUAAAUGUAAGAUGAAUACAUGAGUGCGUUUUACACAUGAUUUCAUGCAUAUUUGGAAAACUCAAUUUAUUCUUUAAAGUUACAAUUUCAUUAAAACCCGAGUUUUCUCAAAUGUACCUUAGGCAAAACAUUUCAAAAUUGGCAUAUUAAUUUACCUAAAGACCUUGCCUAAGUGUUAGAAGAGAAAAUAACAGAAAAAUAUAGGUUUUCGAAGCCAAAAUGUUGAAUCGGUCAAGGCACUGGGCCAAAUGGCUCAAUUGACUAGGGUAUCAAUUGACUGGUUCCCCUUGCCCAGUUGAGAUCCAGUCGAGGAGUGUUACAAACACUCUCUCUCUCCUAGUAGCCUUUCCUUCCUGGUCGAGGUAUCAUUUUUCCCGAUCGACCUCUGAUCGAGGUCUAGUCGAAAUUCGAUCGAAGAAACGGUAACCUGCCACAUCAUUAAAUGCUCCAAUGGCUAGUGAUCCGGUUGACCCCCGCUCGAUCGGUUGAGGCUGCUUUUUAUUUUUCUUGGCUCCUGAGGUUAAAAACCUAUAAAUAGAGAGCUCCACUUUAUUUAUGAGUAAGAGAACAUCUGCAUUUAUUUGUCUACCCACUUGUUCUUGCCUUCAAAGCUCUUAUUUCUUUCUUGGUGCAUUAAAUCUUCACUUGCAUAUCCUUUAGUGCACCUUUGUGAUUCAUCCUAGCUCUGAUUUGUAUUUGAGCUAUCAUUGAACUAGGUUGAGGGAUUCUUUCUUGUAAAAUUGACUGUUAAAACCUUCAAGUGAGUUGAAUCUUGAAGAGAUUGUGUAAGAGCCCAUUAAAGCUGGAAUCUAAGUGUAAAGGAGAUUAGAAGUUUGGUUGAAGUUGUAAGUUAGUNNNNNNNNNNNNNNNNNNNNNNNNNNNNNNNNNNNNNNNNNNNNNNNNNNNNNNNNNNNNNNNNNNNNNNNNNNNNNNNNNNNNNNNNNNNNNNNNNNNGAAUGACGUAGCAGAAAGUGUCNACCACUAUAAAUCUGAGUUUAAUUUCUCUAACUCUAUCUCUUUAUAUUUGCUUCUAUUGUGCUUGAAUUUGUUGUGCUAAAAAAGAAUUUAAAAAACCCAAUUCACCUCCCCUCUUGGGUGUUUUUCUUAUUUAAGUUUAGCUUUUAUUUUCUUAAUUGGUAUUAGAUCUAGGCCUCUUGUUUAAGACUUAAUCGUCUAAAAGGAAAUGGUUAUUCCGUCAAACUCAUCUCACAUUGAAAGUUUUGCAAAAAAUAAAGCUCCAUUUUUUACGGGAACUGACUAUCCCUAUUGGAAAACUAAAAUGACUUAAUAUUUACAAUCAACCGAUUUAGAUGUAUGGGACGUCAUUGAAGAUGGCCCAACUUUUCUUUCAAAACUAGUUGAUGGAGUUAUGGUUCAAAAACCCAAGCAAGAAUGGAAUAAGCUUGAUAGAAGAAACUUUCGAUUAAAUGCUAAGGUCGUUUUCACUUUACAAUGCUAAAGAAUCGAAUGGAUAAAAAUGAAUAUAAUAGAAUAUGUCAAUGCAAAUCGGCUAAAGAAAUUUGGAGAUUGCUGGAAAUAACUCAUGAAGGAACAAAUCAAGUGAAAAAGUCAAAAAUCAAUUUACUUGUUCAUAGUUAUGAAUUUUUUUUAUGAAAGAAAAUGAAACUAUUGUUGAGAUGAUCACUAGGUUCACUAACAUUGUCAAUGGUCUUGAAAUAUUGGGAAAGACCUACAAGGAAUCCGAAAAGGUGAUGAAGAUCUUAAGGUCACUCCCAUCAAAGUGGCAUACAAAGGUCACCGCAAUUCAAGAAGCCAAAGACUUGACCAAGCUACCUAUGGAGGAGCUCAUAGGGUCAUUAAUGACAUAUGAGAUCAAUUUGGCAAAGAAGCUACAAGAAGGUGAAGACAAAAAGAAAAAAAGCAUAGCUCUCAAAGCUACAACUGAGGAAGAAGAAGAAGUUGAAGAAGAAAAACAAAGUGAAGAACAUGAUGAUUUAGCCCUCAUAACAAGAAAUCUCAACAAAUACAUGAAGGGUGAAAGGUUUAGAGGAAGAAAGUUCACCUCUAAAAGAGACCUUUCUAAAAAGGAAUCUUCAUCUCAUGGUGACAAGGAGAAAUGAGAAGAGAAAAGAGAUUUGGUGUGUUUCAAAUGUAAGAAACCGGAACACAUUAAAUAAGAUUGUUCUCUCUACAAAAGUGAAGCCAAAAGGAGAAUGAAGAAGGCAAUGAUGGCCACUUGGAGUGAAAGUGAAGAAUCCUCCAAAGAAUAAAAGGAGAAAAAAGUGGCAAACAUGUGCUUCAUGGCAAUAGAUGAACUUGAUGAGGUAAACUCUAACUUUAGUGAUGAAGAUAUGCAUGAUGUUUUUGAAUAAUUGUAUGAGGAUUUUGAAAAACUUAGUUUGAAAAAUAUUUCUCUUAAAACAAAAAUUCAACAACUUGAAAAAGAACUUGGAGAAAUAAAAGAAAAAUUUUCAAAUGUUGAAAUUUAUAAAACUCAUCUUGAAAAAAAAAAUGAGAUUUUGAGAAAGAAAAAUAAAUGGUUGACCUCCUCUCUUUCAAUAUUUUCUUGUAGACAAAAAUAUUUUGAAAUGAUUCUAGCUAGCCAAAAAUGUGUUUUUGACAAACAAUGGGUAGGAUUCAAAUCUUCAAAAAAUCAAAAGUAUUUUAAAAACUAUUUUGUAAAAGAAUCCACAAGUGCAAGUCCUUCCACUACUUGCGACUUUUGUGGAAGAGGAGGGCACAUUAGUAGUACAUGUCCUUUAAGAAAUGGUUCUCAAAAUUAUUCAAAUGCAAAAGCUAAAAAGGUUUGGAAUGAAAAAUCCAAGGCCACUAAUCCUCAAGGACCCAAAAAGACAUGGGUACCUAAAUCAACUUGAGUUUUAUAUUGUAGGGUUCAAAGAAUGAUAAGUGGUUCUUAGAUAAUGAAUGCUCAAGACACAUGACCGGAGAUGAAUCCAAGUUUGAUUUCCUUACAAAGAAAAAUGGAGGAUAUGUUAACUUUGGAGACAAUGCAAAGGGAAGAAUCAUUGGUUAAGGCAACAUUGGUAAUAACACAUCCUCUCUUAUUGAAAGUGUUUUAUUAGUAGAUGGUUUAAAACAUAACCUUUUAAGCAUUAGUCAACUUUGUGACAAAGGUUUUAAAGUGAUUUUUGAAACAUCUUAUUGCAUCAUCAAGGAUAUUCAAAAUGAUAAAACCAUCUUCAUGGGCCAUAGAUGUGAUAAUGUUUACGCUAUAAAUAUUUCAAAAUAUGAUGGCCAUGAUAGAUGCUUUUAAAACAUGCAUGAUCAAAGUUGGUUGUGGCAUAGGAGGUUUGGACAUGCUAACAUGGACCUCGUUUCCCAACUCAACAAAGAUGAACUUGUUAGAGGCCUUUCCAAAAUAAAUUUUCAAAAAGACACAGUUUGUGAAGCUUGUCAAAUGGGAAAGCAAAUAAAAAACUCUUUCAAAAACAAAAACUUCAUUUCCACAUCUAGGCCACUUGAGUUGUUGCAUAUGAAUUUAUUUGGUCCCUCUAGGACACCAAGUCUUGGAGGAAAGUCUUAUGCAUAUGUUAUUGUGGAUGACUUCUCGAGAUACACAUGGGUCUUAUUUUUAGGUAAAAAGAAUGAAGCCUUUUAUGAAUUUUCAAAGUUUUGCAAUAAGGUUCAAAAUGAAAAAGGUUUUACAAUUACUUGUAUAAGAAGUGAUCAUGGGAGAGAAUUUGAAAAUAUUGAUUUUGAAUAGUAUUGUAAUGAGCAUGGAAUUAACCACAAUUUUUCGACUCUUAGAACUCCUCAACAAAAUGGGGUAGUUAAAAGAAAAAAUAGAACUCUUCAAGAAAUGGCUAGAACCAUGCUAAAUGAAAACAAUUUGCCAAAUGUUUUUGGGUCGAAGUGGUUAACACUUUUUGUUAUGUUUUAAAUCGGAUGUUGGAAUUAACCACAAUUUUUCGGCUCCUAGAACUCCUCAACAAAAUGGGGUAGUUGAAAGAAAAAAUAGAACUCUUCAAGAAAUGGAUAGAACCAUGCUAAAUGAAAACAAUUUACCAAAAUAUUUUUGGAUCGAAACGAUUAACACUUUUUGUUAUGUAUUAAAUAGAAUAUUAUUGAGGCCCAUUCUUAAGAAAACUCCCUAUGAGCUUUGGAAAAACAAGAAACCCAACAUUAGCUAUUUCAAAGUCUUUGGGUACAAAUGUUUUAUAUUAAACACCAAAGACAAUCUUGGAAAAUUUGAUGCAAAAUCGGAUGUUGGAAUUUUCCUUGGUUACUCAACUUAAAGUAAAGCUUUUAGAGUUUUUAACAAAAGAACCAUGGUUGUAGAGGAGUUCAUCCAUGUUAUUUUUUAUGAAUCUAACAAUUCUCUCCAAGAAAGAGAGAGUUUUGAUGAUAUUUAGGUUUGGAGACCUCCAUGGGAAGAUUGCAAAUUGAAAAUAGAAGGCAAGAAGAAGUAAUUGGAGAGGAUCCCAAGAAAGAAGAAUCACCAUUGGCACUACCCCCUCCGUAACAAGUGAAAGGUGAAUCAAUCCAAGACCUUCCUAAAGAUUGGAAGUUUGUCAUCAAUCACCCAUAAGAUCAAAUUAUAGGUAAUCCAUCUAGUGGGGUAAGAACUAGAUCAUCUCUUAGAAACAUUUGCAAUAAUCUUGCUUUUAUCUCUCAAAUUGAGCCUAAAAAUAUAAAUGAUACUUUAGAUGAUGAAAAUUGGAUGAUUGUUAUGCAAGAAGGGUUAAAUCAAUUUGAAAGAAGUGAAGUAUGAGAAUUAGUACCAAGACCUUCAAAUCAAACUGUUAUUGGAACUAAAUGGGUCUUUAGAAAUAAAAUGAAUGAAAAUGACAUAAUUGUUAGAAAUAAAGCAAGAUUGGUAGCCCAAGGUUUUAAUCAAGAAGAAGGGAUAGAUUAUGAAGAAACCUUUGCCCCCGUAGCUAGGUUGGAAGCCAUUAGAAUGUUACUUGCCUUUGCAUGUUUUAAAGAAUUUGUUUUAUAUCAAAUGGAUGUGAAAAGUGCUUUUUAAAAUGGCUUUAUAAAUGAAGAAGUAUAUGUUGAACAAUCACCCGAUUUUCAAAGUUUUAACUUUCCUAACCAUGUUUUUAAACUUAAGAAGACACUUUAUGGUUUGAAACAGACACCUAGAGCAUGGUAUGAAAGAUUGAGUAAAUUUCUUUUGAAAAAAUGUUUUUAAAUGGGAAAAAUUAACACAACUCUUUUCAUAAAAACCAAAGAAAAUGAAAUGCUCUUAGUUCAAAUAUAUGUUAAUGAUAUUAUUUUUGGUACUACUAAUGUCUCUCUUUGUGAAGAAUUUUCUAAGUGCAUGCAUAGUGAGUUUGAAAUGAGCAUGAUGGGAGAACUCAACUUCUUCCUUGGACUUCAAAUCAAGUAACUAAAGAAAGGAACCUUCAUCAAUCAAGCAAAGUAUAUAAGAGAUCUUCUCAAAAGGUUCAACAUGGAAGAAGCCAAAAUAAUGAAGACUCCAAUGAGUUCAUCCAUCAAGCUUGAUAAGAAUGAAAAAGGUAAAUCCAUUGACUCUACCAUGUAUAAAGGCAUGAUAGGUUCUUUGCUAUAUUUGACCGCUAGUAGACCCGACAUUAUGUAUAGUGUUUGCUUAUGUCCUAUAUUUCAAUCUUGUCCUAAAGAAUCUCACUUAAGUGCCCUAAAAAGAAUUCUCAGAUAUUUGAAAGGAACAAUGGACAUAGGCUUAUGGUAUCCUAAGAGUGAUAACUUUGAAUUAAUUGGUUUUUCGGAUGCCCAUUUUUUCGAUUAUUACUUUUUGAUUGAUCUAAUUAUGUGUGGAUAUAAUUUUAAAUGCCUAUUAUUAAUUAAAAGGUAGUUCCAACUACCUACUAUUCUCUAUUUUGACAUAGUACAAUGGAUUCAAUGCCAUUUUGUAUGAGUAUUAAUCUAUGAAAUUAAAGUGAAGGCGUAAAAGAUAAUUUUAAGAUUUUUUUCUUAGCAUAAAGGAAAGUUCUCUGUCCAAAUACGAUUUGGAUUUUCUCUUUCUUUCUGACAUAGAUAAGAGCAGUCUAUAAAAGUGUCAAAAUUAGACUAAUCUGUUCUUAGUUUAGGGAUAAUAUCUGAACCCACACUACAUAUUUUCUACAACAAUAGUGGCUCGCAUCAAGGCCUGGCAGAGGAUGAAAUUUGUAGAUGGGUUAGGCAGGGGGCCCAAUGUGAUUGGGUCGUAUUUAGGGCGGGCCAGGCCUGAUCUAAGUGUGAAUGCUAUUAUAUGGAUUUUGAAAGGCCAAGGCUGAGCCCAGCCCCCAAAUGUGCAGGCUUGGUAGAUCAACCUGGUUAAGCAAAAGCAAGAUGAGUUUGGAAUCCGACGGGGAAAAGGGCAGCAAUGGUAGGGCCCACUUUCCUUUGAAACCUUGUUCAGUCGUCCGUCCCCACUCCUUUGAUUGCGUACGACAAACCACCCAUGGGCUUGCGUUUUUAUUUUUAUUUAUUAGUUCAUUUUUUUUAUAUCUUUAAUUUGUUUCUUAAUUAAUUCAAAUGUUUUAAUAAAGUUUACAAGAUCCACUAAUGGAACAUCAUGACACACUUUCAUGUAAAUUAAUAAUUUCACUCCCAUAAAGAAAAUGAGAUCUUGCCCAUUGCAAAUAAAUCAAUUAGCAUAAAUAUAUCAUUAUUAAUUAAUUUUUUAUAUUAUUAAUUACAUUUAAAAUAGAAAAAAUACAUCAUCUAUUUCUAAGUAUAAUGCAUUACUAUUUGAUAUCAUAAAUUUUAUCUUCAUAAAAUCCAAUAAUUAAUAUUUACCAAUUUAUGACAUUUUGAUCAUAUAAUUUAUCAAUUAUUGAAAUCAAACAUAUUUAAAAAUAUUUACAAAGUAAUCCUUUGUUUGAAAAAAUUUAAAAUGAUGUAUAAAAUUUUCAAAAUGAAACAUUUUUAUUUUUUAUAAAGUGUGAAUGUAAAAAUUAUUUAUAUAUUUAUAAUAUCAAUUAGUUAAAUAAAAUACUCAACUUUAAAAAACAAAACCAAUUAUUAUUAUCUUCUAUUGAAUUUUUUUAUUUUUAUCAUUUUUUCAUUAAUCGAGAGGAGUUACAAAAAAAAUUCAAUUAAAAAAACCCAACUUUUAAACAUGUUUUUAUUUUAUUUUUUUUCUUAACUUAACCAAAUAUAUUUUUUAGGUUUUUAAGAACAAAAUUGUUUCUUAAAAUUCAGUUUUUAAACGUAAUUUUAUUUUUAAAAAUAUAAAAAACUAUUCUUAAAAACUAUUUUCCAAAACAAUUUUUUCUAAUUAGGUUUUUGCAAUAGUGAUGAAGGACAACGCAGUUGAAGGAUCCCUUUGACUUGGGCCGCAACAUGGAUUACUGUGUUCUUUUUUGGGGUUAGUUGGACUUGAAUAUCAUAUUGCUCUAAGUACAUGGGUGUCACCUGUUAAGAUAUGGACUCACAUAUCUAACAAUAGUUCGUGAUUAUGCUAUUCACCCUUAUAUGUGUAUUUGUUUUUUGUUCGUUCUAAGUAUGGGCCAUCUCAUGUGUAGAGCCCAAUACUAUAUGUGUCUCAAAUGAUGGACCUAAGACACAUAUGGCCCAAUCUUAGUUUACCCGAAAUGGUCUCUAAGGCAGGAGGGUAUAUAAAGGGUAAGUGUCAAGUCUUAAAGAACACAUCUUUUGAAAUAAAAAAAAUGACAGUACCCAUUCUCUCAAGCUCCCAUCGUUAGAGAGAAAACUAGAAAGAGGUGGUGCCCACCAUAGCCUUAGAAGAUCCAUACCGUCUUCAAAUGCACAAUGGACUCAGGUUAGUUUGGAUUGUAGCAUUCCGCAAAACAUUUCAGGCAUAAUUUCUUUGUAUGAUUUAACAUGAGAUUCCUGGUAGAGUACAAUUGAAUCAUUAAGAAAUGACAUAUUAGGGCAAUAACAAUUGUACUGGUUUUGUUUUUCUAUUCAAAUGGACUCAGACGUCAUACCAGGCGUCAUUUGUAGCGCCAUUGGAAGUGUGUUUCAUGCACUUCAGGCGCAUUUUGAGGCACCCGCCCAGACGCCGUCCCAGGCGGCGUUCAGACACCGUUCAGGGUGCCACUUUGGCGCAGUUCAGGGUGCCACUUUGGCGCAGUUCAGGGCGUUGCUCUAGGCGACGUUUUUAGGACACCAUUUCAGGCGCUCUAGACCAUAUCUCCAAGUCACGACAUUGCGCCGAUUUUUUUGGGGUUGCCGGGUACGCCGUUGUUGCUGGCGUUCCAGGUGCCGUUUCAGCGCCGUGGGUGACGUUGUUUCUUAACGACGCUGUUACAGCGUCUUUCCUGUGUAGGCGUUGGCUGCAACUGCAAAGAGAGGCGCAUUGGAGCGCCAUUGGAGGCACGUUGGAGUGCCAUUGGAGGUGCGUUGGCCUUGCGCCGCUGCUGCAGGCGUCACUAGAGGACUGUUGUCGGUGCUGUGGCUGCAAACGAACCAAGGUCGUUUGGGGCUGCAGCAAACCCUAAAAAAAAAAAAAAAGGAAGGAAAAACCACCAAUAGGGCUCGAACCCACGACCACAAGAUUGAAAACCUUGUGCUCGACCAACUAGGCUAUGGGACUCUUAUGUUCAUUUAUGAAUUUUGUACUAUAAUAAAAUUAAGGUUUUGAUGAAUUGUUGUACUCUUUUACUAGAAUUUAUUAUUUCUUGUUACGUUUAUGUUUAACAUUUCAAAAUGAAUAGGUUAUCUAUAUAUUUGUUACCAAAGUGACUUAUAUUAUAUAAUUUUAUUCAUUUUGAAGUACAAGACAUGUUAUUAUUGUAUAAAAUAAUCGACCCAAAGGAAGAUUAUUUUUUAUAUGAUAAUAAAUAAAGAAGUCAUAAAUAUGUGACAUAUAAUGUUUAUCCUGCAUUCGAUAUGUUAGUCCAAAGACAGACAUAUUGUUUUCAAUUUUAUUGUCAAUAUUUAUGAAUUAAUUUUGAAUAAUAAUACCAAUUACAAGUUAAUAUUUAUUGUCCAAAAACAGAAUAUUAAUGUUUGUGCUAGGUAUCUUGUAUAAUGUUAUUUUUCAUGUAUGUAUGAUGCUUAUGUGAUUGAUUGUGAGCUUUAUUAUUAUGAAUUCAACAUAUUCUAUAUUUGCAAAUGUCAAUAACAUUCCUGUGCUUAAUGGCACAAACUUCAAGAAAUGGAAGGAGCAUGUUAUAAUUGUGAUCGGGUGCAUGGAUUUAGACUUUGCAUUAAGAGAGGAUCGCCCUUCAGAUCUUACUAGUGCUAGCACUGCUGAGCAAAGGUCUACUAUGGAAAAAUGGGAACAAUCCAAUCGCAUGAGUCUAAUGAUAAUGAAGCACUCAAUUCCAUAAGCUAUAAGGGGUGCAAUACCUGAGGAAACCCAAGCCAAGGCAUUCUUAGACCAAAUAGUAAACUGAUUCGCUGCAAACGAAAAGGUUGAGACAAGCACUAUUCUUAGUAAGCUUGUCUCUAUGCAGUACAAAGGGAAAGAGAAUAUAAGGGAGUACAUUAUGGAAAUGUCUAAUCUUGUGACGACACUCAAGGCCCUAAAGUUAGAGUUGUCAGAAGACAUACUCGUGCACUUGGUCUUGAUCUCUCUACCUACACAAUUCAGUCCAUUCAAAAUCAGUUACAACACACAAAAGGAAAAAAUGGAUUUUGAAUGAGCUUAUUGCUCAAUGUGUACAAGAGGAGGAGAGAUUGAAACAAGAAAAGAUAGAAAGUGCUCACUUGGCUUCCACAUCUCAGGGAUUUGGUACUAGUAAGAAAAGAAAUAAGAACAAUAAAGGAAAACAAACUACAGUUUCUGGGACAUCAAAGCAAAAUGAGCAAAAAAAACAAGAUAAGGAGAUCACUUGUUUCUUUUACAAGAAGGCUGGUCAUAUGAAGACAUGUACAAAAUACGCUACUUGGCAUGAAAAGAAAGGUACACUUCUCAACUUUGUUUGUUCAAAAAUAAAUUUAAGCAUAGUGCCUACUGACACUUGGGGGAUAGAUACGGGUGCAACUACUCACAUAAGUGUCACUAUGCAGGGUUGCCUAAGGAGCCGAAUGCCAACUGACUAUGAAAGAUACAUCUAUGUGGGAAAUGGCAACAAGGCUGCAGUCAAGGCUAUUGGUAUUUUCAAAUUACAGUUAGACUCUGGAUGUAUUUUGGAUUUGGAAGAGACUUUUGUAGUACCGUCAUUUAGACAGAAUUUAAUUUCUGUUUCAUGUUUGGACAAAUUUGGAUAUUGUUAUUCAUUUAGAAAUGGAAUGUUUAGUCUUUAUCUAAAUUCAAAUAUUAUUGGUACAGGUAGUCUAACAGACAAACUAUAUAAAUUGAACAUAAAGGCCACUAAUGGAAAUGAAACCUUGCAUUCAAGUAAUUAUGGCAUUAAGCGAAAAUUAACGAAUGAGAAUUCAUCAAUGUUAUGGCACAGGCGUUUGGGUCAUAUUUCAAAUCAACGAAUUCAAAAGCUUGUGUUAGAAGGAAUUCUUAAUCCACUUGAUUUCUCAGACUUUCAAGUCUGUAUAGAGUGCAUUAAGGGAAAACAAACAAAUAUGAGGAAAAAGAAUGCCAAUAGGUGUAGUGACAUCUUGGAAUUGAUACAUACAAACAUUUGUGGUCCAUUUCCUACCCCUUCUUGGAAUGGACAACAAUAUUUUAUCACUUUCAUUGACGAUUACUCGCGCUAUGGCUAUCUUUAUUUGAUUCAUGAGAAGUCUCAGUCAUUGGAUGUGUUCAAGAAUUUCAAAGCUAAAGUUGAGAACCAACUAAGCAAGAAAAUAAAAGUCGUUAGAUCUGACCAUGGAGAACAUUAUGGUAGAUAUGACGGAUCCGGAGAACAACGUCCAGGGCCAUUCACCAAAUAUUUGAUAGAGUGUGGUAUCGUUCCUCAGUACACCAUGUUAGGGACUCCAAGCCAAAAUGGUGUAGCAGAGAGGCCAAACCGUACUCUUAAGGAUAUGGUAAGAAGUAUGAUCAGUCAUUCCACCUUUCCAGAAUCACUUUGAGGAGAAGCCAUCAAAAUUGCAAUUUACAUUUUGAAUAGAGUACCAAGCAAAGCAGUAGCCAAAACCCCAUAUGAGUUAUGGACUAGCAAGAAACCUAGUAUUAGGAACUUGCAUGUCUGGGGUUGUCCAACUGAAGCUAGGUCUUACAAGCCAAAUGAAAAGAAAUUGGACUCCAAAACAGUGAGCUGCUACUUUGUAGGGUAUUCUGAAAGGUCGAGAGGUUACAAAUUUUAUGACCCCUCAACUAGAUCCUUCUUUGAAACGGGCAAUGCUAAGUUCAUUGAGGAUGUUGAGUUAAGUGGGAGAGAGCCAUUAAGAAAGGUGAUCUUUGAAGAUGAAUAUGUUAAUAUUCCUAUUAUUACGACUAGACAAGGUCAUAUUAUGUUUGAUGACACUAUUGAAAAUGUACAGUCGAUAACAGGGAUUCAAGACACCUGAGAUUCCUCCUACUCAAGUUAUGGAACUGAUUCAAGUUCAUCAAGAGGUAACUCAACAACCUCAAGAACCUCAAGUACAAGUUCCACUGAGGAGAUCCACUAGAGAAAGGAAAAGUACAAUUUUAGAUGAUUAUGCUGUAUAUCUCCAAGAACAUGAGUUUGACAUGGGUCUAGAAGACGAUCCAAUUUCAGUUAGUCAAGUCAAACAAAGUUCUGACUCUGAAAAGUGGAUAGAAGCCAUGAAGGAUGAGAUGAAAUCAAUGAAAGACAAUGGUGUUUGGGACCUAGUAGAGUUGCCUGAGGGUGUAAAAUCGAUUGGUUGUAAAUGGAUUUUUAAGACCAAGUGGGAUUCAAAAGGCAACAUUGUUAGGUAUAAGGCACGCCUAGUUGCAAAAGUUUUCACUCAAAAGGAAGACAUUGAUUAUAAGGAGACCUUUUCACCAGUUUCAUCAAAGGACUCCUUUAGAAUCAUCAUGACACUUGUAGCUCAUUAUGAUUUAGAGCUUCAUCAAAUGGACGUUAAAACUGUGUUUCUUAAUGGUAACAUUAAUGAGACAAUAUACAUGGUGCAACCGAAGAACUUUGAGUCUAAUAAUUCAAAGCAACUUGUAUGCAAAUUAAAAAAGUCCAUAUAUGGUUUAAAGCAAGCAUCCCGACAAUGGUACCGAAAUUUUGAUCAGGUGAUUACUUCAUUUGGUUUUAAAGAGAACACCAUUGAUCAAUGCAUAUACCUCAAGUUCAGUGGGAGCAAAUUCAUUAUCUUGGUUUUAUAUGUUGAUGAUAUUCUACUUGCAAGCAGUGAUGUGGGACUUUUGCAUGAAACCAAGCGAUUUUUGUCUAGUAAAUUUGACAUGAAGGAUCUUGGUAAUGCAUCUUUGGUGCUAGGUAUACAGAUCCAUAGGGAUCGUUCAAGAGGUAUACUUGGGUUAUCACAAAAGGCUUACAUCGAUAAGGUGUUGAGUAGAUUUGGCAUGAGCAAUUGUGCACCAGAAGACACGUCUGUAGCAAAAGGUGAUAAAUUCAGUUUACACCAAUGUCCAAAAAAUGAACUUGAGAAGAAGGAUAAGGUGUUGAGUAGAUUUGGCAUGAGCAAUUGUGCACCAGAAGACACGUCUGUAGCAAAAGGCGAUAAAUUCAGUUUGCACCAAUGUCCAAAAAAUGAACUUGAGAAGAAGGAUAUGGAAAGAUUUCCCUAUGCCUUGGCAGUAGGAAGUCUCAUGUAUGCACAAGUUUGUACGCGUCCGGAUAUUGCGUACAUUGUUGGAAUGUUAGGUAGAUAUUUAAGUAACCCAGGUAUGGAUCAUUGGAAAAAAGCAAAACGGGUUAUGCGGUAUUUACAAAGAACUAAAGAUUACAUGCUCACAUACCGUAGAUCAAGUCACUUAGAGAUCGUGGGAUAUUCAUACUCCAAUUUCGCAGGAUGUCUUGAUAGUAGGAAAUCCACUUCAGGCUACAUCUUCAUGUUAACUGGAGGAGCAGUUUCAUGGAAAAGUGUUAAACAAACACUUAUUGCUUCUUCCACCAUGGAGACAGAAUUCAUAGCCUGCUACGAAGCAUCAAACCAUGGGAUAUGGCUGCAGAAUUUUAUCACUCAGUUAUGAAUCGUUGAGGGGAUUGAGAAACCAUUGAGAAUCAACUGUGAUAAUAAGGCCGCAGAAUUAUAUUCUAAGAACAACCAAAGUUUGUCAAAGUCCAAACACAUUGACAUCAAGUUCUUGGUUGUGAAAGAAAGAGUUCAGAGUCUUCAAGUAUCGAUUGAACACAUAAGCACAAACUCCAUGAUUGCGGAUCCGCUCACUAAGGGUUUGCCACCCAAAGUAUAUCAUGAGCACGUUGCACAUAUGGGUGUUGUACACAUUGAUGAUGUGCCAGAAUAGUGGGAGUUUGUGUUUAUUUUCUUGAUGUGAUAUUAUGUUGUGUUAUCUGUACAGAUCUUGAUUUUAAAGACUAUUGUAUUUGAAUUCUCUGAAUUGAAAUGAUGACUUUCAGAAGCAGUUUAGUAUCAAGUAUUGAAAGUGGUAUUUGACUAUUUUUAGUCAUAAAGUAGGACCAAUAGGAAAUAGAUAUAUUAAAGAUCAUAUUCUAUGUAAUUUCCAUGCUACACAUCCAUACUUGAUCCAUGUUGCUAAUUUUGUAUAUGUUGUGAUUGAUGAUGGGUCUAGUUAUAAUUAUAAUUAACGAAGGCCGUUUUAAUCCUAUGUUAGCAUAAUUAAUAGACCGGAUUGCUAAGGAUAUUAAGAUAGAAUAGCAAGAUGAGCUCAAUAAAGUACUAUCAUGAACAUUGUUUUGUAAUAUAUGUGGUCCAAGUGGGAGAUUGUUAAGAUAUGGACUCACAUAUCUAACAAUAGUUCGUGAUUAUGCUAUUCACCCUUAUAUGUGUAUUUGUUUUCUGUUCAUUCUAAGUAUGGGUCAUCUCAUGUGUAGAGCCCGAUACCAUAUGUGUCUCAAAUGAUGGGCUUGAGACACAUAUGACCCAAUCUUAGUUUACCUGGAAUGGUCCCUAAGGCAGGAGGGUAUAUAAAGGGUAAGUGUCAAUUCUUAAAGAACACAUCUUUUGAAAUAAAAAAAAUGACAGUACCCGUUCUCUCAAGCUCCCAUCGUCAGAGAGAAAACUAGAAAGAGGUGGUGCCCUCCAUAGCCUUAGAAGAUCCAUACUGUCUUCAAACGCACAAUGGACUCAGGUUAGUUUGGAUUGUAGCAUUCCACAAAACCUUUCAAGCAUAAUUUCUUUGUAUGAUUUAACAUGAGAUUCCUGGUAGAGUUUCUUUUGUGUUAAUAAUGGUUAGGAAUUACAUCAUCGUCUGCUGUAGCCACGUACACUGUAGGAUUCAUGAAUGUGAUGUGGGUCAGGCUACCAUCUUCAACUGCAGCCUAGUUGGUGAUUUUCCUAGCAUCUUCAGCUCCAACCCGAUUGGACUCUCUGCUCAAGUUAAGGAUGGAAGUAGUGGGAUCAACCAUUGUUGUUUGAUUAGCAGUAUCUAUUCUAUAUUUUGCACCAAGGAUGGGAAACAAGUUGAUCAAUUGUUUAAUGGAAUGGGUGGCUCUUAGCUCAACCUUGGGAGAAGUUGAUACUUCUUAUAGCCUGCAGGCCAAAAUGUUGGACUGAUGACAAUUUCCCAUCUCAUUGGAUGGAUCCAUAUGCAUAAACAGUGCAAAGAAAUAUUUGGUCACAUUUUCAAUUUUUAACAAUCCCUUGUAUGAUCAAAGAAGUUCAUUGAAUUUUACCCAAGAAAAUAUAAGCAUUAUUCUAAUUAUGUAUUUUAUUUUCAUAAAUAUUAAAUAUAUUUGGUAGCUUCAUUGUUCUUAAAAAUUAUAAAUAGAAAAUUAUUUUUUCUAAUUGUGUUAAAAAUAAUAAAUACAAUAUUAAUUUUUAUAAUUAUUAUAUGUUAUAUUUUUUAUGAUUUCUUCAGUGGAUUUCAGUGACUUUUAAUGUCGAUAAGCAAGACAUACAUGAUGUUGGUUUAGUUGUAAAAAAACAAGAUGUGGUGAGUUUUGCGUGUUAAUUUUGUAAACUGAAAUGUGGAAACAGUUGGUUUCUUUCCAUUUAUGUUUUAAUUUUUCUUAAUUCAUGUUUGUGUUCUUAUUCUUUUUUUUUUUUUCAAUUUUUAAUUUAAAUAUAGGUAUGGAAUCAUAAAUGCCCAUCUCUUAAAAGUAAUCUACAAUAAAAUGUACAUCAAAUAAAUUUAAGUGAUGAUUAAGAAUAAGGGCAUGAAACUUAGGAAAGGGCUAAAAUAUAAGUUGUAAUUGCUUUUGAAAAUAAUUUUUUAAAACAGUUUUGAAAAUUGUUAUCCAAUGCCUAAUAGAAUAAAAAUUUGUUUGAAAACUUGAAAUAUUUUUAAUCUAUUUUUAAUGUUUUUAAAAAUAAUUUUUUAUUUGUAAUCAUUCUACUUAUUUAUAUAAUUAUUUUUAAAACAUUCAUAAGAAAAUAAGUGAAAACAAUUAAAAUAUGUUAUUUAAAAAUACCAUAUUUUAAAUUUUUAAAAACAUAAAACAUAGAACAAUUUUCUAGUAGUCAAAUAUAUUUUCUUUUUUUUUUCUUUUUUUUUUCCUUUUUUUUUUUUUAAAAAAAAACCUAUUCUCAAAAACAAUUAUCAAAUAAGACCAUAUAUUUUUUUUUACCUUCAUUAUCUAAUAACAUUGCAAUUGUUUUAUAAAUUAUGUUUUAUCCUAAGUUUAGCAAAUAAAAAAAUCUAUAUGUGUUUCUAAAAUGAUUUACAAUAUUAAGUAAAAAUAAUAUAAUAUUUUUUGAAAUUAUAAAAUUAGUUAAAAUUUUAUUUCAUUUUUAAUAUAUUCAUAUUUAAAUAUUAUACAUAUUUCAUUUAAUAAAGUUUAAAAUAUUAAUAUAUUUAUAUUUAUAAUUGAUAAUAUCAAAGAUAAAAAAUAAAUAUUAUUAAUUUUUAAUUUAUCUAUACAUAUAUUUUUUAAAAUUAUUGUUUUUAAUUUUAAUAUAUUUAUAAUGUUACUGGUUCCAUCGCGAUUUGAACAUCAAUUCAAUCAUUAAAUUGUCAAUUAUAAUUUUUUUGGUUCAAUAACAGGUUUGAUGCUAAAAACAUUGUGAGAAACCUUUAGGGAGUUGUCAUUUCGCAUAACCAGCUAACUAGAACCAUCCCUGUUGACCUGGGCUUGUUGAUGCCAAACUUAGUUAAGCUUGAUUUUUUGAUCAACUGGCUCAUUGGAUCACUUCUGAAUUCCCUCAUUUAUAUUCUGCAUGAAAAGCUUGACCCAUCUAGACAUAGUGAUGACAGGAACCCCCCACAAUUAGCAUGAAUUCACAUUUAAAUAUUACACAUAUUUCAUUUAAUAAAGUUUAAAAUAUUAAUAUAUUUAUAUUUAUAAUUGAUAAUAUCAAAGAUAAAAAAUAAAUAUUAUUAAUUUUUAAUUUAUCUAUAUAUAUAUAUAUUUUUUAAAAUUAUUAUUUUUAAUUUUAAUAUAUUUAUAAUGUUACUGGUUCCAUCGCGAUUUGAACAUCAAUUCAAUCAUUAAACUGUCAAUUAUAACUUUUUUGGUUCAAUAACAAGGUUUGAUGCUAAAAACAUUGUGAGAAACCUUUAGGGACUUGUCCUUUCGCAUAACCAGCUAACUAAAACCAUCCAUGUCGAUCUGGGCUUGUUGAUGCCAAACUUAGUUAAGCUUGAUUUUUUGAUCAACUGGCUCAUUGGAUCACUUCUGAAUUCCCUCAUAUAUUCUGCAUGAAAAGCUUGACCCAUCUAGACAUAGUGAUGACAGCUAUUGAACCCCCCACAAUUAGCAUGAAUUCUUUCUUGGGUCUCAUUUUUCUUGAUUUUAGCCUCUUUGUUGCUUCUAAAUGCCAACAACUGACCUCUGUUUAUGACUUUUUAUGAAAUAUAACUUCCCCUUCUAUUUUAUAUCUUUAGAACAACAGUCACAGGCAGCUUCUUCACUCUCAAAACUUGUUGCCUUGGCAUACCUCAAUUUCUCUAAUAACAAUUUUGAAAUAUGCCAUGCUAUAUUUGUGACAUAGUAGGCCUUGCCUUUAUCAAUUUCUCUGGCAACAGAUUCACUGGCUAUGCACCAGAGAUUUGCAUGAAAGACCGACAGUGCUCACACUCCUACCUUUAUAUCUUCUUGGCAGGGCUACAUAGUUGUGAGGGCUCUGACGCAAGCAGCCAAGCCUCUGUUUGAGCUAUUGUACCACUUUCAUAUUCCUAGUUCUGCUCAUUUUCCUUCUCACACGGAGGAUGCAGAGGCAAAAAACUGUAGUUGUUGACAAGGGAAAGGGCAAGCUGGUGAAAGUAGUUGAGUCAGAAUCCGUUGAUGAGCUGCUGGGCAAGAAGAUAAAAGGGACAACUAGCACUAACUUUGCAACAUUUGAGUGCUCUUUGCUGCGGAUGAAACCUUUAGAUAUCUUAUCAGUGACUGACAACAUCAGCAAGACUUAUAUUAUUGGUGACGGUGGGCUUGGUACAAUGUAAUUAUAAAGCCUUACUACCAGAGGGAUGAACAAUUGCUGUCAGAAGGCUCAACAGAAGACGUUUGCCUAGUGACUGGGAAUUCUUACCUGAAAUGGGGACAGUUGGAAAGGUUAAGCGUGAAAACCUAGUUCAACUUCUUGGUUGCUGCAUCCUUCAGGAUGAGAGAUUUUUAGCAUACGAGUGUAUGGAGAAUGGAAGUCUUGACGUGUGGUUGAGGAAUAGAGCAGUUGCAGUUGAGGCCCUGGACUGGCCCACCAGUUUCAAGAUCUGUUUGGGAUCUUCCAGGGGGGCUCGCCUUUCUGCGUCAUGAUUUUUUUCUUCACAUUAUUCACAGAGACAUCAACCCUAGUAAUAUUUUUUUAACAAUAAAUUUGAGCCAUGGGUGGCAAUCUGGUUGGCUGGGUGGAAUGGAUGGUUGCAAAUGGGAGGGAAGAUGAUGUGCUGAAUCCGUACUUUUCAACUAUUAAAAAGUGGAAGAAUCAAAUGUUAGGUGAGCUUUCAAUUGCAUGAUUGUGCACAUUUGAUGACUCAUGGAAGCGGCGUGCCAUGCUUGAGGUGGUGAAGCUGUUAAUGGAGAUUAAGCUGGUAGCUCACUGAAACUGUAUGUGACUGCAAGUCCAAAAAUUCUACAAUAGCAUAUGUUUUCGACUUAUGAUUGAGAAACACAUGUAAAUAAGUGACUAGAGUAGAAGGAUAGAAAUGUGCUAUGAUAUUCAAUAUUAUCUUUUGAACUCUGCAGACCAGUUGGGAUACGCAUUUUCCUCAAAUGGGACUGCAACUUUUCUCUUAUGUUAACAAGAUGCUAAGUUUGAGAAUUGGCUGUGCGUUUUUAGUUUUCGUGUUUGGAAACCACAAGCAUCCAUUGCAACCAGAGACCAGUUCCAAUUAAAGCAUUAAUAUCUACAGCAACAAAGUUAGAUUUAAUCCAAGGGAGACAAAUGAAGAUUAUGUUGUAAUACUCAAGAAACUUCUCUUCAUUUUUAUUUGCCUGGGAAGGAGUUGACCUUAGCUCCAAGCCUUUAGGAUGUUGGAGACAUUAGGUGAAGGGGAGAUGAAAUUAAGUGGAAGGGUGUCCACAUGUCCAGAGGAGUAUUGUUGUUAUAUUAUUACAUGCCUUUAAUGCCCUAGCACUAUAGAGGUUGGAUAUCGCCGUCCUUGGAAUGAGGUUGAAGGCCUCAACAUGCCUUUUGAUGGGAUAAAUACAAACAAUGUACAACAAGAUUUUAUCCUCUCUUGUGAGAACCUAAUAAGAAUCAAUCAAAUAAAGCAACAAGAAUUCACCCAAUCAAUAAAUACAUGAACACCAACAAUGUUUAGCAUGGAAAACCUUCUUCAAUGUGAGAAGUAAAAACCACGGGACCCUUAGGCCACUUAAAAACUCCACUAAUAUAAUCAAUGGGUUACAUAAUUCUCUCUAGAUAAAACUAGAGGCAUACAUCAACCAUAUCUUAAGACAAAUUAAUCUUGGCAAUUUCAACAACUUUGCAUAAAGACAAUGGAGAAAUCUCACCAAACACAGCCACUGUUCUUGGAUUGAAAUAUAAUUGUUCCAAACUCCAAAUCCAAUCUCCACCGUUCAGAAUGAAUAUUAAUGAGUUCUGAACGUGCUCACCAAAAAUCAGUUUAAUCGAACCAUGGAUUAAACAAAGGCUCUGUUCUCAUACUGAAAGACGACCGUUUGGAACUCUAAAUCUGAUCUCCACCGUUUAGAUUGAAGAUUAAUGAGUCACGAACCUCUCUUCCAAAUUUCAGGUUGAUCGACCCACAGAAGAAGCGGGAUUAGACCUUUGAUGAAAUCUGUACAGUGAAGAAAAACUGAGUUUUUCUCUCUAACUUCAAAAAUAGUGGUUCUCCAUUUCUCUCUCUUUUCUCCUUCUACCUUCGAUGGCUACAAAAAAAUUAGAAGAAGAAUAAGAAGAAGAAGGGGGAUUCUUCUUCUAAUCAUUUUAUAUAAAGGCCUAAGAGGCCUUAAAUUUUGGGCUCUUAAUUUGGGCCUUCCACAUGAAGAAAAACCCAACAAAUCUCCCAAUUUUCGAUUAUGUGGAGAGAUUCACCAUCCCGACGAUUGAACAACAAACUUCAAGCUUCUCUCUUAGUAAAGACUUCGUUAACAUAUCUGAGCCAUUAUGAUCGGUAUGUAUCUUCUCAAGUUCAAACAAGUUGUCAUUGAGAACAUCUCUCAUCCAAUGAUACCUCACAUCAAUGUGCUUCGAUCUUGCAUGAAAGGUAGAAUUCUUACUAAGGUGAAUGACGCUUUGAUUAUCACAGUAUACCACAUAGUGUUGCUGCUUAAACCCGAGCUCAUGUAUGAAACGCUUCAUCCACAACAAUUCUUUAUAUGUUUCUACUACUACAAUGUACUUUGCCUUUGUUAUGGAAAGUAAAACACAUUUUUGUAGUCUUGAUUGUCAAGACACAGCACCUCCUGAGAAUGUUAUCAAAUAGCCUGAAGUAGACCUUCUAUUAUAUACAUCCCCUGCCAUGUUUGAAUCAGUGUAGCCAACAAGUACUGAUUUACCACUUCCAAAAGUGAGUUUCAACUUGGAAGUGCCUCACAAAUAUCUCAUAAUCCACUUGACUGCCUCCCAAUGUAGUCUUCUUGGAUUAGAUAGAAAGCGUCUAACAACACCAACUACAUAAGCUAUGUCUAGUCUAGUACAUACCAUGACAUACAUCAAACUUCCUACUACUGAGGCAUACAGAACUUUUAUCAUGUCUUCCUUCUCCUUAUCUGUAGAAGGGUUAUGCCUAUUGUUUAGCUUAAAGUGACUAGCUAGAGGAGAACUAACAACUUUAGCUUUGCUCAUGUUAAAUCUUUCAAGGACCUUUUCAAUAUAUUGCUCCUGUGACAUAUACAACUUCUUGGAUGCUCUAUCUCGCUCAAUUCUAAUACCAAGAAUUUUCUUUGCUGGCCCAAAAUCCUUCAUGGAAAAGGAUUUGCUUAACUACUUCUUCAACUUAUCAAUUUCUGAAACAUUUCUGCCAACAAUCAAGAUAUCAUCAACAUAGAGCAACAAUAUAACAAAAUCAUCAUCAGAGAACUUCUGCACAAAUACAUAAUGGUCAGAAGUAGUUUUUCGGUAGCCUUGCUCUCCCAUAAUUGAUUCAAACUUCUUACACCACACUGCCUCGGUGCCUAGUUCAAGCCAUAAAGACUUUUCUUCAACUUACACACAUAACCCUCUUUUCCUUUUAUUGUGAAACCCUCUGGUUGUUCCAUAUAAAUUUCUUUGUCUAAAUCACCAUGGAGAAAUGUAGUCUUAACAUCCAUCUACUCAAUCUCCAAAUCAAGACUAGCUACCAAACCCAAAACUAUACGAAUAAACGACAUCUUAACAACAGGAGAAAAAAUCUCAUCAAAAUCACUACCUUUCUUUUGAUUGAACCCUUUGACAACCAAUCUAUCUUUGUAACGUGGUUGUGAAGUGUAGUCUUCUUNNNNNNNNNNNNNNNNNNNNNNNNNNNNNNNNNNNNNNNNNNNNNNNNNNNNNNNNNNNNNNNNNNNNNNNNNNNNNNNNNNNNNNNNNNNNNNNNNNNNGACCAUUUCAACCAGUGUCCUAUUCAUUCUCUUAGGUAAUCCAUUCAACUGAGGAGUCUUAAGAGGUGUCUUUUGAUGUUGAAUACCAUGUUGUCUACAAUACUCAUCAAAAGGACCAUAAUACUCACCCCCAUUAUCAGUUUGGAUGCAUUUCAAUUUUUCACCAGAUUGUCUCUCAACAAGAGCAUGAAACUGCUUAAACACCUUUAACACUUGGUCUUUUGUUUUCAAGGUAUACACCCAAAUCUUUCUUGAAUGAUCAUCUAUAAAAGUCACAAAAUAUAAAGAUCCAUCAAGUGUUUUUGUUUUCAUAGGACCACACACAUCAAAAUACACUAAAUCAAGCAUACCUAGCUUCCUUAUAUGGCAAUGUGUUUUGAAUGCAACUCUGGUCUGCUUUCCUGCUAAGCAAUGAGCACACCUUUAAUUUUCAAAGAUCCCUUCUUCAUAUCAGAAAGAAGAUUUUUCUUAACCAAAAUCAUCAAGCCCUUCUCACUCAUGUGAUCGAGUUUGUUGUGCCAAAGCUCAAUUGUGCCAUCAUCAUUCACUGCAUUGAUACUGGAAUCAAUUACCCUUGCCUGCAUCAAAUACAAUGAGGAAUACUUCUUUCUUUUUGCUACCACCAUAGAACCUCUAGUCAGCUUCCAUUGACUAUCAAGAAAGGUGUUGUAUAACCCUUCAUCAUCAAGUUUACCUAUGGAGAUUAAAUUCAUGCGAAUAUCCGGAAUGUGUUUGACAUUCUUCAAAAUCAACAUAGUACCAUUACUAGUCUCCAAACGCACAUCUCUCAUACCGAUGGCUUUAGCUAAGUCAUCAUUACCCAUCCUAACACUUCCAAAAUCAUCGGAUGUGUAGGAUGUAAAGAAAUCUUUCCGAGGUAUAGCAUGAUUGAGGCACCGUUAUUAAUCACCCAACUGGUCUCUUAGCAAGCAAAAUUAACAACAUCACUUUCAUAAACAAUAAGGAAAUUUGAAGUGGUAGUGGCAACUCGAUCAUCUUCACCACCAUUGUCAUUCUUCUUGUCAUUCACUUUCCCUUGUUUCAUAUCUCUCUUCAAUUGGCGACAAUACUUAUAUGCCCUUUCAAAUGGCAAUAGUGACACUUAACAUUAGCAAACUUAUUAGUCUUGCUUUUGCUUUUAUCUCUGUUCUUCGGACCUCAACUCUUACUCCUCCCUCUCUUUUCAGUAACUAGGACAUCUGACCGUGAAGAAGAACCCUGUGACUUUUUUCUCACCUCUUCAUUCAAAACACAACUCUUAACCAAAUCCAUAUUCAUAGUACCAUUUGGGGCUGAGUUAGACAAAGAAGUUCUAAAUGUCUCCUACGAGUCCGACAAUGUACCAAGAAGCCACAACCCUUGCACCUCUUCCUCAAACUUGAUAUUCAUUCCAACCAACUGAUUAAUAAUACCUUGGAAUGUAUUUAAGUGAUCUGUCAUAGGAGUUCCAUCUUGAUACUUCAAGCUAAUCAUCUUCUUGAUCAGAAACAAUUUAUUGUUACUAGUUUUUUUAGCAUAUAACUGUUUGAGCUUGUUCCAUAGACUCUGUGCAUGUUUCUCCUCACUAACAUAAUUGAGAACAUUAUCAUCUAUCCAUUGUCUGAUAUAACCACAAACUUGCAAAUGAAGUAAAUUCCAUUCUGCAUCAGUUUUAUUUUCUGGCUUUUCAGAAGCAAACACAGACAAAUAAUAAUCCUUCACAUACAAUAAGUCUUCCAUAUUUCCUUUCCAAACAUGAUAAUUAGAGUCAUUCAGAGUAAUCAUUCUACUUGUAUUGCUUUCCAUUGUUCUACACAAAGCACAAAUUAUCUUGAACCAAUGCUUUGAUACCACUUUGAUGAGAUAAACACAAACAAUGCACAACCAGAUUUUAUCCCCUCUUGUGAGAACCUAAUAGGAAUCAAUCAAAUAGAGCAACAAGAAUUCACCCAAUCAACAAGUAUAUGAAUACCAACAAUUUUUAGCGUGACAACCUUCUCNAUGUGAGAAGUAAAAANNNNNNNNNNNNNNNNNNNNNNNNNNNNNNNNNNNNNNNNNNNNNNNNNNNNNNNNNNNNNNNNNNNNNNNNNNNNNNNNNNNNNNNNNNNNNNNNNNNNNNNNNNNNNNNNNNNNNNNNNNNNNNNNNNNNNNNNNNNNNNNNNNNNNNNNNNNNNNNNNNNNNNNNNNNNNNNNNNNNNNNNNNNNNNNNNNNNNNNNNNNNNNNNGUUCUCAGACUGAAAUAUAACUAUUCCAAACUCCAAAUCCAAUCUCAACCGUUCAGAAUGAAGAUCAAUGAGUUUUGAGCGUGGUCAUAAAAAAUCAGCUCAAUCGAACCAUGGAUUAACCUUAAUCAGAGCUCAUGAUCAAAACUAUCCGGAUAUAAAACUCACCAAAAUAGAGGCUUUGUUCUCGGACUGAAAGACGACCGUCCGGAACUCCAAAUCCGAUCUCCACCAUUCAGAUUGAAGAUCAAUAAGUUAUGAACCUCUCCUCCAAAUUUCAGGUCGAUCGACCCACAGAAUAAGUGAGAUCGGACUUUUGAUGAAAUCUGGACAGUGAAGAAAAACUGAGUUUUUCUCUCUAACUUCAAAAAUAGUGGUUCUCCCUUUCUCUUUCUUUUCUCAUUCUACUCUCUCUUUCUUCUACCUCCGGUGGCUGCAAAAAAAUUAAAAGAAGAAAUAUAUGAACACCAAGUAUAUGAACACCAACAAUUUUUAGCGUGACAAACCUUCUCCAAUGUGAGAAAUAAAAACCACGGGACCUUUAGGCCACUUAAAAACUCCAUUAACAUAAUCAAUGAGUUACACAAUUCUCUCUAGAUAAAAUUAGAGGCAUACAUCAACCAUAUCUCAAGACAAAUUAAUCUUGGCAAUUUUAACAACUUUGCAUAAAGACAAUGGAGAAAUCUCACCAAACACAGCCAUUGUUCUCAGACUGAAAUAUAACUAUUCCAAACUCCAAAUCCAAUCUCAACCGUUUAGAAUGAAGAUCAAUGAGUUUUGAGCGUGGUCAUAAAAAAUCAGCUCAAUCGAACCAUGGAUUAACCUUAAUCAGAGCUCAUGAUCAAAACUAUCCGGAUAUAAAACUCACCAAAAUAGAGGCUUUGUUCUCGGACUGAAAGACGACCGUCCGAAACUCCAAAUCCGAUCUCCACCAUUCAGAUUGAAGAUCAAUAAGUUACGAACCUCUCCUCCAAAUUUCAAGUCGAUCGACCCACAGAAGAAGUGAGAUCGGACUUUUGAUGAAAUCUGGACAAUGAAGAAAAACUGAGUUUUUCUCUCUAACUUCAAAAAUAGUGGUUCUCCCUUUCUCUUUCUUUUCUCAUUCUACUCUCUCUUUCUUCUACCUCCGGUGGUUGCAAAAAAAUUAAAAGAAGAAAUAUAUGAACACCAAGUAUAUGAACACCAACAAUUUUUAGCGCGGCAAACCUUCUCCAAUGUGAGAAAUAAAAACCACGGGACCUUUAGGCCACUUAAAAACUCCAUUAACAUAAUCAAUGAGUUACACAAUUCUCUCUAGAUAAAAUUGGAGGCAUACAUCAACUAUAUCUCAAGACAAAUCAAUCUUGGCAAUUUCAACAACUUUGCAUAAAGACAAUGGAGAAAUCUCACCAAACAUGGUCAUUGUUCUCAAACUGAAAUAUAACUAUUCCAAACUCCAAAUCCAAUUUCCACCGUUCAGAAUGAAGAUCAAUGAGUUCUGAACGUGGUCAUAAAAAAUCAGCUCAAUCGAACCAUAGAUUAACCUUAAUCAGAGCUCAUGAUCAAAACUGUCCGGAUAUAAAACUCACCAAAAUAGAGGCUUUGUUCUCGGACUGAAAGACGACCGUCCGGAACUCCAAAUCCGAUCUCCACCAUUCAGAUUGAAGAUCAAUAAGUUACGAACCUCUCCUCCCAAUUUCAGGUCGAUCGACCCACAGAAGAAGUGAGAUCAGACUUUUGAUGAAAUUUGGACAGUGAAGAAAAACUGAGUUUUUCUCUCUAACUUCAAAAAUAGUGGUUCUCCCUUUCUCUUUCUUUUCUCAUUCUACUCUCUCUUUCUUCUACCUCCGGUGGCUGCAAAAAAAUUAAAAGAAGAAAUAUAUGAACACCAAGUAUAUGAACACCAACAAUUUUUAGCGUGGUAAACCUUCUCCAAUGUGAGAAAUAAAAACCACGGGACCUUUAGGCCACUUAAAAACUCCAUUAACAUAAUCAAUGAGUUACACAAUUCUCUCUAGAUAAAAUUGGAGGCAUACAUCAACCAUAUCUCAAGACAAAUUAAUCUUGGCAAUUUCAACAACUUUGCAUAAAAACAAUGGAGAAAUCUCACCAAACAUGGUCAUUGUUCUCGAACUGAAAUAUAACUAUUCCAAACUUCAAAUCCAAUUUCCACCGUUCAGAAUGAAGAUCAAUGAGUUAUGAACGUGGUCAUAAAAAAUCAGCUCAAUCGAACCAUAGAUUAACCUUAAUCAGAGCUCAUGAUCAAAACUGUCCGGAUAUAAAACUCACCAAAAUAGAGGCUUUGUUCUCAGACUGAAAGACGACCGUCCGGAACUCCAAAUCCGAUCUCCACCAUUAGAUUGAAGAUCAAUAAGUUACGAACCUCUCCUCCAAAUUUCAGGUCGAUUGACCCACAGAAGAAGUGAGUUCGGACUUUUGAUGAAAUCUGGACAGUGAAGAAAAACUGAGUUUUUCUCUCUAACUUCAAAAAUAGUGGUUUUCCCUUUCUCUUUCUUUUCUCAUUCUACUCUCUUUUUCUUCUACCUCCGGUGGCUACAAAAAAAUUAAAAGAAGAAAAAAAAGAAGAGGGAUUCUUCUUUUAACCCUUUUAUAUAAAGGCCUAAGAGACCUUAAAUUUUUUGCUCUUAAUUUGGGCUUUCUACAUCAGGAAAAACCCAACACCUUUGCACUGUUAGAUGCCAUUUUUUUUAAUAGGCAAAUAAGAAUUUAUUAGAAGUGCCAAGAAAGAAAGGAGGUGGGGGGUGGGGGGAGGGGAUGUGGUGGGCUUCACUUGUAAAAGGUUGAUGCUCCUUUUGGCAAUUUCAAUGUUAUUUUCUUUUCUUUCAGACGAGUAAGGGAAAAACUGCAAAAAACUUUUACAUUCAAGUUUGCAGGGCUUAGUCCUAUUUUUCUUAUGUGGUUGUAAUUUGUUCAUCUGAUUUUUCUACUACCUUAUUUUUUUUUUUUUUUGAUGGUUUUUGCUAUUUGAGUCGCUUGGUUAACUUCUUGAGCCUUUUUAAAAAAGGAUGAGGAGGGAAUGUUGUUCAUAUAUAGUUUUACCUUCACAUCUAUUAUGUUCUUUUGAUAUCAUAGGAAUGGCCAAAUCCUACACUUUAGAAAAACCUCACGGGAGCCGACACAACUUACACUCGUUGCUUCCCAAACCAAAGCAGUUCUACCACCAGUCAAAUUGACAAAAAGAGCUGGCAACCAACACCUUGUAAUAUAAGUCUAUUUAUGUGUGUAUAUAUAUAUAUAUAUAUACCACCGAUGAAUAUUAUUAGUGGGUAUUUCCAAAUCUUUAGGGAUUGCACAGAAUUAAGCAAACCUUUCAAGCACAACACAUAAUGUUCUAUUCCUAAUCACUCCCCUUUAGGGUGUGUUUGGUACUCUGAAAAUGAGGAGUGCGAAUCAACAUCUUAUUUCUUUUCUCUUUCAUUUCCAUAUUUGGAUAAUCUAUAAAUGAUGAUGAGAAUGAAAUCAAAAGUGAUUUCAAUGGAAAUAAAAUAUCACUUAUAAAUGGGAUUUCAAUUCAUUUAAACUAUGAGGUAUUUUGAUUCUUUAGUGCAAGUUCUUCUUAAAAAUACUUUUCAAAAAUUAAAAAACUAAGACUUUUUUAGAUAAGUUAUUUUUAAAAAUAAUUUUUUAUUUUAAUUUUGUAAAAAGCACAAAUUAUAAAUUCAAUUUAUAUAAUGCAAACUAAAUUUAAUUCGUGAUUUAUUAAAAAUAAAAAAGAAAUUUUAAUUAAAAAUAAAUAGUUUUUAAUAAAAUAUGAAUAUUAACAGUGUAAUAAAAUUAUAAAUUAUAUUUUUAAUAAAUAUUAUAAAAAAUGUAGAUAUUAACAUUCAUUGAUUUAUUUUUUUGAAAAUAAAUAAUAAUAAUUCAAAAUUAGUAACUUCUAAUGCCAUUUAAAAAACUUCAUGGGUAGAGUAAUGUUGUUCUAUGGCAUCAAGCUUUCUGCUCUCGAAAGCUACAAAGUGCACCAGUACCCCACCUAAAGUUCUGUUAGAAGCAUUCGUCUACACCUCAAAAGGAAGCUUCAGGUGCAGGAGUCUCAACACUAGCCCCAUUGUAAUCAUGUUUUUCAAGCAUUGGACAGCUUUCUUGCAAUCCGACUCCCAAUAAAGAAAAUUAGGUAAACCAAGGAAGGAAUAUGGAUAUUGAGAUCUUAUAAAAACAAAAUUAAUUUAUUUUGUUAAAAAUAAAGAAAAAUUAUUCAAAAUUAAUAAUUUCUAAUAAUAUUCUAUUUUGAAUGAAUAUAAAAACAAAUAAAAUUUAGUUUUUUAAAAUAUAAAUAAACCAAAAUUUUUAUUAUAUGCAUACAUUUAUUACUCAAUUACAAAGAUAACAUUCUGAAUUAUUUUAUUUAAUUUAUAAUUAAUUAAUUUGUUUUCUGAAUUUCAAAUUAUUAUUAAAAAUUACAAGAUUUGUUAAAGAAUCUAAAACAUUAAUUGCGUUUGUUAUUUUUUAUAGUCAUUAUAUAUAUAUAUAUAUAUAUAUAUAUAUAUAUAUAUAUAUAUAUAUAUAUAUAUAUAUUAAGUUUUAAAUUAUUUUUUAAAAUCAUUAAACUUAUUAAUAAAUUAAUACUGUAACGACCCGCACCCAACCGUGUAGAUAUUGUCCGCUUUGGGCCCAAGGGGACCCUCACGGCUUUAAAACGCGUCUACUUGGUUAAGAGGAGUCUCUACAUAUAUAGCGUCAGGAACAUUCUCCCCUAUCCGAUGUGGGACAUCACAAACACCCCCCCAUGCAGACACAACGUCCUCGUUGUGUCUCAUGGGAUUGCGGGGUCAAACAGACAAACACUCCUUACGGAGCCAAACAAACCCCCACAUCAGGGUCGGGGAUCGGCUCUGAUACCAUUUGUAACGACCCGCACCCAACCGUGUAGAUAUUGUCCGCUUUGGGCCCAAGGGGGCCCUCACGGCUUUAAAACGCGUCUACUUGGUUAAGAGGAGUCUCUACAUAUAUAGCGCCAGGAACAUUCUCCCCUAUCCGAUGUGGGUGAUUAAAGAAGACAUAAGAGUUAUGCUGAUCAGUGUAGGAGAGAUUUGGAGUUUGAGGUGGGUGAUCAUGUGUUCUUGAAAGUUUCACCUAUGAAGUCUGUGAUGAGAUUUGGGAGAAAAGGAAAACUUAGUCCUCGUUUUGUGGGUCCGUUUGAAAUAUUAGAAAGAGUAGUCACUUUGGCAUAUAAAGUAGCCUUGCCCCCAAGCCUAUCUAAGGUUCAUAAUGUUUUCCAUGUUUCAACCUUGAGGAAGUAUAUUUAUGAUCCCUCUCAUGUUGUGGAGUUGGAGCCUAUUCAAAUUUCUGAGGACUUGAACUAUGAAGAGGUACCCGUUCAAAUUGUGGAUGUGAUGGAUAAGGUACUGCGACAUGCUGUUGUCAAAUUGGUAAAGGUUCAAUGGAGCAACCAUAGUGUUCGUGAAGCCACUCGGGAGUUAGAAGAAGAGAUGAGAGAAAAGCAUCCUCAAUUAUUUCAAGACUCAGGUAUGUCAAGUUUAGAGGACUAAACUUUUGUUAAGGAGGGGAGGAUGUAAUGCCCAAGCAUUUUCUUUUAAGGGUAAUUUAGGAAAUUGUUAUUAAUAAUUAAAUUAGUUAAUUAAUUAAUUUAAAUAAAAAAAAAAAGAAGAGGGGUAAAAGAGUAAUUUUACGAAUAAAUACCCUAUGUAUAAAUUAGAAAUUUUAUUUUUUCCCUUCUUUUCUAAAUAGAGUUCCUGUUCGCAGAAUUUCAGAGAACGUAAGGUUGGAGUCAGAUUUCAGGGUUGAAGAAUAGAUCUCUAUAGGUAAAAUUCUAACCCCUAGUUUAAUAUUUUAGAUUCAUUGAUUAAUUUCAAACACAUUAGAUAUAUUUUUUGGAAAACCCUAAAUCUAGAUUAGGGUUAGAUUAUUUUUUUAAUUCGUUUUAAUAUCAAAUAGUGAAAAUUUAAUAUUUUGAUUUUAGUAUUGGAAGUUGGGAGAUCUUACGUUUUAUUAGAAAAAAAAAAAAAUUCCUUGGAAUAUUUCGAUUUUAGGUUAGGGUUAAUUAAAAAAAAAAAAAAAAAGGAGAACGCGUGUGCACAGCAUUGGAAGGAAGGAAAAUAAAAAAAAAUAAAAAAAAAUUUGGGCGUGUGCCCGGAUGGAAGCAUACUUAUAUUAUAUAUAUAUAUAAUGAUUCAUUAUUAUGAUGAUGGCAAUGGAAAAAAAAAAAAUUGCUUUGUUUUACUUGUUUGGUGUGUACCCCCAGACAAGUAAGAGAUUUAGCAAAAUAUAUAAUAAUAUAUUUUUGUAAUAAUGAUUUAGCCUCAAAUUAGAUAAUUAUUAAAAUAAUGAUAUUUAAUUUUAGAUUAAUAAAUAAGAUAAUAGUAAUAAUGGUAUUUUUGUAAUGAAUAGAAAAAGAGAUUUAGCAAUAUGUAUAUAUAUAUAUAUAUAUAUAGAAUUUUAUAAUGAAAUAAAGUUAUAAUUUAAUUAAAUUAGUAAUAUGUUAUUAGAAACAAAUUGGGAAUUUAUUAGUUUUAUUUAAAUAAGGAAUAGAUUAGUUAAAUUAUAAAUAAAUAGUAAUAAUUGUUUCUCUUAUGUUAUAUCAGGUGAAGAGUAGAUUAUUAUUUUUCAGAAUUAUUCUUCUCCCAAGCUUUCAAGGACUUCCUUUGAGGUAAGGGAAGUUAAUGUAAUAUUUAUAAAAUUAAAUUAUUUUAUAUGUUAUUUUGAAUUGUGGAAAAUAAAAUGAUAUUUUGUUACCAUGCAUAGAUCAAAUUGUUUUGCACUAAAUGUUAUGUUGAAAUAUUUUGUUUUAUUUAUGACACAAAAUAUGGAGAUGUUAUGUUGUGUAAAUUUGAAUACUUGAACAAAAAACAUCACUCUGGUUUAUUUGGCCCUUGUCAACGGGAUAUAAUAGUUGACUAUUCGGCCCUGUCAACGGGAUAUAAUAGUUGACCUUUAUAUUUCAUGGUGGGAAUGUAAUUGAUUUGGACCCCAGCCUCUAGGGUUUGGUUAGAGGUUACUAGUACUAAUAGUGUUUGGUUCCGUCCACCAGGAACAAUUUGAGGCUAGCCACCCAUUUGAAAAGUCCCACCUAACUGGGCAUUUGAUAUUUGAUAAUCAGAGUAAUGAAAAAAAUUGAAUGGAUUUGAUUGAGUCUGAUGUGAAAGUGUUUGAAUUUGAUAUGAAAUUGGUUGGUUGAAUUUUGAAUAUAUUGGCAUUUUUGAAACUCUAAUAUUUGAUGAAAAAAAAAUAAAAUUGAUAUCUCCUAUUUGAAAUGAAAAUAUUUGAUCCAUGAACUGCAUUAAUAUUUCUUAUUGGGCUGUGAGCUCAUUCCCAAUUGUUGAAAAUUUUUCAGGUACUCUUAGUUCGGGUGAGGAGUGAUGGCUAGGCUGAGGAAUGGUCAUCAUUAGGAUUUGACUUAGGAUUUUAUGUUGGAUUUUGUUUAACUAUUAGUUAUGUUAUUUUGGAUCAUUUGGUAUUUGGAAGUUAUUUGGAAAUUGAAUUUUGAGGAUUUUAGAUUUUGUUUCCGCUACUCUGAGCAGGUAUUUGGUAAUUGGUAACAUCCAGUUACAAUAUGACUGUUUGGGUCAGAUUAUACUUUAAGCCUUCGGGUUUGAGGUGUGAAAUGACCAUCACGCCCUUGGAGUGGGUCUUGGGGCGUGACAGAGUGGUAUCAAAGCCGAUCCCCGACCCCGGUGUGGGGGUUUGUUUGGCUUUGUCUGUUUGGCCCCGCAAUCCCAUGGGACACAACGAGGACGUUGUGUCUGCAUGGGGGGGGGGGGGUAUUUGUGAUGUUCCACAUCGGAUAGAGGAGCAAGUUCCUGGCGCUAUAUAUGUAGAGGCUCCUCUUAACCAAGUAGACGCGUUUUAAAGCCGUGAGGGCCCCCUUGGGCCCAAAACGGACAAUAUCUACAUGAUUGGGUGCGGGUCGUUACAAAUGGUAUCAGAGCCGAUCCCCGACCCCGGUGUGGGGGUUUGUUUGGCUCCGUAAGGAGUGUUUGUCUGUUUGACCCCGCAAUCCCAUAGGACACAACGAGGACGUUGUGUCUGCAUGGGGGGUGUUUGUAAUGUCCCACAUCGGAUAGGGGAGAAAGUUCCUGACGCUAUAUAUGUAGAGACUCUUCUUAACCAAGUAGACGCGUUUUAAAGCCGUGAGGGCCCCCUUGGGCCCAAAGCGGACAAUAUCUACACGGUUGGGUGCGGGUCGUUACAAAUGGUAUCAGAGCCGAUCCCCGACCCCGGUGUGGGGGUUUGUUUGGCUUUGUCUGUUUGGCCCACAAUCCCAUGGGACACAACGAGGACGUUGUGUCUGCAUGGGGGGGUAUUUGUGAUGUUCCACAUCGGAUAGAGGAGCAAGUUCCUGGCGCUAUAUAUGUAGAGGCUCCUCUUAACCAAGUAGACGCGUUUUAAAGCUGUGAGGGCCCCCUUGGGCCCAAAGCGGACAAUAUCUACAUGGUUGGGUGUGGGUCGUUACAAAUACAAAGUCUAACUUCAUUUUAAAUUCAUUUUCUGUAAUAAAAACAAAUUAAAAGAACAUUUCUCUAUUUUGAUUUAUUUUUAAAAAUUAUUUUUCAAGAAUAACAACUAAAUAAUGGUAUAAAUUUUUAAAAACAAUUUUGUUUUCAAAUCACAUGCCUAAAUAGGUUUUUAUUAUUUAGCAAAAAAAAAAAAAAAAACUCUCAAGGAUUUUCUUUAAAAUGAAAAUAAAAAAUUAUUUCAAAUUUUGUUCAAUGUGAGAUUUUUUUUAAAAUAAAUAUAAAAAUAAAAAAUUAUUUUAAACCAUGAGAAAGAAUAUCAUUGAAAAUUUUGUUUAAUUUUUCAUUUGUAUUCCCAUUUUUACUUAGAAUUGAAAUGGAACUAAAUUAUCAUUUUUAUCUUAUAUUUCUAUAUGGAUCCAAAUAAAAGAAUUAAGAUUAUCAAAUUUAUUUUUAUUUAAGAGAAAAUAAGAAUGAAGACACAAUAUUUAUUCUCAUAUUUUUAGUUUCCACCGCCCAAGACGCAUGCUCUCACGUCCAACAUGUGAAGCAUAGAGAUAGAAGAGGCUGCUGAAGAUGCAAUGAAAAGUGAGAAUUGGCAAUCCAAAGGAAUGUGGCAGCACAGCAUACAGCCCCGUCGUGAAUGCUACCACCAUUGCUCCCAUCCCAAGCAGGGUGAGAUAAGAGGCAUACGAAAACAAGUGUAGCCACGUUCUCAUAUUGAGGUCAUAAAACAGUGCAUGUUGGAAUGCCAUACUAAAAAAUAUGAAUACGGCACUUACCGAGAACGUCAGGGCUAUGGUAUCCGACACAACAAAUGCUUUGAAAGAUGCUUUCUUUGUUAAGAUUGCCAUCCCAUCUGUGUCUCUGUAACCACCAGGCAAGGUGAAGCCUGCCGCAAAGGUUACUGUUGCCGUAAGUGUUGCCACUAUCAAAUGGGUUUCACUUGCCUUUUUCGCGGAAGAGAUGAUUUUAUCCUCCUCCUUAUCAUCAUCAUCUAUUUUGCCACCAUAUUUGCUGUCAUCCUUUCUGAUGACGUGCUGCAAACUGGAAGGUCUAAAAGGCAGUCUUAAAUAUUUCUUAAAUCCUUCAAAUCGGUCAUCUACUUGUGCCUGCUGCAAACUGGAAGGUCUAAAAGGCCGUCUAAGAUAUUCCUUAAUUCUCUCACGUAGGUGAUAUAACUGCGGAGAUUCUAAUGCAAGGAGCUGAAAUUUGAUCAAAGUAAAAUUCCUAUUAGAGCAAAACAGAAAAUUACAUGUAUAUAAUGCAUGAGAAGAUCAAAUAAAUGGAUGAUUGACAAAUGGGAUAAAGUAAUAGAAAAUUUAGUUAAAAAGCCUUACCGUGCCCCAUGAAAAUUUAUUCCGAGAAGAAAAACGGUUGUCAGAAAAGUUUAACUUUUCUUUGUUCCGUUCCAUCUUAUCCACCGUUUUGUCCAAUAUGAAAUCUACAUCAUUAACUCCGAAAGAAGCAAGCAGGUGGAGGGGUGUGUCUCCUUGAGCAUCUUUCUCAUUUACAAGUCCUCUCACUCUUAAUCCAUCCUUUAUUAAUAACUCACUACCAAAAUGAGAAGGGUGCUUCUUCAUCAUGGCAAAGUGAAAAACAUUAUUGCCAUUCUCAUCAACCUGCUCACAACAAUCUGGAGCGUGUGACAGCAGCAACUCUACUAUGUCCAUACAGCCAUUGUAACUUGCAAUGUGAAGGGCUGUUCUGUUGCUAUCUUUUAUUCCAAGGUAGAUUACAGACUUGUCUUGUGAUGAUCCGUCUAGUAAUUGCUUGGUAAUUGCGGCAUCAAGCAUGUAUGCAGCACAAUGAAGCGGAGACCAGCCAUUUUCAUCCACUUCUUUGAUUAGCUUUGGCUUCCAUCCUAGUAUCUUCUUUGUCAUUGCUGAUCAAAUAAAUAAAAGAAGAAAUAGAGAGCUCAAGGAAUAUUAAAGAAAAUUAAUUAUAAAAUGAAUAACCUAAUGCAUUAAUAUAGGCCCUUAUAUGCACUACCUUGGUGACGGCAGAGUACAGCAGCAUGCAAAGCUGUUCUACCCUCGAUGCCUCUGUGAUUUGGUGAAGGGCGGGUGAGGUCUAUGAUUAUUUCCACCAAGUCCCCAUAUCCUCUCUCGGCAGCCAUGUAAAGAGGAGUGUAGCCUGUACUGUUAGCACCAUAGAUGAAGUGAGGGUCUGCCUCAAUCAAUAACUUCACCACUUUUGAGUGAUGAUACCGCACCGCCUCAUGCAAGGCUGUGUCUUUCUCCUUAUUGGUCAUCCUCAACAUCGCCUCGUCUGUUCCAACCCCACUUUCGAUCUCUUGGUGAAGUGUUUUUGCGGCGUCAAGGAGAGCUUUCACAACCCCCCUAUGGCCUUCUCUCGCAGCAAGGUGAAGUGGAGUGUCGCCUUUCAGAUUGGGCUGCUGCAGUAGAGGUGAACAUGAAUGAAAGUGAAGGAUCCACUCUACGCAUGCCAGCUGACCGAACUGGGCUGCAAUGUGGAGGACAGUGUUCCUUUUUGGGGUUAGUUGGGGUUGAAGAUGAGCAAAUUCCGAGUACUUCCCCUUGAGGAAACUGAUAUCACCUCUAUACAAAGCCUUGUACAAAUCAGCAUCCAUGUGGGGGAUCUCAGUUUGGCUAACAGCUGCAAUCUGGUUCGGCAUCUCAGUUUGGCUUGAAAAGGUUUCCGAGUUAAGGUUCUGCGAUUCUGUGAUUUGAUUGGAGCUGGACUGAUCCAUUUUUGGUGUUGGAGGAACAAAGUAAUAAUCAACUCUUCACAUUCUAUCUAUCCAUCUAUCUAUAUAUAUAUAUAUAUUUAUAUUUUGUGAGCAAUUCCCUUCAAGCUUUUGUCCUUAAUUGAAAGAUAUUUUAUGUAGAGCAUAUGUAAGUUGUUUGCCCGUAUAUAUUUUUUUUGUUUUUGUAUAAAAUAUUUCUUUUUUAUUAUUUUUAAUAAUUAUACAAUUUUUUAAAAUAAUUAUAAAAAAGUAAUAAAAAAAAAGUGAUAACAACAUAAAAUAAUUAAAAGUUAUCGGUUGAAACACUUUAUUAUGUUUUUAAGGAUAAAAAAUUGUUUUUCACUUUUUUGUUAUUACACAUGUUUUUCUUUUCUUUUUUUUAAUUUUUUAUGAAAAAAAAAUAAGUUAUGAAACAAGACUUUAACUUCCACAUCAUGUUCUCCUCAACCGUCAUUAUUAAUUAACUUAUAAAUUAAUUUUGCUUAUUAAUUCCAUAAGAUCAAAAUUUAUUUUAAAAUUUUAAUAUUAAAAUUGAAUGGAAUAUGAUCAUUUAGUAUCUCAAAAAUUUGUCACUGACAAACUACAAGUAAUUUUUAUCUUAUCAACUUAUGAACUCAUACCAAUAGAGAGUUAGAGCUAUUUUGCAUAUACCAACAGAUAAAAAAAAGCUAAAUAGUCAAAUUUGUACAUCUAGUCAUUAAUUAAAAUUAUUUUUGUUUUUGUAUAAAAUAUUUCUUUUUUAUUAUUUUUAAUAAUUAUAUGAUUUUUUAAAAUAAUUAUAAAAAAGUAAUAAAAAAAAAGUGAUAACAACAUAAAAUAAUUAAAAGUUAUCGGUUGAAACACUUUAUUAUGUUUUUAAGGAUAAAAAAUUGUUUUUCACUUUUUUGUUAUUACACAUUUUUUUCUAUUUUUUUUAAUUUUUUAUGAAAAAAAAAAAUAGUUAUGAAACAAGACUUUAACUUCCACAUCAUGUUCUCCUCAACCGGCAUUAUUAAUCAACUUAUAAAUUAAUUUUGCUUAUUAAUUCCAUAAGAUCAAAAUUUAUUUUAAAAUUUUAAUAUUAUAAUUGAAUGGAAUAUGAUUAUUUAGUAUCUCAAAAAUUUGUCACUGACAAACUACAGGUAAUUUUUAUCUUAUCAACUUAUGAACUCAGACCAAUAGAAAGUUAGAGCUAUUUUCCAUAUACCAACAAAUAAAAAAAGCUAAAUAGUCAAAUUUGAAUAACACAAUUUUUCUCACUUAUCGAUGGGUAUGCUGGAAUACUAAAAUAUUUCAUACAAUUCAUAUUAACCAUUUUUCAUCGCUUGUAGCCACAACUUACCACAUAAAAGAAUGUAUAAAAAUUAUGGUAACUAUAAUGAAAAGAAGAACACUACUAUUUAUUAUUUAUUAAUAUUAAAUAACAUUAAUUAUUAUAAAUAUUUUAUUUAGUACUCAUACUUUUAGGUUUAAUUUGAAGAUGAUAAUUAUCAGGUUAGUUUUUCAAUUCUAGGUUUUAUUGAAAUUUUCUAUUAUCCAUAAUAUGUUAUAUGAAAUAUAAGUAUUAAUGAAUGGUAUGUGACCAUGUGACAACGUCAGAGUAUAUAAUGUUUCUUCUUUGUUUUAGUCUGCCACUCAAUGGAUUCGUCUAUAGUGUGUUCUUUGUUUGGUCUGCCACUCCAUGAUUCCCGUAAAUUGCGGAAGAAAAGCGAAUCAUUGCAUGUGCAAGUAUUUUACCGAAUGGUUUGUGAUAAUAUACAUCACGUGAAUUGUGAAAGAAAAGUGUCUUUUCUCCCUUCGAUUGCAUUCACUGAACAGCAUAUGACCACUCAGAGCAAAAGCAAGAUGAGUUUGGAAUCCGACGGGGAAAAGGGCAGCAAUGGUAGGGCCCACUUCCCUUUGAAACCUUGUUCAGUCGUCCGUCCCCACCCCUUUGAUUGCGUAGGACAAACCCCCACCAUAACACCAUGUGGGUUGCCCCCUCUUUCGACAUCAUUCCAUGAAAACAAUGCCGUUCUAUGAACGGAGCGGAGGAUUGCUUGCACAUGGCACUUAUUUGAUUUUUUGAUUUGAACAGCCAAAGGUAUUGCUAACAUUAUUAAAAAUAGUACUUAUUUGCUAAAAGGUAUGUAAAAUCUGAAUUAUUUUUAGAUAAAUGUAUUCAAUUUGAAAAUUUUAAAUUUGGCACGCCAUGCACCUCCAAAUACACAAGCUGACAAAAGAUAUGAAAGGUUGUCGGUUGUUUAAUAUAUAACUUGUCUCUUGUUUUUAACUUGGAUGUCAGUAGGAAUAGUCCAUUAUUAUCUUUAUUCGGUGAAAACAUGGCACGCCAUGCACCUCCAAAUACACAAGCUGACAAGAGAUAUGAAAGAUUGUCGGUUUUUUAAUAUAUAAAAAGUUAUAAUUUACAAAAUUUAUGAAAGGGUCCACAUAUAUAGAAUAUUUAUAAAAUAUGAUUUCGAUAUAUUCUAAAAAAUUGUAAAAUGAUUGACCUUUGGGUCAUUUAAAAUUUGUGUGCCUAUUCAUAGAAGUAUUUAAUGAAAUAUUUAAUUAUUAUAAAAUGACAUAAUUAAAUAAAAUAUAAGAUGAUGAUCUUAAAGACUUAAGCUUGGUAUCUAAUAAGAGUUAAUACUUGAUACAUAAUUAUUAUACGUGACUUUAAGUUAACUUAUGUUUAAACCAUCAAUUUAAAACUUAUUAUAAAGUUAUAUUGUUAAAUUAACACAUUUACCUUCAUCAAUACUUAAAAAAUGGGGGAGAGAAACACAAAAAGUAAAGAGACAUAUUAAUGUUAUUUUAGGUUGAAUUAUAUAUACUUAUUUAUUAUUUAGUUAUUAAGAAAUAAAUUUAUUACUUCACAUUAAUAAUAAUAAAUUCUUCAUUAAGUCAUCUUUAUUAAUGUUUGAGUGUUGUUAAGUAUGAACUUAUAUUUUUUUAAUUAUUAUUUUUAAAUGGUAAAUUAAUUUACUUUUAUAUUUUAAAAUCUAUAAAAUUAAUUAUUAUAUUUCUUUUUAUUUUAUGCAUUUAAGAUAAAAAUAGUUAAAAUUAAUGAUUUGAAAAAGGAAUAGCAAUGUAAUAUAUUUCCAAACAUCAAAAUUUAUUAACAUAAUAAAAAAUUUCUAUUUCAAGUAAUAGCUCAUGAGAAAAUUUUAUAUUAAAAUUCUUAAGAAAUAAGAGAAAAUAUAACUUAAAAAAAAAUCCAUUUGAACUAAAAUAAAUCAUUUUUUUAUUUAUUUUUAAGACAACAGUUAUCAAAACUUUAAAAAUAAUAAAAAUAAAUUUAAAAAUAAAUUGAAGUAAAUAAUAUAGAAAUAAAAUAAAUAAAUAAAUGAAUAGAUGUGAUGUAUGAUAUUAAUGGGUAAUUAAUUAUUCAUGGCACCCAUUUCAGGGCUUACAACAUAGGUAUCUUCUUAAGGAUUAUUUUUCAAGUCAUCCUUUCAAAUAGAGCGAUAUUUAAAAUGAAUGUCCGUUUAGUUAUGAUUUUAAAAAAUGUUUCUAAUUUUUCUAAUAAUUCAAAAAAAUUUAUCAUUUAAGUAAUAAAAAGAUUAGAAACUUUUUCUAUGGUUACUAUCAAGAUUAAUAUCAAACACAUUCUAAAAGAAAUGGUAUUAAAAUGAGUUAAUAUUUAUUAUUUACUUAUAAUAAUAUAAUAAUGGAUUUUAAAUUCAAGAACAGCAAUAAAGAGGGGACCUGUGAGUAUCCUGUUUAAUGUUGAAUAUUUUAUUAAUUAAUUAAUCUCUUUAGUCGUAUCAACAAUAAAAAGCAUGUUAAAAUAAUGGAAUAAGUUUUUCUAUCCUGUCAAUUUAUAUAUAACUUUGAAGAACUCAUCUUAGAACUAGAAAAUGAUUAUUUUAACAAAAUGGUACAGACAAAAUUGUGGGCCUACCCUCAAGAUUCCUUUCAUAUUUCAAACUUGUAAAACUUGUUUAUGGAGGAGUUGGUGGUGGUGGGAAUACUUUAAAAUUUUUAUUCAUUUUUUUUUUUGGCACUAGGGUGGACAAAUUUAAGCAAGUGUUUAAAUCUUGGUGAUGACAAGAUGGAUGAAUGCAUUUUUGAAAAAUUAUUUGAUUAAAAAAGAAUGAAAUGAUUUCAAAUUUGUAUUAUUGGUGUAAUACCAACCAAACUUGUGUUCGUCUACCAUUUUUGGAGUCAGAUGGACAUCUUCCCUACACAAAAGGAUGUCUGGAUAAGGUGAUUCGGACAUGCCCAUCCGAAACUUAAGUCAAAAAAUAAUAAGGACGAGUCUAGUUAUUUCGAAUGACUUUGUACAUGCGUUCCUUUUUCAUGCUUCUUGAGGGGUUUUUAUAAAGCAAAUGACACCAUUGUUAUAGCGCUGAUGGAUGUCAGAUGGAAUGGACAGACCACGCCGAUUGAGAUUUUUGAACAAAUUAACCAACACAGUCGGAGAUUUUAGGUAUUGAGCAUAUGGAUAAUCACACCCAGUGUUUGAGUAAGACAACAUUUACGUCUAAAAGUCAAUGAAUACUAAUUGCUACACGCAAUUAGCGACAUUGAAAAAUGUAAAUGCAGAGUCAACUACAUGGUCCGAGACUCUUACUCGACAGCCAGCAAAUGACAUCAGUCAACGAAUUUUGUUUGGUAUGAUUGCCCAAUUCGUAUAGAAAUGAUGGCGUUAACUCUCUUGCUAAGGCUCGAUUUCUGCCUUGAUAACAAUCAUCAUCAUAAAAAAGACAUGAAUGCACCAUCAAUGCUAUAGCAAUGGUGCCAUCUGCUUUAUAAAAACCCCUUAAGAAGCAUAAAAAAUGUACACGUGUAUAGAGUCAUUCAAAAUAAUUAAACAUAUUCUUAUUAUUUUUUGACUUAAGCUUCGAGGGAUGUGCCUGAACCACCUAUUCAGACAUCCUUUUGUGCAGGGAAGAAGCCCGUUUGACUCUAGAGAAGUUAGACGAACACAAGUCUAGUUGGUACUACAUCAAUAUGUAUAUCUAAUUUCUUGUCUUUAUAACCUAAUAAUCCUCUUUAACCUUUUCAUUAUUUAUAUAUAUAUAUAUAAUAUUUUUUUCUAAACGGAUAGUUAAAAAAAUAUAGAAAGUUAAAUUUAUAAAUUGAGAAUUAUUUCAUCCUUUAAUCAAAUGACUUUUUUUCAAUUACUUAUUUCUAUUGUAAAGGGUUGGAAUCAUUUGUAAUGUUUAUAUUAAAAUUUGUGUGCCUAUUUCAUAGAAGUAUUUAAUGAAAUAUUUAAUUAUUGUAAAAUGAUCGACAUAAUUAAAUAAAAUAUAAGAUGAUGAUUUUAAAGACUUAAGCUUGGUAUCUAAUAAGGGUUAAUACUUGAUACAUAAUUAUUAUAUGUGACUUUAAGUUAAAUUAUGCUUAAACCAUCAAUUUAAAACUUAUUAUAAAGUUAUAUUAUUGAAUUAACAUAUUUACCUUCAUCAAUACUAAAAAAUGGGGGAGAGAAACACAAAAAUAAAGAGACAUAUUAAUGUUAUUUUAGAUUGAAUUAUAUAUACUUAUUUAUUAUUUAGUUAUUUAAAAAUAAAUUUAUUACUUCACAUUAAUAAUAAUAAAUACUUCAUUAAGUCAUCUUUAUUAAUGUUUGAGUGUUGUUAAGUACGAACUUAUAUUUUUUUAAUUAUUAUUUUUAAAUGGUAAAUUAAUUUACUUUUAUAUUUUAAAAUCUAAAAAAUUAAUUAUUAUAUUUCUUUUUUAAAAAUAGAUAAAAUUAAUAAUUUGAAAAAGGAAUAGCAAUGUAAUAUAUUUCCAAACAUCAAAAUUUAUUAACAUAAUAAAAAAAUUUCUAUUUUGAGUAAUAGCUCAUGAGAAAAUUUUAUAUUAAAAUUUCUUAAGAAAUAAGAGAAAAUAUAACUAAAAACAAAAUCCAUUUCUAACUAAAAUAAAUCAAUUUUUUUAUAUUUAUUUUUAAGACAAUAAUUAUCAAAGUUAUAAAUGUGAUGAAUGAUAUUAAUGGAUGAUUAAUUAUUCAUAGGUCGCACCCAUUUCAGGGCUUACAUCAUAUGCAUCUUCUUAAGGAUUAUAUUUCGAGUCAUUUCAAACAUAGUGAUAUUUAAAAUGGAUGAUUAAGAGCUCGUUUAACUAUUUUUUAAAAAAUUUUAUCAUUCAAGUGGCAAAAAAUUAAAAAUGUUUUAUAUAACCGCUGUCAAACGCAUUUUAAAACAAAUGGUAUUAAAAUAAUAUUUAUUAUUUACUUAUAAUAGUAUAAUAAUGGAUUUCAAAUUCAAGAACAGUGUUCAAGAGGGAACACGUGAGUAUCCUAUUUAAUGUUGAAUAUUUUAUUAAUUAAUUAAUCUCUUUAGUUGUAUCAACAAUAAGAAGCAUAUUAAAAUAAUGGAAUAAGCUUUUUAUCCUAUCAAAUUAUAUAUAACUUUGAAGAACUCAUCUUAAAACUACAAAAUGAUUGUUUUAACAAAAUGGUACAGACAAAAUUGUGGGCCUACCCUCAAGAUUCCUUUCAUAUUUUCAACUUGUAAAACUUGUUUAUUGAGGAGUUGGUGGUGGUGGUGGGACAAAUUUGGAAUCAUUUGUAAUGUUUGUAUUCUAAAAAAAAAGGGAAAUGAUUGGCUAUUAAGUCAUUUAAAAUUUAUGUGGCUAUUCAUCAAAGUAUUUAAUUUGAUAUUACUUACUCUUUUUUUAUUUAAGUUUUAUCAUUACUUUUGAAUGUUCAAUUGAGUCAAGUAUUUAUAAUAAUCUUAUUUUAUGUUAAAUUAUAUGUACUUAUCUUUUUUAUUGAUUAAUAUAAAAAAAUAUUUCUUUUCUCAAUAAAGAUAAAUAUUUCAUUAACUUAUCUGGACCAACAUCUCUCUCGUGCGUUUCCAAUAGGACUGGUGCGUUGCCAACCGGCAAAAUAUUUCUUUUUUAUUUUUCAUCUACAAAACUUUAUACAAAAGAUAUCAUAUCAUGUACGAGGAAAAAAAUAAAAAGAGAAAAGAGAAAAUUAUGAUAUAAUUAUAUACACAUCUCUUAAUAUGAUAUAUUUGUUUGACUUAAUGACAUAGUGCUUUAAUAAUUUAAACCAUGUCAAGUCCACAUUUAUUUUAGAUUUAAAAGGGUAUUUGAAUAUUUUUCAAAUUAUUAAGUUAUAAUACAUUAUUCAAUUAAAAAUUAAUUAUCAGUAUUAGUUAAAAGAUGAUCAUGUUAUAAAAUAAUAUAUUUAGACAAUAUUUAUGUAUUGUCCAUAAAAUAGAUAAAAUAUUCAAAUAAUUGUCUAUAACCUUUAAGAUAUAUAUAUAUAUAUAUAUAUAUAUAUAUAUAUAUAUAUAUAUAUAUAUAUAUAUAUAUAUAUAUAUAUAUAUAUAUAUGUUGGAUAAAAAAUAAUAAUAAUAUUUUUUAAGGUGUUUAAAAAAUAGUUAUUAUACAUUUUGUAAGUUUUUUAAAAAAAAGUUUAUGAGGUGUUUAAAGAAUAUUUACUUUAAAAAUAUAGUAAUAAUAAUUUUUAACCAUUGAUUUCUAAUAUUCAAUUUAUUAGGCAUUGUUUUUUGGAAGAAAAAUAAUUGAUAGAAAUAUAAAGGAAUUAAUUUACAUGUCCCACUAAUUAAUAUGUGAGAGAAAGGUAAGGUGAAUGAUGAGAGAGAGGGAAAAAGAGAAUGAGAGAGAGUAGGAAGUUAGUUAUUUUCUUUUUCUAUUUUAUAGUUAAGGGUAUUUUAAAAAUUUUUGAAAAGUAAUGUCCUUUAACUCAAUUUUCACUCAUCCAUUUUGAGAUUAAAUACAAGGGAUAUGAGGACUUUGGGCCAAUUUUCAAGUCAAGCGGGUAUAAAACUCAAUUCUCCCAUUAAAGAAAGCGACACUAGUAUAAAACGAUAAAAAAGAGGAAAGUGACUUAGGACCACAGCUUUGUGGGGGCAUUCGCACCCUCUGUUCCCUUUGCUGUAGUAAUAUAAGACGCAGAGGCGGUGGAUUAUGGUGUUGUGAAAGAUUUGAGAGAGGUGGAGACGGCUGUAGAGCUUAAGCACACCCAUGGAUCCAUCCACUUCCACUUCCACCCAUGCUUUAGAAUUACAGAGCCUUAACUCAGUUUCUAGUGCGAACCAGGAGGAUGUCACAUACAUGCCUCCUAAAAUUUACAGGGCUGCAGCACAAGGCUCCACCGAUAUUAUCCGCAGGACAAUGCCCAGAGUUGUCCAAUAUUUAACACCCAAUAAGAACACUAUCCUCCACAUUGCAGCCCAAUUCGGUCAACCGAAGUGCGUUGAAUUCAUCAUUCGACAUUACAGUGGGGAUUCAUCCCCACUGCAGUGGCCCAUCUGAAAGGGGACUCCCCCCUCCACCUUGCAGCGAGAGAAGGGCAUCUAGAGGUCGUGAAGGCUAUUAUUCAUGCUGCGAAAACAGUUUCCGAAAGAGAUAUUGAGAGUGGGAUUGGAGUGGACAAGGCCAUGCUGAGGAUGACCAACAAUGAGCAUGACACAGCCUUGCAUGAGGCAGUCCGGUAUCAUCAUCUGGAGGUCGUGAAGUGGUUGAACGAGGAAGAUCCCGAGUUUACAUAUGGUGCUAACUUUUCUGGUGGGACUCCUCUAUACAUGGCUGCUGAGAGAGGGUUUACAGACUUGGUGAAAAUAAUCAUAGAGAACACUAAUCGCAAUCGACUGGCUCACACUGGCCCCAUGGGUAGAACAGCUUUGCACGCAGCUGUGAUUUGCCGUGACCCAAGUAGGCAUAUUCUUUUCCUGAAUCUACCAUAUUUCCUAUGUGGUUUGUUUAUUAAUAUUACUGGUAUAACAUAUAUAGUGUUGAAUAGCAAGUUUUAACCUGGCUAAACUAUGGGGUUACAAUAUCUUCAUAACUUCUAAUCUUUCUCAAAAAAUAUUUUGAUAUAUUUGUUUUGAGUAUAUAUAUAUAUGCUUGGUGGUUGAUUGUUUCAGCUGUUUAAAUGUUAUAUUCCAAAUAGUUCAGUUACUUUUUAACCUGACAUGCAUGAUUAAAUAUGGGAAAAUGGGGAAGACUAAAGGAAACUUGUUUCUUAAUUUCUUAUACUCUUCUAAUUUGUUUCUUUCUUUUCAUUUUAUGUAUGUGUUGAUCAGUAAUGGUAAAAGAAAUUCUGAAAUGGAAGCCAGAUCUAACAAAAGAAGUGGAUGAAAACGGGUGGUCUCCACUCCACUGCGCUGCAUACUUGGGUUAUGUUCCAAUAGCGAGACAAUUGCUUCAUAAAUCUGAUAGGUCUGUAGUCUACCUAAGGGUAAAAAAUGAUGACAACAAGACAGCUCUUCAUAUUGCGGCCACCCGUGGAAACAGGAUCACAGCAAAACUGCUGGUGUCAUACUAUCCAGAUUGUUGUGAGCAAGUGGAUAUUAAUGGCAAUAAUGCUCUUCACUUAUUCAUGAUGCAAAAAAGAUUUUUCAUCAGAAGCUUGUUGAAUAUUCGCUGGAUGAAUGUGGGAGCACUUAUAAAUGAGAAGAAUGUUGAAGGACAAACACCUCUCCAUCUGCUUGCCCAUUCCCAGGCGAGAUCUGAUUGCACUUUCAUAAGAGACAAGAAAGUAGAUAAGAUGGCACUUAAUAGCCAAAACUUGACUGCUGUGGACGUAAUUUUACUGGCUGAGGAUUUAUUUGGACAAAAGGUAAGCCUGUCUGUCUAACUUUAUUAAUUUCCCAAAUAGCAAGGAAUUGGUGGACUAGUAAUAUACUAUAAUGAUAUUUAGAAUGGUAAAUUGAUUAGAUAAUUAAUUAAUCCAAGCAAAAAAUGGUGGCAUACAUCAUAUGAUUUACUCUAUUAAUUGAAGCCAAGCUACUGUAUACUCUGUUUUCUUUGAUUAAAUUUCAGGAUCUUAUCAUACGAAGACUGAAACGUGCCAAAGCUAGAAUCGGGCCUUUGUUGUGGCAGAAGGCUAUGAACAAAGACGAGGAUAAGAGCCAAAGCAAACGUAAUAAAGGUUUAGACACCUCUUUCUUAAAGAAAGCAAGUGAUAGCCAUUUGCUGGUGGCCGCACUUGUCGCCACUGUAUCCUUCGCAGCAGGUUUCACGCUACCCGGCGGUUAUAAGGAUAGUGACGGCAUGGCCAAGUUAAGCAACAAGCCUGGUUUUAAAGCAUUUGUUGUGUCAGAUUCCCUGGCCUUGGUGCUCUCUGUGACUGCUGUAUUGUGUCAUUUCUAUAAUGCAUUGGAGAAGAAAAAGGUCCACGUCACAUAUUUUCUAAGGUGGGCCUAUUGGUUCACCAAAUUGGGUGUAGGAGCAAUGGUGGUAGCAUUCUUUACCGGCUUGUACAGCGUACUGCCCCGUCACUCAGGGAUUGCCAUUUUUGUUUUGAUCAUCUGCAUCUGCUGUUCAGUUUUGAGCAUAACCUCUGGUAGGCCGAGAGUAAGAAAAUAUUUUUAGUUAAUUUUGAUUUUUUUUUAAAAUUAGAAUUUAUUAGGUUGAGUGAGAUUUUGUUUAUAUAUAUAUUAUUUGGAGUAAAAGAUCAUGUAGUAGUUAAAUAAGAUUAAUAAAAGUUAAUAAUUUUCUCUUGAUUUUCCUCUAGUUGGUUGUCUCUUUUUAUGUAAUUCAAUCCUUUCACUCCUAUGAAUUCGUAUCAGAAAAUUUAAGGGCUGAAACAAAAGGGUACACCAAUACCCUCUGGCGAAAUGCCUACAAACAACCUUAAUAUAUAACACCAAUACCCUCUGGCGAAAUGCCUACAAACAACCUUAAUAUAUAACACCUUGCAGCGAGAGAAGGGCUCGUAGAGAUCAUGAAGGCUCUUAGCGGUGCUGGAAAAGAACUUCUCAUAGAUAUUGAAAGUGGCACAUCAAUAUAUCCCGAUGUGGUUAACCAAUCAAUUAUCAAAGCAACAAGGGGUUUAACCAAAAAAAACAAAAGGCACAAACAAUCUCACAUGCUAAUGACUAUGGAGGAAAAAUAAUCUCGCAUAUUCUUUUCCUCAAUCUACAAUAUUCCUAUAUGAUUGACUUAUUAACAUUAGAAGUAUAACAUAUAGAGUGUUGAAUAACAAUUUUUAACCUAGCUAAACAAUGGGGUUAACCAAGUCAAAAGAAUAAUAAUAAAUGACAUCUUUGCUAUUCUCUUUUGAAGCCCUUCUCUCCGGAUCGAAUCUACCGUUCCUUUGAAUUAAACUUUUGAUCUUUCACAAAAACUAUUUUGAUAUAUUUGUUUGAGUAUAUAUGCUUGAUGGUUGAUUGUUUCAGUUGUUUGGAUGAAUUGUUUGAAUAGUUUAAAUGUUGUAUUCCAAGUAGUUAAUCUAGUUCCUUUUAAGCUGGCAUGCAUGAUCAAAUAUGACCGUUGAAAAUAGGGAGAAAAAUAAAAACAAGAAAAUUAAAAACAACUUAGAGAGUGUUUGAUUUUUUGGCUUUUUGCUGAAAACGAUUUGUUUUAAGAAUUUAAGUUGUUUGUUUUUCUACUUUUUUGACUUAUUAUAAACUUUUUAUUGAAUAAAAAAGCCUAAAUAAAAAAAAAAUAACAUAUUGGUUUUCUUUUUUUCUUUUUAAUAUUUAAUAAAAAUAAAAUACUAUAAAAACAAACAAUUCAAUAUUUAACACUAUUAAGUAUUAAGGUUCUAUUUAGAAUUAAGUAAAAAAACAAACACCACCUUAGUUUCUUAAUUUCUAAAACUCUUCUAUUUUUUUUUUCUUUUCAUUUUGUGGAUGUGUUGAUCAGAAAUGGUAAAAGAAAUCCUAAAAUGGAAGCCAAAUCUAACCAAAGAAGUGGAUGAAAAUGGGUGGUCUCGACUUUACUGUGCUGCAUAUUUAGGUUAUGUUUCAAAAGUGAGGCAAUUACUGGAUGAAUCUGAUAGGUUUGUAGUCUACUAAGGGUAAAAAAUGAUGACAACAAUGAAUGUGGGAGCACUUACAAAUGAGAAGAAUGUUGAAGGACGUCAAACACCUCUCCAUCUGCUUACCCAUUCCCAGCUGAGAUUUCCUUCUUUCAUAAGGAACAAGAAAGUAGAUAAGAUGACACUUAACAACCAAAACUUGACUGCUUUAGACGUAAUUUCAUCGACCGAGGAUUUAUUUGGACGAAAGGAAUGCCUGUUUAACUCUCGGUUAAUUUCCCAUUUGACUGAAAUUGAACUAGCCUUUUUAUCACGUUCUGCUACACAUUUGCUUUACAACUAAAUGCUCUUUAUAUAGAGCUAAUAAGCAACGGGUAAACAGAAUAUGCAAAAAAUUCCACUAUCUUCUAAAGACUAGAACAAUCUGAAAACCAGGCACUCUAAAUAAAAAUAUUAAGUAAAUGCUUCCAACAAUAUAUAUUAUAAGGUGCGUUGAAGCUGAGCUACUUCAAAUGACUUGGAGUAUGUAAGAGUAAAAUUAUUAAUAUUGUAUCGUCUAUAUAUUUUCUCUAAAAUGAUUUGACUGAUUAAACUUCAUUUUUGUAUUGUAUGACACCUGAAACGGGCCAAAGCCAUGAGUUUUGGGGGAAAAUAGCUUUUUUAUAGAAAAAAAAAAUAUAGGGUGUGGUCUAUUUGUAAAACUUAUAUUCAAAUUAACCCAUUUAUUGUCACAUAAGAGUCAUGUCAUAAUUUUUUUUUUUUUCCAAAAUUUAAGUUAAAACCUCAAUUGCUAAUCGAGGUUUCAAUUAAAUUUUUUUUUUCUUACUUCAAAAUUUAAUUAAAAAAUAUUAAAUUAUAAAUUAUUGUUGAAAUUAAAAAUAUAUACUUUAAUAAUAAAAAUUUUAUAUAUUUAAAUUUAAAGAUCUAGUAUUAUUUCAAUAAAGAUAAAUUGAUAAAUAUAAUAAUAAAUGAAUAUUUUAAUUAUCAAUAAAUUAAUAAUAUUAAAAUAACAAAGUUAUAUAACAUAUAAAUAAGAUAUAAAAUUUUAUAAUUUAUUAAUUUAAUUUAAUUUAUUUUUAAGAUAUAAAAUUAUAUGAUUUAUUAAUUUAAGUGAUAUCACAUGUAGUAUCUGCUACAAUUAGGAAGAGACUUUUUUUUCUCACUAUAUAAAUGUUUAGUAUGUAUUUUUUGUGACUUUGAUAGAACUACUAAAAAUUACAUUUUAUAGAAAACUUUUUUUAAUUAAUUUCAUUAACUAAUUUUGAAAUAUAUUUUCAAUGCAUAUAUGUUAUGUGUACAAAUAAUAGUCUUUAUAUAUAUAUAUAUAUAUAUAUAUAUAUAUAUAUAUAUAUAUAUAUAUAUAUAUAAUUAUAAACAUAUGCUUUAAAAUAAUAAAAAAUCAAUAUAUGGAAACUUAAGAGUAUAUUAUUAUUUCAAUAAAGAUAAAUUUGUCAAAAUACAAAUAAAUUAAUAUCUUAAAAAUACAACAAAUUAAAUAUCUUAAAUUAAUAAAUCAUAUAAUAUUAUAUUUUAUUUAUAUGUCAUAUAACUUUAUUAUUUUAAAAUUAUUAAUUUAUUGAUAAAUAAAAUAUUUGAUUUAUUAUUAUAUUUAUCAAUUUAUCUUUAUUGAAGUAAUAUUAGAUCUUUAUGUUUAAAUAUAUAAAUUUUUAUUAUUAAAGUAUAUAUUUUUAAUUUCAAUAAUAAUUUAUAAUUUAAUAUUUUAAAGUAGAAAAAAAAAUUAAUUGAACCCUCAAUUGAUAAUUGAAGGUUCAGUUUAAAAAUGAAGUAUUAGUUGUCAAUUGCGACUUUAGUUCAAAAAUAAAGGCUCAAUUGAUAAUUGAGGUUUCAACUUAAAUUUGAAAAAAAAAUUAUAUAUAUAUUGUGACAUAUCUUCUAUGUGAUAAUGAGGUUAUACCUUGUAAUUUUUAUUUUUAUUUUUUAUAAGGGGGUUAUUUUGCCCCAAAACUCGAAAGCUAGAGUCAGGCCUUUGUUGUGGCAGAAGACUAUGAGCAAAGACAAGGACCAGAAGACAACGUAUCUUUCUUAAAGAAAGCAAGUGAUAGCCAUGUGCUAGUGGCUGCACUCGUAGCCACCUAUCCUUCGCUGCAGGUUUUACACUGCUCGGCGGGUAUAUCAUGAUAGUGACGACACGACCAUUUUAAGCAAAAAGCCAGCUUUUCAAUCGUUUGUUGUGUCAGAUUCCAUGGCCUGGUGCGAGUUUAAGUUCAAAAUAAUCCAUUGGUAGAAAAAAAUGGCAAGAAUAGUACCCAUCUCAAAAUAUUUAUCAAAUUAAUCUUUUUGCAUCCACAUAAGCAUCUACAUGGAUUUUUUUUUUAAGUGUGUAAAACCACUGUUGAGGCCUCGCGUCCCUGGUGAUCCACGUAGUUGCCAAAUGGAUGGACGCACGAUCUCAACCAAUGUAGAUUCUUGAUUCAAUCGUACCUGCAAAAGGCGUCCGAACAAGGUGUCCGGACGCACCCUCCGAUGGUUUUGUUAGCCAUGGUAAGAGAGAUAAAUCAGUUGGCCUUUUUCUAGGUAUCGCCAGCUUACCUUCCUCUUUGUGUGAAGGUUCAUAUAUAUAGUAUCAGAAGUUUUGUUUCCCUCUUUAAUGGUAGGGAGAUAUUUUGGCUUGUCAUGAUGACACUAGGUGGUGGUAGGGCCAUCAUCACCCUACGGGCAGCUGACAGAGAUCGUGGGAGGCACUGCGACUGUCAAAGAUCGUGGGAAGUGAUCGUGGGAAGUGACUUGCCGUCACUUCAUUCUUAUCCUUUCACUCUGUAGGUGGCGAAACGUGGGCCAUGGCAGGCUGUUGUGAUGACGUGCAAGACUUGCUUACUUCAGUCAAUGAUUCGGACAAACAUGUCCGGAUAGUAUAUGUCGGUCGUCCGGAUGCGAUGUGGCGGUCGUCCGGAUGUUAUGCUUGUGAGUGUCAUGUGCCUCUCCUUGAGGGAGUCCGGAUAGGAGAAGCGUGCCACGUGUCAUUAGGGGGAGGGGUCCCUACAAUGCCCCCCUUUUUUAACUUGCCGAUUUUGCCCGAGUAAAAUGGGCGGGUUAAAAAAUAAUUGUUUUUUGAAACUGAGGUUACUUUUUCGCGUUCAUUGGGUCACGUGGCGAGCGGGGGCGAAGAGAGAGAAUAGCAUUUAUGAUAAGCCGCCGUCUCUGGGUAUUCCCAAGCAGCGUGUUAUUUCAAAUGAUGGCGUAGCUGAGCAUUUGGGAUACCGAGGGGCUGUCUCCCUAUAAAUAGUAGUCUGAGCCCUCACUUUGCAUUUUUCUGUCUGUGUUUUUCUCUUGUUUAGCUUUUUUUCUUCUACCUUCUGUGUAACUCCGUUUUUGAGUGAAGCUCUAGGGUUUUCUGUCGGCAAUAUUCGCGUCGUGACGGUGACUACAUUGCGGUUUUCAACCCUAUUUUUCCCGUUUUCACUCGGUACGUUCGCUUUUCUUGUCUUUUCCUUGCUGUGUUUUGUUUUGUUGGUUGUUUGCAAGUUGCUUGCGACUGGGUGUUGAUAUUGGUUUCUAGGGCUUUUUCGGGGGGUUUUUGACUGUUUUUCUGGGUGUGUUUAGGAUUUUUGUUGCCCCUCUGUAUUUUUUGUGGGUUGGCGGUUUUUCUUUGGGGUAGAGUCAAGGGUUUGGGAUGGGUAUGCUGGUGAUGUGAGGUUUUUCUGAGAGUUUCUGUCGUUUAGGGUUGUGGGGUCGGUUUGCUGUGUUUUGACUGUUGGUACUUCUUCCAUGCAGAUUUUUCUUCAGGCUUAGGCUAAAAAAUGUCUGCAAACAAGGAAGCUACCUCAUCUGGCCCGUCCGGAGAUGCUCAUGCUGAGAAAUCUGUUGAUAAGUUGAAUGUGGGGGAGUUUCGCGAACUCUUCUGUAUCCCAAAUGGUGUGCUCGUGGAACUUAUGGACGGAGAGGUCGUGUCAACUGAGAAGUCGGAGGACCAUGCCAUCGUGUUCACCAAGGAGCAGUUCAAUGUUGGGCUCCGGUUCCCUCUCCCGUCGCUGUUCAAGAAAUUCCUUCACUUUACUCAGAUUCCUCUAGCUUGCAUCCACCCCAAUAUGGUCCGGGUGCUGAUGGGAUGCAACACUCUAAGCAUGUUGUUCAACAUAGACCUCUCGCUGCUAGAGGUGCUUUUCGUCUACUCCCUUAAGAAGGGUAAAAAUGACAUUUUUAGCAUGGUUGCCCACCUGCCCUCUCUUCAACUAGUGACUGAGCUGCCGUAUUUGACGAAGGGAGGAGCGAAGGGACAUGUGUUGGUUCGGGGUGCCUGGGCGGGGCUACUGGAGCAUUCGGAGAGGUCAUUUUCCCCGAACCAUUCGUUGGUGCUUCCGGGUAAGUCAGCUUGCGGGGUUUGUCCGGCAUUUGUCUUGUUGUUUUUCUUGCUGGGGUUUAUCAGAUGGCUUAAUAUCUUUGGUUGCUGAUAAUGCAAGUCCGGACAGGAGGGGCCGCGUAGUCGAGUGGGUAGAAAAAGCGUCGUUCGCUCGACUGAACAAGUUAUUUGAGAUUAUUGUCGCUGAGAGGCAUUAUGAGACGCUGCUCACUGCGCGGAACUUGUUGGCUGUUGUCCGGGAGUCCCAAGCGUACGUCAUCAAUAUUCUCCCAAGGAAGCUGCCAAAUAAGGUAGUGCCUGAGGAGCAUUACGUUCUGAAAUACCUCAAUUUCUGUAAGGAGGUGCAAAAGGUCGACGCUCAGAAACUCCAAGCACUCCUUGACGAUCGGGAGGGGAGGAGGAAAGAGGGAACUUUACGGAAGGCUCCUGGUAAAAAACGCUCCGCACCCUCUCUUCCUGCUGGCGCCCCAACGAAAAAGAAGAACAAGAAGAAGCUGGUUCUUAAUAAGGGAAAAGAAAUAAAACUUUCAACUCCUCCGAAGGAGUUUGUAAUUCCCCCUUCAACUUAUGUGAAGGAAGUAACAAUAAGAGAGCCGGAACACCCCGUCCCGCCCUCUAUUUCAAGCGGCUCCGGACGUCUUACGGGUCUAAACCACUCAAGGCCUUCAUUGUUAGCGGCUGGGCGUCUGGCCCUUCUGGCUGAGGAGACAACUUCAAUAAAUCAGCCCGGCUCUCCCCAUCCGGAUGCAGAUGCAGCUGGGGCUUCUUGUGCUGCCGCAUCGCCUCUUUCGGCACCCCCAAUAGAAAAAAUGGGGGCAGAAAGUCAAGGUUUACCUCCUUGCGGGCCAAGCCCCCUUGCCCUUGUACCGGUGAAGGGGCCAGCUACAAAGAGGUCGCAUUCGGCGCGUGACUUAAAGUGUGACCUCAUCGGGCGGCUUCAGGAUCGUUUUCUGGAAACCAUCGAAGUCAGCUGCUCGUCCGCCUAGGAGGAUCAUCCGGAGGGUAGUGAGACGGAGAUGGCAGAAGAGAACCCAACUGCCCCGAUGCUGGUCCCGGAUGAGGGUUCACCAGGAGAGACCUAGCCGACCGAAAAUGAGGGGGCCCCAGACCAGGAGGAGGAGUCACUUUCUAAUGCUUUAUCAGGGGAGAGUCCCAUUGAUGAUGCGGCUUGCAUCUCUGCUAGCUCUUUCAGCUACGCGGAGUUGGAAGAGAAGCUGAAACGGAUUCCACCUGGCUCAGAUGUUGCUAUGCCUUCAGCAAAAAUGUUCGAAGCAGUGGAAAUGGUAUAGUUUGCUUUCUUGAUUUUUUUUCUCGCGAUACUGAAGUGUUUGUGGCAUGGUUUGUAACUUUGUUCUUUUUGUUUGUGUGUUUUUCUGCAGCUGGUGAGCGGUCUUCGCGACAUGGCCCAACAACAUGACCUGUUUUCUAACCUACUGCGGACCGCUGAUUAUAUGAAGGCCUUCGCCUCUCAACGCAAAAACAGUGAAGAGGAGCUGCGCUUGAGACUGGAGCAGGCCGAAGCCAGUUUAUCCGCUGCUCGAGAGGACAGCGAGGCUCUCCGGGUAGAGCUUGCUGAGGCAAAGAGCCGAGAGGAAUCUGUGGACGCCCACCUGCAUGAGGCGGAAGACGAGAUGGCCCUUCUGAGGGGGGAGGUGAGGCAACUCCGGACGGAAGUAUCGAUCGAGAAAAAGCAGAGAGAGGAUUUGCAGCUGCGUUUAUCAGCUCAAAAAGAAGAGCUGGAGGUUGAGUUUGCUGCAGAAAGGGAGGAACUUGAAGCGGAGUACCAGAAGCAAGUAGAUGAAAUGUACUUCUUCGGCUAUCGCUGCUGUAUGAAGAAACAUGGUAUCAAGCGGGACGUCCCUUCAAUUCCCCCGGGUGAGGAGGAGAAGCUGCGCGGCAAGCCUGCUCAAUGAGAGCUUUUCUUUUUGUAAUUUUUUUUACUGCUAUCUUCUCUCUGUAUUUUGUAGUCCGGAGAACUCUUUGUAUAUAAUUUUUGCAAGUAUUCAAUAAAACAUACUUUUUCCCAGAUUGCACUUCUAUUUCUUUCAUUGGUAGUACUGCUUUAAAUUGGACACAUUCCAUGGUCUGAGUAAUGGGGUUCCGUCUAGCUUUUGUAGAUGAUAAGCUCCACUCCCACUUGCCUUAGAUACUAUAUAGGGGCCUUCUCAGUUGGCUUGAAAUUUUCCUACUCCUAUCUCAGUAGUAUUUUCAAAAACUUUUCUAAGGACCAGCGUACCAUUUUUAAAGCUUCUAGGCCUUACUUUGUGAUUGUAAUGAGCUGAUGCCCUUUGUUGAUAGUCUACCAUCCAGAUGGAUGCGGUUUCCCUUACUUCGUCUGCCCAGUCCAAGUUUUGUCCUAAUUCCGCAUUUGCAUCAUCCUGUUUUCCUGCCUCAGUCCGAAUAGUGGGUAGCCCUAUUUCAGUAGGAAUGAUUGCGUCCAUACCGUAUGCGAGGGCGAAGGGAGUGUUUCCUGUCAGACGUCCGGGUGUGGUUCGAUAAGCCCAUAGAACGCUGGGUAACUCCUCCACCCAUUUUCCUUUGGCUUGCUCGAGCCUUUUCUUUAGGGCAGUGAUUAGAAUCUUGUUUGUGGCCUCUGCUUGCCCGUUACUUUGAGGAUAACGCGGUGUGGAGUAUGAAUUCCGGAUGUUUAGUUCUGAACAGAAAUUCCGGAAUGCGAUGCUAUCAAACUGUGGACCGUUGUCGGCUACAAUGGUUUGGGGAUUCCGAAGCGGCAAAUGAUGUUUUUCCAUACGAAUUUGGUGACAUCUUUGUCUUUGAUGCUAGCAUACGCUUCAGCUUCCACCCAUUUACUGAAGUAAUCCGUGGCAACAAGUAGGAAUUUCUUCUGGGUGGGUGCGGUUGGGAGGGGUCCCACUAUGUCCAUGCCCCACUGUGCGAAGGGUCAGGGGCCUAAAAUUGGUUUCAGUGUUUCCAACGGCACAUGUGGUAUGGGGGCAUGCCUUUGACAUUUGUCGCAUUUUUUGACAUAGUCUGCCGCGUCCUUUUUCAUUGUGGGCCAAUAAUAUCCUUGCGAAUGGGCCCUGUGCACUAGAGAUUGUCCUCUAGAAUGAUUUCCACAUACUCCCUCGUGCAAUUCAGCUAAUACAUAUAGGGUCUCUGAAUGAUUUAGGCACCGGAGAUAGGGGUCUGUGAAGGACCGCUUGUAUAAGUGCCCCCCAAUCAAGGUGAAACGGGCGGCUUGCACUCGGAUCUUAUGUGCCUGUUUGGGAUCCUCGGGCAGAGUGCCUGUCCGGAGGUACCCUAUAAUGUCGUUCGUCCACUCUUGGCCGUCUACUUGUUUUGCCGCAAUGGUGUUGCAAGUGGACGCUUCCACGACGGAAGGGUUGGUUUGCACAUGUAUAGGCAACAAUAUGGCUUCUUUGAUGGGGAGGGAGGCAGCUAUGCCUGCCAAGGCGUCGGCGCGCCCAUUUUCAGUUCGUCUGAUUUUUUCGAUCGUCCACUCGGUGAAUCGUUGUAAGGUGUCCCUUACUUUAGUUAGAUAUUGCGUCAUGCGCGCAUCUUUAGCUUCGUAUUCCCUCUAAACAUGCCUUACUAUGAGUUGCGAAUCACUAUAGACCCGGAGCUUGGAGACGGAUAGAGCCAGAGCAAGGUCCAAUCCGGAUAAGAUGGCCUCAUACUCCGCUUCAUUGUUGGAGGCGGGGAAUCUGAGCCGGAUGGCUUGCUUCAGAUGUUCCCUUGUCGGGGACUAUAGCAGAAGCCCGACUCCGGACCCUGAUGAUCGUGAGGCUCCAUCGACUCACAAAGUCCACCAUUCUUCUUCGCUUGGUUCCUUGCGUUGGAUAGGCUUUCGGGCGUAUUUCAGCACGAAGUCAGCCAUCACUUGGCCUUUCAUGGAUUAUCUAGGUUGGAAUUCGAUUCCAAAUUCGCUUAAUUCUAUGGCCCAUUGAAGCAUUCUUCCGGUUAAGUCUGGCUUGUGUAGAAUGUUGCGAAGGGGUUGGUCAGUUAGCACGACCACCGGGUGGGCUUGGAAAUAGGGGCGGAGCUUCUGGGCAACACUUCGAAGGGCUAAGGCCGUUAGCUCCAUUUUUGAAUACCUGAUUUCUACGUCCGCCAACGCUCUACUGACGUAGUAGAUAGGUUUCUGCUCCUUGGGUGAGGGGCAGUGGAAUAGAACAGCGCUGAUUGUCCACUCCGAUACAGCCAGAUACAUGUACAAUUUUUCUUUAGGGAUGAGGCUGCUCAGGAUGGGCAGCUGCAUAAGGCAGUGUUUAAUUUUUUCAAAAGCGUUUUGACAGCUGUCCGUCCAUCCGUUUGCUCCAGCUUUUCGUAUUGCUAAGAAGAAGGGUCGCAGUUCAUCAGUGAAGCGUGCUAUAAAACGCCCUAGUGCGACAAGCUUGCCUGUGAGGCGUUGUAACUCCUUCUUGCUCCUGAGGGGAGGUGUUUCUAUGACUGCCUUGACUUGAUCCGGGCAAACCUCUAUCCCUCUUUGGCUGACCAUAAAUCCCAGGAAUUUGCUAGCACUUACGCCAAAGGCGCAUUUAGAAGGAUUCAACUUCAUGUCAUACUUCCUCAAGAGGUAAAAAAACUUCUUGCAAGUGGAGGACAUGUUCCUCUCGGGUUUUGUUUUUAACCAUGAUAUCAUCAAUAUAUACUUCUACUGUGUGGCCUAUCAGAGGUUUGAAGAUCUUUGUCAUCAGUCUCUGAUAAGUGGCGCCAGCGUUUUUGAGUCCGAACGGCAUGACUCUAUAGCAAUAGAGGUCGUGUGGCGUUAUGAAUGCUGUUUUUUCUUCGUCAGUCGGGGACAUGGGGAUUUGGUGAUAUCCGGAGAAGGCGUCCAAGAAAGAGAGCAUCCCUUGCCCAGUAGUGGAAUCCACAAUUUGAUCUAUCCGCGGCAAAGGGAAACUGUCUUUUGGGCAUGCAUUAUUGAGGUUGGUGUAGUCGACGCACACCCGCCAUUUGCCUUCUUUUUUGGGUACCACCACUACAUUUGCCAACCAGUCCGGGUAAUCUACUUCUCUGAUGAAUCCGGCUUCUAGCAAUUUGUCAAUCUCAUUCCGGAUAAUUUUUUGUCUGUCCGGGUGAAAACGCCUAACCUUCUGUCGGAUGGGUCUGGCUGUUGGCAAGACGUUAAGCCUGUGAGAGGUAAUAGAGGGAUGAAUUCCCUUCAUAUCAGAAUGUGCCCAUGCGAAGACGUCAUGGUUUCGUCUGAGGGCGUUCUACAUGUUCUGGGUCUCUUCUGGUGUCAUGAGGGAACUGAUGUUAGUAAGGUGAAUACCUUCUCUCGAAAUUUGGAUUGUUUGCAAGGGAUCCGCUGCCGGGGGAUCUUUGUCCGCCAGACCCAAUAAUUGCUAUUGGUCACGUGCAUGGCUGGACUCAGGGAGGGAUGCAUCCUCCUGGCUGGUCCCUGCUUCUCGUGCUAUCUGGUAGCAUUGGCGAGCGGCUAACUGGCUGCCAUAUUUGUCAAUUUGCCCGUCGUUGGUAAGGAAACUCACCAUUUGAUGAUAUGUAGAGGGGAUGGCUUUCAUGUAGUGUAGCCAUGUGCGCCCCAAGAUGACAUUGAAGGGCGAUAAAUCUUGUACCACCGAAAAUUGUACGUUGAGAGUGACUGGGCCAGCUUGGACCGGCAGUACAAUGUCUCCCAAGGAAGUAGUUGACGACCCGUUGAAUCCGGACAGGAUUCGCCUAGGGUUUUCAAGGCCCGUGAGAUUGUGCCCCAUGUGGCUAACGACCGAUGCUUGCACAAGAUCGGUCGAGCUGCCCGGGUCAACUAGAAUGCAUCUCACGUCAAAAUCUCCUAUCUCUAGGGAUAGGAUGAGGGCGUCGCGGUGUGGCUGUAGUGUCCAAGUGGGGUCUAUUGGUGGGAAAAUGAUUGUCCCAUCUAUGGGGCGAGGGCCCCCUCCAAUUAGUCCAGGCCGGAUGGAGUUGAUACGCUCGCGUACUGAUGCAGCCCGCAACAACUUUUGUCUCUUUCGUUUGGAGUCAUACUCCUCGUCAGAUGGGCCUCCGUUAAUAUAAUUUAUAAUGGCCUUGGGGGCGGCUGGGGCCCUGGGGGCUCCAGAGUUGUGAUUUUGGGAAGUGUCUCUUCCUUCGGCAUCUAAGCGGAGGUAUUGCUUUAAAUGUCUCACCUUGAUGAGCCUUUCGACCAAAUAAUGGAGGCACCUGCAUGUCUCUGUUGUGUGACCAUAUUCCUUAUGGAAGGCACAUCUUUUGCUAUGAUCUCUUUUGGAUGGGUCCGUUCCGAGGGGUCUAGGCCACCUGAAGUUGGACAAGCCUUGGAUCAUAGGGAGAAGUUUCUCAUAUGAUAUGGAAAGAGGCGUGAGGGGCGGCCUUUCCGGGCGACUUGGCCCUUCCUACCUUCGGUCGGACGGCCUUGGCCAGUCCGGAAGUUUGGCACCUCUUUCCGUGCCACUUCUAGAUGCCUGUCCAGCAACCAAGACUUGUUGGGUGGCUGCUCGUACGUCAUCUUCGAGCAUUGAGUAUUUGUUUGCACGUCUGAACAAGUCGUCCAUCGUUGUAGGAGGCCUGGACAGAUACUUCGCUUGAAGAUCUGUAGGACAGCAUCCAUGCUGUAAGCCUCUACCUGAAGUACGGCUUGACCAAACCGCUUCACGAACUCCCUUAAGGAUUCAUUAUCUUGCAUUUUUAUGUUUUGCAGAGUGCUGAUGUUCUGCGUAUGUCGAGCGGAGCAUAAGUAUUGUCCCACGAAAGCUUCGGACAGGUCCCUGAAAUUGUCAACAGAGUUGAGAGGUAGGCGAUGAAACCAUGAGAGGGCCUGCCCUUAUAGGCUGGUAGGGAAUACUUUGCACAGCAAUGCGUCGUUGCCAAUAUCGAGCGUCAUGAGCUGUCGAUAAUGCAUGAUAUGGUCGAAGGGGUCGUUGGACCCAUCGUAUGUGGAAAAUUUUGGUACGAGGAAUCCCCUUGGGGGCUCGUAAUGAAUGAUAUGAGAGCAGAAAGGCGUGGAGAGCAUGUCGUCCAGCCUUUUGCUGAUGGAGCCAAUGGGUGGCUCGUUUGGGAGGUUUCUCCCAACUUGUCGUACCGCUAGGUGCGGGUGAACGUUCCGCACCAUGGGGGUGACCAUAGGGUCACGGUGCAAGAGCACGUUCUGCACCAUGAGGGUGACCAUAGGGUCAGGGUGCGCUGCCCAGGUUGUGGCUACUAGUGGCCUUGGUCUCCCAAGCUCUUGUGGACCUAGUCUUGCUCGCAUUGAAUUUGACAACUGGGAUUUUCUAUCACGUUGUCUUUUUGCGGAAAAAUGAGUAGAGUCCGAGCUUUCCUCACGGGGAGCUCGAGGCAUGGGCGUGUGUGGCUCAUGUGGCCUCACGUUGUAUGUUUCUGGGAUAGCUCCCGCUGUCCCAGGAUAUAUUGACUCUGGUUCUGGCCUUGAGUUUACUACCUAGCCUCUUGAAUGUUGACGACAGGGAGGCCCCCAUGUUGAAGCCUGGAUGCGUAGUACCGCGUUUUCUUCUCUUAAUCUUUCUGUCUCCUGGAGGAGAGCUUUCAGUUGUCGUUUGCUUGCCAACUGUCUUCUUUCGAUGGCUCAGCGCCAUUCAGAAUUAUCUUCCUCUCCCCUACUAGAUGAACGGCUUCGGGAAGAUGUGGUCAUCUUUGCUAGUGACUGAAUCAGUGAUAUUUUCCCACAGACGGCGCCAAUGUUGAGGCCUCGCAUCCCUGGUGAUCCACGUAGUUGCCAAAUUGAUGGACGCACGAUCUCAACCAAUGUAGAUUCUUGAUUCAAUCGUACCUACAAAAGGAGUCCGAACAGGGUGUCCGGACGCACCCUCCGAUGGUUUUGUUAGCCAUGGUAAGAGAGAUAAAUCAGUUGGCCUUUUUCUAGGUAUCGCAAGUUUACCUUCCUCUUUGUGUGAAGGUUCAUAUAUAUAGUAUCAGAAGCUUUGUUUCCCUCUUUAAUGGUAGGGAGAUAUUUUGGCUUGUCAUGAUGACACUAGGUGGUAGCAGGGCCAUCAUCACCCUACGGGCAGCUGACAGAGAUCGUGGGAGGCGUUGCGACUGUCAGAGAUCGUGGGAAGUGACUUGUCGUCACUUCAUUCUUGUCCUUUCACUCUACAGGUGGCAGAACGUGGGCCAUGGCAGACUGUUGUGACGUGCAAGACUUGCUUACUUUAGUCAAUGAUCCGGACAAACAUGUCCAGAUAGUAUAUGUCGGUCGUCCGAAUGCGAUGUGGCGGUCAUCCAGAUGUUAUGCUCGUGAGUGUCGUGUGUCUCUCCUUGAGGGAGUCCGGAUAGGAGAAGCGCGCCACGUAUACUCUUGGGGAAAUCCGGAUGAGGGUAAUCCGAAUGAGAAUGCGUGUCACGUGUCAUUAGGGGGAGGGGUCCCUACAACCACCGUUGGUGACUGUGGUUUUAAAAGUUUUAUAAAUAUCCUUAAAACCAUAGUCUGUAACUGUGGUUUUACAAUUUUCCUUAGAACCACAGUUAGUAACUGUGGUUUCAAAAUUAUUUUUAGUUCAUUCAUGUUUUAAUAGUAUUAUGAUUUUAAUAUUAUUUUUAAAAUAUUUUUUUUAUCAUAAUAACCAUAAACCACCGUUAUUAAGGAGUAACCUAAAAUCAUAAUUACUAAUAUUAAUUUUUAUAUGAAAAUAUAAAAUUUUAAAAUAAUAUAAAUAAUUUAUUUAAUUAUUUUAAAAUUUAAAAAUAAUAUAAAAAAAUAAUUUUCUUUAAUUCAUAUGUGAUAAAAUUCAUAAAACAAAUAAAUAUUUUAUUUACCAUAAAUAUAUAAAUUUUUAUGGGAAUGCAGACAAAAUUAUUUUCUCAAAAUUUCAAGGAAAAUAUGAAAAAAUAAAGAUAAUAUAUAUAUAAUUUUAAAACAGUCGUAAAGAAAAAAUUUAUUAAGGAUAAUUUGUAAAAAAAAAAAAGUAACUUUAAACGAAAAUUGUAAGAAAUUUUGAAAAUAUCCUUAAAAAUCACUGUCAUAGACUGUGGUUUUACAAAAAAUUUUAAAACCACAAUUACUAACUGUGGGGUUUCACAAAUAUCUUUAAGGGGAACUCAUGUAACCAUACAUCAACUAAAAAAAUAUGAGAUUUUAAAACUUUGCUUUUUUAUUUUUAAUUUUAGUGUAAAUUAUGGAUGUACCAAAAUUCCUUAACGAUGUACCAGAUUUUCUUAAAGUUCUUUUGGAGUGAGAAAAAUUUCUUACAAUUUUCCAUUGUUAGUUUUAAAUUAUUUUUAUUUACAAAUUAUCCUUAAUAAAUUUUUUCUUUACGACUGUUUUAAAAUUAUAUAUAUAUUAUCUUUAUCUUUUCAUAUUUUCCUUAAAAUUUUGAGAAAAUAAUUUCGCCUGCAUUUCUAUAAAAAUUUAUAUAUUUAUGGUAAAUAAAAUAUUUAUUUUGUUUUAUGAAUUUUAUCACUUAUGAAUUAAAGAAAAUUAUUUUUUCAUAUUAUUUUUAAAUUUUAAAAUAACUAAAUAAAUUAUUUAUAUUAUUUUAAAAUUUUAUAUUUUCAUAUAAAAAUUAAUGCCAAUAAUUAUGAUUUUAGGUUAUUCCUUAAUAAAAGUGGUUUUAUGGUUAUUAUAGUAAAAAAUAUUUUAAAAAUAAUAUUAAAAUCAUAAUAUCAUUAAAACAUAAAUGGAUUAAAAAUAAUUUCUGAAACUUGUAAAACCAUAGUCACCAACGAUGGUUCUAAGGAAAAUUGUAAAACCACAGUCACAAACUGUGGUUUUAAGGAUAUUUUUUAAACUUUUAAAACCAUAGUCACCAACGAUGGUUUUACACACUUAAAAAAAAAUUCAUAUAGAUGCUUACGUGGAUGCAGAAAGAUUAGUUUGACAAAUAUUUUGAGAUGGGUACUAUUCUUGCCAUUUUUUUCUACCAAUGGACUAUAUUGGACUUAAACUCGCCUGGUGCUCUCACAAACAGUUGCAAGUCAUAGCAUUGCUAAUUAAGGUGGACGUACUGGCUCACAAAGUUGGCUGUGGGAGCAAUGGUGGUAGCAUUCUUGACCGGCUCGUACACUGUACUGCCCCAUCACGGGCAUUGCAACUUUUAUGUUGAUCAUCUGCACCUGUUGUAUAUCUUUCAUCUUAUGCACUAAUGAAAGCCAAAAUGAAAAGAAUAUUGCCCAAGCAGAAUCUUUUUGGAAAGUAAAUUUGAUUUUUGGAAAGUUCCUCAAAAUUAGGAUUUAUUUUUUUAUUUUUUAAAAUAAAUAGAAUAUUUUUAAAAAGUAUUGUUGAGCUCACUCAUUGCAAGUAAACUUGCUUGUCCAUUUUCCUCUUUUCCUUUGGAUUGGUCGGGAAAAAAAGCUGUAUGUUGUCUAUUUACUGAGUAAGAAUAUUUGAAGUAUUCACUAAAUGAGAAUUUAUUAAAUGAAUAAUUAUAAUGAUUAUUAGUCAAGAAUGUGAGACAGCCAAAAAGUGGAGUUAUUUUGCGUGGUAUAAAUAAGGGAGAUGGCUUUGAAGAUGAGGAUCUAACAACCCAACAAGAAAAAAAAAACACACAUAUAUUAAUUUGAUAGAAAGACCAUUCAUUUAGGUUCCUUCUCAUCAUGUUCUCCUUGAUUGUCGCUAGUGCUCAACUUCUUAAUUAAUUUUAUUUACUAAUUCUGUAAUAUUAAAACUAAUUUUUAAAUUUUAAUAUUAAGAUUGAAUAGAAUAUAAAUAUUUAGUAUCUCAAAAAACCUACCACAUUGACAACUUGUGAUCAAGUCGGACCAAUUGAAAGAUAAAAGGAACAAACACAAAAGUAAAUGGUCAAAUUUGUACACCUAACUAACAAUUAAAUUAAAAUAAUAAUCAAUGUCUAACUAAAUUAAUAAGAUAAUAAAAAAAGGUGUCAAUGAGUCAUUAGUAAAAUAAUAAUCAAUUUCUUCAUCUAGCAGCAAUAUAAUAAAUGAAUCUAAUAAAAGGAAAACAAAUAAUUAGUCGUGUUUCCACAAAGAAUGACAAAGUUUGAUAUAAUUAACUAAUAUGAUUCAAACUCAACACAUUUUUUAUUGAUUUGGAUUAAGUAUAAUUAUAUUUGGAUUAAAUUCAUAUCAACCUCUAUAAAUUUUGAAAUAGCAAUUCAUCCACAUAUACUGUUCCACUCAUUUGAAAAACUUUGAAUUAAGUUCAUCACAAUAAAUAUCAUUUAAGCCCAACUCUUCAAGAAGUGGAAGGCAUAGAAAGCUUUAGCCAAAAUUUGUCAUAUUAUCCAUGACACCUCCCAAACUCUUCGCAUUUCAAUGGUGGGACUCACAAGGUUGCUUUCGUCAUUCCAACUUGUGACUUGUUUAUUGAGAGGUUGGUGGUGGUGGGAAUGAUUUUAAUUUAUAAAAUAUGAUUUCCAUAUAUUCUAAAAAUUUGUAAAAUGAUUGACCUUUGUGUCAUUUAAAAUUUGUGCACCUAUUCAUCAAAUUAAGUAUUUAAUGAAAUAUUACUUAAUUUAUUUAAAUAUAUAUUUUAUAAUUAAUUUUGAAUGCAAUUAGACAAUGAUUUAAGACUUAAGUAGUAUUUAAUAAAAAUUAAUACUUAAUACAUAAUUAUUUAACAUUUAACCGUCAACUUAAAACUUAUUAUCAAUUAUUAUUUUAAGAAUUAGAAGUAUUUAUAAAAAAUUUAUAUAUAUAUAUAUAUAUAUACUAUUAAAUUAAUAUAUUUAUUUUCAUUGGUACUAAAUAAUGAGAUUAUAAGAGAAAAAAAGAAAGAAAUAUCUCAAGGUUCCUUUCAUUUUUCAACUUGUAAAACUUGUUUAUCGAGGAGUUGGUGGUGGUGGGAAUGAUUUAAAAUUUUUACUUAAUUUUUUAUUUGCCUCUAGGAUGGACAAAUUUAAACAUCAUAAUUAUUUAGACCAAAGCAAUUGUUUAAAUGUACAGAAAAGACAGUUGUGAUAUGAUUGACCUCUGGAUCAUUUUAAAAUUAAUUUAUGCACCUAUUCGUUAAAGUACGUAAAAGUAUCAUAAACAUUAAAAUAAGUUGUUUUUAGGACGUUAGGUCAUUUAAAAUUAAUUUACGCGCCUAUUCGUCAAAGUACUUUAAAGUAUCAUAAACCUUAAAAUAAGUUGCUUUUAGGAUGGUCGGUCAUUUAAAAUUAAUUUACGCAUAAAUAAGUUGCUUUUAGGAUUGUAGGUCAUUUAAAAUUAAUUUACGCGCAAAUAAGUUGCUUUUAGGAUUGUAGGUCAUUUAAAAUUAAUUAACGCACCUAUUCGUCAAAGUACCUAAAGGUGUCAUAAAUCUUAAAAUAAUUUGCUUUUAGGACGGCGGGUGAACCUUAAAAUAAGUUGCUUUUAGGAUUGUGGGGUCAUUUAAAAUUAAUUUAUGCGCCUAUUAGUCAAAGUACCUAUUGGUAUCAUAAACCUUAAAAUAAGUUGCUUUUGGGAUUAAGAUAAGGCAAACAACUGACCACAUUUGCUCAUGCACGAGAACAUUAUAUAUAUUUGGAUGUUAGGUGCAUGAUGUUAUGAUAGAAAAGAAAAGAUAAGUUAAAUCAACAUGAAGACCAUUCAUUAUAGAAUUCAUUGCAUCAAAGACAUACUUGAUUGUAAUUUAUAUUACUUACCCCUCUAGUAAUUUUUAUCUUAUUAGAUAUAGAGAUAAAUGUGUAAAGGCUUAUAUGAUCAAAAGAGCUACUAUGUCUUAUUUAUUUGGACCUUAUAGAAGUAAUCAGUUGUCACAUUUUCAAUUGGUAAAAUGGAGUUUAACAACACCAUAUGUCUGUUAUGUAAUUUGAUUAAAAAAAUUGAUCGAAAAAACUUAAUUUGUCAUAAGAAGUAAUAGAAAUUUUUCUUAAUAACAAAUCAACAAUCACAUUUUUUAAAGAAUCUAAUAUUUUAUGAAUGAAGUAAUUACGUUAACAAAAAAAUAUCAUUUGUAUUGUGAAAAAAGAAAUACAAUUAAAAUUUAUAAAGUAUUAUAAUCAAUUAGAAAGACACUUAAAUUUGAAAAUUUUAGAAGACAAAAAAUGUUACUAAUUUGAGUUAUAAAUUAAUCAAGUUUAAGGGGGUAAAUUAAAAUGUAAAGUUGAAUUUGAUAAAUUUUCAAAAAUAGAUUUUUAUUUUAUUUAAUAUGAAUAUGUAUAAAUUAAUAGAAGGAUGUUUAAGAGUUCAACAAGAGUGAGAGAAUAAUUUUGGCUAAAUUUUCUCCUAUUAGUUAUCUCCCUUGGUAGAAUUAUCUUGAAGUACUAGUACUGUAUAGUGUCAUGCACGACAUGGAGACUCUUGGUCCAAUAGGCAUACAAAUGAAUCAUUGCAUUUGAAAAAACGAAACAAAUAUAAAACGAUAAAAAAGAGGAAAGUGACUUGGGACCACAGCCUUGUGGAGGCAUUCGCACCUGUUCCCUUUGCUGUUGAUAUAAGACGCAGAGGCGGUGGAUUGUGGUAUCGUGAAAGAUUUGAGAGAGGUGGAGACGGCUGUAGAGCUUUAGCACACCAAUGGAUCCAUCCACAUCCACUUCCACUUCCACUUCUACUUCCAGCCAUGCUUUAGAAUUACAGAACCUUAACUCAGUUUCUAGUGGGAACCAGGAGGAUUUCACAUGCAUGGCUCCUGAAAUUUACAGGGCUGCUGCAGAAGGCGACACCAAUAUCCUCGAGGGAAUGCCUAGCGCUGACCUUCGAGUCCAAUUAACACCCAAUAAGAACACCGUCCUCCACAUUGCAGCGCAGUUGGGUCAACUGAAGUGCGUUGCAUGGAUCAUUCAGCACUACUCAGUGGAUUCGUCCCUACUGCAGUGCCCCAAUCUGAAAGGGGACUCCCCCCUCCACCUUGCAGCGAGAGAAGGGCAUCUAGAGGUCGUGAAGGCUCUUAUCCGUGCUGCAGAAACAGUUUCCGAAAGGGAUUCUGAGAGUGGGAUUGGAGCAGAUAAGGCCAUCCUGAGGAUGACCAACAAUGAGAAUGACACAGCGUUGCAUGAGGCAGUCCGGUAUCAUCAUCCUGAGGUGGUGAAGUUGUUGAUCGAGGAAGAUCCCGAGUUUACAUAUGGUGCAAACCUUUCUGGUGGGACUCCUCUAUACAUGGCUGCUGAGAGAGGGUUUAGAGACUUGGUGAAAAUAAUCAUAGAGAAUACUACUCUCAUUCCACCGGCUCACACUGGCCCCAUGAGGAGAACAGCUUUGCAUGCAGCUGUGGUUUGCCAUGACCCAAGUACGCAUAUUCUUUUCAUCAAUCUACAAUAUUCCUAUGUGAUUGACUUAUUAACAUUACAAGGAUAACAUAUAGAGUGUUGAAUAACAAUUUUUAACAAUGGGGUUAACCAAGUCAAAAGAAUAAUAAUAAAUGACAUCCUUACCGUUUUCUUUCGAAGCCCUUCUCUCCAGAUUGAAUCUACCGUUUCUUCAAAUUAAACUUUUGAUCUUUCACAAAAAAUAUUUUGAUAUAUUUGUUUAUAUAUGCUUGAUGGUUGAUUGUUUCAGUUGUUUGGAUGAAUUGUUUGAAUAAAAUUUUAAAUGUUGAUCUAGUUCCUUUUAAGCCGACAUGUACGCAUGAUUAAAUGUUGAUCUAGUUCCUUUUAUUUUAUAUGUGUUGAACAGAAAUGGUAGAAGAAAUUCUGAAAUGGAAGCCGGAUCUAACAACAGAAGCAGAUGAAAACGGGUGGUCUCCACUUCACUGCGCUGCAUACUUGGAUUAUGUUUCAAUAAUGAGGCAAUUACUUGAUAAAUCUGACAAGUCUGUAGUCUACUUAAGGGUAAAAAACGAUGACAACAAGACAGCUCUUCAUAUUGCGGCCACUCGUGGAAACAAGCGCACAGCAAAACUGUUGGUGUCACGCUAUCCAGAUUGUUGUGAGCAAGUGGAUAUCAAUGGAAAUAAUGCUCUUCACUUAUUCAUGAUGCAAAGAAGAUUUUUCAUAAGCUUGUUAAAGAUUCCUUGGAUGAAUGUGGGAGCACUUAUAAAUGAGAAGAAUGCUGAAGGACAAACACCUCUCCAUCUGCUUGCCCAUUCCCAACUGAGAUAUCGUCCAGCUUACAUAAAGAACAAGAAAGUAGAUAAGAUGAUACUUAACAGCCAAAACUUGACUGCUAUGGACGUAAUUUCAUCGGCUGAGGAUUUAUAUGGACACAAGGUAAGCCUAUCUAACUCUCAAUUAAUUUUCCAAAUAGCUAGUAAUUGGUGCACAUACAAGUAUGCUAAGUAUAUAUGUCGAAUUAUAAUAUAAUUAGUACUAUUACUAAAUUGAUACUUAGAAUGGUAAAACCAUCAAUUAUAUUACUAAGUCAAAUGAAAUGGUAGUACAUGUUUAGUAUUCAAUAAAAAAGGCAAAGCAAGAGACAACAAGAUUUGACUAAAAUUGAACUAGCCUUUUUAUCACGUUCUACUACACAUUUGCUUUACAACUAGAUGCUCUUUAUGUAGAGCAAAUAAGCAACAGAUAAGUAGGAAUAUGCAACAAACUUCAUUAUCUUCUAAAGACUAGGACAAUCUGAAAACCAGGCACUAUAAAUAAAAAUAUUAAGUAAAUACUUCCAACAGUACAUUAUCAGGCGCAUUGAAGCCAAGCUACUUCAAAUGAUUUGGAGUAUGUAAAAGUAAAAUCAUUAAUAUUGUAUCCUCUAUAUAUAUAUUUUCUAUAAAAUGAUUUGACUGAUUAAAUUUCAGGCUGUUAUUGUACGGCACCUGAAAUGGGCCAAAGCCAGAGUCGGGCCUUUGUUGCGGCAGAAGACUAUGAGCAAAGACAAGGACAACAAAGACGAGGAUAACAACGAAAGAAAACGUAAUAAAGGUUUAGACGUAUCUUUCUUAAAGAAAGCAAGCAAUAGUCAUUUGCUAGUUGCCACACUCGUAGCCACUGUAUCCUUCGGAGCAGGUUUUACAUUGCCCGGUGGGUAUAAUAAUAGUGACGGCACAGCCAUUUUAAGAAAAAAGAUAGCUUUUCAAGCAUUUGUUGCGUUUGAUUUCUUAGCCCUGUUGUCGUCUGUGACUGCUAUAUUGUCUCAUUUUUAUGGUGCACUGAAUCACAAAAAGGCGCAGCUCGCAUCAUCACUAAGCUUGGCCUAUUGGUUCACCCAGUUGGGUAUAGGAGCAAUGAUAGUAGCAUUCAUGAGCGGCGUGUACACCAUGGAUCCACAUCACUCAGGGAUGACCUUUUCUAUUUAUAUCAUCUUCAUCUGCGUUUCGAUUUUCAUCUUAUUCACUGUGGUACGCCAAAUUCAACGUUAAGAAUGCCCGAGCAAGAUUAUGUUGGAAAGUACGUCUGAUUUUGGUAACUUCUUUAAAAUUAGGAUUUAAUUUUUUAUUUCAAAAAAAGUUAAUAAAAUAUUUUCAGUUUGAGUGAGAUUUUGUUUUUAUAUUUAAGUAAUUCAUUUUUCUAUAUUUUAUCAUUCAGAGUUUCUAUUUUGUUAUAUGUAAGGUUGUGUGAUAUUCAACUCAUUUGUCACAAUAAUAUUUUUCUUUUAUUUAGAAGAGAAAAUAUAAGAUCUUGGAAGUAUCCUGGUCCCAUUGAUGACAAGUGGGACCAAUAAUUCGAUCGGGGUAGUUGCUAAACCAUACCACAUAGUUAUAGGUUUGCCUGCCAUCCACACCAAAAUAAAUGGAGUUUUCCAAAAAAAACUUGUUAGGGAAGGAAGACCUCCUAGGGAUAAGAGACAUAAGGCUAAAGAGAAAGCCAAAAAAAGAUGGUGGGCCGCAUUAAAGGCUUUUGUGUUAGCAAAAUCUCUUUCUAUAAAAUGAACUAAUUUCUUACAGGAUGUUGUUCUAAAAUUGUGAUACAUAAAAAUCUUGGGGAGGAUUGAUUGAGGAUGAGGAAAUAAUUGAAAGAAAAUUUUGAAGAAUAUUGUGAUGGGAUGAAGUGGCAAAACAAGAUAGAAAUUUGAUAGUUAUCACAAAAUGCUAUGGUUCUUACAUAUGAUUUCUUAAUUUAUUUAGAAGUAAUUCACGGGAGGAAGAGAAAGGUUGGGAUUCCAACAGGCGUCUAUUAUUGAAUUCACUCGACCCGAUAGUACCCAUUUUGGGAACGUUCGGACAGUAUAAAUUUACCAAUACUUUUCGCUCAGGAUCUGUUGGUAAUUUUCUCUUGAUUUUUCUCUGUUGGUUAUCACUUCUCAUGUAAUCCAAUCCUUUCACUCCAGUGAAUCGAUGUGAUAUCACAUAUAUGGCUGGUAGAAUUUAAGGGUUGUCGCAAAUCAAUUAUCAAAAGAACUUCACAUAGAUAUUGAAAGUGGUAUGUCAAUAUCUUGAUGUGAUUAACCAAAUCAAUUAUCAAAGCAACAAAGGGGUUAACCAAAUCAAACAAAAGGCCCAAACAAUCACACAUGCUAAUGACUAUGGAGGAAAACCUUAAGGUUAACCAUCUCCAUGACUGUAAGAAUCUUUUAUUUGUAGAGCAUUGGUACCAAGGACAACUGUUUGGCACCAAGGAAAGUUGUUUGUCCAUUUUCCUUUGUCUGUUGUCUAUUCACUUAAUUUUCUUUUUUUCUUUCUCUUUUUUGUGUGGGGGUGAAGUGAAGUACUUGUCCAUUUAGCGUGAAUAUCUAGACAAGCCUUUUCCAUGAUGAGAUAAGGAAAUGGGUGGAAAAUAGUUACACAACUUGGCAUAGCAAUGUUUAAAGUAAUUUUAAGAUCAAGUUUAAAUUUAGUACCUAAAUGCUCUUUUUUUUAUAUAUAAAAAAGAAAAUGGAAGUGGAUAUCAUCCCUAGCCAAUUGUUAUAUGUCGAAUUGGUUUUUCUAUUAAAAUUUUCUAUGAAAUUGAUGAAAAAAACUCAUGUGAAAAGUGUACACACUUUAGCAUGAAAUUGUAUAUAAUACAUUACAAUUUGUCCAAAUUUUUUGUGUGUUGAUCAUAUGUUUUCCAUCCAUUUCUAAUAAAAGAAAAAAAAUUAUAAAAGAAAAAAAGAAAAAAGAAAAAACUCACAUUUAACAAUAGUUUAGGGUUAAUAUUGUAACAAGAAAAUUAAGAGCUAGAUUGAGACAUAAGUGUGAAUUCUCAUCACACAAAAAUGUAGACCAAAACUUGUACUUAAUUGUUGGAGGAUGGAGUGUAUAGUUGACCUAGGAUUUAUGUAUAUUGAUAUUCCUCUUUAUUCUCUUAGGAUGAAGGUUGAUAUGUUUCUUGACUAGAGAUGUUAAUGGCAUGAUAUGCAAGAUUUUUAUUCUUGGCAUGCCCCCUUAACCUGGCAUGAGCAUGGACACUUAAUUUGCUUUUAAAUGAUUGAAAGGUGUCCUUAGCUAAUGGUUUUGUAAAAAUGUCAAUAGGUUGAUUUAAGGAUGCAAUAUAUCGUGCAACAAGAUUACCUAAUGUAACUCUUUACCUUACGAAAUGAUAGUCGAGUUCAAUGUGCUUUGACCACACAUGAAACAUCAAGUUAACUGACAUAUAAAGUGCACUAAUAUUGUCAUAAAACAGUUAUGGCAGUUGUGAUAAUGCAACUCCAAUGCCAUAGAGGAGGAAGGUUAAACAUGUUAUUUUAGCUAUUCUAGAGGCCAUGGACUAAUAUUUGGCUUCACAACUAGAUUGGGAUACGGUGGGAUGUUGUUUUUUUUUUUUUUUUUUUGGACACCAAUAAAUGCAAUUCACACCAAGGAAUGCACAAAGCUCAAUGGUACUUCUGUUGGUAUCUUAAAUCUAAAUAACGGAAGUAAUACCAAUUUUAAAAAAUUGAUAUUUAGGGUUAAAGUACUAACCUUUAGGUUUGGAUGUUUCUCAACCUUAAAUUCCAAUUGUUGAAGAAUCAAAUUGAUAUCUUCGGAAGUCUUGUAGACCCAUAAUCUUCCACCCGAUGGCUCUUCCUUGAUUUUGGCACACUUUCGGUGAAAAAGAAGAGAAAGUAGAAGAUAUGACUCUCUCUCUCUCUCUCUCUCUCUCUCUGAAGGUAGAAGACAACUCUAUAGAAACAUUCUAAUCCCUAAAUGGAUAUUUAUAGGGUUCUUCAUUGGGCUAAAGUGACUUAAGUCCACUAAAGGCUUAGGUCACUUAAUCUAGCCCAAAAUGGGUCCUAAUUAAUUAUUUAACCUAACAAGACCUACUAAUUAAUCAAUUAACCCAAUCAAGAUGUCUUGCUCAUUUACCAUUAUGCAACCUUACAUAAUUACCAAAAUACCCUUAUGCACAAAAGUGAACCUAGAGUGAAUCUAACCCUCAUAAAUCGUGUCAACAAGGUAUAUAAGAUUGAGCGAUGACUACUAGGACCCAUAAGACAGUAUCGACUCCCUCAUAAUACAAUUCUAAAACUGAUUCAAUAUCCCACUAUAACAAAAUCAACUACACUCUAGUACUUUAAGCAAAUAACACUAAUACACUAAGAGUUCGAGUAUGUGGCUUAUUGUGCAUUACAUUCAUCUCCCCAUGAACAUAUGUUCGUAGUCUAACAAGCUAAAUGCUAUCAGCCUUUCAAGACUACCUAUACUAUCCUUGAGUUACAAAUCCUCCUAUUGUGUAUUCAAUUGACAUAUCUUGACCCUCAAAAAGCCUAUGUCAAGUUUCAUUUAAGAAACUACUAUGAUCAUAGUUUACAUGAACACACCUUCUUAGGAUCACCCAAAUAGACACUUUAUCUCAAAUUCAUGAAAGUGAGAAUACCUAUUGCUAACAGUUUCCAUCAAUAGCAACUCAAUCCAUAGGGAAUAUAUGAUUAGCUUACGAUCUCAUCCAUAAGGCAAAGUCACUACUAACUUUAGCUCAAACUCAGUAUUCUCUCAAGGUUGAGAGACAACACAAUGAAGCAACAUGAUGAAGUCAUGACCACUUGAUAUGCUUAAGUCAUGACUCACCAUAGGUCCUGUUCAAUGUGUAGUAACCAUACACACCAAUGUACUCACCAUGGGAAACCCAUCUUGAUAGCCAAAAAUACUCAUCCUUCCAAGUAUGAGGUAGUACACUACAACCUCAAAUGGAUUGCCUAAGUCCACAAACCGGUUGUGAACAAAUCAUCUACUUACCACCUAUGACUUGGAUCUUCCGUGCAACUGAUAAUGCAUCUAAGUCAUAUACAAUGCAAAAAAUGCUAAGCGAGAAUUCUUCUAAGGUGUAAUGCAUGGAAUAAGGAUAAAUAAAAGUUAACUUUUAAUGACUCUAUCCUAACAUUCUUCCACUAGCCCAUAAACCAUAAUGCUAUUAAAGCAUAUUGGAUACUGAUUAUCUAAAACCUAUGUUAUCCCUAUGAUCAACAAAGACUCUCCUUGUCAAUGUCUUGAUGAAAGGAUCCACAAGGUUCUCCACAAAAGGUAUCUUGUCAACCAUCAUGUCACCCUUCUAUACUAACUCAACAGUUUGGAAUACAAGUACAUAAUCCCUUGUUCUAUAAAGAUACUUGAUUAUAUGCUUAACAAAGCGUAAUUUUCAUUUUCUUGUAAUCUCCAAGGGCUUUAAACCCAAGAAUAUAUUGUGUUCCUCCUAUAUUUCCAUUUAGAACUAAGUAAAUAAACUAAUCUUAAUUUAUUUAUGAUAAUAUCUCUACAUCAUUUCCAAUGAGUAGAUUGUUAUUUACCCACAAGAUCUUAAAAUACCAUCAUGUUUCCCUGCACUUUCUUAUACAUAUUUGUUAUGAAAUUAUCGGGUUACAUCAUACAAAUGCUAAUAUCAAGAUAAUCAUUUUCGUUCACCAUAUAAGAAUUAUAAAAUUAAUUUUCUUAAAUUUGGCCAAAUAUUAAGGGGUAUACAACAUAUUUGAUUUUUUCUAAUGUGAAGAAUAGUUCUCAAAGAAAAAAAAAAUCAUAUAAAGGGUCACCAAUUCCAAUUAUGUGCUAGGAUAAUACUAUUGGUUGCAAACAGAUGAGUUGUAGAAAAAAAAAAGUAACAAGCUAAGUAAAACAAAUAUUUUUUUCCUUUUGGAGUACAAAAGUUUUUUUUUUUUCCUUCAACUUGCCUAAUCCUCUAGCAAAAUCACAUAUAUCUUGUUUUUUUCCAUUAUAGUGUAAGACAUUAAGGGUCUGUUUGGGAACGUUUUCAAAAAUUAUUUUUAAAAAAUAGUUUUAUCAUGUUUUCUAGAACAAAAGUUUAUUUGAGAAUUUGAAAUGUUUUUAACUUAUUGUCAAUGUUUCCAAAUAUUUUUUUUAAAAAAUUUAUUAAUGAUGCUUCAUUUUCAAUUGUUAUUCAUAUUUGUCCCUUUUUUAAAAAACAACUAAAAAUAACUAAAAUACGUUUUGAGAAAACACCUUAAUUUCUAUUUUUAAAAAUAAUUUUUUUCUAAUUAUCAAACAUAUUUUCUUUUUUUUUUUUCCUUAAAAAAUAGAAAAACAGUUUUGAGAAUAAACAACAAACCAGCUCACCAUAAUACUUUUCUUAGAAAGUAACUUGUUGCAAUCAAACACCUUUUGCCAAAAUAAACCCGUUCUCCAAAAUAAUAAAUUACAUUCUAACAAAUACACCAUGUCAACAUAUUGAUAAUGGUAAAAUCAUUCAUUCAUAUUUUAUAAUCUCAUUAGAAUUAAUUGACUGUAAAAAUAAAAAUAAAAAUGGUAUAAUGAAAUGGUAAGUGGCUGCUAAUUAAUAUCUGUUGUAGUAAUACUAAAGCCUAAAUUACCUAGUAAUUCUGGUUGAAAAAAAAAAAACCAAAUAUAAGAUCAUUAAGGCUUCUAAUAUCUAGGUUGUCAUCUUUUGGGAUCAGCAUUAAUGUGUUUAGUUAUUUAAAUUAAAAAGAUUAAUUGUUUAAUGAAACUAACAAAAACCUUAAUCUAAAAUAUAUAAAGAUAAAAAUAUAAAUGAAGUUUUCUAAAAUAUGAAAACUUCUAAUUCAUUUUAAAAUAGAUAAAAAUUUAUAUGAAUUUUUAAAAUACUAUAACUCAUUAUUAAAGUUCUUCUAAUGUUUUUAUUCAUUUUUAAUGGAAAUAUAUAUUUAUAAUGUUGGUAUAAAUGAGUUUGUAAAGUAGAAGAGAUUAAAAAAUUAAAAAGGAAAAAAAAAACGGUGCACAUGAUCUAAAGAUGAGUGAAUUUGUAACAUUAAAAAAUUAAAAAGAAAAGAAAAGAAAAAGAUACAUUUGGGAACAUGGAUAAAAAAAAUUAAAAAUAAUACUUGAGAGGUAGAUGUAGCAAUAGAUAUAAGUUUAUAAAGUAUAUCCACAGCAUACUUAGGGAGCUACUAUUUUUGGGCACUUGGGGAUGAUUAUUUUGGGUUUUGGGCCUAUGAGUCAUAUACUUCAAAGUUCAAAGUAAUGUCACCAAAUGUUAUUAUUAUUAUUAUUAUUUUCAAAAUUGGGCCUUUUAAUUGUAAUACUUAACAAUAAUCACCAAAUUCACUACAUAUAGACAUGCAAGAAGAGUUUCAUGAAAGUUAGGAAUAACAUCAAAGUAAGAGUGAGUUUGAGACAGGUGUUGUAACACCCGGACAUUUUCUUUUAAGGGUAAUUUAGGAAAUUAUUAUUACUAAUUAAAUUAAUUAAUUAAUUAAUUUAAUAAAGUGGAAGAGGGGUAAAAGUAUAAUUUUACGAAUAAAUACCCUAGGUAUAAAUUAGAAAUUUUAUUCUUUCCCUUCUUUUCUGAAUAGAGUUCCUGUUCGCAGAAUUCCAGAGAACGUAAGGUUGGAGUCAGAUUUCAGGGUUGAAGAACAAAUCUCUAUAGGUAAGAUUCUAACCCCUAGUUUAAUAUUUUAGAUUCAUUAGUUAAUUUCAAACACAUUAGAUAUAUUUUUUUUGGAAAACCCCAAAUCUAGAUUAGGGUUAGAUUAUUUUUUUUAAUUCGUUUUAAUAUCAAAUAGUGAAAAUUUAAUAUUUUGAUUUUAGUAUUGGAAUUUGGGAGAUCUUAAGUUUUAUUAGAAAAAAAAAAAUUGCUUGGAAUAUUUUGAUUUUAGGUUAGGGUUAAUUAAAAAAAAAUAAAAAAAUAAUAAUAAUAAAAAAAUAAAAAUGAGGAAGAACGCGUGUGCACUGGAAGGAAGGAAGGAAGGAAAAAAAAAAAAAUGGGGGCAUGCGUACUGUGCUACUGGAAGCAUUAAAAAAAAAGAAAAAAAAAAAAAAGAAAAAGUGUGUGCGUGUGCCAGCCUGCAUGUAUAUGUGUAUAUAUAUAUAUAUAUAUAUAUAUAUAUAUAUAUAUAUAUAUAUAUAUAUAUAUAUAUAUAUAUAUAAUGAAUCAUCAUUAGACAAAAAAAAAAAAAAAAAAACUUUGCUUUUUGGUGUGUACCCGAGGAAUGGUUGGGUGGAAAAACCUUACUUUUUGGUGUGUACCCGAGGGAUGGUUAGGUGGCUUUUGAAUUGAUUAAUUAAAAUAAUAAUAUUUAGUUUUAGAUUUAUAAUUAAGAUAAUAGUAAUAAUAGAUUUAGCAAUAUAUAUAUAUAUAUAUAUAUAUAUAGAGUUUUAUAAUGAAAUAAAAUUGUAAUUUAAUUAAAUUAGUAGUGUGUUAUUAGAAACAAAUUGGGAAUUUAUUAGUUUUAUUUAAAUAAGGAAUAGAUUAGUUAAAUUAUAAAUAAAUAGUAUUAAUUGUUUCUCUUAUAUUAUAUUAGGUGAAGAGUAGAUUAUAUCUUUUUCAGAAUUAUUCUUCUCCCAAGCUUUCAAGGACUUCUUUUGAGGUAAGGGAAGUUAAUGCAAUAUUUAUAAAAUUAAAUUAUUUUAUAUGUUAUUUUGAAUUGUGGAAAAUAAAAUUAUAUUUUGUUACCAUGCAUGGAUCAAAUUGUUUUGCACUAAAUAUUAUGUUGGAAUAUUUUGUUUUAUUUAUGAUACAAAAUAUGGAGAUAUUAUGUUGUGUAAAUUUGAAUACUUGAACAAAAACAUCACUCUGGUUUAUUUGGCCCUUGUCAACCGGAUAUAAUAGUUGACUAUUCGGCCCUGUCAACGGGAUAUAAUAGUUGACCUUUACAUUUCAUGGUGGGAAUGUAAUUGAUUUGAACCCCAGCCUCUAGGGGUUUGGUUAGAGGUUACUAGUACUAGUAGUGUUUGGUUCCGUCCACCAGAAACAAUUUGAGGCUAGCCACCCAUUUGAAAAGUCCCACCUAACUGGGCAUUUGAUAUUUGAUAACCAGAGUAAUGAAAAAUUGAAUGGAUUUGAUUGAGUCUGAUGUGAAAGUGUUUGAAUUUGAUGUGAAAUUGGUUGGUUGAAUUUUGAAUAUAUUGGUAUUUUUGAAACUCUAAUAUUUGAAAAAAAAAAAUUGAUAUCUCCUAUUUGAAAUGAAAAUAUUUGAUCCAUGAAUUGCAUUAAUAUUCCUUAUUGGGCCGUGAGCUCAUUCCCAGUUGUUGAAAAUUUUUCAGGUACUCUUAGUUCGGGUGAGGAGUGAUGGCUAGGCUGAGGAAUGGUCAUCAUUAGGAUUUGACUUAGGAUUUUAUGUUGGAUUUUGUUUAACUAUUAGUUAUGUUAUUUUGGAUCAUUUGGUAUUUGGAAGUUAUUUGGAAAUUGAAUUUUGAGGAUUUUAGAUUUUGUUUCCGCUACUCUGAGCAGAUAUUUGGUAAUUGGUAACAUCCAGUUACAAUAUGACCAUUUGGGUCAGAUUAUACUUUAAGCCUUCGGGUUUGAGGUGUGAAAUGACCGUCACGCCCUUGGAGUGGGUCUUGGGGCGUGACAGNNNNNNNNNNNNNNNNNNNNNNNNNNNNNNNNNNNNNNNNNNNNNNNNNNNNNNNNNNNNNNNNNNNNNNNNNNNNNNNNNNNNNNNNNNNNNNNNNNNNUUUUUCAGGUACUCUUAGUUCGGGUGAGGAGUGAUGGCUAGGCUGAGGAAUGGUCAUCAUUAGGAUUUGACUUAGGAUUUUAUGUUGGAUUUUGUUUAACUAUUAGUUAUGUUAUUUUGGAUCAUUUGGUAUUUGGAAGUUAUUUGGAAAUUGAAUUUUGAGGAUUUUAGAUUUUGUUUCCGCUACUCUGAGCAGAUAUUUGGUAAUUGGUAACAUCCAGUUACAAUAUGACCAUUUGGGUCAGAUUAUACUUUAAGCCUUCGGGUUUGAGGUGUGAAAUGACCGUCACGCCCUUGGAGUGGGUCUUGGGGCGUGACAGAGUGGUAUCAGAGCACUAGGUUGUGAUCUUGAUGGGAACUUGUUUAGUGUACCUUUGGGAAUAGAUGAGUGACGUAUUAGUUUAAGUUUCAACUUCAUCUAGUCUGAUUCCUUUUAUUCCUUACAAUUCUGACUUGCUUAUUUGACUUCUUAGUGACUAAUUUAGUUACACCUAUUGCUUUAUAGGACACCAUGCCACCAAGGAGACCUGCAUCUUCCCAAAACAGUCAGGCUAAUGAUGAUGUACCUCCAAUUGAGGGUUUGCCUCCCGUGAGUGCAGAAGGGAUCUAUAGGUAUCUUGGGACACUAGCUGGUUUAGUUGAACGCCAAGCUCGAGCUGUUGGGACUAAUGUUCAGGGACAGUCUUCAUCUUUUAGGGGUAGCUCUUUUGAUGACUUCAAGAAAUUGGGUCCUCCUUACUUUUCUGGUGCUACAGAUCCCACAGAGGCAGAGGCUUGGAUCCUUAAGAUGGAGAAAUUCUUUGGUGUCAUAGAUUGCUCUGAGGAGCAAAAAGCCUCUUAUGCAGCUUUUAUGUUAGAUAAAGAGGCAGAUCAUUGGUGGCGUAUGACUAGGAGACUUUUGGAGGAUCAGGGGCCCAUAACAUGGAGACAAUUUAGGGAGGCUUUCUACAAGAAGUAUUUCCCUGACAGUGUUAGACGGCAGAAGGUGGGAGAGUUUAUUCGUUUGGAACAGGGGGAUAUGACUGUGGCUCAGUAUGAGGCCAAAUUUACAGAGUUAUCACGUUUUUCCCCACAGUUGAUUGCUAUAGAGGAGGAAAAGGCAUUAAAGUUUCAGGAUGGAUUGAAGCCUUAUUUGAAGAACAAGAUAUCUAUUCUGAAGCUUGGUGUCUAUUCAGAGGUUGUUGAUAGAGCCCUUAUAGCAGAGAAAGAUAAUGAAGAGCUUCAUCAGUAUAGGGAACAGCAAAGGAAGCGAAAUAGGAGUGAUGGUGCUCAUGGUAAUCAAGCACAGCGAAGGUCUACAUCAGGAAGAAAUCAGAAUAAAGGGAAGGCAGCGUAGAAUUUAGAUGGGGCUUGUCCUACUUGUGGUAAGAAGCAUGGGGGUAGGCCAUGCUAUAGAGAGACUGGAGCUUGCUUUGGUUGUGGGAAGUAAGGACAUUUGAUCAGAGAUUGUCCAGAGAAUAGGAAGUUUAUCAUUGGGAAGCCUAAAGAGGAAAAUAAGGAGGAUAAACAGAAACCCAAAGCCCAAGGACGGGUGUUUGCUAUGACUCAUCGAGAUGCUCAGGCCACUUCUGAUGUGGUGACAGGUACUCUCCGAAUCCACACCUUAUUUGCUAGAGUCUUGAUUGAUCCUGGAUCAACACAUUCUUUUGUUUCAGUAUCUUUUGCUGGUUUGUUGGGUUUGCCUGUUGCUAGCAUGGACUUUAAUUUGAUUGUUGCUACUCCUGUGGGAGAUUCUGUUGUGGCUAGUAGAAUGCUUAGAAAUUGUAUUGUGAUGAUUGGUUAUAGGGAAAUGCCAGUUGAUUUAGUACUCCUUGACCUUCAGGAUUUUGAUGUGAUUUUGGGGAUGGAUUGGUUAGCUUCCUACCAUGCCUCUGUUGAUUGUUUUGAGAAAAGGGUGACGUUUAGUAUUCCUGGUCAGCCUAAUUUUAGCUUUGAAGGGAAGCAGGUGGACAGACCACUGCGUAUGAUCUCAGCCUUGCGAGCUAGUAGCUUGCUUAAGAAGGGUUGCCAAGGAUUUUUGGCUAGUGUGGUGAGUAAUGAAAGUGAUUUGAAGUUGGAAGACAUACCCAUAGUAAGGGAGUAUCCUGAUGUCUUUCCAGAGGAUUUGCCUGGCUUGCCACCAGAGAGAGAGGUGGAGUUCACUAUCGAUUUGGUACCAGGAACAGGUCCUAUGUCUAAGGCCCCAUACAGGAUNNNNNNNNNNNNNNNNNNNNNNNNNNNNNNNNNNNNNNNNNNNNNNNNNNNNNNNNNNNNNNNNNNNNNNNNNNNNNNNNNNNNNNNNNNNNNNNNNNNNGCGUGAUAUUGCACAAUUUGUGGCUCAGUGUUUAGUGUGUCAACAGGUGAAGGCUGAACAUCAGCGACCAGCAGGGUCUUUACAGCCACUUGCUAUUCCUGAGUGGAAGUGGGAGCAUAUUACCAUGGAUUUUGUGAUAGGAUUGCCAAGAACCUUAGGGGGGUAAUAAUGCUAUUUGGGUGAUUGUUGAUCGGUUGACAAAGUCUGCUCACUUUUUGCCUAUGAAAGUCAACUUUUCUUUAGAUCGUUUAGCUUCUCUUUAUGUGAAGGAGAUUGUGAGAAUGCAUGGAGUACCAGUUUCUAUAGUGUCUGACAGAGAUCCUCGUUUCACUUCUAGAUUCUGGCAUAGUCUACAAAAAGCUUUGGGCACUAAGUUGAGUUUUAGUACUGCUUUCCAUCCUCAAACUGAUGGCCAAUCAGAAAGGGUAAUUCAGGUUUUGGAAGACUUGUUGAGAGCUUGUAUUUUGGACCUGCAAGGUAAUUGGGAUGAUCAUUUACCUUUAGUAGAGUUUGCCUAUAACAAUAGUUUUCAAGCUAGCAUUGGGAUGACACCUUUUGAGGCAUUGUAUGGUAGGAAAUGUCGAUCUCCUAUCUGUUGGAAUGAUGUUGGAGAAAGGAAACUUUUGGGCCCUGAACUUGUGCAGUUGACUGUUGAAAAAGUUGCUUUGAUUAAAGAGAGAUUAAAAGCAGCUCAAAGUAGACAUAAGAGUUAUGCUGAUCAUCGUAGGCGAGAUUUGGAGUUUGAGGUGGGUGAUCAUGUGUUCUUGAAAGUUUCACCUAUGAAGUCUGUGAUGAGAUUUGGGAGAAAAGGAAAACUUAGUCCUCGUUUUGUGGGUCCGUUUGAAAUAUUAGAAAGAGUAGGCACUUUGGCAUAUAAAGUAGCCUUGCCCCCAAGCCUGUCUAAGGUUCAUAAUGUGUUUCAUGUUUCGACUCUAAUUAAGGAAGUAUAUUUAUGAUCCUUCUCAUGUUGUGGAGUUGGAGCCUAUUCAAAUUUUUGAGGACUUGACCUAUGAAGAGGUACCCGUUCAAAUUGUGGAUGUGAUGGAUAAGGUACUACGACAUGCUGUUGUCAAGUUGGUAAAGGUCCAGUGGAGCAAUCAUAGUAUCCGAGAGGCCACUUGGGAGUUAGAAGAAGAGAUGAGAGAAAAGCAUCCUCAAUUAUUUCAAGACUUAGGUAUGUCAAGUUUAGAGGACUAAACUUUUGUUAAGGAGGGGAGGAUGUAACACCCGGGCAUUUUCUUUUAAGGGUAAUUUAGGAAAUUGUUAUUACUAAUUAAAUUAAUUAAUUAAUUAAUUUAAUAAAGUGGAAGAGGGGUAAAAGUGUAAUUUUACGAAUAAAUACCCUAGGUAUAAAUUAGAAAUUUUAUUCUUUCCCUUCUUUUCUGAAUAGAGUUCCUGUUCGCAGAAUUCCAGAGAACGUAAGGUUGGAGUCAGAUUUCAGGGUUGAAGAACAAAUCUCUAUAGGUAAGAUUCUAACCCCUAGUUUAAUAUUUUAGAUUCAUUAGUUAAUUUCAAAUACAUUAGAUAUUUUUUUUUUUGGAAAACCCCAAAUCUAUAUUAGGGUUAGAUUAUUUUUUUUAAUUCGUUUUAAUAUCAAAUAGUGAAAAUUUAAUAUUUUUAUUUUAGUAUUGGAAUCUGGGAGAUCUUAAGUUUUAUUAGAAAAAAAAAAAAAUUGCUUGGAAUAUUUUGAUUUUAGGUUAGGGUUAAUUAAAAAUAAUAAUAAUAAUAAUAAUAAUAAUAAUAAUAAUAAUAAAAAGGAGGAAGAACGCGUGUGCACUGGAAGGAAGGAAGGAAGGAAAAAAAAAAAAAUGGGGGCAUGCGUACUGUGCUACUGGAAGCAUUAAAAAAAAAAGAAAAAAAAAAAAAAGAAAAAGUGUGUGCGUGUGCCAGCCUGCAUGUAUAUGUGUGUAUAUAUAUAUAUAUAUAUAUAAUGAAUCAUCAUUAGACAAAAAAAAAAAAAAAACUUUGCUUUUUGGUGUGUACCCGAGGAAUGGUUGGGUGGAAAAACCUUACUUUUUGGUGUGUACCCGAGGGAUGGUUAGGUGGCUUUUGAAUUGAUUAAUUAAAAUAAUAAUAUUUAGUUUUAGAUUUAUAAUUAAGAUAAUAGUAAUAAUAGAUUUAGCAAUAUAUAUAUAUAUAUAUAUAUAUAUAUAUAUAUAUAUAUAUAUAUAUAGAGUUUUAUAAUGAAAUAAAAUUGUAAUUUAAUUAAAUUAGUAGUGUGUUAUUAGAAACAAAUUGGGAAUUUAUUAGUUUUAUUUAAAUAAGGAAUAGAUUAGUUAAAUUAUAAAUAAAUAGUAUUAAUUGUUUCUCUUAUAUUAUAUUAGGUGAAGAGUAGAUUAUAUCUUUUUCAGAAUUAUUCUUCUCCCAAGCUUUCAAGGACUUCUUUUGAGGUAAGGGAAGUUAAUGCAAUAUUUAUAAAAUUAAAUUAUUUUAUAUGUUAUUUUGAAUUGUGGAAAAUAAAAUUAUAUUUUGUUACCAUGCAUGGAUCAAAUUGUUUUGCACUAAAUAUUAUGUUGGAAUAUUUUGUUUUAUUUAUGAUACAAAAUAUGGAGAUAUUAUGUUGUGUAAAUUUGAAUACUUGAACAAAAACAUCACUCUGGUUUAUUUGGCCCUUGUUAACGGGAUAUAAUAGUUGACUAUUCGGCCCUGUCAACGGGAUAUAAUAGUUGACCUUUACAUUUCAUGGUGGGAAUGUAAUUGAUUUGAACCCCAGCCUCUAGGGGUUUGGUUAGAGGUUACUAGUACUAGUAGUGUUUGGUUCCGUCCACCAGGAACAAUUUGAGGCUAGCCACCCAUUUGAAAAGUCCCACCUAACUGGGCAUUUGAUAUUUGAUAACCAGAGUAAUGAAAAAUUGAAUGGAUUUGAUUGAGUAUGAUGUGAAAGUGUUUGAAUUUGAUGUGAAAUUGGUUGGUUGAAUUUUGAAUAUAUUGGUAUUUUUGAAACUCUAAUAUUUGAAAAAAAAAAAAAUUGAUAUCUCCUAUUUGAAAUGAAAAUAUUUGAUCCAUGAAUUGCAUUAAUAUUCCUUAUUGGGCCGUGAGCUCAUUCCCAGUUGUUGAAAAUUUUUCAGGUACUCUUAGUUCGGGUGAGGAGUGAUGGCUAGGCUGAGGAAUGGUCAUCAUUAGGAUUUGACUUAGGAUUUUAUGUUGGAUUUUGUUUAACUAUUAGUUAUGUUAUUUUGGAUCAUUUGGUAUUUGGAAGUUAUUUGGAAAUUGAAUUUUGAGGAUUUUAGAUUUUGUUUCCGCUACUCUGAGCAGAUAUUUGGUAAUUAGUAACAUCCAGUUACAAUGUGACCAUUUGGGUCAGAUUAUACUUUAAGCUUUCGGGUUUGAGGUGUGAAAUGACCGUCACGCCCUUGGAGUGGGUCUUGGGGCGUGACAGGUGUACCCCAUUUCGACUUCAUCCCCUUUAUGUAAACCUAUUCUCAUCCUCAUUUUAAUAAAAGAUUAAAAUGGGGUAAGACAAAAUGGGUAUGAAAUUUUUCUAUAUCCAACCCCUUUAUUUUUAAUUUUUUAUUUUAAAAAUCCUAAUUAUAUUAAAAAUAAUAUAUUUGAUGAAUGAAUAAAUAAUAUAAAUUUUUAUAACUCAUUUUUAUUUGAGAAGUAGAUUAUUAUUAUUUUUUUUUGAAAAUGAGAAAAUAAAAAUUUUAUAAAAUUAUACACGAGGUAAGACAAGGCAAUUGUUGUAAUCAUAGGGUUUAAAAAAAAAAAAAUCUCAAAGUUAAACCUCAUCCGCUUAAUUUCAUCCCAAACUCAUUUUAUUUUUGACAAGGUGAGGCUAAUACCCUAAAAUUCUCAGCUCCAUUGACAUUCCAAAUGGAUGUGGAGACAUAAAAGAUAAUAGGGUUCUAUGCUACUACAACAAAAGUAAUUUCGAACGAAACUAUUGUUAAAAAUACUCCAAAUUAACCAGUGCUAUAUAACUUUAGACAUUAAUUUUUAUGGUACUUUUACCCAUAAUUUUACACAAUGAUUUCAAAUACUAUUUGCAAUAGGCUUAUUGAUCUAAAGCCAUCUUCCAAAAGCAAUAUAAACUCUGAGCUGAUUAAUGAAAAUAGAAAUUCAAGGAAAAUUCUCCAAAUAUGUCCAAAUAUCACCAUGAUCCGAAGAUAUUUUGUAUAGAAUACUAGUUUAGAUGAUUAAAGAUAGUUUGUAUAAAACAUUGGUCUCCAUUUUGAAAGAUAUAUAUUUUGUACAAAGAGAAUUGGUGCUUGUUGGCUUCUUCUUUUUGUUUUUGUUUCUUCUUUUCUUGACUCCUUGAGGGGUCCAUGAUGGAAAAGCUUCCAAAUUCAUUUUUGUCCAUGAUCUCCUGGUCCAAAAUAUUAAUCAAAUAUAAUAUGUCCAACAAGAUUAGCGGAUAUGUUUAACCACAUCCACAUCCACAUCCACAUCCAAGGUAAGUUAGUAGAUUCUUCAUUGCACUGUAAAGAACUCAAUUGAAAGAGAAAACACAUCCAAAUCUUGAGCACUAAAAUAUUUCCUAUUUUCCGAUUUGCCUUAAAUUAUGAGCUUUGUUCCAUCCCAUAUCUCCCACCUUUUCUCAUUAUCUCAUAAAGCAAGACCUAAAAUAUUUAUGAAAUAUUUCUAUCACAUUUACUCAUCUAUAAGGAAACAUAUUUCUAUAAUAAAACAUAUUUUUAUAAAUAAAUAUGAAUAUAUAAAAUAUUUUAUACAAUAUUAAUCUUUAUUAAAGCAAUAUAUAUAUACUAAAAAAGAAUUUAAGACAAUUUUUAGUAAUUUCCAUGCCUUGAUUCAAAUUUCAUCAAAUCAGUUUUUCAUCUUAAGGUGAUAUAUAGUACAUCAAGUUAACUAAAGUGGCUUCAUCCUUUUCCAACACAAAAAAAAAAAAAAAAAAAAAAAAAAAUCCAAAAGAGAUAAAAAUUGAAUAGGAGUGUUUGGCUUGAAAAAAGGAAAUAGAAUGGAAGCAAAAAGUAACAAAAAAACUAUAUAUAAAAAGGAAUCUUAUUUUAUUGUAUAUAAAAGUUGAAGAAAAGAAAAUCAAAUCAUGAGAACCAAAUUUUCCAAACCUUUAAUUAAAAAGAAAAGAAGAAGAAGAAGAAGAAAACCUUUUAAGAUUUUUCUUUUUUCUUUUUUUUCUUUUCUUUUCCCUAUUAUAAAAACAUAAGAAAUCAGUUUAAAAAAAAAAAGUCAUUUUCAAGGUACUUUCAGAACCAAACAUAGUGUAGAAGUUAACAAAGAUAAAUUUAAAGUUUAAUAGCUUUAAAUUAUUUCACAUUCUCAUAAGCGACCAUAGGACAAAAAACUUCCCGUCACUAUUGACCUAUGAAAUACUUAGAAUCUUCAAGAUAGAUUAUAAUAGUUCAGUUGCAAUCUGAUGAUUUUUCCAGUAAUUGAUUGGAUUAAUUAAUAGUUCACUAGCUAUAAUAAUUCAGUUCAUUGGAUUAAUUAAUAGUUCCAUAGUUAUAAUUGUGAUUAUAUGAAUACUACUUACAAGGAGCUGAAUAGUUGUAUUAGGCUUAAUGAAUGGGUUAUUUUCCAUACUUUUUGUUGUUGGGUACCGGCAUUUCCUCUAAAGCCAAACAAAGUAUUUUAUUGUCUACGAAUUCAUGUGGUAAUAUUGUGGUUAAGGGUUUAAGAUUUAUUUAUUUUGUUUGAUUAUUGAGAUAUAUUUAAUUCACUUCAUAAAAUAGACCCUAAAAGUGGGGAGAUUCUUUUUCGUUUUCUUUUUCCUUUCCUUCUCUAAUAUGCUACUCUGAUCAUCACUUUUUGAUUAUAGAGACUGAGAUCAUCGAAUGGCUCAACAAGAAGACUCAGUUGUCUGCUGCAUUUGUUAAAAGAUGGAACAUUAGAACUCUGGAAUCUGGUAGUGGAAAUAGAAGUCAUUACCUGUUUGUUUGUCCGGACAGAUUUGUAGGUUUAGAUCUUGAGAACUUAUGUCAAUGUGGUUUAAAUAUCAAGGGUUAGAUCAAAUCUGUAUCUGAACUUGUAAUUUUUGCUGCUUGGAUGUGGAUAUGAACUUGUUGGUCCAAACAACUGGUCAGACAACUUUAGGACUAGUUACAUCCAUAUCUCACAGGAAUAGAGGAAAAAACUUUUAACAUUAUAUUAAUAUAAACUCUUCUUAAUUUUAUGAACACGUUUUAAAAUCAUAAGAGUCCCUUUAGGCUUAGUGUGGAUGAUAUCCAUACGGUUGGGAGUGAGCCAAUAAAUGGUAUUAAAACCAAUUAAUAUUCGAUCCAAAUAUGGGGGUUUAUUUGAUCUUUUGUAGAAAGGUGUACAUCUAUUUGGCAUGAUAAGUAUAGAAGGUGAUUGUGAUAUCCCACUUUUGAUGAGGGAAAAAAUUUCUUAUGCACUAUACUCCUCUUAAUUUUAUAAACAUGCUUUAAAGUUAAAAAUGUGAGAUAGCAAGGAACUAAAGUUAUUUUGCAUAGUAUAAAUAAGUAUUAAUAUGAGAAUAAAUUAGAAACAAUUAUCAAGUGUUGUCAAUAACAAAAUCCUUUUUAAAAAUCCAAGUAGGAAAAAAUGUUUUCUUAAUUUAUUCUCAUAUAAUGCAAUAAUUUCUAAAGUAUUCUUCAUAUUUUAAAUUAUUUGUUAUAAUACUCGACAAAAAUAAUUUAACAAAAUAUCUUAAAACACUUUAAAUUCGUUUUGAAAUAUAACUUAUUUUACAAAAAAAAAAAUGUUAAACAAACUCUUUUCAAUAAAAAAAAAUUGUUAAACAUAUUUUGUGAUGUCUUACGUCGAAUAGAGGAGAAAGCUCCUAGUAUUAUAUAAGUAUGAACUCCUUUUAAUCCUAUAAACAUAUUUUAAAGUUGUGAGGGCCCCUUUGGACUUAAAGCGAACGAUAUCUACAUAGUUGAGUGCAGAUCGUUACAAAUUAGUCCAUUUUUGUCUCAUAUUUAAAUUAGCUAAUUAACUUGAUUUCCAUUAUAAGGACCCAACUAGUGGCAUUUCAAAUAUAAAUCAAUAUCAAAUAUUAAUAUUGAUAAAGGCAAGGUAUCUACUAUAUCAAAGUGGUAGAAGUAUCUUAAUGUCUUAUCACCUUUGUCAAGAUGCAUGUAUUGGCUUUACCACCUUAUUAAGAUGUAUGUGUUAAUAUCCUUAAGGCUUUAUCAUACAAAUGAAAACAACAAGUGGAAAUAUGUUAUAACACAACAAUUGUUUUUCUAACAACAAUUGUUUUUUUGGAAAUGAGUGGUCCCUUUCAACUUAGGUUCAUAAUCAUAGAUAUUUUGUAUAGCUUAUGUCUAUUUUCAGAGAUAUUUUAUGUACAAUAUUGGUUGUAAUAUAUAUAUAUAUAUAUAUAUAUGGAGUCAGAAAAUACACAAGAUAUUUAACACAAGAAAUUUAAAGAGAAGGAACCAAAAACUUGUUAGUUCAUAAGCUUAAAACCAUCCAUGAUAGGAGGUACAAGAAGAUAAAAUGAAAAACAAAACUUAAUUAAAAACCAUCCAUAUUAGAGGUAAUCAAAACAUACUUAUAUUAUACAUAAGGAGAUGAAUAUCUUACAAUGGAAGAGGGGAGGAAAGCUUUGAGAAAAGCUUGAAGGCUUGAAGGCUUACAUGAUGAGAGAGAAAGAAGAGAAAAGAAAGAGCAUAAGGAAGGGAAAAUUACAGCCAAAUUUUUUCAUGCUUACAAAUGAGGAUCAAGCCUCCUUAAAUAGCUAAAAGGAAUCUUAAAAUAGUAAAAAGUAGCUGAUAGGGUACUAUUUGCUUUUGGCCAUAGUGGUGAAUAGUAAACCCGUGCUUGAAUAGUAAAAGUGAACAGUAAAAAAGGAACUGUAGCACUUUAGACUUCUUGACCUGGAAUCUUGCUUUCGGCUGACAGCUGGUAGGCUAGAUUAUAGACUGUGUAUUCACAUGCUGGGAAUAAAGCUGAAAACGACUUGGAAAGAGUAAACUUGUCUUGUUGCUGAAGAAUCACGAGAAAAAUGCUUAGGGUAGAGUAUAAUCCUUCCGAUGUUCAUCCAGAAGCUUAACAUCACCCGUAACAGUCUUUAUAGAUGGAGGAUCAAUUUCUUACUGUAGAAGAUUUGUUGAAGAGGAUCUGCAGCAACAAGAAAUCUCAUACCUUUUGGAUAUGCUUUAAAAUCUCUACUAAUGACUCUUGCUCUCCAAUGCUUGAUAUGCUUAAUAAGGGGUUCUGCACAAAUGUUAGAGAACUAUAAAGGGCAAGAAAUCUUGGUAGGCCUUCUGUUUUGGUAAUGGAAAGAAGCAAUGUGUUGUGCUGGUAGAAGAUUCCCAUUAGAGGACCACUCAGGAGCCUUGCUGAUGAUAAUGGCAUCAGCAAACUUUUUAUUCAUCUUAAAACCUUGAGUUAAACCAAAAACCAUCUUUCUUCCAAACUUUGAAGCUUGACAUGGAUCCGAGCAAAUGAUUUGGUGGACUAAUCCAUAAUCCAGAAGUAAUUCUGGAGUUAAGAUCAAAUCCUGGUCUUUAAAAGGAAGGAUGAUUGGCAGGUAAUAUUGCAAAUCAUGACAUACCCGACUGAUUGUGAAAUUUCUAUUGCAAUUGCAAGACAUCUCCUUAAGGCCUUGUUGAUAUUGAAUAGGAUCUUUGAUAGUUCUGCAAAGUUUAGAGUCAUCAAAUUCCCUAUCCAUGACCAAACUUAAACUUGGGAUCCGAAUACCAAUAGUAGCGAAUAGGUAGAUGUGAAGAUCCUGGAGGUAUGCUGAGAUGAAGACUUGCUUUUCUUCAGCAGUUGCUUUGGCUUUUUCAAAGAUUAAGAGACGUAGAUCCUGUUUAAGGGGAUACAACAUUUCUUUCCUAUGAAAAAACAUCCUUAUCUUAAGGUAGUUCCACUCAUCCUCACUCAACUUUUUUACUUCAUCCACCAGUGGGGUGGACUGCUUAUUCUCAUCAAUUUCCAGUGGGGAAACUAAGGCUAGGGCAUUUAACAUGAGCUGAUGAAAGUCAACUAAUUCUAGUUUUCUUUCCAAAGUCUGACAUUUUUCCUGUAGAUUAGUGAUACAAUUAAUAUAAUAAGAUAAAGGGUUAAGAUGGAUUUGUGGACAAGGAAUCUUCCACAGAAGGUGGAGAAUCCAAACUUGAAUCUUUUUCCCUACAAGGGGAAGCUGAAGGAAAAGGAUGUUUGGAGUAGCUGCAAGAACCUGCAACAUCAAAAUGAUCAUAAUAGAGUGACAUGAAUUUCUCAGGAAGAACUGGAUGGGCUUUCUUAAUAUUUGAAGAUUUUUUAUUUAGUUUAAGAGGUUGUUUCUCUUUUUUGGGGGCCAUGUUCUUGUGAAUCCUGCUAAAAAUUCAUGAAUUAGGAAAUCAGGGAUUGAGUUAUUUUCUCCUUUAAUAUACUCAAUUUGAAAAUCAAAAUUGCUUAAAAUAGCUUGCCAUCUAGCAAAAAUAUGCUUAAAAGCUAUAUUCUUAACUCUUUUUGUAAAACUGAUUUUGCAGAUAAGCAAUCAACUCUUAAUAAAAAUUCUUGAUUUAAAAGAUCAUCUUGAAAUUUUGAAAUGCAUAAGACAAUGCUUAAAAUUUCUUUUUUAAUGGUGCUAUAGUUGAGUUGGGUACUAUUCCAAGUUCCAGAAGUAUACCUAACCAACUUUUCUUGGGUAUCAAUUUUCUGCUUAAGAAUACCACCAUAUCCCAUAUCUGAGGCAUCAGUCUCAACAAUCUUAAAGGCUAUUGGGUCAGCUAGGGCAAGACACGAUAGGGUCUUAACUCUAGAUUUGACAAUCUUGACAAUCUUGGUAUUGUAGACCCUCAAUUUUGUCCAUUUAGCACAUGUCUUUAAACUCGCUUUCGGUGCUCCACAAUAGUUCCUUGGUGGCCCAUUACUACUCGUACAACUUACCUUUUUCUGAGUCACCCCGGAGAUUUUGGUUGAGGGAUUAUCUGGCUCCUUAUUGUGACCUUUGGCAACCCUAAUUUAGACUUAGACUUUUCAUUCACUUAGGAUAGUUUUAGAUACACUUGGCCCAUUAGACACCACCCUAGGCCCACUUAGGCCCAUUUAGGCACACUUGGCACAUUAAGACUUUUUAGCGUGACGUGUAUAACUUGCAUGUUUGCAUGGCUUGUGGGGCUCAGUUUUUUGUUUAUUUUUAUUUUUAUUUUUAGUUUUAGUUUUAAGAUUAUCAACCACUCGUUUAUUAUUUAUUUAUUUAUUUUUAUUUGUUAUCUCCCUCUUUAUAUUAUUUUUCCUUAACUUAUUUAUUUAUUAUUGUUUUACUGUUUCUAAUUUGUUUAUUUAUUUAGUUAUUCAUUCAAUUAUUCACUUUCAAAAAUUUCAUGCUUUUGCAAGGAAACUUACCAUUGGAGUUUAAGGAAAGUGGGGCUCUCCAUGGAAGGAUUUUUGGAGGGGAAUUUGAAAUUGGGAAGAUUGCUUUUGAAGGAGGAGAUUGAAAAAAAGGAAAAGAAGAAAAGAAGGGAAAGAGGAGAAUUUUCCUUUUCAGGAACAAAUUUAGGAUUUGAGAGGUGAUAUAUAUAUAUAUAUGUGAGAGAGGAUGUUGAAAAAGAAGGAGGGAAUUCUGAGGAUUUUGGGAGAAAGCACAGAGGAGCAAAAAAAAAAAUCUAGGUAUGUUUCUCGUUACUUUUGGAAUUCUCACCCAUAUCCGAUUUUUUUUUUUUUUUUUUUUUUAUGUUUAAUAUACUGUUCUUUGGUGUGGACGGAAAGAGCCACAAUUUGUUUUGUUGAUAUUGGUUAUUUGCUUGUUUGCUUCGAAUCUGUUCCUGAUCAUCCUCCCACUGAUUCGAGCCCGUUGAAUGAAAUUUGAAAUGGGGCUUUCAUGGGUUCCUUAAUUUUACCUUUUUUUUUGUGUUGUUUUCAUUCUUCACACUCUGUUUUCUCGGUUGUAUCCCUCUGUUCUCCAUGAGAAAUUUUGAGUGCAUAAUCUUAUGAGCUUCACCAAAUGAUAAUGCCUGCUGAAACUUUGAUACCAAAGCUUGGAAUGCUUUACACCGAUUGAGACACGGAUUACCAGAAAAGUGGUGAAUACGUGGUCUGAGUUUCUUCAGCUUUGGGUCUCGCUGAUACUUCAUAAUUGGAGCUUAUUUUAUGAAUCUGGGUUAAUCGUGCGAGGAGUGUGUGGAAACGUGAUGAGUAACCAGAUGGCAUGCUGAAUUUUACGAAGAGAAUACCCCAUUGUUUGUGAACUUUGUUUAAAGUGGUCCUAUCAGAAUGACUUACGAUAUGCAGCCUCAUCAACCCUAGAAAAUUGGUGCAAGACCUUCAGCUAUGAAAAAGAUCACUAAGACAUCUAGGUAGCAGUCAACAUUGUCAGUGAAUAUCAUCCAGUUGAUGCAAGACAGAAUAUCAAGUCCAAAGAUACAAAUGUUCUCUUACAGUUUGAUUAGAAGGGAUCUCAUUCAGUAGCUUGUUUGCCUGCUUAGUUCCUCUUGGGUCGUACCUGCUUUCCAUUUGUGUUUCUCUCUUUCUCUUCGUGGAGGCCAUGGGGUCAGAAUUUAGAAUCCAUUGGGUUUGGAGAGAUUGCAAGAGAAAGGUGAGGUCAGUUCCAUGUGGAGGCUAAGAGGGAGGGGCCCAAUAGAUUAAAUGGUUAUCUUUCAGAAUUGGUUGCUGCCUCAUUUUCGUCCUUUGGUUCCAUGCUGAGAAGAUAGGGCAUUAUUGAACCAGUUCUCUUUUUUGUAAAUAUGGGUACAGAUUCACUCAUCCUCCUUAAAGAUCAGAACCAGACUCAGAACCAGAGCUCGUUUUAGCACUGAGGAUGUCUCUUGAUGAUAACCACGACUCUGUGGUUUUAGCUUGUGCCAAAGUUGUUCUGUGCAUACUAAGUUGUGAUACGAACGAGUAUUUCUUUGAUGCCUCAGAGAGACUAGCAACUUGCAAGAAAGUUGUAUGUACUGCUCCUGGUGUUUCGAAGUAGACCAGAGAUUGAGUUUGGUUUCCUUCACGAUGGAUUUUGGAAAUACAACACCAAACCUUGUAAUAUUUUUCCUUUAAGUGAGGAUAUCAUGGAUACCAAGAGUGAAGAAAAACUCACCAUUCAAGAUGAUAUUGUUGUUGCUGAACAAGAUUUUUGCUGCAGGUGUGAUUAGGAUGGGAAUCCUUCUCAGAAUUCAUUAUCUGUUAGAGACCGAUCCUACAGUAGCUUUGGAAGAAUGCAUGAUAUCUACACCUAUUGCAAUAGCAAAGAAUUCCCCGACAUGUGCAAAUGCAAUCAUAAAGUGUGAAAGGCUUGUUCACACGCUUAUUGGCAGAUUUGCUGAAAAGGAUAAGAUAGGAGUCUAUCCUUUUAAGAUAAAGCCAGUCACUCUCUUGAAGGUGUUGGCUCAAUCUGAUCAGAAGAAUUGUAUAGAAUUCAUAAAGAGUGGGAUUUUCCAGGAUGCAUCUUCGAAUUUGUGUCAAUGUCCAUUGUCCCUCGAUCAGUGGAUGAAAUCAGGGAAAGAAAACUGUAAACAUGCGUCAGCUUCGAUGGUUGAACAACUACGCUUUUGGAAGAAGCAUACGUCGUUCUGGAGUCUUUGGCUAGAAGACUUUCAAAUUGUAGUUCACAGAAGCAUAUAUCAGAGCUUGUGGAUGAUGACAAAGAGAUCUGGUCAUAGAGCCAUACGAGUCCUAUAGUCAGUAUAGCUUUGAAGUGGAUAGCUUUCAAAACCAAUCCAGACAUUUCUAGACUCUUUGACCAACAAAGAGGGAUUGAGAGCGAUUCUGUUCACAAAGAUUCGGAAAUGAGACCCCUGCUAUGGGUGAUUUCAGCUGCCAUGCACAUGCUUUCUACUGUGCCCAAAAGUGUGACCUUAGAAAAUACCAUCAGCUUGCCCGAAAGUGGCAGACUCCUGACAAGACUGCCUGAAUUUGUCUCCAAAAUUGGAUUAGAAAUAAUUAAUAAUUCGUUUUUGAGCUUCCCAGGUGUGAAUGACAAAGAAUAUGGAAUUAAUUCUUCAGCAGGUUGCUCUUUCAUUGAAGAAUUGUGUCAUUUGAGACGUCAUGGUGAUUAUGAAAUAUCCUUAGAUUCUACUUGUUUCCUUCAUGGACUACUCCAGCAGGUUGUUUCCCUUAAUAAUUUGAUCCAACUGGCUAAGACUGAGUAACAAACUCCAUGUUUCCAAGGACAGAGUUUUGCAAAGAAGGGAAAAGGGAUUACCCUCUGUUGUCUACAAUAUUCUCAGCUGUGAGAGAGCAAAGCAUGAAGUGAGAAUGGCUGUAAUGUUUGUGAAGCAAGAGCUACCCAUCCGUGAACCAUAAAGGGCUCCAAGAAACUCAAAGAGAAAAAUUCAGCAAUGGGUGAAGGAGGAAAAUCGUGAUGAUGAUGAUCCAGAUUAUGUGGAUUCCCCUUCAAGGAGAGGCGAACCUUUAGUUAAGAAAACGAAGGUAACUCAAGAAGUCAAGAGUUCCCAAGCUAGAAGGCCUUCAACCUUGCGGUGGAACCCCCCAAAUAAGGAAAGAGACACUGAAGAUGAGUUAGUAAUGACUGAAUGGGAAGAAAGCGAAGCAAUGGUUCUGAUGAAGAUCAAAUCAAGGAAACGUAAAACCGAAAAUCUUGAUGCUGUUACGAUGAAAAAGAUAGGCUCAAGUGACAGAGAAGAGAAAAUAUUUAAGUCCGUGAACUCUAUGAAUCCUUCAUCACCUUCGUUGACUUCAACCUCAUCGGAUUCUGCCUUGGGUAGUGAUGGAAAUAGCAGCUGUAGCUCCAGGAGAUGUUAACAAUGACUAAGAAAGGCAAUGGAGGAGAUUGUUUGAAGUGCCAUCAGUGCAUGAGAAGCGAUAGAAGAAUUGUUGUUCCCUGCACCAAAUGUAAAUCAAAAUUAUAUUGCCUACAGUGUGCAUCAAGCAAUGGUAUCCCAACAUGUCAGAAACAAAAAUUGCAGAGCUAUGCCCGUUUUGUCGUAGAAAUUGCAACUGUAACCUGUGCCUGCAUUCCAGUGGGAUGGUUAAGACGGUGAAGACUGAUAUCAGUGAUGGUGAAAAGGUUCAACACCUUCUUCAUUUGAUCAAGACACUCUUUCCUUAGCUUAAACAAAUUUAUGAAGAGUAAAAGCAGGAGAUAGAAGUUGAGGCUAAUAUUCAAGGAAUACCAUCUUCUGGAAUUACAAUACCAGUGCAUUCAUGCCCCAGUGAUGAGCGUGUCUAUUACAACCAUUGUGCAACUUCAAUUAUUGACCUCCACUGAAGCUUCCCAAAGUAUUAUUAUGAGCUUUGCCUCAGCUGUUGCAAAGAGAUUCGGAAGGGAAACCUUUUAAAGACGGUGUGAUUGAGAUGGAACAGGAUUUUGCUGCUGAUACAUUCAGUGUUAGUGAAGAAUCUGAAGAUGAUGACAAUGAGGACAGUAGGGAUGGGCCACUUCUACAAUAGGGAAAGCUACAGUUUUUAAUUGGUACAGCUCGACAUGAGAGUGAUUACAACAACAUUUUGCUAGUCCCUGUUUGUAAUAAUGGUAAUCAGAAAAGCAUUCCAAUAGUAGCACCAUCUAUAAUCAAUGUUUGACUAAUAGUGGCACUAGCUCCUACAGUCAAACCUUUGUUAAUGGCAGCCCCGGAAUCAACAGUCAGCCCAUCUGAAAUGGAAAUGCUGGCUUUGACAACCCAGUCAUUCGCAAUGAAGAUGUUGCCGUGUAUAGUCAGGCCAUGCACAAUGGUGAUGUUGAUUUGGAUGAAUACUCCCUAUGGGACCUUUUGGGAGUAGCAUCAAGUGCCUCAGUGGAUAGAAGCAGCGUUCAGACAGCAGAUGGAUCACUGGUUCUGAAGCCAUCUGCACAUUAGGCAAUGACUAAGACAUAAUUUAUUGCUCAGGAGGGCUGUGAAGAACAGAAAUUCAAGCCUGACUAGAAUCAGACAUGCUCGUGCCUUCGGUUCUCUCAAAAUCUACAAUCUGUGUAGCAGAAACUGCAUUCUUGCAUUCAUUGCUUUGCUCAAUUCAGUGAUGUCCAUGACGAUCCGGUGGCGAUUCUAUCGCUGAAUUACUCUAAAAACCUAUUAUCUCUUGUGAUCAUCGAAGUGUCUCAACAGUCUUACUCAUUCCAUCUCAUGCAUUACAGUAAUUCCGCAAUCUAGGUGCGAAGCUCUUAGCAAAGAGGCUGCAUAGAGGCACAUGAUAAUAUUGGUUCAACCAGAGCAAGUGAUAAUUCAAUAAUCAUUGAAUAUAAACUCAAGACGCAGCGUUGAUCGAUUAUACUUACGACAGAACUUUAUGAUUGUCAGUGUAUAUUUGAGAGCCUAUAACGAUCAACCAGACUUCGAGAUCAGUGAACCAGAAGCAGUCUGUGUUGCCCUUCUUGGUUUUACUUCAGUUUUAGUCCACAAUCAAGGUGCUGCAGUUUUGGAUGACCAGGACACACUUAACCUUGAUGGCUCAUCCUUCAAUACAUCUGAGGUUCAGACUGAUAUAGCAGACGGAUCAAUCAUUGUACAGAAUGUUUCUGAAUCAGUGAGGCAGAAUGCACUGAAAAGAUUCGUGAAGCUUACCAACCUCUUUGGCUUUUGUGAAGAGAUAUUGACUCGUUUCCGGGACUAUUAGCUGGAUGUGCUUUGGUAAAUUUCAAAAUUCUUGAGUGACUGACCAUUUCAGAAUUUCUAUGAAUAAAAAAGAGCAAGUGACAGGCAACACAAGUUGAAGCUGCGUUCGUGAGUCAGAGGUUGCAGGACAUCAGUACUUCAGAAUUUCAGAUUGGAGUUCUUCAGAAUAAAGUCUUUGCUGGAACUCAAAAUGGUUGAAGUCAGGAUACUGUCCUUAUUAUUGACAUCAGCAAGUGAGAAGUCGGAGGUGAAACAACCAUCUGUAGAUUGAAACACUGCAUUAGACUUCAGUUUUGUCCAUGUAAAUAGUUAAAAGAAGCAAGCCAAGCAAACACCACUGGUAAUAAGAUCUCAGAAUAUGAGUCUUUCAAGCUACACCUUGAGAUGUCUCACAGAGCUAGAGACGCCAAGAAAAUGAUCUUUAGUAGAUCCUCGCUGUUGUCAAGACAAUUUUAAUGGCCACAUCAACAAUACCAAAUAGAAACGAAAGUCUACUUCAAACACAGCAGUAUUCCGAUUCAGAAACUGAAGUCUUUGCUACAACUACAUCUUUGAACAAUAGAAAUGGGUCAUAUAAAUGCUAAUCAGUGAAACUUCCUCAUGCCAGCUAUCGAUGAUCAGUUAGUACUACUGAAGAGGUAAAAGAUGAAGUUCAUGAUGAGCUACAAAACAUAGAUUCUGAGCUACAGAAAAAUCUAGGAGAAAAUUAUGAGAAAAUUGACAAAUCAGACGAGUUUGUGAGCAAAGGUUUGAAACUUAAGAACGUAUGGCAGUAAAGAAAUCCGAUUUGGAACUGGACUUAACACACACAGGAAGCGUAAGUAUGCAGAAAAUGGUUUAUUCGACCACAAGCCACAUGAAUCGAACUCUAUUAUGGCAGAUUGAGGUAAAAGUUGAAAGGCUUAAUCAAUUGAAAGCUAGCAGAAUGCAGGGAACCUCUCAAUGUAGAAAAUUGGAAAUUCCGAACCUUCUAUUCAGUAUUUAACUUCUAUUGAGGAGAAUCCAGUUGAGCUUACAAAUCAAGAUGUCUUUUAAGUUGAAGCAUUCGACAGUUGAACACUUUUGCAGUGAAUUGGUCCCUUCUAUCCAAAAUUUACCGGCUUCACUUCAUAGCAACCUUACUACACACACCUCCUCUAUUUGCUUCUUUGAUUGGGAACUUACUGUUUUAAAGUGAAUUUUUGAAUCAUUUUUCAACUAAACAUUUCCAGCUUUGAAGAAUCCAUCUCUAAAACACUUCGAGGCAUAAAAUCCAGAUUUUAACAAAUCUUUGCUGCCAUUUUCCUUCCAGCACAAGGUUUUCACUAUUUCCUUUGAUUUUCAACCAUUUUCUUGAUUUUUCUCGAUUUUCCCAAGCAUGAACAAACUUCAUGAUUCGAAACAAUGGAAUUCAUAGAAUCAACUCAUGCGAAAUUAAUUAGGGCUUUGGUGGGGGCCCAACAUUCAUGAUACUCUCUUCAAUAUUGUUUGCUUGAUAUGUUGAUUUUUGAUUCUUCUUGAUGAAAUACUUGAAUUCGCUUUAUGAUUAUUGUUGAGAUAUCCUUGUUUCCCAUAGACGUGUGGAUGCUCGCUAAUCAGGUACACUCUUCCCACCCUACAACUUUAAAAUUCUAUGAAUGUGUACGUUAUCAUGAGCCAUGACCAUGUUUGAUGCCAUACUUGAUUGUCUUGAUGCUUGUUUGAUCAUCUUUGAUAAAAUACAUAUAAUGUGUCAUAUUUCCAAACUAAUCUCUUAUGUUUUAUGAUAGCGCUUGAGAAGCCGUUCAGGUACGCACUUCGACUCUCUCUUAUGGUUGGUUUUCUUGUUAGACAUGCUAUAUUUGAAAUCACCUAAUCUACUUAGGUAUCUAUAAUUAAUCAAUUAAUUGUCAUAUUUCCCUCAAUUUAGUCAGUAGAGACCUUUAUAGGGCUUAGAGGGAUGCUACCUUUUAAAGGUGCCUUCCUAAUAAGUAACCUGAUCCUCGGACUAAGACUCAGGUUUUUCAAAGACAUGUUUUUUCAAAAAUUAUGGAGUCACUUUUUAGGGUUUUUCUUUCUUAUUUUAUUUUCCCUUUAAAAUAAAAAUAAAAUAAGUGGCGACUCUGACUUUUCUAAAAAUUGAUUUUUCACAAAUAAAAAGCGAGUCUUGCCGAUUGAGUGAGGGCGCACAUGAAAAAUGCAGGUCCACAGGUAUGAUCCUCAUUCCAAGGUACUGGAUUUUUCUUAAGUCUUUUUCUUAAAGGAGCACAAAGCUAGCUUAAAUCCUAUAUGAAAUCUAACACAUAAUUAAGGCUUCUUAAGAAACGUUGCAACUGUUUCUUGUCUUUGAUCUCAUCAGGAAACUUAUCAGCAAAUUCUAAAGACAUUUGAAUGGGAGUGAUAGUUCCUUGGUGAAUAUGAUGACCUAGGAAUCUUACCUUAAUCUAGAAAAGGUUAAUCUUGGUGAACAUGCUCUUGUGCCUUAAGUUGGAUCUAUGGGUGUUGUUGGUAUCAGAGCCAUGGGAAGGGAAGUCGGGUUUGUUUUAGGUGUGUUGAGCUAUCCUAGGAUAAGUAGCAAUGUGUCUGGGAGUACAAGCCUUGCCGGUAUUAUUUCUUAAGUAGUAAUUGGUCUACUUUUCUCUCAUCCUAUUUCGAUACAUACAAGACAUAGAGCAAAGGUAUGUCUACUAUGUGAGCAAAACAAUGGUAGACGUAGAGACUUAGUACUCCAAAAUGGAGCAGACGACCUUAGCCUUGAAGAACAUCGCUUAGAAGCUUCGCCCGUACUUCUAGGCUCAUCAAGUGACCGUACUCACAAAUCAACCACUCCGAGCUACCCUACACAAAUCGGAUUUGUCCAGACGGAUGUUGAAAUAAGCCAUUGAGUUGAGUAAAUACAAAAUCAAAUACCAGCCAAGGUUAGUAUUGAAGAAACAAGUUAUGACCAACUUUAUAACCAAACUCCCUCAAAAACUAGCACAUCCAAUUGAGUCCUUUGGAAAGCAAUGGUGGACACUUCAUGUAGAUGGAACAUCCAGAGCAUCCGAUUCCGGAGUAGGUCUAAUCUUGCAAUCACCAACUAGAAAACUAGUAAAGCAGGCUAUUCGUCUCAACUUUUCUAUCUCCAACAAUGAAGCAGAAUAUGAAGUUGUCUUAGUUAGACUAGACCUUGCCAUAACAUUGGUUGCAGCAAGGUUGGUAAUCAAGAGCGACUCUCAGCUAAUUGUCGGGUAAAUUCAAAAAGAGUACGAAGUAAAGGGUAAACGCAUGGCUCGCUAUCUCACCAUGGUAGAAGAUCGCUUGAAAAAGCUAGACAAGUGGGUUGUUAGACGGGUACCUAGGAAAGAGAACUUGAAGGCAGACGCACUGGCCGAAAUAACUAUCACUCUUCCUAUAAGAGAGGCAUUAAUGUUGUCUGUCCACGUGUCCCUUUCAAGCUCAAGACCCCUUUUCCGUGUAGAACAAGUAUGUAACCCAUCUGAGAUCAUUCCAUCCAGGCCAAGAUAAGUUCUGUCUGGCACCAGAAGUGAGAGGAUUCCCUUCUCCCAUAAGGCUAGAUGAAAUUGACAGCUUGGACUCUUAGACGGGAAGGUCUGUCCAGUCAAGUCUUUAAGACUUCUGCCAUACGUGAUCAACCACGCUUGACAUUUGAGCGGCCGGCAAGACUCCAUUUAGCCUACAAGUCUAUGUCAAUUAGUUGUUGCACACAAUCCUAGGUGUUGACAGGCUAAAUGGAAAGACAGCUACACAAUCCAAGAUCUUGGAAAGUCAGUAGAUGGCACCUGCCAGCCACCCUUAACUGAGAUGAUUGUCCAGCCGCCCUGAAGACAAUCAUCAUUACAGAAAAGGUCAGAGUGCAUACUCAACACUACAGUGGCGGUGUCAUCGUCUCUAUAUAAACCUCUCAAAAAGCACGAACAAGGUACGCACGCGAGCACAAAUGCUCACUCUCUCCCACAAAAUAGUUAAAGUUACUCUUGUAUGACUUAAGCUUCAGAGGGACAUGCCCGGACCACCCGUUUGGAUAUCCUUUUGUGUAGGAAAGAAGCCCGUUUGACUCCAGUACAGCUGGACAAAUUCUUCGAGAGACACAAAGUAGGAGCGAAGUUCGUUUGACUUCAGCAAAGCUAGACAAACCUGACACUAGUUGGCUUGACCUCAACAUGGAGUAUAUUAAAAAGGUGAGGCAUACAAUAAAUGUAGAUGUGGAGAGCGUCAUGACCAAAGUAAUGGGCACAACAAAUACUUUAAAAGUUGUCAUGUGGAUUUAUUUCACAUAAACUAUUUUAAUAGCGCAAUAAUUAUAACGAUCUUUUAUAAAUUUUACUUUUUGAUUGAUUUAAUUAUAUGUGGGCAUAAUUUUAAAUACCUAUUAUUAAUUAAAGGGGUAAUUCCAACCAAGAUUUGAAAUAUCCAUAAAUACGUAUAUAUUUCUACUUAGAUUUUACAGAUAUAUUAAAAAUAUUAAUGAAAAUUUGGUGAAUAUUUUGACAAAAAUAUCAAUAAGGCAAAAAUUAUGCAAAAUUUAUGGAAAUAUUUGAAGAAACUCCGAAAAAAAUAAUAAAAUAAAUAAAAAUACACAUGUUAAGUUAUUUUUUUAAGUGUAAUUGGUAUAGGUAUGGUUAAAGAGAAAAAUAUUGGUAAGUAAGAAUAUAUCGAUAUUAAUAAUUUAUUAUUUAUCUAGUAAAAUUAAUUUUAAUUUAAAAAAUUUUAGAACUUAAUUAUUAUUUUAUAUUUUAGCAUAUUUUUGAAUAAAUUUGUAUUUUUAAUAUUUUAAAAUAAAAACCUUCAAAAUUAAAUAAAAUUAAAAUGAUAAAUAUAAAAAAUUUAAAAGUGAAGUGAUAGUAAUUUGUUAAAAUAUGAUUAAUGAGAUAAAUGAUAAUACAUUUAAUAUUAAAAAUAUAAUUUAUUUAAUUCAAAUGCAUUCAAUAAUGUAAAAUAAAUGAUGAUGCAUAUAUGACUUUUUAAUAUUUAAUUAUCAUAUAAAUUAUAUUAAAAAAUAUUUGUUAAGAAAAUUAUAAUGAUGAUUUUUAUACAUUUAUUAAUUAAUUAAAUAAAAAUUAAAAUAAAAUAAUUAAAUUUUUUUAAUUUAUUUUUUAAUAAUGAACUUUAACAUAUUUAUUAUCAUCAUAUAUUAAUGAGUUGGGACUUAGACCAAUGGCAAUCAAGCUUAAAUCUAAGUCUUUUGACCUAGGUUUGAAAAAAUUCAAAUCAUGUAGGGAGAAAAUCGCCCAAAAAAAUUGCAAUUUUUUUUAUUUCGGCAAUUUUUUUCAAUCUCCUCUUCCUGUCGUCAGGUCGGGCGUCGCCCCACGCUCGAUUUUUCGCUGAUAAAUCACCUCCAAAACAAUAUAUCGUUGAUAGUUUGACGAUUUUGCCGAAAUUCUUGUCAAUCGAUAAUCGGUGCCUGUUAUCAUUUCGGGCACCAUCAAUAUUCGAUAUUUUGUUGAUAUCUCGACAAAAAAAAAAAAAAAAAAAAACCAACAUUUCAAUCCUUGGCUCCAACUACCUACUACUCUAUAUUUUGUACAAGUAUUAAUCUAUGAAACUAAAGUCAAGACAACAUAAAAGAUAUUUUGUAAAAGAAAUUUCAAUUGAAGUGGUAGAUGUUUCUGUGUUAAACCCCUACCAACUUUGUUGUUAGAGUGAAAAGCCCCACCAACUUUGUUGUCAAAGUUAAAAGGAGUAGAUGGAACUUGGAAGUAGAUCAUAACUAACACAAUUGUUUAUGUGGAGUAAAGAUGAAAAUAUAGGUAAUCAUGAAUAUAUCGAUAUUUCGAUUUUACGAAUAUAUCAAAUAUAUUAACAAAUAUUUUGAUACAAAAUAUCAAUGGACCUAAAAUUGAUUAGAACUUAUAGAAAUAUAGGAAAAAACUUUUAGAAAUGAAAUUAGAAGUAUAAUAGAUAUUUUAAAGUUGUUUUAUUGAAGAAAUUAACAUAUGUAUGAUAUAAUUUAUUAUAUUUGAUAAUAAUAUUGUAUGUGUUGAUAAAAAAAUAUAAAUUUUAUAAGUGUACAUUUAUUAUUAAUCCUGGGGACGUCACCCCCAAGGGCCAAAUAAACAAAUGGCCCCUCAUAAGACUUUGCGCUGUCCGGCCCAACCCGGACACCAGAGCAAAAAAGGCCGACGUUUAUGUUGGGACGUCAUUUGUUUGUUUGGCCCUGGGCAGCCGCAUGGGCCGGAUACCAGAGUGGCCUCCCCAGGAUUCAAACCCAAGUCCAAGACUUAAGGACGAUAAGGUUNNNNNNNNNNNNNNNNNNNNNNNNNNNNNNNNNNNNNNNNNNNNNNNNNNNNNNNNNNNNNNNNNNNNNNNNNNNNNNNNNNNNNNNNNNNNNNNNNNNNNNNNNNNNNNNNNNNNNNNNNNNNNNNNNNNNNNNNNNNNNNNNNNNNNNNNNNNNNNNNNNNNNNNNNNNNNNNNNNNNNNNNNNNNNNNNNNNNNNNNNNNNNNNNNNNNNNNNNNNNNNNNNNNNNNNNNNNNNNNNNNNNNNNNNNNNNNNNNNNNNNNNNNNNNNNNNNNNNNNNNNNNNNNNNNNNNNNNNNNNNNNNNNNNNNNNNNNNNNNNNNNNNNNNNNNNNNNNNNNNNNNNNNNNNNNNNNNNNNNNNNNNNNNNNNNNNNNNNNNNNNNNNNNNNNNNNNNNNNNNNNNNNNNNNNNNNNNNNNNNNNNNNNNNNNNNNNNNNNNNNNNNNNNNNNNNNNNNNNNNNNNNNNNNNNNNNNNNNNNNNNNNNNNNNNNNNNNNNNNNGAAUCCUGGGGAAGUCACCCCCAAGGGCCAAAUUAACAAAUGGCCCCAUAAGACUUUGCGCUGUCCGGCCCAACCCGGACACCAGAGCAAAAAGGCCGACGUUUUUGUUGGGACGUCAUUUGUUUGUUUGGCCCUGGUCAGCCGCAUGGGCCGGAUACCAGAGUGGCCUCCCCAGGAUUCGAACCCAAGUCCAAGACUUAAGGACGAUAAGGUUGCCCUCCUGGUACCAUCUGUGCUCAACACAAAGGACAGAUUAAGAAUUCCGAAAGGACAUUGACACAUUUUUUUUUUAUUGCUUGGUUGUCUCUAUGCAAUUGUUGAUCAACUUGCACUGCCUUGAUGACGAAGCUCUACACAUGAGGAUAAACAUUGAAAGAAAACAGAAGGUUGAAAUGAUUUAUGGUGUCUUUUAUUACAGCAAAUCUAAAACUUGGCCAACCUCUGAGAAACUAAAGAGGCUUGGAAGAUAUGGCUUCUUAAGAAAUUAAUUUAUGCCUGAAAAUCCAAAGGGAACUUAAUGGUUUUUCCUUUUAUUGUUCCUUUUUCAAAGCACAAGCUAGAACAUAGAAAAUGAUUAUCACCUGAAUGGUACCUCCCUCCAUCUUCCUCAAUUACAUUAAUUUUCACUGCACUCAUUUGUGGAUCACUUCCCAAGGCCUUGGGAAGCCAUGCAAUGUUAAAGAACCUUUUUUCCAUGACCAACAUAGAAUAUCAUAAUUUUCUCUUACAUGCAAACAUAACGGUUUUGUCGUGUCCUAUGAUAUUGUGAGACUAGAUAUACGCACACNNNNNNNNNNNNNNNNNNNNNNNNNNNNNNNNNNNNNNNNNNNNNNNNNNNNNNNNNNNNNNNNNNNNNNNNNNNNNNNNNNNNNNNNNNNNNNNNNNNNAUUUUUGACAUUCCAUAAUUUCUACGUUCUUGAGCCAAAUUUAGAAAAUAAAUCAUUCUUGGACAACCUCGAUCCUGUGGGGUUUGGUUUUGGAAGCCAAAAGUCCCAUCUUUGUUGCUCUUUAGGGCUUUUGUAAAUGGAGAGGGAGAGAUUUGAGGAUGCCUGCAAGGUUGUAGUACAAGCUACAAAUGACGUAUCGAUCAUGCAAUUUUUAGUUGGUGACUCACCAUCCAUGCAUGGGCCGUGGUUUUAUUUUUAUUUAUCUAGGCUUUGGUUCACAAAGUAUUAAGAAAAAAAAAUAUUAUAAAAAAUGAUUUUUCAUAUUUGAUUUCACCAUUAAAAAUAUAUAAAAAAAAAUCAAAUAUAAUUAAAAUUAAUUAAAAAUUUACACAUUUUAAAUUCAUUUAAUUUUUAUAUCAUGAAGAAAAAUAAAUAAAAUAAAUUUAAAAAAAUUAUGGACCCCACAUUUUGCUCGAUGUGUUUCUACUCGAUGGUAAAACUUGUUUUUUUAUUUUAUUUAUUUUGCGAAAAUUAUGAUUUUUAGAAAAGACUUAGAGUUGCCACUUAUUUUUGUUUUAGUUUUUAAAAGGAAAACAAAAUAAGAAACAAAAAUACUAAGUAUGACUCCUUACGUGGAAAAACGGGUCUGUGAAAAAUUGAGUCGAGUCCAGGGUUGAGGUUACUUAUUGGGAAGGUACAAUAAAAAGAUCGAAAGCACCCAUCUAAGUCCCUAAAAACGGGUCUCUACUAAAUAAGGUGAGGUAAAUGUGACAAUUGAUAAGGAAAUCAAUGGAUACCAGUGAAAUAAUCAAAUAAUAAAGUGAAAUCAUGCAUCAGAAUAAGCGAAGUGGAAAUGAGAUCAUACCUUAACAGCAAUUAAUAGUGCGCUAUCAUGGAAACAAGGUUAGCUCAAGUAUAAAAUCAUUACAUACAUAUCAAAAAGCAAGACAAAAAUCAAACAAUAUUCAUUAAACAUAACAAUUGACAAUCAAAAGAGAAAACUCCUAUGUAGGGCCCCCACCAAAGCCCGAUUUAUCUUGUAUGAAUUAGUAUCACAAAUUCCAUUAUUUUGGAAUUAUGAAAAAAAUUCAUUCUUGCUUAUUUAAAACUAAGAGAAACAAAAAAUUAUUUGAAAAUAGAAGAAAAUUUGUACAAAUGCAUACCAAAAUGAGAAUGAUAACAGACUUAUUAAAAUUAGGAUUUUUGGCGACCUAAAACUCUAAUAAAGGUUGGAAAGUUGUAGAAUUAAAACUGUUCGAGAUAAAACUAGAGUUUUGAAAUUUAUUUGAAAAUUGAACUCUCGAAAAUUAUUUGAAAAUUGGAGUCUUGAAGAUUAAAUCUAAGAAUUGGAAUUUUGGAAAUUAAAUUUGCAAGAAAUUGGAAUUUUGAAAAUUAUUUGAAAAUCGGAGUUUUAAAAAUUAAAUAUGAAUUUGGAGUUUUGGAAAUUAAAUUUGAAAGAAAUUGGAGUUUCGAAAAUAAAUUGAGAACUGGAGUUUUGGAAAUUAGAAUCUUAGAAAUCAUUUGGAGAUGAUAUUUUAAAAAAUAAAUAAAUAAAAUAAUAAUAAUAAUAAUAAUAAUAAUAAUAAGCAAGUGUGAAAAUUGGUAUUUUGGAAAUUGAAAAUUAAAUUUGAAAAUUGGAAUUUUGAAGAAUUAUUUAAAGAUGAAAAUUUUAAAAUAAUAAUAAUAAUAAAUAAAUAAAUAAAUAAAGGGAAUAAUAAUAAAUAAUAACGAAAAUAAUUAUUAUUAAAUAAAUGUGAAAAUUGAAAUUUUGGAAAUUGGAAAUUAAAUUAGGAAAUCGGGAUUUUGAAGAAUUAUUUAAAAUGGAAUUUUAAAAAUAAAUAAAUAAUAAUAAUAAAGAAGAUGAUAAUUGUUAAAUAAAUAAAUGUGAAAAUUGAAAUUUGGGAAAUUGAGAAUCAAAUUUGGAAAUCGGAAUUUUGAAGAAUUAUUUAAAGAUGGAAUUUUAAAAAAAAUAAUUAAAUAAAUAAAAUAAUAAUAACGAAAAUAAUAAUGAUUAAAUAAAUAAAUAUGAAAAUUGGAAUUUUGGAAAUCGAAAUUUUGAAGAAUUAUUUAAAAAUGGAAUUUUUAAAAAAUAAAUAAAUAAAAUAAAAUAAUAACAAAAAUAAUAAUGAUUAAAUAAAUAAAUGUGAAAAUUAGAAUUUUGGAAAUUAUUAGAAAAUCGAAGUUUUGAAAAUUAAAUUUUGAAAAUUGGAAUUUUGAUGAAUUAUUUUAUAAUGGAAUUUUAAAAAUAAAAUAAAAUAAAAAAUAAAACGAAAAUAAAAAUAAAGAUGCAUGUCUAGUGGAAAAUGGUAGGAAUUCAUUUAUUAAAAUUCUCAAUUCAAAGAGAUGAUGGCCCAUUGGUGAGCCAUGAUAAUGUUGUGCUUCCAAGCAUUCUUACACCUAGCAAACAUGAAAAAAUUAACCCAAGAUGCACUUCUUACCCAUCAGCCACCUAAGUUGGAGCCCAUAAAAUCCAAAAAACUGCAAUGGAGAAAUGAAUGCAAGGUUGUGCACGUGCCAAUAACCAUAUCCUUCUAUCACAAGAAAUACGUGUGUAGAAGGACAUUCUACAGUCCUUAAAAACUACUAUUCGUGGAGUUUCGACCCAACAUUUGGUGAUAUAAAUGAUAGUUAUCAUUGCCAAGAUCCCAUUUGCUACGGAAGGAACAACCACACUUUUCUUCGCAUCACUACCAAGGAGCCAAUUUGCAAGCACUUGGCUUCCAAUAAAAGAUGCAGACUCAAAUAAUGUCAUUAACCAGAAAGUAUCAAUCAAAAAAUAUAACGUCUAUACCCAAGCUUAUCAUGUUCAACAACCAUCCAUGUUUCAAAACUGAAUGAAAAUAUUGAAGUGGCGAGAGAUAAGUAGAUAUUUGCUACCCAAACACUAGGUUACAGGGUAAUCCUCCUCCAUAUGCCAAUCGAGAGGUGUAGAACACAAAAUGACAAAAAAGCUUUCUUUUGAUCGAUGAAAUCACAAAGCAGACCUAAGGAAACACUAAAGAAAAAGGCAACUAAAUAUCCAACACAGAGAGACACCACCAAGUUCCCUUAUGAGAAUCUCACUCCCUUCAACAUCCAUCAUGAUCGCAACAGCAAAGCCCUUCUCCUCAAGGGUAUAAAUAGGCACCGGAACAGAGAGUAAAUAGCAAGGGAACAAGCAUAAAAAAAAAAAAAAAAAAAUAGAGCAUCAAAUGAACCAAAGAAAACAUUAACCCGAGCCUCAUCUCAUAUUGAAAUCAAUGGGCUUACGUAUAGGUGAAAAAANNNNNNNNNNNNNNNNNNNNNNNNNNNNNNNNNNNNNNNNNNNNNNNNNNNNNNNNNNNNNNNNNNNNNNNNNNNNNNNNNNNNNNNNNNNNNNNNNNNNAACUCAAUGAAAAUCAAAUGCGAGAAAGAUGUGGUCCAGUAGAAGUUCCCGAAAAGACUCCCCUCCGGCGAGACUAGCUGGGUGUCAAGUUGCUUUAUUUCGUCGUUUCUACUUCAUACCAUUUGCAGUUUACUCCAGAAAACAUUUCUUCUCUCUAAAAAAAAAAUGCAUUCGUUCUCCUCCUCGUUUCUCUCAAGGCUUCCCCAUUUUGUUCUGCUUUUUUUCAUCUCCAAGCUUUUUCCAACCCUACCCGUUUCAGUGCUCCUUGCUCAAAAGAAGUCUCGUCUCAACCACCCCCAUGGCAAGGUGGUGGUCCCAACCACUCAUCCAUGCAUGGAGCUUCAUGGAAGUUGUCCCCCACUUCAAAUGAAAUGCUCUCCAACUCCUUCCAGGUGGUAAAAAAUAAAAAAAGAAUAAAGAAAGAGAAAAAAAAACUUUGGUUUAAAAAAAAAAAAAAAAAAGGUCUACAAAUAUGCCCCUCUUCGGUAGAGUUCACGAGUGUAAGAAAUAUGAACACUAGAGUGAAAAGAAAUUGUAAAUAGUGAAUGAAAUGAAGUGGACUCUACCGAAGAAAAAGAAAGACCCCUAAUGGCGCACAAGUAUAACACAAACUUGCUUAAUCCAAUAAAGGAACAAAAGAGGUUCCAAAAUCCCAAAAGAAUGGUAGCUCUCAGAGUGCCUUUAAAGCUGCACUAUGAACUUAGGCUUCCUCUAAGAUGUCUCCAGAAGUGACUUGAAGAUCAAUGUCAGAGAUGAGUAACGGUCAAACCACCUUGGGGUACAGGAAAGAAUGCGUCCAAAGGGGACUACCCUAUGCGAACUACAUGAGAACACUAAGUGUAAGGUACCCAGCAACAUGACUGAAAUAUGUGUCAUGAACUCAAAGAACUAUGUCAUGUGCAGUGGAAGGAGAAGUCUAGAAGAGCAUGAUGGACAAGCAAUAAGCACAAGGUAACAAGGUAAGGAAAAUGAUGACGAAUGUAAAAUUUGUGAAGGCAAGAUGUACAAUGCUAAUGAAUAUGAAUGCUAGGAGCUAUGACUUUAAAUGAUAAGGUUGGGGAAAAAUGACUUUUGAAUGCCAAAAUGAGGAAAAGUGGUGACUCAAAAUGUAGGAAUGAGUAUGCACAAUGGCUCUGAACGUCAAAACUAAAUAAAGAUGUUGACACUGAAUGCUAAGAUGAAGGAAUAUGAUGGCUCUGAAUGUUAAAAUGAAGACACGGUUUUGAAUGCUAAAAUGAAGAAAAUAAUGGCUCUAAAUGUCAAACUGAAGACAUGGAUCUGAAUGCCAAACUGAAGAUAUGAUGGCUCUAAAUGUCGAACUAAAACCAUGGCUCUAAACACCAAACUGUGAAGAGAUGGUGGCUUUGAACGCCAAACUAUAAUGAGAUGGUGGCUCUGAAUGCCAAGUUGUAAGGAAAUGGUGGCUUUGAACACCAAACUAAGAAAUGAUGGUGGCUCUAAAUGCCAAACUGAAAAGAGAUGGUGGCUCUAAAUUCCAAAUUGAAAAGAGAUGGUGGUUCUGAACGUCAAACUGAAGAUGAUAUGAUGACUCUGAAUGUCGAGCUAAAACCAUGGCUUUAAACGCCAAACUAUGAAGAGAUGGUGGCUCUGAAUGUCAAACUGUAAUGAGAUGGUGGCUCUGGACGCCAAGCUGUAAGGAGAUGGUGGCUCUAAACUUCAAACUGAGAAGAGAUGGUGGCUUUGAAUGCCAAAACCUAUGAAGAGAUGAUGGGAUGGCUCUGAAUGCCAAGCUAAAACAAUAGUUAUGAAUGCCAAAUAGAAAGAAAGGCUCUGAACACCAAACUGAGAAGGACGACUCUGAACGUUGUAACGGAGAAGAUAUGGCGGCUCUGAAUACCAUAACUAAGAAGGGAUGGCGGCUCUGAAUGCCAAACUGAAAAAAGAUGGUGGCUUUGAAUGCCCAAAGUGAGAAGAGAUGGUGGCUCUGAAUGCUAAAUUGUAAAGAGAUGAUGGCUCUGAACGCCAAGGUGUAAGGAAAUGGUGGUUCUGAAUGCUAGGAAUGUAGCCCUGAAUGUCGAAAAGGUGGCAACAAAUGCCCAACUGUGAUAGGAUGAUGGCUCUGAAUGCCAAACUGUGAAAGGAUAGUGACUCUGAACGCUAAACAGGAGAUGCGGCUCUGAACGCCCGAACUGAGAAUGGAUGGUGGCUCUGAACGCCAAACUGAAAACAUGGCUCUGAAGGCCAAACUGAGAAGAUGUGGCGGCUCUGAAUGCCAAACUAGAGAUGCGACUUUGAACAUCAAAUUGAAGAAGAUGAAGGCCUUGAACACCAUAACUGAGAAGGGAUAGUGACUCUGAAUGCCAAGCUGGAGAUACGGUUCUGAACGCCAAACUGAAAAAAGAUAGUGGCUCUGAACGCCCAAACUGAAGAUGCGUCUCUAAACACCAAACUGAAGAAGAUGAAGGCCCUGAACACCAUAAUUGAGAAGAGAUAGUGACUCUGAAUGCCAAGUUGGAGAUGCGACUCUAAACUCCAAACUGAAGAAGAUGAAGGCUCUGAACGCCAUAAUUGAGAAAGGAUGGUGACUCUGGACACCAAGUUGGAGAUGCAGUUCUGAACGCCAAACUGAAAAAGAGAUGGUGGAUCUGAAUGCCAAACUGAAGAUGCGACUCUAAACGCCAAACUGAAAAAGAUGAAGGCCCUGAACGCCAUAACUGAGAAGGGAUAAUGACUCUGAAUGCCAAGUUCGAGAUACGGCUCUGAAUGUCAAACUGAAGAAGAUGAAGGCUCUAAAUGCCAUAAUUGAGAAGGGAUAGUGACUUUAGACGCCAAGGUGGAAAUGCGGUUAUGAAUGCCAAACUGAUGAAGAUGAAGGCUCUAAACGCCAUAACUGAGAACUAACAUCUCUGAAUGUCAAAUUGAGAAAAACGACUCUGAACGUCGUAACUAAUAAGCGAUGAUGGCUUUGAACGUUGAGCUGUAAAGAGAUGGUGGCUCUAAAUGCCAUAAUUGAGAACUAACAUCUCUGAAUGUCAAACUGAGAAAAGAAGACUCUGAACGUCGUAAAUGAGAAGCGAUGAUGGCUCUGAACGCUGAGUUGUAAGGAGAUGGUGGCUUUGAAUGCCAAACUGAAAAUGUGGCUCUGAAUGCAAACCUGAGAAGUGAUGGUGGCUCUGAACGCCAAACUGUAAGGAGGACAACUCUAAACAUCAAACGAAGGACAACCAACGGCUCUGAACACCAAACUAAAGAUAUGGUUUUGAACACUGAGAUGAAAUUGCCACUCUGAACGUUGAACGGAAGGAAGACAUGAUGACUCCAAAUGUCGAACUAAGAACAAACAAUGGCUCUGAACGCCAAAAUGAAGAUACGGCUCUGAACGCUAAAAUGAAAGUACGGCUCUGAACGCCAAACAAAAAAAUGUGAUGGCUCUAGAUGUCAAACCAAAGACAAACAACGGCUUUGAACAUCAAACUGAGAAUAUGGCUCUGAACGCCAAACGGAAAAGAGACAUGAUGGCUCUGAAUGUCGAACUAAGGACAAACGACGACUCUGAAUGCCAAACUGAAGAUGCGACUCUGAACGUCAAAAUGAAAAUACGGCUCUGAAAGCCAAACAGAAAAGAGACAUGAUGGCUUCGAAUGUCAAACUAAGGACAAACAACGACUCUGAAUGCCAAUUUGAAGAUGUGGCUCUGAACACCAAAAUGAGAAUACGACUCUAAACGUCAAAAUGAAAACAUAACUCUGAACAUCAAACGGAAAAGAGACAUGAUGGCUCUGAAUGUCGAACUAAAGACAAACGACGGCUCUGAACGCCAAACUGAAGAUGCAACUUUGAACGUCAAAAUGAGAAUAUGACUCUGAACGUCAAAAUGAAAAUGCGACUCUGAACGUCAAACGGAAAAGAGAUGUGAUGGCUCUGACCGCUAAGCUAAAAAUGCGAGGAGAUAAUGAGGAGGAAAUAUGCCCCAGUGUAGCAUGCCGCUACAACUCUCAAUUCAUAGGAAGGGUCUGAAAGAGACUCUAUGAGUCUCAAAAGAUGCUCCACUGACGAGUCGGAACGGUCAAAUCGACUAUAAAUAUGGCCUCACAACCCAUUUAACUGAAUCACGAGACCUGAUGAUGUGUCACAAUAAGUCGGAUGCCUUUAACUCAACAAGCUCUACUGGAGGAACCCAUUGUCGUUUCAAAUGAGUGAUCCAAUAGGGAAUCUCAAGAGAAUAGUCCGCCAGGGUAACUACUACAACCUUAACACAAAAAUCUACUGAAAAGUCAUGGAUAACGUGGUAGUCAAAACCCAGAAAGUCGUGCUCCUUUGGAGGCUCAUCUCGACCAAAGUCAUCAAAACCGUGCCCAAUAAUGCAAAGAAAUAUCCCUCGUCCAAGUAAUGAAGGCUGUAACAAGUCUGUGAGAAAACAAUCAUCUCUACAGCUAAAAGAGGAAAAUAUGCCCUAGUAUAGAAACUAAGGCAUCCGGUCUAUCCUGAUAACUCGAGAAUAACUCCAUGGGGAUGUAUAAGAUAUUUGACAUGUACUUCAUUGAAAUGAUGAUAUAGGAGUCUAUGCACCUGAGGUAACUCCAUCUAAGAAUUGUGACAAUAUAAGAAAAUAUGAGCUUGACUGAAUGACUCGAGAAAGGCUCCAUUGGGUAAUCAAGACAAAAUGAAAGCAAACCAUCAGCUCUCUUUGUGAAAGCUGAUACGGAGAGGAUCACGACUAUGGUGUCCGUCACAAUAAAUGCUUUGAAAGCUGCUCUCUUUGUUAAAAUUGCCAUGCCAUUGUCAUUGUAACCUCCAGGCAAGGUGAAACCCGCAGCAAAGGUUACAGUUGCUACAAGUGCUGCCACUAUCAAAUGGUUUCACCUUUUCUUUUUAUGUUAGAGAUGCUUUUGUCUUUUCUGACGUCUUUGCUUUUACUACUAUUACUAGUACCACCACUGUCUUUAUUGAUAGCCUCCUGCCAAGUAAAGGGUCCAACAACUUCUUUCUCCCAUUCCCUCAAUUGUCUUCGAAAUUCUUCCUGAAAUUUGAUCAAAAUAAAAACAAAUAAACCUUUUUCCAUAAAAUAAAAUAAAAUAAAAAGAAGGGAAAGAAAGAAGGAAAAAAAAUGUAGUUCAUGUGUCACUGUUUUGGCUUUUUGCUCUUCCUUUUUAUAAAAAGAUUUUCUCAUCUUCCCUCAAAAUGUUUUUCCAUAAGUCUACAAUUUAAAUCCACAAGUUCUACAAAUUGCCUUCAUUAUGGUAAUUUGGUACUUAAUUUCUAUUUUAAGCAUGAUUGUCCCUAUCGAUAAUAAAAAUAGAAAAAAUGAUGAUGAUGAUGCCCGGGGUUUUUAAUUCUACCAUCGUGAUGGAGUUUUUCCAUAUCAUUACUAAUAAAAAGAUUAGGUUAGGAUCCUUACUAUGAUCAUAUAUCCUGGAUUAAGGUUAGCCCUUGAAAAAAUGUCUAGGGCGGUUAACUUAUCCUUGUUGAGCGCCAUUUUAUCCACUCUAUUGUCUUCUGAGAAAGAUGGAUCAAAAAGUUGGUAAGAAGCAAGCAGGUGGAGGGGUGUGUCUCCUUUAGCGUCUUUCUCAUUCAUAAGUCUUCUCACCCUUAACAAACUAUUGUCAUUCAAGAUAUUACGAGUAGCAUGAUAUCGCUCGCUCAUAAUGGCAGAGUGAAAAACAUUAUUUCCCUUAUCAUCCACUUGCUCGCAACAAUCUGGGGAGUGUGACAACAGCAGCUUUGCUAUAUCUUGAUGGUUACGGUUAGCUGCAAUGUGAAGUGUUGUUUUCUUGCUGUCCUUGAUUCCAAGAUAAGUUACAAAUUUAUCUGGUGAUUUGCCUAGUAAUUGCUCCACAAUUGCAGUAUGACCCAAGUAUGCAGCACAGUGAAGGGGAGACCAUCCAUUCUCAUCCACUUCUUUUGUCAGAUCUGGCUUCCAUUCCAAUAACCUCGCUGUCAUUUCUGUAAACAAACGAACCAACAAAAAACAGAGAAAACAAAUUGAAGAAAAUUAAGUGAAUCAUUGAAGUUCCCUCUAGUGAAGCAUGACUCCUAGAGGUGAUCAUGUUUUCUAACAAUAGGUUGCAUGACUAUCUAAUCACAUGGGAAUCGAGAUUCAGGGGAAGGAUCUGCUUAUGUGAUACCUUAGUCAUUGCGAAUUACAGCAGCAUGUAAAGCCGUUCUACCCAUCAUGCCACUAUGAGAUGGUGAAGUGCAAGUUCCUAUGAUUAAAUUCACCAAAUCUUCAAAACCUAUCUCGGCGGCCAUGUAAAGAAGAGUGUAGCCUGUAAUAUUAGCCCCAUAAAUAAACUCGGGGUCUUCCUCGUUCAAUGACUUCACAACCUCUGAAUGAUAAUACCUCACUGGCUCAUGCAAGGCUGUGUUUUCCAGGGUUCAAAGUAUCGGCCGAGUCCGGUACAACUCGGCCGAGUCAUAUCCGCCUCAACACCUGCCGCAACGAGACCGAUACCAGAUACAGUAUAAUGCACGAACUCGACUAGGAAUCGGUAAAACUCGGCUGACUAGUCUGAGUUUUCGAGUUAACUCGGUUAGGUUACAGAGAAUUUUCAAAUUUUAUUUCCAAUCACAAUAAAACAUCAGAACAUUUUCAUAUAAAAAAAAAUCAAAGAUUGCCCUUUCAAAAGCAAGCACAUAUUCUGAAAUUUUAAACCAUCAAUGAGAAUAUCAAAGAAGACGAAGAAGAAAUAAUCCAACCCGUGACCCGUUUGGAAAUAAGUGGAGAAACCAGCGAAGGAUGAGGGCAUGAUUUAGGAUUUACUUACCUGAUUUUCCUCAAAAUCGAGCAUUACCAGAGGGUGGAGCUUUGGUGUUGACGGUGGUGACUCGUCAAGUGGACUGGAUCUUUCACCGGCGACGUCGACGAGACAACCCCUUCACAGUCAAAUUGCUUCCCCUCCCGUGUUGGGUCUUGCACGGUUGCAAAUUUGCAAUUGCAGGUGGUGUUGUGGGUCUUGACGGCAAUUUCUGGGGACAGGAUGAUUGAAUGCGUUUGUCCAAGCAAAUAUUAGGGCUACGCUCAUUUGGCUAAUUAUGGGCUGAGCAUGGGCCAGCCCAUUUUUUAACUAUUAGCUGUAACUGGGCCGUUCUCUGAUUUAUGUCAUAAAUCUCUUCAUCUUCAUCAAAUUUUAUAACUCGGAGAUUUUUAUUUCACACUCCAUUUAAUAAAGUUUAAGUAAGUUUCAAGUUUCACAAAUUUAAUUUUUAAAAAUUAUAUAUAUAUAUAUAUAUAUAUAUAUAUAUAUAUAUAUAUCUUCUUCCCUUUUCUUUUUUUAAGUACAAAUUAUUUAUCCUUUUUAUUUUCAUUUUUAUUUUUCAUCAUCUUUCUUUUUACAAAUUAAGUAAAAUGUGUUUCAAUUAUAUAUUAAAAAUGUUAUUUUUUUAAAUUUAUUCUAAAUAAAAUAUUAUUAACAAUUAUUUUUGUAAAGUGUUAUUAUUUAUUUUUAACAAAAGAAUUAAUUACACUUUCAUAAAGAUAUCAUUAUCCAUACAAUGUAUAAUAAUCAAAUUAAUCGUAUGUCAUUUAAUAAAGUUUAAGUCGGUUUCAAGUUUCACUAAUUUAAUUUUAAAAAAUUAAAUUAGAAGUUAUUGAAAAUGACAAAUAAUUUUGAGCUAAAUGUGAAAAAAAAAAAUUGUUUUAUUAAUUUUUUUCAACUUAUUCAAUUAUAUCUAUUUUUUUAAUUUAUAUAACAUUUUCUUAUAAUUUUUUGAAAUUUCUAAUUAUCUUAUUUUGCGUAUCGCCCGAUACCGAACCGAGAUGUCGAGACCGAUAUGCCUCGUGGCCCUCCGAGUCAAUCACCGAUACCGCGACUUUGAACCAUGGUGUUUUCCUCCUCAUUUGUCAUCCUCAUAAUCGCCUUUUCUCCUCCAACCCCACUCUCGAUCUCUUGGUGAAGUCGUUUCGCAGCAUCAAUGAGUGCUUUCACGACUAUCAAAUGGCCUUCUCUCGCUACAAGGUGAAGUGGAGUGUCGCCCUUCAGAUUGGGCUUAAGCAGGAGAGACGAAGAUGAAUUCAGCCCCAGGAUAUACUGAACACAGUCCAAUUGACCGAAUUGAGCUGCAAUGUGGAGGACGGUAUUCUUAUUUGGGGUUAAUUGGACCACAAAAUGAUCUUCUGACAUUUGUUCCAAGACAUCGAUCCUGCCAUAUGCUGCGGCCUCGCACAAAGCAGCAUCCAUGCAAGUGAUCGGAGUUUGGCUGCCAUCUGCAUCUGCCGCCUGGUUCAAGAUUGGCUACCGUCUUGAGCUGCAAGCUGUUCCAGGUAAAGAGUAUGUGAUUCUGCAGUGUGGAUGGAAGUGGAAAGAUCCAUAGGUGCUUCAGCAAUCAGCACUAUCCUCCUUUACACAACUUUUCCCCACCCCACCUUGCCUCAAUUAUAUAUAAUAUUAAAAAAAAUUAUAUUGAUUAAUUUUUAACAUAUAUAAAAUACUUCUUUCCAUAAAAAUAAAUUAUAAAUAUUUAUCAUAUUUAUUUAUUUUUAAUAAAAUGUAAAAUUUUAAAACUAAAAAAAACUUGAAAUUUCAAAACUGUUUUAAAAAACAAUUCUAAAAAAUAGUUUUUAAAAAUUGUUAUCUAAUUUUUGUAAAAUAAAAGUUUGUUUGUAAACCUAAAAUGCUUUUAAACUAUUUUUGAUAUUUUAAAAUAUGUUUUAAAAAUAACUUUUAUAUUUAAUAUUUUAUUUUUAAUUAUUUUAUAUGUUUGUAUAGUUAUUUCUUAAAACAAUCGUCAGAAAACAAGUGAAAACAAUGAAAAAAAACUAAAAGAUAUUAUCUUAAAACACUUUGUUUUUUUGUUUUUAAUAACAAAAAAACAUAAAAUAUUUUUUAUUUACCAAGGUUCUCAAACAAACCUUAAAUAUCUAAACAUAUUUUCAGUUUUAAUUUUUAUUUUCUAGAAAAAUGAAAAUACCAAACAAGAUCUUAACCUAUCUUUAAUCACACUAAUUUUAGGGCAAUCUCAUCACAAAGAGUUUAUUUUCUUACAUUUUUUUUUUCAUAUGUGAUCAUCAACUACUUAUCUUUUUUAUUUAUUUGUUUGUUAACUAGAAAAAUAGGCUAUGUGGGAGGUCACCCCAAACAUAAUAUACUGAGUUUGACUUCACAUUAAUAAUAAUAAAUACUUCAUUAAGUCAUCUUUAUUAAUGUUUGAGUGUUGUUAAGUAUGAACUUAUAUUUUUUUAAUUAUUAUUUUUAAAUGGUAAAUUAAUUUGCUUUUAUAUUUUAAAAUCUAUAAAAUUAAUUAUUAUAUUUCUUUUAAUUUUAUGCAUUUAUGAUAAAAAAAAAAAGUUAAAAUUAAUAAUUUGAAAAAGGAAUAGCAAUGUAAUAUAUUUCCAAACGUCAAAAUUUAUUAACAUAAUAAAAAAUUUCUAUUUUGAGUAAUAGCUCAUCAGAAAAUUUUAUAUUAAAAUUUCUUAAGAAAUAAGAGAAAAUAUAACCUAAAACAACAUCCAUUCGAACUAAAAUAAAUCAAUUUUUUUUAAAUUUAUUUUUAAGACAACAAUUAUCAAAUUUUUAAAAAUAACAAAAAUAAAUUAAAAAUAAAUUGAAUCAAAUAAUAUAGAAAGAAAAAAACAAAUAAAUAAACAAAUAAAUGUGAUGUAUGAUAUUAAUGGGUAAUUAAUUAUUCAUGGUUGACACCCAAGGCUUACAUCAUAUGCAUCUCCAUAAGGAUUAUAUUUCAAGUCAUCCUUUUAAAUAGAGUGAUAUUUAAAAUAGAUAAUUAAGAGUUCGUUUAGUUGUUAUUUAAAAAUUUUUAUUAUGAUAAAAAAAUUAAUUAAAAUUUUUAUCAUGAUAAAAAUAUUAAAAACGUUUUCUAUAAUCUCUAUCAAACACAUUUUAAAACAAAUGGUAUUAAAAUAAUAUUUAUUAUUUACUUAUAACAGUAUAAUAAUGGAUUUUAAAUUCAAGAACAGCGUUCAAGAGGGAACACGUGAGUAUCCUAUUUAAUGUUGAAUAUUUUAUUAAUUAAUUAAUUAAUCUCUUUAUUUGUAUCAACAACAAUAAGAAGCAUAUUAAAAUAAUGGGAUAUCAAGAUUAUUUUAACUUUGAAGAACUCAUCUUAAAACUACAAAAUGAUUAUUUUAACAAAAUAUCAAGAUUCCUUUCAUAUUUUCAACCUGUAAAACUUGUUUAUUGAGGAGUUGGUGGUGGUGGGAAUAGUUUACAAUUUUUAUUCAUUUUUUGUAUGCUUAUAGGGUGGACAAAUUUGGAAUCAUUUGUAAUGUUUAAUGUUUAUAUUAAAAAACAAUUUCCUUAUACUCUAAAAAAAAAUUGUGAAAUGAUUGGUUAUUAAGUCAUUUAAAAUUUAUGUGCCUAUUCAUCAAAGUAUUUAAUUUAUUUUGAUUUAAGUUUUAUCAUUACUUUUGAAUGUUCAAAAAUAUACAACACUCUUCAAUUGACUCAAGAAUUUAUAAUAAUCUUAUUAUUUGUUAAAUUAUAUAUACUUAUCUUUUUUAUUGAUUAAUAUAAAAUGUAUAUUUUUUUCAAUAAAUAUUUCAUUAACUUAUAUGGACUUAUGCAUUGUCAUUAGGGAAAAAACUCAUUUUAUUAUGGAAAAUUGUCUUUUUGAAAAAGUUGAAAUAACCAUUCAUUUUUAAAGAAAAAAAAUAGUUACUCUUUUUAAUUUUAUAUUAAAACUUUUCAAAUUAUCUCAAUUCAAUAUAAAAAAAAAUCAAAUUUAUUGUUAAAAAAAGGCUUGCAAUUUAUUUAAAAAAAAUAUUAGAAAAGAUUUUAUUCUUAUUUAAAAAAAAAAAAAUAUAUUUUUCCCUUUCCAUUUUAGAAAAAGGAUUUGCAGUUUUUUAUUUUAGAAAAAUAUUUUUGCAGUUUUUUUUAUUGGAAAUAAAUACCUUAUAGUUUUUUUUUUCUCAAAAAGAACUUUAAAAAAAAGAAGACUUUUACAGUUUUUAUUUAAUAAAGGCUUGAUAGUUUCAUUCUAUUAAAAAAGGAGUUUAGAUGUUAUUUUAUUUGCAAACUUGGUGAUAAAGAACAAAUCAAAUGAAACCGAAAUAAAUAAAAAUAAAAAAAUACAGAAAGAGCCUCGUCCACCACCUCCUCUAAAAUCCUAGGGUCUGUGCUCUUUUAUAGGCCUUCAAGCUUGGUCUUCAUCUACCCUUCCACGUGGUGGAUAUAAGCUCUAGGCGAAAAGUAAGCAGAUGGAGGCAGUAAAGUUGGCCAAUAUACACAAGCCCAAACCAAACAAAGCCCAAACCCAACAGACAAAUUAAACUAGGCCCAAACUUAAAUAAACAAAUGUGAUGGACCAGAGCAAUAGUUGAAGCCUGAAAUAGUAUCCAAGAACCCAAUACCCAUAAACAUGAAUCAAUAAAUAAACACCCAAAUGAAAGCCCACGAGCCUUUUUGUUCCACCUGAUAUCUCCUACUUUUUUUCACAUUUGUGCCCCAAACUACAAGCCCUCUUACUUAUGAGUUAUUUUUCGUUCUUCCUUAUAUCUUUAUUUGAGUCAUAUAAUAAGAAAAAUGGUUUGCUUGAAAAUCAAUCUCAACCUCUAUCGAAUCCUCCAUGAUCAGGUCUAGAGAUAUUUCAAUAAUAUGUACAUCUAAUCUUCUUUAUUUGUUUUGGUAAUCAGCCAUGUAUUAGGUCCUUUUUUUGAAGGGUUAAUUUGGUAAGUUUGUAACGAUAAUUAGGUUGUAUAUUGUGUAUAUAUUUCUUACCUUGAUCAAUAGAACAAUUAUCUUAGAUUCUUAAAGCCUGUAUCGACUUUAUCAUAUCUCUCUUAUAACUUUUUUCUUUUCUGUUAAUAUUUUAAAUCUAUUCAAUCAUUGAAAAACCAUAUCAAAAUAUCCCCAUCAAAUCUAGAAUUACUUUGGUCUCCCGAUAAUGAGUAAAAAAUUGAUAAAUAAAGGCUAUUCUCAUUCAUUGAAUAGACAAAGAGUCAAGUUAGUCAUUCAAAAGAAAAGAGAAGAAUGAACAAACAACUUUACUCUCAACCAAAUUUUUUUAAGAAAAAUUUAACUCCUUUUCCCAAAAUUAAAUGGGACAAAUUAAAAACCUUUUUUUUUUUUUUUUUUCCAUUUUACCAUUUCUUAUUAUUUUCAGACAUUAAAAUGAAAUUUUAUUGUUUUAAAUUUAAACUUCAUUGUGAGCUUGUGUGACUCUUUUUAUUUAUCUCCUGACUUUAAACCUAUCAAUUAUAUCCAAAUGUUCUUAUUAAUCAACAAAUUUAUGAGUGUUUUAUUCUCAAUAAGAAAGGGUGAAAUGAACGUUAUUCUCGUUGAAUGAAAAGAUAAAGAGUGAAGUUAGUAGUUAAAAAAAAAAAAAAAAGCAACUCAAUCUUUUUUUUUUUUUUAAUUUAAUUCUUUCUCCCAAAAAGUAAAAAAAAAGAGGAAAAACAGGCCAAUCCCACUCUAUUACAUCAUUGUAAAGUCAUACCCAAAUGUCCCAUCACUAAGCAUUGAACUAAGUUACGCAUCAUUGAAAAAAAAAACACCACUAGUGAUACACAGACAAGUUUUCUCAACCCCCAUCCAAAAAGCAAAAAGCAAAAGAAAAAGAGUGGAUAAUCAACUUUCCUUGGUAACAGUGCCUAAUAUUUUCCUGGAAAUUCCCUUGGUAAUGGAGCCUUGUUUUUAGCAUGUUUGAUUUCCUGAACCCUCUCUUUGUGAAGUCGAAAAUGCUUUCAACCAAAUCUAGGCAUAACUACACCAUCUUAGAAUUACAAUAAGAUCAAUUGUUUUUCAAUAUAAUGACUGAAUUUAGGUUAGAAUUCAUUAUUAAAGAUUUCAUUAAUUAAAAAAUUUAAUGGAUAGGGAAGGAAAUUAUAAUAUGCAUCAAGCUCAAUUGUUUUUUAACAUAAUUUGGAAUAGAAUAUACAAGUGUGAGAAGACUAACCUUAAAAAUAUAUAUCACAAGCACUAUCGUAAGUUUCAUGUGGUUAAGUCUUAAUAAUUCCUUAAAUUUAGUUUAUAUAUGUUUUAUUGUGUUAUAAUUUAAGAGAUAGACAUUUUAUGGUUCCAUGCAUAUAUUUAAAUUAAAAUUUCAAAAAAUUAAAAUUAAAACAUAAAUAGAGAAAAUAUAUAUAUGAACUCCAUCACAAGUAUUAAAAAGGAUAUACUACCUCCAAAGUAGUGGGGUGAUUGGUCUUGUUCAUUGUGAUAGUUUUCGUAUAGUGAAUGUAUUAGUGUGUAUUAAUGAAUAAUAAACAUAAUCCAUAGAGAGUUGUGAUUGAAUGACUAUUGAUUUGUUAUAACUUCUCCAAUAUACUAUGUUGCAUAGAUUAUCAAUCUUAGGAGACUAUUGUACUAAAGUUUAGGUCAUUAGUGGCUUUAUCUUAUGGAUGAGAUCCAAAAUAAUUAUAUAUAUAUAGACAUCAUAAUACCCCAUGAGGUUGAAAUAAUAUAUUAUUUUGAAUUAUUAUAAACAUAUAUGAUUAUAAAUUUUAUGGUCAUUAUAAUUCUUUCAAUGGAAUUUGACAUAUGUCAUUUGUGGCUAAGAAUGAGUUAUUUGAUCAUAAUAUAGGUGGAUGGAAGACGCAAGAAUUUGAGAGAGAUUGAUAGCUACUACCUUAUUGAAUCAUGGACAUCAAUUUAUAAAGAACUUGUAUAUAAUGAAUAAUAAGUUAGUGACACGAAAAAUUAAUUAAUUAAGGUUAUUGGUGGUUUAAGCAAGUAAUAAUAGAUACUCUUAAUAGACACCAUAAUAUCUCAUGAGUUUGAGAUAAUAUAUCUCAUUGGGUGAUCUUAAACAUUUAUGAUUAUGAAAUUUAUGGUCAUUAUAUUUUUUUUCAAUUGAAUUUGAUAUAUAUCAUUUGCGGUUAAGGAUAUGUUGGUUGAUCAUAAUAUAGGCGGAUGGAAGACUCAAGAAUUGGAGAGAGAUUGAUAGCAUGUCUUCAAAUCAAAUGAUAAAAGAAAAAAAAUAAAGGGUUGAAAGAAAUUGUGGAUUACAAAUUUUAGUUUCAAAACAGCGGGAAUUGUAGAUGUACAAUAAUUGGGUGAGAUAAGACAAACAAUUGGACCACAUUUGCUCAAUCAUGCAUGAGAACAUUAUAUUAUAUUUGGAUCUUAUGUGCAUGGUGGAAUGAUAGGAAAGAAAAGAAAAGUUAAAUUAACAAGAAGACCGUUAUAGAAUUCAUUACAUCAAAGAAAUACUUGAUUGUAAUUUAUAUUACUUACCCGCUAGUAAUUUUUAGCUUAUUAGAUAUAGAGAUAAUUUUGUAAAGACUUAUAUGAUCAAAAGAGCUUAUAAGAGAUGUCUUAUUUACUUAAACCUUAUUGAAGUAAUCAAUUGUGGCAUUUUCAAUUGGUCAAACGGAGUUUUUUAACAACAUCAUGCGUGUCACAUAAUUCAAUUAAAAAAUUUAUUGAAAAAGCUUAAUUUGUCGUAAGAAUUAAUAGAAAUUUUUCUGAAUAACAAAUCAAAAAUUACAUUUUAAAAGAAUCCAAUAUUUCAUGAUUGAAGUAAUUUUGUUGAUAAAAAAAAUAUCAUUUGUGUUAUGAAAAAAGGAAUGCAAUUAAAAUUUGUAAAGCCUUAUAGGUGUUUGUUUUUUUUACUUAAUUCUAAAUAAAACUUUAAUACUUAAUAGUAUUAAGUAUUAGAUUAUUUAUUUUUUUAAUAUUUAAUUUCUUUUAAACAUUAAAAAGUAAAGAAAAAUUAAUAUGUUAUUUUUUUAUUUAAAAAAAGUUAAAUAUUUUAAUUUUUUCUAUUCAACGAAAAAUUUAUAAUAAGUCAUGAAAAAGUAGAAAAACAAAUAACCUAAAUUUUAAAAAUAAAUUGCUUUCAGUAAAAAGCCAACACUCUCUUAUAUUUGAAGAUUUUAGAAGACUAAAAAUGUUACUAAUUGGAGUUAUAAAUUAAUCAAGUUUAAGGGGUAAAUAAAAAUGUAAACUUGAAUUUAAGAAAUUUUCAAAAAUAGAUUUGAUUUAGUUUCUAAAAAUCAAUUAAUAUAUAUAUUGACAAGUAGAUUUUACAUUUUGUAUUUGAAUACUUGAGUCAUAAAUUUUUUUUUAAUAUUCUGUUAUUAGGAUUUUUUUUUUAUUAGAUAUGAAUAUGUAUAAAUAAAAGGAUGCUUAACAGUUUAGCAAGAGUGAUAGAAUAAUUUUGUUAUAAAUUUUCUCCUAUUAGUCAUCUCCCUUGGUAGAAUUAUCUGAAGUACUAGUACCGUAUAAUCCCAUGGACGACAUGUAAACUCUUGCCCACUGCACUUAAAAAAAGCGACACUAGUAUAAAACGAUAAAAAAGAGGAAAGUGACUUGGGACCACAGCUUUGUGGAGGCAUUCGAACCCUGUUCCCUUUGCUGUAGUAAUAUACGACGCAGAGGCGGUGGAUUAUGGUGUUGUGAAAGAUCUGAGAGAGGUAGAGACGGUUGUAGAGCUUAAGCACACCCAUGGAUCCAUCCACUUCCACCCAUGCUUUAGAAUUACAGAACCUUGACUCAGUUUCUAGUGCGAACCAGGAGGAUGUCACAUACAUGCCUCCUAAAAUUUACAGCGCUGCAGCACAAGGCUCCACUGAUAUUAUCCGCAGGACAAUGCGCAGAGCUGUCCAAUAUUUAACACCCAAUAAGAACACUAUCCUCCACAUUGCAGCCCAAUUCGGUCAACCGAGGUGCGUUGAAUGGAUCAUUCGACAUUACAGUGGGGAUUCAUCCCCACUGCAGUGGCCCAAUCUGAAAGGGGACUCCCCCCUCCACCUUGCGGCGAGAGAAGGGCAUCUAGAGGUCGUGAAGACUAUUAUUCGUGCUGCGAGAACAGUUUCCGAAAGAGAUAUUGAGAGUGGGAUUGGAGUGGAUAAGGCCAUGCUGAGGAUGACCAACAAUGAGCAUGACACAGCCUUGCAUGAGGCAGUCCGGUAUCAUCAUCAGGAGGUGGUGAAGUGGUUGAUCGAGGAAGAUCCCGAGUUUACAUAUGGUGCUAACUUUUCUGGUGGGACUCCUCUAUACAUGGC
rnacentral:lncRNA from 1 species